rnacentral:lncRNA from 1 species
UCACGAAAUGCAAUUGAAAUGGCAACAUCGCGAACAACAUCGUGCAUAGAAAUGUAUUUACUGCCACCAUCCUCAAGCAACAAACAAGAGUCUCUUAGUUGAUGGACCCAUGCAUGUAAUUUGUUAUGUGCAUCUUCUAGCUUAUGGACACUUUUAAAUACACCCAAGCCCAUGCUGUAUUUGAACAAAUCCAUAAUUGGUGCUGGCGUAAUAAGACUACACAGUAAAAAAGUUUUCUUGAGUUGCUCACCUCUUAAGUACUUGUAACUCAGCUCAAUUGUUGAGUAUGCCUCUGCUGGUACUCCUUCGUCGAAGCUUGCCUCUGAAGGCGUUUUGGAGUUCUUGCAAGGCAUUCUUCCACACAGGCAGCUCUUUUUUUCUCAGUGCCUUUGCUACUGUGGUUAGGGCAAUAGGCAAACCUCCGCAUGCCUUGGCUACACUUGUUGCUGUAGAUUUUAACUCACGAUUUUCAACAUAAUCACCAGCCAUUAUCUUGAACAAUCUCCAGGCUUCUUGUUCAUUUAAAAUGCCAAUCGAGAAGUUUUUUUCAGAUCCCAUCCUUAACAGCACAUCAAGAUCUCUUGUUGUGAAUAAUAAUUUACAUCCUCUGUGCUCAACUCCAAAAGGAAUGCCAAUAGUCCCCAAAUCAAGAGGAUUCCAGAUGUUAUCGAGAAUCACAAGGAUCUUCUUCUCAUUCUUCAAUCUUUUCAUAUAGUCUACUAGCUCUUCUAGACUCAGCUUCCUCGGACAACUCUAGGCCUAACGUUUCCGCAAUUUCCUCUUGGAUCUUUCUUAUGUCUGGACAUUGGGUAACCUCCGAAAAAACCACCAUAUCGUAAAGCUUGUCUUCAAUGGCUCGCCUUGCAAACUCCUUCACCAGUGUCGUCUUUCCAAUGCCGCCCAUGCCGUACACCCCAAUGAUGCUGACAUCAACAUCGAUCAAAUGCAUUUUGUAUGGCCUUCAAAGUAGAAAGUCUUGAUUCGAAGGCUUCGUAGCCUUUGUGAGACUUGAGCCAUAUAUCCUCCGGGAAUGGUACGGUAGAAAUUCCAUCAACAAAUCUCCCAGCUUCUUCUCGGAGUUUAACAAUGGCCUUCACCUUUGUUUCUGCUUUCUUGCUAAGCUGAUAGCGGGUCUUCAAAUUAGGACACAAGCCCAUGAGACAUCGUUUAUUUGUUGUCUUCUCAUCAUCAAUGAAUUUGGCUGCCUGCUCAAUGAUGAUGUUCGCACUAACCAGCCACUUCUCAACCUUCUCUUCAAUAUUUUCCCCUUUUCUUUCAGCCUCAGAAACCCUGUGCUGAAUGCUUCUCCUUUCAUCCUUGAGCUUGUCUAUUUCUGCCUUGAGUUUCUCAACGUUGGCUUUAUAGUUACGCAAAUAACCAAGUCGGCGUUCUGUUGAGGAGCCAAGCAUUUCACAAAUUCUAAAACAAUAGUAACAAUGCUUUCCACCAUCCUGGAUCCCUUUUCUUUUUUUUCGAAGUUUCUGACAAGAAAAUAAACAAUGAGCGAAACACAGAGAGAGUGAGGAGAAAAAGAAAAAGAAACGCAAAGAUGGACAGUUUAUCUGGUUGUGGAAGCGGAGAAAUGAAGAAAUCGUAAUAGCUGUUAUGGAUCUGCUGAGAAGAUGGAAACAAGGAAAAGGUUUCUAGUUCAACAACUGGAUUGCGAGCGGAGAGACUAAUUAACAAAGACUGGAGAUUACAACAAAGCAGAUGCCAAGAGAAAAGUUGAUCCAGUGAAAUUCAAGAAGUUGACAGCAAAAGGGAGCAAAGAUUAAUAACAAAACAGCAGUGACUACAAUGAACAAAAGCAUAUGCGUUUCUUGAUUGAGAAUGAGUGCAAAGAAUGAUCCUUAAUCAAUAAAAUAUCUAACAAUAUCUUCACCGAAAGUUUGAGACAUGUGAUCCUUAUUCCACUUCGUCAAUUACACUCCAGACCAAUGCUGCCGUCAUUAUCGAACGGUCGAUAUCCAACACUUGCACGAAGAUUCCAAGAAGUUGCGUGGCUGCCGACUUUUAGAUGCAAAGCCUCAUUGUGUCGAUGUUACACGAAAGAGAGCAGUCCGGGUAAUUGCCAAAACUUAGAACUAAACAGUAGCUUAGUCAGAAAAUCAAACGCCCAGUACCGGUAAAAUGACCGAUAAAAUAUAAAAAAAACAAAAAUUUUAAAGUUUUACUUCAUUGCUUUUUUAAUCUUAUUACUAUUUCUCCUUGCACUUCUAAAGAAACCAAAGCUUUAAAAGAAAUCAGCCAAAUCACGAAGAUUGAAAACUAAAUCUAUGGUUUUAGAUUUUUAUUUUAUUUUUUUAGAUAAUAGAUAUUGUUGAGUAAUGAAAAGUACCAGCUCAGCUAUCCCCGCUUCCCUCACCUUGGGGCGAAUCCCCAGAUGAAUGGCACAAGCAGAUUCCUGGUAAUACAUCCUGUACGGGGCAUAUGCCAACUAGAAACGAGUACCGACCAGAUGUACAUACCGACCAAGUACUCAUUAUUCAAAGAAAGAGGACACGAACUCAACAAACUCACGACAAUUUUGUUAUGCCCCCAAACCGUUGGGGAGAACAUGACGCCCCACGUUUACCCACGAUUCGGUGGUUGGAGACCCAUGAAGGUUUGUCAUCACCCGAAAAUGAGGGGCAUGAAUAAGACUCAGAAAACAGGGGAUGAUUGCCUAUAAAAGGCCAAGAAAUCGAUGAAAAAUGGGAGACACAAAUUGAGAGUAAAGGGGAAACUCUGUCAAAUUAUAAUCAGAAAUUCAUAUAUCCAAAUCCUUGAUACAUUUGGUAUUGAGAAUAUUGCAACUAAUAUGUACAACACAAAUCAUUCACUUUUCUCGUAAACACCUUGUACUAACUUAAGUAUCGAAGGGUUUAUGCCCAAAAAACCAUCGGCGUCUCUGAUUUGUUUCUGUGAACGCAGGCCUGGAAGGAAGAAGACGGGUGAUUUGGGUCCCAGAAGCUCGGGAAAUUGCUGAAGCUAAUGGAUCGCAGCCUCUGUUCCUUUGCCAAUACAAGCGUUGGUGAACCAAUCUGGUCGGUCCAAAGGCGACUAGAUUUCAGCAUCAACAGAUAUUAUUUUGAUGAAUUUUUUAAUAUUAGAAUAAUGUUAGGAAUUCCAAUAAUAAAAUUCUAACUUGAGACCCAAUUGUUAUGUGUUAUUUUUUUAUUGAAUAAUGAAUUUCACAACUAAUAAAAUUUAUAUUUCCAUCAUCUAAUAAAUGACUACCAUAUCAGUUGGGACUCAAUUAUUAGGAUCCUUAACAUUGCUCUUAGUAUUAAAUUGGACAUCUUAGCUAAAUCAGAUUAAAAAUCAAAUUAGUUUUUAAGCUUUUAUUCAACAUCUCUUUUUUUUUUUUUGUCUAUUGGAAGUGAACGAAAUAAAAAUACAACAGGGUCAACGACUGGGCAAUUGGUAGUCAAGUAGAAGCAAAUCAAGGCUAAAUGGGAAAGAGAAAUGAUAUUUGUGCAAAAUAAGGAGAAAAUCAGUGUAACAGAAGAGAAUCAAAGUGCUUUUGAGAUAAAAAAUUGAAACAAGAAAAGGGUCGCUUGAUCCAAUGAAAAUGCAAAGAGCUGAUGGCAAAAGGGAACAAAGUUAAAUAAGAAAACAGCUAGCGCUAGCAGCGACCACAAUAAACAGAAAAUUUGAGAUGGAUUUACAAUAUUUCUGCCUUUCUUUAUGCUUUAAAAAAUAUUGCUCUAUCAAAAAAAAUAUUGAACAUUUUUAUUAUUGGAGUCACAAAUGACCUACACAAUAUAGCAAGUGACUAGGAAUAAAUAAGAAUAUAUAACUCUCUCUAAUUCUCACUCUGGCUUUUAAUUGUCACUCAAAACCCAGAAUUCAUCCUUAAAGUGUAGGCAAAUCAAGGAUGACACCGUUUGGUUGUCAUACGUGCCUUUUAGUUUUCGGAUGACAUGGCGUACACUUCUUCUGUAAACCCAACAAGACAUGUCGUACUCUUUUGUUUUGAGAUUCUAUUUCAAACUUUUCAUGCUAUGAAUGAAAGAUAAACUCCAAUCAUCAAAAUAUUUAGUGUUUGUUUGGUAAUGUAAUGUCAUAGUUGUGAAUUGAAAUUAUUUCUAUAAAAUAAAAGGAUUUGGGUCAUUGUUUGUUAUUUUCUGACAACAUUUAUUAAAUAUUAAAAAAUAAAUUUAUAUUUAUUAGGUAUUAAAAAUAAAUAAACAAACAAAAAUAAAAGUAAAAGUUUAUACAUUACGUAAAAUAAUGACAAUAUCAAUAUUUCGCACUCUAUAAUUGAGUGAUGUGUUGUCCAACUGGCAUACAUUGGUCCCAAACGGAGACUUAAAUAUCAAAGUCCAAAGUUAUUAUGAUGAUGACUUAUAAUCGCCAAACUUGACAUACGGGUAAUCAUGCAUUAUAAGGUGCUAAUUUCUUCCGAUCGGAACCUUAUUUUUCAUUUACAAAUAAAUAAAUGAUGUGACUUCACGGUUGGCGGGGUCCUUUGUGUCAUUUGGGCAUUUCACUAAAUGAUUGAUUGUAGCAGGAAGAUUCCUGGAAGUUGCCAUUUGCCAAUGCUACUAACAUUUUCAAACUUGGAAAACCCUUCAAUCAAUCUUUUAGUGGUAGGCUCUGGUAACUUGGUUUGAUUAUGACGUAUAAUUAUUUGAUAAUAAAGUUAGAGGAUGUAUUAAUAUAAAAUUUGUUUAUUGGUGUUGAAGUUAAUUAUCUCAUUAAUAAUAGUAUAAAAAGUUAAUUACUAAGAAACACAUAGCAAUAGUUAAUUGGUGUCAUAUUAUUGGGAUUCUGGGAUAUAAUUUUAUAUCAUAACUUUGUAAGUGUAUACUUACUCAUCAAACUAAUAAAAUUAUUUAAAAAUUUCAGUUGGAAAAAAUAAAUUAUAUUAUUUUCAUUUCAAAUAAUCUAUAAGUUAACUCAAAACAUAAUCAAGCUGAGAAUUAAAAUAAUGCUACUGUAUGAGAGGAUUUUUAUUUUUUCCCGAAGUUUCACUAGGAAAUUAUUGAUACAUAGCUUUAUUCGGAUCAUCUCAGUUCAAACGACAAAUAAUUGAAAGACUAAGCUAAAUAGACCAGCCAACAACUUUGUACAAGAGAGUUCAAAAAUUAAGGUCAUGGUAUUAAGGUGUUCUAUCUUGAAAAGUAUAGAGUAGUAAUAAAAUAAAAACUAAUAGUUUUUGGUAAGAUAUGACAUUUAAAUAAUAAUUUUCACAAAAAUACAAGGAAUAUUUAUAAAUUACUUUUAUAGUGAGGGGACCCUCACUCUGUUAAAGUGAAAAUAUCAAUAAUAUACAAAAGACAUAUAUUUUAACACAUUAAAAAUUGUAUUUUUUUAUCUAUUGGUGUAUUGAAAUAUGUGUUAUUUAGUUUGUUAGUGAUAUCAUUACUUUGUUAAAAUGAGAAUGUCGUUACUAGAGAAUCAUUAUGUAUACAUAUAUAAAGUGCUUCUGUCCAAGACCUAGACUUUAUUAAAAUUUGAGAAAGCAAAUAUAUUUUAUAUGGUAUAAUAGUGUAAUAACAUCACACUAUUAUAUCAUAUAGAGUAAUAGUUUUUCGAACUUUAAUAAAAUUCAAGAUUAUAGAAUGAAUGAUUUUUAUAUAUUAUAAAUUUUUUUAUCAUAAAUGGAGGACAAAAUUAACAUAUUUUCAAAUUAUAAUAAGCAUUUAUCAAAUAAUUUAACAUUGCAAUUUCUCCUAACUAGUAUAGUAAAUAAUACGACCUAGGAGAUACAUUCAAAGCAUUUCAUAAGUUAGUUGUUAAUAAUAAAUUAUAUAUGCAGCUCCAAUCAUCAUUGUACGGUGAGUAAUUUCCAGUUAUAAAUAGAUAUUACUCCCUUCCCAGCAAUUUUUGAUGACUUAAUUUAGUGGGAUCAAAAUCAACAUUGAAUUUUUGACCAGCUGCCAACAACUUGUGAGCAGUUCACAGUGGGUACUGCACAUGAUGCCUGUUUCUCCUUUUGCAUCUAUUUUUGUUGUUAACAUUAAUUUCAAUAGCAGCUCGUUAAUCCCAUUUGUUGAUUUGGGACUAGAUAAGAAUUUAUCUUGGAACUCCAAUUCUCCAAUUAUUUUAGUUGACAAUAUAUUUAACAUUAUUAAUUGCAUAUUAUUUAAUUAUCAGUAUAUAAUAUUCUUUAAUUUUCUAAUUUUAUAGGAUUAGACACAAAAUUGAUUAUGCCUUUUGAAAUUUAAGGGUUAUGUCAAUUGAAUAGAAAACUUGGAGGUAAACUUGUGGAUGUUUUUGUUGAUUAUCAAUUUAUGCAUGAAUUUUUGUACGUUUACUUUGGUUUAUAAUUAUUACUUUUAAACAUUUUUAUUGGUUUGAUUUAGGGUCAAUUUGGUAAUCCUGUAGCUUUAAAAUAAUUACAAUUAGCUAUGCUGUAGAAAUGAUCAAUCGUCAAGAGAAUCAGCUGAGCAUUUAGUAAAAUUUAUUUUUAAAAGUACUUUUAGUUUUAAAAGCGUUGUAUGAAUAAAACUGUUACACUAAAAAAUUAAAUGUAUUGCCCACUUGGGUAAAUAAAGCUAUAUAUUACAACUGUUACACUAAAAUUAAAUGUAUCUUAAACCCAAACUUCUUCUUCUUCUUUUUUGACUAACAAAAUUAAAAACAAUAGUGAACACAUUCUUUAAUAAACAAUAAGUAAUAAAUAAAAUCGUGUUAAAUUUCUUAAAAACUUUCUUUCACGGUUUGCUAAAUAUUUUUAUUAGUAUUUUAAAUAAAUAAAAAUAGUUGAUUUUAAUUUUUUUAAAUAAACUUAUUAGGUUUCAUGUAAAGAUGUUUUUGUUAUUUUAAAAAGUGUAGAAAGUACUCCUAAAAAAAAGCGUAGAAAGUAAAACUUAAUUUUUUAAAUUUAUUAGCUGAGUGCAUAAAUAAUUGAGUGUUCAUAAUGAUUUUUAAAGUAUAGAUAGUCGGACCCUAAUAUUUUUAAUAAAUGGAAAUUUUGCUAAUAUGUUAAUGAGAAUUAAAAAGAUAAUUAAGGGAGGCAAUCGAGACAUUCAGGAUAGUUAGGAUGGGACAUGAUUGUGAGCGGUUAGAUAUUGGUCCUAAUUUUGAUCACAAAUAUAUAAACAGGACGAGUUUAUCUCUACUUACAUUCCAUUUGAUAAUUAAGAUGAGAGUGGAAUUGUCAAAUCCCAAAUCAUCCCGGACCACUGCCACCAAGGGUACUCUCACUAAUAAUAUCUAAAGAAAAAUCUACAUCUAUUUCAUACUUUUUUUAAUGGAAAGAGCCCUCAUGGGGCUUGAAAUGGUAUCCUAAAUAAUAUUGAGAAUAUCAGGUCAUGAUUGGGUUUGUGACAAACAAAUACUACAUAGUUGGGAUACGUAGUUAUAAUGUCCCAAUUUAUGUAGUAUCUAUCAUUUAGCGCACAUAUAAAAUAUUAAUCAGCUUAAUUAAUUUAUAAAAUUUAAAUCUAAUUAAUAAGUGAUACAUAAAUGCCAAGUGCAAUACUGUAUAUGCAAAUCAUGUUUGUGGAUCAUUACAAAAUUGGCUCUUGAAAACAAGCAAGAAAGCUUAAUUAAGAACUUAAAACAAAAGAAUUAGAUUGAGAACAGUCAAGCCUUAUUUUUUCAAGGAUGGAGCUUAUAAAUCUUCAAGUACCAACAUACGCUUGGCCCAAUUGUUGUUAUUAAAAUUUCAAUAUACAUAUAUAAGUAUGAUAUAGCAAAAAUUUGAUGGUACAUAUGUCGGAAUAUACUAGUUCAUGGGUGCAUUUGAUUAUUGUUUCCAUAAAUUUGAACCAGGAAGGACGACACGAUAAAAAUUUGAUUUAUGGUAUGGUUGAUUUCAUAGCUCAUGCACUCAUUUCUUAAGAUAAUCAAAUUUUCUCUGACAUCUUUUUCAACUGUCGAAAUAUCAAUUAUGAUCAAUCAAAACGAUUUCAAAACCUUUCAACGAGACAUAUUUCUAAUACAAUAUUGUGAAAAUUACACUAAAAAAUAAUUUAUUAUAUAUUAUUAUCCAACGAGCACACAAAAAUGAUUUCGUACAAAUCUAAAAUACUAAGCAAUUUUCAAAUAGAAUUUACCAUGUACUACAAGAAAAUAGGGUAUAUGUGACCCCUACUGUGAAUGCAAAAGCAGCCAUUACGCAUAACCCCGAGUUGCUUUUGUUACCCUUUAUGUGACGGCCACACUGCUGUCACAUAUGUUACGACCGCGUGACGGUGAAGAGCCGUUCGGUAUACUAAUAUUUUAGAAUUUUAAAUUUAUUUCCAGUUAGAAAACUAUUCGCUGGACUCCGUGUUGCUGGCCACCAUCGUAAACAUAACUGGUUGCCAGCGAACGGCGUAAAACGCCGGCCAUCUUCUUCUUCAACGUAUUCUCCCUUCAUCUUUGAGGUAAGCUUGUGAUUAUGAGUUUCUUCUCUUACUUAGCUUGUAAUUAUAGAUUUUGAUUUUUUUUAAUUCGUAUUGUAGCCGUUAUUGUCAAUUUUUGUCCCGCCAGCAAUAUUUUUUUAUUCCUACAAGUUGAAACCCCUGUGUUCUUGUUCCAUUGGUGAGUUUGCUCACUCAAAUUAAUUUUGUUCUGCGGAAUUUACAAAGUUCAAAUGGAUUCAUUUGAAUUACUAUUGAAUUUAGCUUUAAUUCCAACAUCCAUUCUAAUGUUUUGCAAUUAGAUUUAAUUUAAUUUUAUGUUUAAAGCUUCUACAAUGAAUAGCGGAGCUUGGGUUUUAGUUUCAUUUUCUGGAUAACUUGUUUUUAGUUUAUCUUGUAUGCUCACCAAAUGCUUGUUAUAUUGUCUGAUAAGUUAUAUACAUUGCUGAUUCUACAUUAAUAAUGUUACGUUGUAUUUUCAGAAAUUAUAAUACAAAAGUUUUUUGCAAUGGCGUGCAUCUACAAACUGAAUUGACUUGUAGAAUAAGAGCUCGGAGUAGUGUUAUGUUCUUGAAUAAUUGAAAGUUCAUAUUGUGUAAGAGCAUUGUAGAUGUAAAGCAUCAUUACCAUUUCUACAAAGUGCUUUCAUUCUGUUCAUAUGCUCUUCUUGAACUUUGAAAGGUGCCUCGUUCAAGUCCUAGCUAUAACUACUAGCUUUGAUUAAUUAAGUUCCUAUACUAGCUGAAACAGAUUUAUUUAAUUAAUUAAUUGUGUAUGUACUAAUUAUAUUGAAAGUAUAUGAAUUUUUUUUUUAACAUGAAUGACUUCUAAAUGACUUAAAAACCUAAAGGGAUGUGUGAAACAAUGCUCAUUUCAUUUGAAUGAGCCCAUUAAUACUUUUAUGUCUAUGAUUUUCAAUAUUGGCUAAAGCAUUUCAGUUAAGUGGUUUACCUAACAGAGAAAAAAAUUUAAUAGAAAACUUCAGAGUUUCUAACAGAAAUAUAGUUCACUAUGCAGAUAUAGUUAUUUUACGGUAUACAAAUCAAGUUGUCCUAAUCUCAAUGUCCUAUGACCGAUUUUAUUUUAUAUAGUCAUUAAUUUUUUUCCUUGGUUUUUUGUGUUUAUGAGUAUGAAAUAGUGGGAUUUGGUGUACCUUAGCAUCUUUUGAAAAUUCUCUUUCAGUGUGGCCAACAGAAAUAUACAUAUAAUCAAGUUCUUAAUCGUGUAUAUUAGUUUUGGGUAUGAAUGUUCUAUUCUAGUUCGAGGCAAAGCUUCUUCGUUUUUGGUCUUCAGAUUUCCAGUAGGUUAAGUUAAUCAACUAUCAUAACUGGCUAGCUAGUUAUUGUCUGCCUUGGCGCCAUUACCAGGCCAUUAUAUUGCAUAGCAUAAGGAAUAGUGAUUAGGGGAUUAUUAGUGAUUUGUUGAGCUUAUUAUCGACCAAACAAACAUAUUCGCCUUUGCCCACAACUUAGUUUGAUUAGUUAUUAGACCAUAAAGAGCCUUGAUCUAUUCAUUGGCUUUAUUAUUUUUAUUUGGUUUUUCUUUCAACAAUAUUGUUGAUUUCUUAUAAAAAUAUUCAUUGGUUUUUAAACACCUAAUCAUUGGCUAUAUGAAGCUAAUUAAAACUGAGGCUUUGGAUCAAUUUCUUCUAACAAGAUACAAAUGAGCAUUAACCUAUCUCCUAUGAGUAAAUUUUUUUAAUAUCCUUGAUUUGUAAGGAUCUGGAGGCCUGAAAUCCUCUAGAUUUUUUUUAACACUGUCAAUGUUCUUUUAUUUCUGAGAAGGAAAUAAAAGGUUUUAUCUUUCAUACCCAAAUAGUAAGCUGGCCUUGUCUUAACAUGGCCUCCGAGGACUUGCAAGAUUCAUAGUGCCCCCACCCCAAAAAAAUAAAAAUAAAAAAACACAAAUAGGAAGAUUUUGCAAGAUUCACCACCAGGUUUUUUUUAAUUUGUUAAUUGUGUGUACGUGCUAGUUAUAUGUUGAAAGAAUAGGAAAGAAGUAUUUCAACAUGAAUGACUUAAAACUUAUUGCUCAGUAAACAUAAUCUGCAUGUAUUUAUCGUUUGUAUUUUUUAUGGUUUUGCUAAAGAAAUGAUAUGUGAAAUAAUGCUACAUUUGCAUCAGGAAUAAAUUGAAGAGAUUUAUGAUAUUUAUGUGUUAUUCAAAUUUCAGAUUCAAUUUUAAACUUUUGAUACGUGCAUUGAAAGCUUAGACUUGUUUAAGAAAUUAUUAAUAGACACAUGUUUUUAUUAGUGUCAUCUUUGGAUGAUAGUGAGGAUCAUAUGUCUAUUAAUAAUUCUUGAAUUGUCCAGGCUUGGACAGUUUGGGAAUGCAUAGUUCACUCUGGUAGCUAGUAGCUGAAGUUUUUUCCCACGUAAAAAUGGGUUUUUCAGUAGCUGCUCCUCGUGUUCUCUGGGUACGUACUAGGUGAAUGGGUGUCAUGUGUUGUUUUGGCAUAACGCAUAAACACUUAUAUAGCUAUGUCGUGUGCUUGGAGAAUUAUAGGGAGAUGGUGCCGAAAUUUUUAUAAACGUGGAAGAAAACUUUAGGUACUUGAGAUUGAAGAAACUUAUGCAUUCUUGAGUGGGAUAUGUAGGAUUACUUACCUUUUGUAAAUAUGAAGGGAAUGUUGGAUAUAUUGGGGAUAGUGUAGGAGCUGAGUUGGAUGAAUGUAAUUGGUGAUGAUUUUUGCUGAGCUGACCUUGGUUUUGAGCUUGUAAUUUUGUUUGUAAAUGGAGUGCUAUCUCCAAUGUUGGUUUAUAAAUAUGUUUCAGGACUUGCUGACCUAAUUUUUUGUUUCUAGGUUACAGGCUUUAUAUAUCUGUAAUUGAUGGCGAAGUGAAGUUCCCAGAACUUGGCGAGGAUGUUUCUUUACAGAAGGUAUUGGAAACUGUUUUUUACAUUAAUUAUUGUUGUAUAUAUACUUUGAUUUUCACAUCUUUUUCUCUGAUUCUUGUGGCUUUGCUUGCUUUCAUAUAUGUAAAUUCUAAUGAAAAUUAACCAUAAAAUUGUUUAAAAUGAUCUUUUUAUUAUAUUGCAAAACUGUGCACACACGAAAAUAUAUUGUUUAGUAGUAGAAAUGAAGAACUAAAAUGAUUUACUUAACUAAUUUUUGUAGCGCAUUAAAAGGAGAUAGUCAUGGACAUGUGUUGGGUUGGUUUGCCAAAUAGAUAUCCAAGUCAUAUACUGAUGGGGAUGAAAAAUUUAUAGAUUUUGCAUUUGAGAAUGUUGUUGGUGGUACAAGAAUUUAAUGUCCUUUUAAGAAGUGUUGUAAUCUAUAUUUCGUUAUAAAGGAAAGUGGCUGAUGAUGAUAUGGUUGGAAUGAUACAAUGCAUCACGUAAUCAAAUGUUCAAGUUACACGGAGCAUUGUUAUGGACUAUCAGUGACUUUCUAGCAUUGCCAACUUGUCUGGGUGGAGUAUUAAAGGUAAAUAAGCAUGUCUUGUUUGCCAACAAAACACUAGAUCUAAUUGGUUGAUACAUAGUAGAAAAUUUUGUCACGUGGGUCACCGUCGAUUUUUACCAACAAAUCAUAGGUUUCGAAAAUAUAGUGUCUUUUGAUAAAACUAGAGAGUAGGGACCAGCACAUUCUCGGUUGUCUGGAUCUGAAGUGAAAAAGCAGUUUAAUAUACUUACUGAGUAUAAGAUUGAAGACUUGAAAAUAGGAGAAUGAAUAAAAUGAGAGAAAUGAUAAGAUUACUUGGAAGAAGAAAAGCAUAUUUUAUGAACUACCGUGUUGGGAGUUCAAUUUGAUUCAUCAUAUCUUGAUCUCAUGGGCUGUUUUGAUUUUUGUUAUGAACUCAGAUCAAAAGUUUAAUGUGAUCAAAAUUUCUUAAAAAUAGUGAAAACGACUCCUAAUAAUAUGGAAGAUGGCUAUAAAAAGAUAAAAGGAAAGGCUUAAAAAGAAAAGCCAUGCCUGUCCAAAAAAAAAAAAAUCAACAAAAAUCAAAACGGUGCGUUUGAGAGUGUAUAAAAUACAUUUAGAGUGGGAGUUGUGUUGUUGCUUGAAGGCAGAAAGAUAUUUGUCGACGAAGCCAAAACCAAAGAUGAAGCCCAUAAAGCUCAAACUCCACCGGAGCAAAUUCAGGACAAUUACGAGGGUUAUGUUUGACAUAGUCAAGGAAGACGGUCCUCUCACCGUUGCCGAAACUUGGGAACGCGUCAAGGUGUGUGUAUCUGUUAAAUUGAAUUUCAACCGUUUGAUCUGUAAUUAUAAUUAAUCCAAUCGAUCUGACAGUGAUCACUGACCAUAAUACUAGUAGUUGUUUUACAUUUUCAGCAGGCUAGAGCGGGUGGAUUGACGGGCAAAAGCUCAGGCUCGUCUGCAAUCACAUGGGCCCUCAUAAGCAAAUCCUGUACACAACUUGGUUCACUAAACCCAACAACUUGAAGCAGCCAAAAUCAGGGAAUGAUCCUUCUCCGUCACAACCCUAGCUGCCUUAACCUUGUAGUGACACGGUGAAGAUGGAAGCCCCUCAGCAUGUAAACUUUUCAACAGCGACAGAGCUCUUAUUCCAGAGGCUGCACAGAAGAGCGACCUGGAAUCCUCUUCAAAACUUUCAAAUUUUUAUCAAGUAAAGCUUUCAAAAUUUCUCAACAAACUGAUUAUUUGGUGUGGUUGCCACAUUUUGUGCAACUGCUAUUCGUCUUCAAGUACAAAUUCCUUGCCUUCUAAGUUAGGGAACAUAGAUGUGGAGCAAACAGGGAAAUAGAUGUGGAGCAAACAGGGAAACAGCAAUGAUGGCAAUUAACAAACUAAUAGCAGUAUUACAUUUGAUUCUUUAGCCCAAUUUUGUUCCUUCUGUCAGCCAUUCUUCAAAAGUUUUUGAAAAUUAGAUGUGAAGCAAAAAAAAAACAAAUUUAGACAACAGAAGCCCUGUGCUCAACAUCAUAUAUAUACCUUGAAUACCUAAUAUACUAAAUUUCACAUAUAAAAUACUAGAGAUUUCAAACAGUACCAGCAAUAGAAUAAUGACAACGACAACAAUAACAGAAAAUUACAAGAUUGCUGACAAAAUUUAUGUGAUUUACUGUGCCUUUAUGCAUGCAAAAUGAAACUGAAGAUAAAAAAUUUAGGGAAAAGGACACAGAGACCCCCAACGUUUGAAUAAGGGACACAAAAUCCCUUAAUGUUUCAAAAAAGACACUCAGACCCCCAUUUGUUAACAUUAAAUUAUAAUUUUACCAUUGUACCCUUAUAGCAUAUUAAAAAAUAAUUAUUCAUUAUCCAAUUUAUUUCUAUAUUAUUAAUAAAAUUACGAAUAUAACUUCAUUACUCAAUUUUUCCAUUUAAUUUUUAUCAAAUUUUAUCUUCAAACUAAAUAAAUUUAAUCCAUUGCUCAAAAAUAAAAAUAAAUUAAAUUGAUUAUUAAUAUAAUAAAAAUAACAAUUCUCCAUAUGUUAUUUCUUAUAAUUUCUUAUAUAUAAAUUAAAUUGAUAAUUUCUUAAAAAUAACAAUUCUCCAUAUAUAAAUUAAAUUUAUUUUAAUUUAAUAUAUGUUAUUUUUAUAUUAAAUAUAUGUUAUUUUUAUUAUAUUAGUAAUCAAUUUAAUUUAUUUUUAUUCUUGAGUAAUGGAUUAAAUUUAUUUAGUUUGAAGAGAAAAUUUGACAAAAAUUAAAUGGAAAAAUUGGAUAAUGAAGUUAUAUUCGUAAUUUUAUUAAUAAUAUAGGAAUAAAUUGAACAAUGAACAAUUAUUUUUUAAUAUGCUAUGAGGGUAUAAUGGUAAAAAUUAUAAUUUACUGUUAACAAAUGGGGGUCUCAGUGUUUUUUUUGAAACAUUAGGGGGUUUUGUGUCCCUUAUUCAAACGUUGGGGGUCUCUGUGUCCUUUUCCCAAAAAUUUAUAAACUAGAAAUUUAUAAUAAUCUAACUUAUUCUCGUUACUAUUAAAAAAUAAGUAAACAUAUCAAUAACAAUAUAGUUUAUUAUGAUUAUAAUUCAUUCAAUUAAAAUAAAUAAUUUAUUCUUAUUUCUAUUCUCUAUUCUAAUUUCAGUAAAUUUUGAUUUUAGUUUAUUUUAAUUAUUGAUUAGUUGUAAACUUAACUGGAAAUUUAUUGCAUAUAUUACGAGAAGCAGUACACACCAAUGGUAAAUUGAUACAUCGUUUUUGAGCUUAAGAUAGUCAAAUGAAAGAAACACAACGUAGGGUUCAUGAAACACUUUCAAAGCUGCUGAUGACUUAAAGUGAAUAACCUCAGCAUGUAAACUUAACUUCAAAGGACGGAGCACAAGUUUCACAGAAAAACAGCUCUUAUUUCUGAUGCUGCGAACACAGAGGAGUGACCUCAAUCUUCUUCAUCACUUGGGAAUUCUGCAAUUAUAGAGCACGACAUUGAGCAUGAACUAGAAAAAAUAUUUAUUUUCUACAAUUUUCAUAUAACCUCACUAACCAAGAUUAAUUUUGUGGUAAUGUAUUGGGUCAUUAAUUCAUAUGUUUUUACUGUCAUCACUUUAGAAAAAACUAAUUUCUCAAUGUGAAAUGGCCCAUAAAAGGUAUUCUCAUUUAAAAACUAAAUUUGACAAACCCUCGAUUAAAGCAGGGGAGAGAAAAGAAAAAAAAAAGAUCUGAAGGCUUUCCACAUGAAAAUGUUGUCACUUUGGAUGAUAUUUUCAAGGGAUUUCAUUCUAAAAAUAAAAUACCUGGGACCUUAUUCUUCAAAUUGACAGCUCGCCCAGUACUAAACGCGUAUGAGAUCAGUACUGGGACAAGUAACGAGACGACCCCUCCAACAGCUGAAAAUAAAAUUCGCAUUCAUCAAUUUAAAUUGAAAUUCAUAUUAUGAAAUUAAAACUAAUGAUUAAUGAAUUUUCAAGGAAUUUAAUAAGAUUCUCAUAUAUAAACGUGAUAAAAAAUUCACUCAUCAAUAACAAAUAUUCUAACAUUUUGUUGAUGUAAUUGUUGUAUGGUUGUGUUAAGGUCAUUAUUAGACCAACGCAGUUUGUCAUCACUCAUUCCGUACCAGACGUUUACUCUCGGAGGCGUGAUUGAUUCUCCUUUGGUGAAAUCUUCAUCUUCGGACAACCAAUCACAGUAAGAUAUUCCAAAGAUGGGAAUUUGAAGGCGUAAUUGCCAGAGGAGAAGCUUGUGAGACUAUCUAAAUCAAACAGGGACAACGUAGUCAGUUUGCUGAAAACAAUCUCUUCUUUUAAAUAUGCUGUUUCAUUUCAAGACUGGCAAAAUUCAUUGUGUAAUCAAAGUUUUCAAUGAUCCAACUAAUAUAUAUAUAUAUGUAUGUAUAUUCCUUCUCUAGUGCAGACAUUCUCAUUUUUUUUUUUCAUGUGGACCAGUUUUUAGAUCCCCUGGUUUAAAAGAGUUAGUUUUUAACUCUUUAAAACCGCAUGGCUUCAUAAUUUAUUUAAAAACUAACUCUCUUAAACCGCACGGUUUAAAAGCGUGUCCACAUUAAAAAAAAAUACGGACCCCCACACCUGAGAAUGAUUAUAUAUAUAUAUAUAUAUAUAUAUAGACACACGCUCUUAAACCGUGGGAUUUGAAAGCUUCUCCGCAUGAAGAAAGUAAAAAAUAAGGGCAUUCCCACUAGAAACAAACUCCAUAUAGGUAUUUAUUAAACCUCCUGAUCUGUGAGUGAGGAACAACAAAUAUAAUUGAUAAAAAAAAUCUAAAAUUUGGUUUCAUACCUUCUUGAACGAGAACAGGGGUUGUUGUGCCGGAAUACCAAAUUGAUCAUUCUCGUUAUUCUGGGACAACGUUAUUUUAUCACAAUUACAGGCCUCCAAUGUUUUUUAGUGCUGGCCAUUCUGAAGUAUGCAUUCCAGGGUAUAAACAUCCGAGUUCUGGUAGACCUUCGAGAUUCAGAGUGGUCACUUGUGGAAAGACAAAAUAUGGGGUCACUUGAUCUGCUCUGUCUUUGGAGAUGAUCUCUUGUAAACCCAUACAUAUCCGUAUCUCCAGGUGUUGGAGGUGCUCAAGGCUUUGGAUCAUAGAAGCUGAAAAUAUGUAUUUUAAUUUGUCACAGCCCCACACUAUCAAUCGUGUCAAACUUUGAAAGCCGCAAGUUGAUUGUCAUGCAAAAUCUCGUCGACAUUAAUAGCAUUCAGCUCCAAAGCCUCCAAAUUUGGCAACACUACCUGAAGAUAAUUUUCUCUUUAGAUCCAAUAUCCGUAUGGAAAGCACUUGUUUUGACACAAUAUCCAUAUAAGAAGCACUUAAUUAAGAGCUUAAUUAGCGAGUGUAUGAGACUUUUUUUUUUUCAAAUGCCAGUGCAUGAUAGAACUAAAAAAAAAAAAGAAGCAUUAGCCUACGUACCUUCUCGUUGAAAGCAGAGUUGACGUUUCCGAACUGAUCUCGUUGGAACUGGCUGUCAAUUCCUCUUGCGACUCUUGUCUGUUUGGUGAUGUGGAAGAAGUCUUCACUUCACCGCAAAACCUUGUAACCUUUGGAAGCUUUCCCAGACUCAAAGAUCUUAAUUGACCAAACUCUAUCUUCCCAUCAACAUCAACAUCAGCUUCUCCUCCAGUUGCAAAAAUCUCUUCCAUGCUGCUGCAAUUGAUAACUGCAAUCCUCUCCAGUCUUGGAAGGCAUUUUGUACUACUAGAGAGCCAGAAGAUAUUACUCAACUCAUCACAAUUUUCUACUUUUAUGGUUUUGAGUUCAUUGAAGGACUCUAUUUUGAGUCGAUCAAUACAUAUCCUCUCCAUAUUGAUCAAAUUUUGAAGAGUAUGGGACUCCAAAAGAGGAAAGGCGACACAUGGUUCUCUCUCCAUUGAAUCGACGAUACACAGGAAGUCUGGAUUAUUUUGAACAUGGAGAUGCUUCAAUUGUGAAAAGCCCUCAGUGUCCAAUUCUAAAACAACAUUCUUGAUUCCUUGCAACUUAUCCAAACAUAAGUAUUCAACGUUAUUGAUGCGCUGCAACUUCUCGGAGCAAAUGGCCAUAGAAUCAAGCUUGAGCUUCAAUGUUCUUAAACUCUCAUGAUUACUGAUCAUAAAGUGCUGCCGACUUUCAAACCAAUCAUUCUCAAUAACCAGGGUAGAGUCGAAUGAUGCAUCUCCUAUUGAUAUAUCAAACCUUUCCAGCUUUUUGGAAAAAAAGCCAUCCGGUAAAAUGCUAUCAUUUUUAACAUCUAUCUAAGGUGGUCAAUCGCCUCAUAUGCAUCAAUUCGUCGAGGGUGGCAUUACUUCUUUCACUAUUGGCCUUUUCAACUUCCCAUUCAAUAGGGGAAUUACCCAUAUACAGUUCUUCCAAUCGAGUGAAGCUUGAUAAGACGUUGGGCACAAUAAAUUUUAGUUGCAAACAAUCUGUUAAAUCUAACAGCCUUAACUUAGUCAGUUGACCUAGUUCGCCAGGCAACCGUACAAUAUCAGAAUUUAAAAAGCUAAGGAUUUCUAGAUUCUUCAACUUUCCAAUUAUGGCUAUGUCUCCCAACAUGCUUUGAUCUAGACAGAGUGUUUGAAGAUUUGCUAGAAGACCGAUUGAAGAUGGCAAUGAAAAUAAUCGCAUUCGUGUCAAAUCUACAACUCGAAGCUUUUUCAGCCCUUUGAAAAUGUUGUCAGGAAUAUUGACCUCAACAAAAGUGUUUUGGGAAAUAUGUAAAAAUUCAAGUUGCAGACAUUCAAAUUCCUCAGAAACUUCAUGAAUGCUACUAUUUAGUAAAGAGAUUGCAUAGCAUUUUUUAAGUGCAUCCUCAUCUGGCCACUCCCACACAGCCUCAUUUCUCACCAAUAAAGCAUGUUGGUCUCGAUUUAAACUUUAACUCAAUUUGAAAAACUGAGCAAGUAUGCGUUACAGGAAAUCAAAAAAGCUCCACAUACCCAGAUCAUGAUCUCACGUUGAAUCCAGGUGGGAGAUAUAUUUAUGAUCAAGCCCAACAUCGAAGGGGCAAAAAAAAAAAAAAAAAAAAAAAUCUACCAGACAUAUGAUCAUAUUGACCACGAGCUUCAUACGCCGUGGAUUUAUUAACAAAAGUGGGAAUUAAUUAAUCAUGAGCAUGUGUUCUAGUUAAGUCAAAAGAGAGACUUAAUUAAGAACGCAUAUAUAAUUCAUAAUCAGCACAUAAAAAGAUCACUAGUGCUUGCCCCUCCUGCCCUUGCCGUGCUUGCCGUGCUUGCCCCUGCCCUUGCUCUUUCCAUGCUGGUAGUAGCCGCCGUGCUUGCCGUGUGUGUAUGCACCGUGAGCUCCAGGAUAUGCGUUAUUAUCUGCAACAAAAUAAGAAAUUAAAUCAUAAGCUUAUAAUUAGCUCGCUCGCUAAGAGUGAUUAAAAUAAUACCGUGCGGAACGGAUGGGCCAGGAUAUCCCGUUGGUGUGUAACCACUGGCGAGUGCUGCUCCUGUAGGCGGGUAGCCGGCACCGGCUGGGCAGCAUGAUCAGCACCUUCCAUGAUUUUGAUGAUCACCUAAUAAAUAAUAACUUGGUCCAAAAUAAACAACAAUAAAUAAUUGUGAUUAAUAAAAAGUAAUAUAUUCUCUAAUUAAAACAUUAAUGAUCAUUGGAGAGCAAGCGAGAAAUACUUACUGAAUGCGAUGGGACAGACAACAUCAUGCAUAGAGAAUUGUUCAUCUUCAACGAAUUUGGCUGCCCGGUCAAUGAUGCCGUUAGCACUAACCAGCCACUUCUCAACCUUCUCUUCAAUCUCUUCCCCUUUUUCUUUUGCCUCUGAAACUCUGCGCCGAAUGCUCGUACGUUCAACCUUCAACUUCUCCAUUUCCGUCUUGAGAUUCUCAAGGUUGGCAUUGUAGUUCCGCUUGCGCAAAUAAACAAGUUGGCGUUCUGUUGGAGGAGCCAAGCAUUUUACAAGUUCCAAAACGAGAGUAACAAUGAUUUCCAGCAUCUUGAAUCCUGACAACAAUGUAGAAGUGAAGAAGGCCAAAGGACAGUCAAAACAGAGAGACAGCGUUACGACAAGCAGUUAUGGAGCUAAAAAUAAAUAACAAACAAACAGAAGCAAAGUGUUUUUCGAAUGAGAAGAAGGAAGCAAGAAAAACUUAAAACUAGUAUAAUAAAUUUAUACUAAAACUAGUAUAGUAAAACAAGAAGUCAAGAACCAGCAACUUUUACACACAAAAUAAAACCUUAAAACUAGUAUAAUAAAUUUAUCAUCAAGUUGCAGCCUUCUUAUUCAACAAUUACAGCAUUAUCUUGAGCUCUGUGUUUCUUUUUUUAAAAAUUAUUCAAAAAAAUCUGCAUUUGUUUUUCAACGAUAAAAAUUAUAUUUUUGUCUCAUAUAAUAUAAAAUUAAAAAAAAAACAAACAUAUAUUAAAGGUCUGUUUGGGAUUAUUUUUAGAGGCUCAAAAGUAAUUUUAAAAAGUUAAAUGCUAAUUUUGGUAUUUAAUAAAAUUUUUAGAAGUCACCUUUGGUAAAAUCAUCAAUCCUACAACAAAUUUUGAAAGCAAAUAGUUUUUCAAAUUUUUAUUUUGAUAAUUAAUUUUAUACUUAAUAUAAUUCCAUAUACAUCCCUACAUAUAUUAAUUAUCCUUAUUAAUUAGAAAAUAAAAUUAUUAACUUUAAAGAUAUUAUCAACAAUUACAUUGAGAUAACAAACUAAAAAAUAAAAUUAAUAAUAUAAAAUAUUUAUUUUAGUAAUCAAUUAUUAUACUUACAAGAUAAAAAAUAUUUUAUUUAAAUGUUUAUAAAUGUACAAAUAAAUUUUAUUUAAUAUUAUAUUCAAUUUAGUCAUUUACAUUGUCAAUAGGACUUCUAAAAAUAAAUUUUCCUAAAUGUUUAACUAAUUCUCUUCAUAGUGAUUAUUUCCAAACAUAACUACCAAAAAUUACUAUAAUAGAUACAACAUUACCAAAAAAAUAUUGAGAUAGAUUUUAAUUAGGUAAUUGACUUAAUUAUGAAUCAAUUUAUUAUUUCCAUAUGUGUUAUCAAAACCAGCUCAAUAAUGAGAUCACUCUUUUUCUUAAAUAAAAAUAUUUGUGCCAAACAAUUGUUGCAAAAUUUCAAAUAUAAAUUACAAACAACAAAAUUUUUCUAAAAUCAUAACAAUAAUUUAUGUUGUGAAUACAUGUAACUAAACCACAUUGAAAUUUUAUUGUUAGUAAAAUUGUUUUUCACGCAAAUGCAGUGACGGAUUCAGUUUCAUGUUUCACCCUCAAUAACUUAAUUUUCAUAUCUAACAAAUCAUCCAUAUUAUUAACAAUAUCAUCACCAAACAUAAUCUACCUAAACAUAAACUAAACAUAACACAUACAUAUAACUAUAUACAUACCGAAUCAGGAAAACAAUGAAAGCUACACGUAUCCGGCUCUACAAUUCCUUCUUGAUACCCUUGUGCUUCUGAAAUAAUCAACCAAUUAUAAAAAUUAGCUUAGGCGCAACUUUACCCCUUUUUUGGAAAACUUAACGAUAAAUAAAGUAUACAAAUCUCUAAAUUAACUUCGUCCCCAUGAAAUUCAGCAUAAAUAGAAAUAGAAUUAUAGAAACCUUACUACCUUUUAUGAGAAAUCCAACUUAUAUAUUUGAGACCUCUCUCUCUAAACACGCGCUUCCUCUCUCUGUACACUUUCCACCUUUGAAUUUUCCUUCACUAAGUCUACCUAAAUGAAUUUAGCAUUCUUCCAGUUUCUUUAGCAUUUUUUCUCCGUGAAAAUAGGUGAAAAAGAGAAAGUGGUUUGAUUAUUUUAAUGUAUGACAGAUCUGGUUUCCAUCUCUGUAAUUUAAGUUUGUCAAACGAGAUAAUCAACUCUUUGUCGAGUCAGUCAAAUAUAAAAGACAAAUUACUAAACCAAGCAGAGCCCAAAAAAAAAAUAUUUCCAAUUAAAUAAUCAUCAAGUCUUUUUCAAUUAAAUUAGGGAGUGCAGAACAACUGUCGAGAGAUAAUCAUUGUUUAUGGAGCCAUAUUAUAUUUUCGAUUAAAAUAGUUGCGCGUGAACAAUUGGCAGAAUUCGUAUAAAUUGUUGUCAGGUCUAUUAUAAUUAACAAGCGGAAUGGCCAAUGGAUGAAGAACCACUGUAAUUUCGUUUAUGAAUUCAAAAUGCUAAAGAAACUGGACAUCAACGCUAAAUGUCAGCCUGCGGCCCUUGCCUCAGUGUCUUUCAGGCGUUACUCUGGGUAGUUGAUAUACUGACCGUCCCUUUAUCAAUUAAUAAUCGAAAUAGGUUAAAAAUAUGAAUGGAUUGAAUGGUAUGACUUGGAAUUAAAAUAUGGAAUGACGAUUAGAUUAAUUAAUUUAUUUAAAUUGAGAAAUUAGAAUCAUAAUAAAUUAUAUUGUUAUUGAUGUAUUUGUUUUAUCUUAAAAUUGCGAUGAGUUGUUACAAAUUACUAAUAUGCCUUUGAUUUUGUAUUAUGAUAAUUAUUAUUUAUUAUAACAUUUGUCAUAUAAUAAUAAUAAUAAUAACAACAACAACAAUUAAUAUUGAAAAAUUUUUAUUGUUAAUAAUAAAUAGGCAAUUAUCCACCGAUCAUGUGAUCUUUUGGACGUUUUAAAAAAUAUACAAACACUUUUUUCUUUGCAGAAAUCCACCUGAAAUUUACAAGUGUUUCAAUUGUUCACUGUUCAUCUAAAUUUUGUUAGAAUUUUCUUGACGUUGUAAGGAUAAAAUUGUUAUUUUUACCUUGACUUCCAAAGAGGAUGUCUUUCAAACAUGAUGAAAAUAAAAAAAAAGGAUAAAAAAUUAUCUGUAAACUAUCUGAUCUUUUAGCCAUUAUACAAAAUAUUAAAAAAAUAUACGAACAUUUUUUAUUUUUUUCAACAAUCCAUCUGAUAGUUAUGAAGUGCAUUAGUGCUCCACUACUAUCAUAACCCUUUAAAAAUAUCGCUUAAACACGAGAACCUAUUGCCUAAAAUUAUUUUUCAAGAAAUGUAACUACAGAUUUGGUUUUGAUCUUCAUGACUUUUAAGUGUACAAGAACAAGAUGAACGAACCUUUGUCGAGUUGAUGAAUUAAGAUAAAUCAAUUACAAAUCGAGAACAAACUUACGGGUGACAUUUUAGUAUUAAGCAAACUAUAAUUGAUCAUCCAAUGAUAGGCUUAUUUUCAAUUAAAUUAGAGUAAAGAUAGACAUUCCAAAUUUUUCUCUCAAAUUUAAUCUAGAUAAUGUGUUAUUAAUUGAGUGCUUGGUAAUUCUUUCAAGAUCUAAGUGAAUUAAUUAUAUUAUCUCUCCAACCAAUUGAUGAAUAUUAUAUUAUUUGAGAUAAUUUUUUUUUAUCUCAAAUCCCAGCAAAGAAAACAGAACAAACGGAGCAAAAAUAUUUUUAGAAACCUAAAAUAACAAAAAAAAACUUUUUCUUGUUUUUCUUAUUUUCCACUGUUAAACUUCAAAAUGAACAACUUUAUUCUACCAUCUCUCAAAUAAUAAUAAUAACAACAAUGUCAUCAUCAUCAAUAAUAAUAAUAAUAUAUUAACUUUGUAGGAUGGAGCUCUCGCAAAUCUUCAAGACACAAAAUGUGCUUGACCCCAUUGUUGUUAUUAUAAUUUCAAAAUCAUCUGUAUUAUAUAAUAUUAGGGAAUAUGACAUAGCAAAAUUGAUGGUACAUAUGUUGCAAUAUACUUGUUCAUGUGGCGACACAUUGAAGUAAAGCACAAGCAAAACAACGAAAAAUGUAACGGGAGAGCUCUCAUUAUGUAGAUUUUCAAUAGAAGUAAUGCAAAUUUCACAAGGAAUGGCCUUAUUUCGAAUGCUGCACCUGAGGAAUGACUUGAAUCUUCUUUAGAACUCAAGCAUUCUGUAAUCAUAGGGUAUAACAUUUCAACAAAAAUAUUAUAUAGGUCGUUCCUUUAUAUAUUUUCUGGGUACACAUACAGAAAUAUUAUUUUAGGUACAUUUCUCACAAUAAAGCCUGCCCAAUCUAGCAUUUUCGUAGUUGGGUUUCUUAUUUACAUGUUUUUUCCAUUGGUUAAUUAUCACAAACCUCCACUGAGAUUUAGCAUGUUUUUAGUUUGAUAGAUUGUAUUCGCGUAUUCUCAAAUACCUUUUAGUUUACCACUUCGUAUAAAUUAAGUUGGUGAGGAUAAAAUCAUAAAAGUACACAUUAAUGAUAAAAAAAUUCAAGUAAACUUGAAAUUUUCAAGGGGUAAUUUUUCGGGACCUCCCCUGAGGUUCGGUGUAUUAAAAGUCUCAUAGAAAGUAUUCAUGUAAUUAUAAGAACCUCCCCUGACGUUAGUACACAGUUAACUUGACUGUUAGUGGACUGAUAAAAAGUCAAAAAUGCCAUUGGCUACAAAAAUGAGUGCAACAAUUUGGAGUUAAAUAGUAAACACCACAUUGGAGCACUAAAAAGUCUAUAAUAAUCAUGGAAAAAAAUCAUUGACAUUUACAUAAUAUAAAAAAAAAAAGUAAAAUAUAAAUUAAGAAAAUCAACAAAAUUGUCAACGUAUAGAAUAUUUACAGCAGCAGUGGCUAUAAAUACAACCGUCGUCAAAUUAAAAUAUCACCAUUAGUAAACUACUUCAAUAAGACAAUAAACCAUGAUUCACUCUUCAAAGCAUUCAAAAUACACAACCCGCACAAUAGAAUCACAUACGCACACCUGCUAAUGAAAUAUAAGAACAAACAGGAAAUUGAACUGACAUGGCUAAGAUACUCCUUCCCCAUAGCUAUUAGAAAGAUAAUGAGCGAUUUAUGAAUCAUGAUGCUUGCUUUACUUUCUGGCAGUGUUAGCUUCAAAUUCAAUGAUAGUAAAUGAACAAUGGUUCAUUCAUUAUGAAAGUAAGUGUAAAGCUAGGAAUUUAUAAUAUUCAGAUGUUGGAAUUGGAAAAAUAUUCCUUAAUCGUUUCAAUUGAAGCCAAGGAAGAAAAGAAAUGAGUCUUCUUUUUUCAGGAGACAAGCCAUAUGAAGAAGGCAGACCAGAGCAUAAGAACGAAUGCUACUGCCACAGUAAAAGCCUGGAUCAAUGGGUAAUGGUACCUGCCAUGUCAAUUUCAAGACAAACAAAAAUCAAUUAUCAUCCCCAGACCACAACACCACCAAACCAACCUUUUGAAUCUAAAAUAACAAGUUAAUAAAUCAAAGAUUUCAAUUCAUUUAAGUUUGAAAUCAACUAAAAUAGAAAAAAAAAACCCAAUUUCUUUUUUGUUCAAUAUAACUCAUUCAGCAUCUUCUUCAACACAUUUUUUAUCAUUCUUCAUCAUCCACAACAAUAAAAAGAAAAAAAAAAACAUUGAGUCCAACAUGCAAGUUUUUUUUUUGGAAAACUAACCGUUUUUAGGUUCCAAUUUCUAGUAGUCUUAAACAGUAGCCGCCGACGAAAUUCGCUUGGCGACACCCUUUUGCCACCAUUGCAGCUUGUCAUGUUCAUACUCAGCUUAAAAUUACUUGAAGGCAGCAGGGAUUUUAUAGUUACAAAAGUUUCUUCAGAGCUUUUCAAGCUUGAAAAUGGCUGAGAGUUUCAUUUCAUGAGAGAGAAAAUGGAGUUUUCAUUCAUCUUAGAUAAAUUGAAGAUAAUUUGCAUUGUGGUAAUAAAUUGAUUGUCAGUGCCUAAAUUUGGGUCAUUCGACACAACUUGGAAUUUUUUUUAUUUUUUCUUUGAUUUUUAUUAUGAAACUACUAAUUUACCCUCAUAUACUAACAUAUAUGAAAUGGCAUACUAACGUCAGUUAUGUCAAGCAGCUCCCUGUAAUUACGUGAAUAUUUUUCAUGAGACUGUCAAUACACAAAAUCUCAGGGGAAAUCCCUAAACAUUACCUAAUUUUUAAGUUGUGUUCUGAAAUUGGUCUCAACUUUGUAAUGUGUAAUGCCCACAAAAAAAGAAAAGGAAAAAUGGUCAUCUCUUUCCUCCAUUCGAACUGAAGCCAUGAAACGCAAUAUCCCUUUCAUCUUCUCUCUAAUGCUUUGAUUAAAAAACUUGCUUACGAACGGGAGACCAUGACACUGAAUCCGAAGACAGAAAUACCUGAGAUGACUGAUUCACGCCGGCGAUGUGGAAGAAUACCGACCAGUGACUUUCGCCGUCGACCCACAAACAAUCCCAGUGUUUUCGAGCCGCGAAUGAGGUAUGAAUAAGAUUAUUUCCGUGCGUGUCAGUUUUGUAAGGAGAUUUGAUUAAAAAAAGAAUAAUGGGUCUCGAAAAUUUUUGAGUAUUUCUGUUGCUUAAAUUUUUUCCAUCGAUUAAUGUUAGUUGUAGGUGAAUGAUUGUUGCAAACGCAUGUUCGCUUGUGAUUGAUUGAAAAUGACUUGUUAUUUGUUAUGCUGCCAUGUGACUCAUUGAAAAUGCCUCUGAAAUUUUUUUAUUUGUUUAAGGUACUGAUUCUGAUUAUUGAACAGGGAUUCAUGCUAGUUUUUAUUAAAUUAAAGAUGAGAUUAUUUUUUAAGAGAUCUACCAAACCUUCUCUACUAUAGAUUUGGCUUCUGACAUACCUGGUUCGCUGGAGAUAAUUGUUUAUAUAGUCAUUGCUGCUCGUAUUAAUCAGGAACAUUGAUUAGCAAUGUACUGGAAUAGAGAUUGGUAUAAUUUUGGAAAAUUAGUCGUAGAUGCAACCUGAUUAUGGUCUCAAAUAGUGUGAUCUGUCAAUUCCGUUUGCUCUAGCCUAACAACCUUGAAUCUGAGCUAUGCCACUAUACAAAGUCCUGACCUAAUCAAGCUUGUUAGCCAAUGUCCAAAAUUGCAGUGUCUUUAGAUAAGCCCUGUCUUACUUGUUUGAGUUAUAAAUGAAAAUUGAAGUGUCUUUGGAUAAUCACGCUGAAUGUUCAAGUUAUUGAAGAGAAGGGACCCCAGAUUCAAGGCCGGAGCUCCCUGUUGAGAAGCUUUACAUAUAUGGGAUUGUCGCUGGGCGGAGGAUCGAUAUGCCCGGUUUUGUUUGGAAUAGGGAUGAAGAUUUUGCAUUGAGGCUUUCUUGAUAGAUCAUUCUGCAAAUCAAGCUCCAUGUACCUAUCUUCAGACUCUUGGAUAUGUAUAAAGCAGGUGCAUGCUCUAUAUGUUACUCAUUGUAUCACGAUUAUUUUUCUAUUGCUUAAAAUAAUUGCAGUCCUUGAUGUAGUUGGAGACAACUUAUGGAGGGUAUACAGAGGCUCGAGAGUUUGAUUGCCAUUCAUUUGACACUUGGCUGAGCUACAGCAUACCAACUAGUGAUUAAUAAAGAGAAGGUAUGAAGGUCCUGUUGCUGGUGGUAUUAUCAAUCAGAAUUGUUAUUUUACUUAGUCAUAGUUACCAUGUAUAAGAUUCGUAGACUUUUUGCAUGUUUAUGCAUUCGCAUCAUCUUUUUGUUAAGCUAGAGAUGGUUGAUUUGUGUACUCAUUUGUAUCACUUGUAGCCCUUGAGGAAUAAAAUUUAAAAUUUUGUUGCAUCUCCUGUACUAAAUACUAAUUUUGUUUGCUUUAUGUAUGGGAAAUGGUUCAUUAUCUUAUUUCUUUGAUGUGUAUAGUGUUACACUGUCUAAAGUUGAAAAGUAUUUCUAUCACUUGUGUAAAAAACAAACAAUUUUUUUUUCACUCUUCUUAUAUUGAAUAAAAGAAGGACACCAAGAUCUUCACCAAGAUUGAACGAAAUUUGAUGCAGAAAGCAUAGCAAUUAGGCCAGUGCAAAAUAGCUUCCUUCUGAUUCUCUGAUAUUUGACUUAAAUCUUUUGUUUGUUUCAUUCAUCAAAGUCAUUUUGGAAAGUAGCAGGCGUGAUUUGAUAUUUUCAUUGUAUUCACAUCCGUUGGCACCAAAACAAACAUGCUGGUACUAACCAACAAUUUUUUAUUUUUAGUGUACAAAUUAUUAUUUUUAAGACAAAUAAGCUGGUACUAACCAACAAUAUUUAUUUUCAGUAUACAAAUUAUUAUUUUUUUUUCUAAAUUAGGGGUAUUAAGAAAAGGUAUGCUAGCACCAGGGGAGGUAUUUGAAAAUAUACAAAUACAAUCUAUCAAACUGAGAAUACACCGAACCGGCAGGUUUCUGAUAAAUCCUUUUUUUCUUUUUCCUCCAUUCACUAUAGGUUCAAUUUAGACGCUGUUGACCAAACAGAAGGUUUGGGUUGGUAAACGCACUGGUGUUAAUGCCAACAACCCAAGGGGCUUCAUGGUCCUCUGGGCCGAAAUAGCGUAAUUAUUAAUUCUCCUCCAGUGAAAAUCUUCAUCUUGGGACAAAUAAUUACGAAUUGACAUUAUAGCUGUGGAAAUUUGGAGGUGUAAUAACCGGAAAAGUAAAAAUCUUAAGAGACUUUUUAAAUAAAAAAGAUACAACACCUUCAAUUUGCUAAAAGUAAUGGUAUCAUUUCUUGUACGGAUAAUGGAUGAUUAGAUUUUGUUUUUGUUAUCCGACGAAGGAUAUUCAGUUGUUCUUUAUGUGUUCACAGGCAAGAGCAUGAGCAUAUUCAUGGUUUCAUAUAUGCUUCUUGCAUUUUCUAAUUAAGUACUCUCUUUCCUUGCCUUCUUAGUUUUGAAAGAAAGAUGUGAAGCAAAGCAAACCAGUGAAAUAUACAGAGAAACAGAACCAUCAGAGGAAAAACUAAAUAACAGAACCACAAUUGAACCAAACAAAAUCAAAUAAACCGAGGCAACGGAUACCCUGAAUCAGGCAUCCCUUUUUCUCGAAAGAAAAUAUGUUUGCAUGGGUGGGAACCUAAUAAUUACUCAAGAGUUGGAGUUGGAAAGAUUUGGUAUUCAUAUCUUCACAAUUCAUAAGCUUUAAUGCAGAAUCGACAGCUUUAUAUUAAUUUAUUCAACCAAAAACGAUAAAGUAGGAAAACCACAAUAAUCCACCAACUUUUGCUACUUUUAGGAAUAAUUUUUAGUCAACUUUCAAAAAGUGAGAUGACGAUCUUUGAGUUGAUAAAUCUUGGCCUGCUGCUUAGUACCCUUCCAACAUAUAAAGUACUAGAUGUUUAGCUGAGAAAAUGACGAGAUCAUUUAUCAAAUUUCUUGCGCAUAUAUACAUAUAUAUACAAGAAAUAAGAAUCAGAGUGAUUAUAAGACCUUGCAAUGAGGCAAUAAUACAUCAUCAAAUCUAAAAAUACACAAGAAAUUCGUGACGUAUAUAACAAUAGACCUCUCAUUGAGUCAUACAUAUUGAGAAUAAAAUGUCAAAAUGCAUACAAAGAGCUUAUACAGAAAAUGAAUUUACACACAUUUAGAAUAAACUGUCUUUGAACUUCCGAUGGNNNNNNNNNNNNNNNNNNNNNNNNNNNNNNNNNNNNNNNNNNNNNNNNNNNNNNNNNNNNNNNNNNNNNNNNNNNNNNNNNNNNNNNNNNNNNNNNNNNNNNNNNNNNNNNNNNNNNNNNNNNNNNNNNNNNNNNNNNNNNNNNNNNNNNNNNNNNNNNNNNNNNNNNNNNNNNNNNNNNNNNNNNNNNNNNNNNNNNNNNNNNNNNNNNNNNNNNNNNNNNNNNNNNNNNNNNNNNNNNNNNNNNNNNNNNNNNNNNNNNNNNNNNNNNNNNNNNNNNNNNNNNNNNNNNNNNNNNNNNNNNNNNNNNNNNNNNNNNNNNNNNNNNNNNNNNNNNNNNNNNNNNNNNNNNNNNNNNNNNNNNNNNNNNNNNNNNNNNNNNNNNNNNNNNNNNNNNNNNNNNNNNNNNNNNNNNNNNNNNNNNNNNNNNNNNNNNNNNNNNNNNNNNNNNNNNNNNNNNNNNNNNNNNNNNNNNNNNNNNNNNNNNNNNNNNNNNNNNNNNNNNNNNNNNNNNNNNNNNNNNNNNNNNNNNNNNNNNNNNNNNNNNNNNNNNNNNNNNNNNNNNNNNNNNNNNNNNNNNNNNNNNNNNNNNNNNNNNNNNNNNNNNNNNNNNNNNNNNNNNNNNNNNNNNNNNNNNNNNNNNNNNNNNNNNNNNNNNNNNNNNNNNNNNNNNNNNNNNNNNNNNNNNNNNNNNNNNNNNNNNNNNNNNNNNNNNNNNNNNNNNNNNNNNNNNNNNNNNNNNNNNNNNNNNNNNNNNNNNNNNNNNNNNNNNNNNNNNNNNNNNNNNNNNNNNNNNNNNNNNNNNNNNNNNNNNNNNNNNNNNNNNNNNNNNNNNNNNNNNNNNNNNNNNNNNNNNNNNNNNNNNNNNNNNNNNNNNNNNNNNNNNNNNNNNNNNNNNNNNNNNNNNNNNNNNNNNNNNNNNNNNNNNNNNNNNNNNNNNNNNNNNNNNNNNNNNNNNNNNNNNNNNNNNNNNNNNNNNNNNNNNNNNNNNNNNNNNNNNNNNNNNNNNNNNNNNNNNNNNNNNNNNNNNNNNNNNNNNNNNNNNNNNNNNNNNNNNNNNNNNNNNNNNNNNNNNNNNNNNNNNNNNNNNNNNNNNNNNNNNNNNNNNNNNNNNNNNNNNNNNNNNNNNNNNNNNNNNNNNNNNNNNNNNNNNNNNNNNNNNNNNNNNNNNNNNNNNNNNNNNNNNNNNNNNNNNNNNNNNNNNNNNNNNNNNNNNNNNNNNNNNNNNNNNNNNNNNNNNNNNNNNNNNNNNNNNNNNNNNNNNNNNNNNNNNNNNNNNNNNNNNNNNNNNNNNNNNNNNNNNNNNNNNNNNNNNNNNNNNNNNNNNNNNNNNNNNNNNNNNNNNNNNNNNNNNNNNNNNNNNNNNNNNNNNNNNNNNNNNNNNNNNNNNNNNNNNNNNNNNNNNNNNNNNNNNNNNNNNNNNNNNNNNNNNNNNNNNNNNNNNNNNNNNNNNNNNNNNNNNNNNNNNNNNNNNNNNNNNNNNNNNNNNNNNNNNNNNNNNNNNNNNNNNNNNNNNNNNNNNNNNNNNNNNNNNNNNNNNNNNNNNNNNNNNNNNNNNNNNNNNNNNNNNNNNNNNNNNNNNNNNNNNNNNNNNNNNNNNNNNNNNNNNNNNNNNNNNNNNNNNNNNNNNNNNNNNNNNNNNNNNNNNNNNNNNNNNNNNNNNNNNNNNNNNNNNNNNNNNNNNNNNNNNNNNNNNNNNNNNNNNNNNNNNNNNNNNNNNNNNNNNNNNNNNNNNNNNNNNNNNNNNNNACAAUUUUGUUAUGCCCCAAACCGUUGGGAGAAACAUGACGCCCCACGUUUACCCACGAUUCGGUGGUUGGAGACCCAUGAAGGUUUGUCAUCACCCGAAAAUGAGGGGCAUGAAUAAGACUCAGAAAACAGGGAUGAUUGCCUAUAAAAGGCCAAGAAAUCGAUGAAAAAUGGGAGACACAAAUUGAGAGUAAAGGGGAAACUCUGUCAAAUUAUAAUCAGAAAUUCAUAUAUCCAAAUCCUUGAUACAUUUGGUAUUGAGAAUAUUGCAACUAAUAUGUACAACACAAAUCAUUCACUUUUCUCGUAAACACCUUGUACUAACUUAAGUAUCGAAGGGUUUAUGCCCAAAAAACCAUCGGCGUCUCUGAUUUGUUUCUGUGAACGCAGGCCUGGAAGGAAGAAGACGGGUGAUUUGGGUCCAGAAGCUCGGGAAAUUGCUGAAGCUAAUGGAUCGCAGCCUCUGUUCCUUUGCCAAUACAAGCGUUGGUGAACCAAUCUGGUCGGUCCAAAGGCGACUAGAUUUCAGCAUCAACAGAUAUUAUUUUGAUGAAUUUUUUAAUAUUAGAAUAAUGUUAGGAAUUCCAAUAAUAAAAUUCUAACUUGAGACCCAAUUGUUAUGUGUUAUUUUUUAUUGAAUAAUGAAUUUCACAACUAAUAAAAUUUAUAUUUCCAUCAUCUAAUAAAUGACUACCAUAUCAGUUGGGACUCAAUUAUUAGGAUCCUUAACAUUGCUCUUAGUAUUAAAUUGGACAUCUUAGCUAAAUCAGAUUAAAAAUCAAAUUAGUUUUUAGGCUUUUAUUCAACAUCUCUUUUUUUUUUUUUUUUGUCUAUUGGAAGUGAACGAAUAAAAAUACAACAGGGUCAACGACUGGGCAAUUGGUAGUCAAGUAGAAGCAAAUCAAGGCUAAAUGGGAAAGAGAAAUGAUAUUUGUGCAAAAUAAGGAGAAAAUCAGUGUAACAGAAGAGAAUCAAAGUGCUUUUGAGAUAAAAAAUUGAAACAAGAAAAGGGUCGCUUGAUCCAAUGAAAAUGCAAAGAGCUGAUGGCAAAAGGGAACAAAGUUAAAUAAGAAAACAGCUAGCGCUAGCAGCGACCACAAUAAACAGAAAAUUUGAGAUGGAUUUACAAUAUUUCUGCCUUUCUUUAUGCUUUAAAAAUAUUGCUCUAUCAAAAAAAAAAUAUUGAACAUUUUUAUUAUUGGAGUCACAAAUGACCUACACAAUAUAGCAAGUGACUAGGAAUAAUAAGAAUAUAUAACUCUCUCUAAUUCUCACUCUGGCUUUUAAUUGUCACUCAAAACCCAGAAUUCAUCCUUAAAGUGUAGGCAAAUCAAGGAUGACACCGUUUGGUUGUCAUACGUGCCUUUUAGUUUUCGGAUGACAUGGCGUACACUUCUUCUGUAAACCCAACAAGACAUGUCGUACUCUUUUGUUUUGAGAUUCUAUUUCAAACUUUUCAUGCUAUGAAUGAAAGAUAAACUCCAAUCAUCAAAAUAUUUAGUGUUUGGUAAUGUAAUGUCAUAGUUGUGAAUUGAAAUUAUUUCUAUAAAAAUAAAGGAUUUGGGUCAUUGUUUGUUAUUUUCUGACAACAUUUAUUAAAUAUUAAAAAUAAAUUUAUAUUUAUUAGGUAUUAAAAAUAAAUAAACAAACAAAAAUAAAAGUAAAAGUUUAUACAUUACGUAAAAAUAAUGACAAUAUCAAUAUUUCGCACUCUAUAAUGAGUGAUGUGUGUCCAACUGGCAUACAUUGUCCCAAACGGAGACUUAAAUAUCAAAGUCCAAAGUUAUUAUGAUGAUGACUUAUAAUCGCCAAACUUGACAUACGGGUAAUCAUGCAUUAUAAGGUGCUAAUUUCUUCCGAUCGGAACCUUAUUUUCAUUUACAAAUAAAUAAAUGAUGUGACUUCACGGUUGGCGGGGUCCUUUGUGUCAUUUGGGCAUUUCACUAAAUGAUUGAUUGUAGCAGGAAGAUUCCUGGAAGUUGCCAUUUGCCAAUGCUACUAACAUUUUCAAACUUGGAAAACCCUUCAAUCAAUCUUUAGUGGAGGCUCUGGUAACUUGGUUUGAUUAUGACGUUAAUAUUUGAUAAUAAAGUUAGAGGAUGUAUUAAUAUAAAAUUUGUUUAUUGGUGUUGAAGUUAAUUAUCUCAUUAAUUAUAGUAUAAAAAGUUAAUUACUAAGAAACACAUAGCAAUAGUUAAUGGUGUCAUAUUAUUGGGAUUCUGGGAUACAAUUUAUAUCAUAACUUGUAAGUGUAUACUUACUCAUCAAACUAAUAAAAUUAUUUAAAAAUUUCAGUUGGAAAAAUAAAUUAUAUUAUUUUCAUUUCAAAUAAUCUAUAAGUUAACUCAAAACAUAAUCAAGCUGAGAAUUAAAAUAAUGCUACUGUAUGAGAGGAUUUUUAUUUUUUCCCGGAAGUUUCACUAGGAAAUUAUUGAUACAUAGCUUAUUCGGAUCAUUCUCAGUUCAAACGACAAAUAAUUGAAAGACUAAGCUAAAUAGACCAGCCAACAACUUUGUACAAGAGAGUUCAAAAAUUAAGGUCAUGGUAUUAAGGUGUUCUAUCUUGAAAAGUAUAGAGUAGUAAUAAAAUAAAAACUAAUAUUUUUGGUAAGAUAUGACAUUUAAAUAAUAAUUUCACAAAAUACAAAGGAAUAUUUAUAAAUUACUUUUAUAGUGAGGGGACCUCACUCUGUUAAAGUGAAAAUAUCAAUAAUAUACAAAAGACAUAUAUUUUAACACAUUAAAAAUUGUAUUUUUUUUAUCUAUUGUUAUUGAAAUAUGUGUUAUUUAGUUUGUUAGUGAUAUCAUUACUUUGUUAAAAUGAGAAUGUCGUUACUAGAGAAUCAUUAUGUAUACAUAUAUAAAGUGCUUCUGUCCAAGAACUAGACUUUAUUAAAAUUUGAGAAAGCAAAUAUAUUUUAUAUGGUAUAAUAGUGUAAUAACAUCACACUAUUAUAUCAUAUAGAGUAAUAGUUUUUCGAACUUUAAUAAAAUUCAAGAUUAUAGAAUGAAUGAUUUUUAUAUAUUAUAAAUUUUUUUAUCAUAAAUGGAGGACAAAAUUAACAUAUUUCAAAUUAUAAUAAGCAUUUAUCAAAUAAUUUAACAUUGCAAUUUCUCCUAACUAGUAUAGUAAAUAAUACGACCUAGGAGAUACAUUCAAAGCAUUUCAUAAGUUAGUUGUUUAAUAAUAAAUUAUAUAUGCAGCUCCAAUCAUCAUUGUACGGUGAGUAAUUUCCAGUUAUAAAUAGAUAUUACUCCCUUCCCAGCAAUUUUUGAUGACUUAAUUUAGUGGAUCAAAAUCACAUUGAAUUUUUGACCAGCUGCACAACUUGUGAGCAGUUCACAGUGGGUACUGCACAUGAUGCCUGUUUCUCCUUUUGCAUCUAUUUUGUUGUUAACAUUAAUUUCAAUAGCAGCUCGUUAAUCCCAUUUGUUGAUUUGGGACUAGAUAAGAAUUUAUCUUGGAACUCCAAUUCUCCAAUUAUUUUAGUUGACAAUAUAUUUAACAUUAUUAAUUGCAUAUUAUUUAAUUAUCAGUAUAUAAUAUUCUUUAAUUUUCUAAUUUUAUAGGAUUAGACACAAAAUUGAUUAUGCCUUUUGAAAUUUAAGGGUUAUGUCAAUUGAAUAGAAAACUUGGAGGUAAACUUGUGGAUGUUUUGUUGAUUAUCAAUUUAUGCAUGAAUUUUUGUACGUUUACUUUGGUUUAUAAUUAUUACUUUUAAACAUUUUUAUUGGUUUGAUUUAGGGUCAAUUUGGUAAUCCUGUAGCUUUUAAAAUAAUUACAAUUAGCUAUGCUGUAGAAAAUUGAUCAAUCGUCAAGAGAAUCAGCUGAGCAUUUAGUAAAAUUUAUUUUUUAAAAGUACUUUUAGUUUUAAAAGCGUUGUAUGAAUAAAACUGUUACACUAAAAAUUAAAUGUAUUGCCACUUGGGUAAAUAAAGCUAUAUAUUACAACUGUUACACUAAAAAUUAAAUGUAUCUUAAACCCAAACUUCUUCUUCUUCUUUUUUUGACUAACAAAAUUAAAAACAAUAGUGAACACAUUCUUUAAUAAACAAUAAGUAAUAAAUAAAAUCGUGUUAAAUUUCUUAAAAACUUUCUUUCACGGUUUGCUAAAUAUUUUUAUUAGUAUUUUAAAUAAAUAAAAUAGUUGAUUUAAUUUUUUAAAUAAACUUAUUAGGUUCAUGUAAAGAUGUUUUUGUUAUUUUAAAAAGUGUAGAAAGUACUCCUAAAAAAAAGCGUAGAAAGUAAAACUUAAUUUUUUAAAUUUAUUAGCUGAGUGCAUAAAUAAUUGAGUGUUCAUAAUGAUUUUAAAGUAUAGAUAGUCGGACCCUAAUAUUUUUAAUAAAUGGAAAUUUUGCUAAUAUGUUAAUGAGAAUUAAAAAGAUAAUUAAGGGAGGCAAUCGAGACAUUCAGGAUAGUUAGGAUGGGACAUGAUUGUGAGCGGUUAGAUAUUGGUCCUAAUUUUGAUCACAAAUAUAUAAACAGGACGAGUUUAUCUCUACUUACAUUCCAUUUGAUAAUUUAAGAUGAGAGUGGAAUUGUCAAAUCCCAAUCAUCCCGGACCACUGCCACAAGGGGUACUCUCACUAAUAAUAUCUAAAGAAAAAUCUACAUCUAUUUCAUACUUUUUUUUAAUGGAAAGAGCCCUCAUGGGGCUUGAAUGGUAUCCUAAAUAAUAUUGAGAAUAUCAGGUCAUGAUUGGGUUUGUGACAAACAAAUACUACAUAGUUGGGAUACGUAGUUAUAAUGUCCCAAUUUAUGUAGUAUCUAUCAUUUAGCGCACAUAUAAAAUAUUAAUCAGCUUAAUUAAUUUAUAAAAUUUAAAUCUAAUUAAUAAGUGAUACAUAAUGCCAAGUGCAAUACUGUAUAUGCAAAUCAUGUUUGUGGAUCAUUACAAAAUUGGCUCUUGAAAACAAGCAAGAAAGCUUAAUUAAGAACUUAAAACAAAAGAAUUAGAUUGAGAACAGUCAAGCCUUAUUUUUUCAAGGAUGGAGCUUAUAAAUCUUCAAGUACCAACAUACGCUUGGCCCAAUUGUUGUUAUUAAAAUUUCAAUAUACAUAUAUAAGUAUGAUAUAGCAAAAAUUUGAUGGUACAUAUGUCGGAAUAUACUAGUUCAUGGGUGCAUUUGAUUAUUGUUUCCAUAAUUUUGAACCAGGAAGGACGACACGAUUAAAAUUUGAUUUUAUGGUAUGGUUGAUUUCAUAGCUCAUGCACUCAUUUCUUAAGAUAAUCAAAUUUUCUCUGACAUCUUUUUCAACUGUCGAAAUAUCAAUUAUGAUCAAUCAAAACGAUUUCAAAACCUUUCAACGAGACAUAUUUCUAAUACAAUAUUGUGAAAAUUACACUAAAAAAUUAAUUUAUUAUAUAUUAUUAUCCAACGAGCACACAAAAUGAUUUCGUACAAAUCUAAAAUACUAAGCAAUUUUCAAAUAGAAUUUACCAUGUACUACAAGAAAAUAGGGUAUAUGUGACCCCUACUGUGAAUGCAAAAGCAGCCAUUACGCAUAACCCCGAGUUGCUUUUGUUACCCUUUAUGUGACGGCCACACUGCUGUCACAUAUGUUACGAACCGCGUGACGGUGAAGAGCCGUUCGGUUAUACUAAUAUUUUAGAAUUUUAAAUUUAUUUCCAGUUAGAAAACUAUUCGCUGGACUCCGUGUUGCUGGCCACCAUCGUAAACAUAACUGGUUGCCAGCGAACGGCGUAAAACGCCGGCCAUCUUCUUCUUCAACGUAUUCUCCCUUCAUCUUUUGAGGUAAGCUUGUGAUUAUGAGUUUCUUCUCUUACUUAGCUUGUAAUUAUAGAUUUUGAUUUUUUUUAAUUCGUAUUGUAGCCGUUAUUGUCAAUUUUUGUCCCGCCAGCAAUAUUUUUUUAUUCCUACAAGUUGAACCCCUGUGUUCUUGUUCCAUUGGUGAGUUUGCUCACUCAAAUUAAUUUUGUUCUGCGGAAUUUACAAAGUUCAAAUGGAUUCAUUUGAAUUACUAUUGAAUUUAGCUUUAAUUCCAACAUCCAUUCUAAUGUUUUGCAAUUAGAUUUAAUUUAAUUUUAUGUUUAAAGCUUCUACAAUGAAUAGCGGAGCUUGGGUUUUAGUUUCAUUUUCUGGAUAACUUGUUUUAGUUUAUCUUGUAUGCUCACCAAAUGCUUGUUAUAUUGUCUGAUAAGUUAUAUACAUUGCUGAUUCUACAUUAAUAAUGUUACGUUGUAUUUUCAGAAAUUAUAAUACAAAAGUUUUUGCAAUGGCGUGCAUCUACAAACUGAAUUGACUUGUAGAAUAAGAGCUCGGAGUAGUGUUAUGUUCUUGAAUAAUUGAAAGUUCAUAUUGUGUAAGAGCAUGUAGAUGUAAAGCAUCAUUACCAUUUCUACAAAGUGCUUUCAUUCUGUUCAUAUGCUCUUCUUGAACUUUGAAAGGUGCCUCGUUCAAGUCCUAGCUAUAACUACUAGCUUUGAUUAAUUAAGUUCCUAUACUAGCUGAAACAGAUUUAUUUAAUUAAUUAAUUGUGUAUGUACUAAUUAUAUUGAAAGUAUAUGAAUUUUUUUUUAACAUGAAUGACUUCUAAAUGACUUAAAAACCUAAAGGAUGUGUGAAACAAUGCUCAUUUCAUUUGAAUGAGCCCAUUAAUACUUUUAUGUCUAUGAUUUUCAAUAUUGGCUAAAGCAUUUCAGUUAAGUGGUUUACCUAACAGAGAAAAAAAUUUAAUAGAAAACUUCAGAGUUCUAACAGAAAUAUAGUUCACUAUGCAGAUAUAGUUAUUUUACGGUAUACAAAUCAAGUUGUCCUAAUCUCAAUGUCCUAUGACCGAUUUUAUUUUAUAUAGUCAUUAAUUUUUUCCUUGGUUUUUUGUGUUUAUGAGUAUGAAAUAGUGGGAUUUGGUGUACCUUAGCAUCUUUUGAAAAUUCUCUUUCAGUGUGGCCAACAGAAAUAUACAUAUAAUCAAGUUUCUUAAUCGUGUAUAUUAGUUUUGGGUAUGAAUGUUCCUAUUCUAGUUCGAGGCAAAGCUUCUUCGUUUUGGUCUUCAGAUUUCCAGUAGGUUAAGUUAAUCAACUAUCAUAACUGGCUAGCUAGUUAUUGUCUGCCUUGGCGCCAUUACCCAGGCCAUUAUAUUGCAUAGCAUAAGGAAUAGUGAUUAGGGGAUUAUUAGUGAUUUGUUGAGCUUAUUAUCGACCAAACAAACAUAUUCGCCUUUGCCCACAACUUAGUUUGAUUAGUUAUUAGACCAUAAAGAGCCUUGAUCUAUUCAUUGGCUUUAUUAUUUUUAUUUGGUUUUUCUUUCAACAAUAUUGUUGAUUUCUUAUAAAAAUAUUCAUUGGUUUUUAAAACACCUAAUCAUUGGCUAUAUGAAGCUAAUUAAAACUGAGGCUUUGGAUCAAUUUCUUCUAACAAGAUACAAAUGAGCAUUAACCUAUCUCCUAUGAGUAAAUUUUUUUAAUAUCCUUGAUUUGUAAGGAUCUGGAGGCCUGAAAUCCUCUAGAUUUUUUUUAACACUGUCAAUGUUCUUUUUAUUCUGAGAAGGAAAUAAAAGGUUUUAUCUUUCAUACCCAAAUAGUAAGCUGGCCUUGUCUUAACAUGGCCUCCGAGGACUUGCAAGAUUCAUAGUGCCCCCCACCCCAAAAAAUAAAAAAUAAAAAACACAAAUAGGAAGAUUUUGCAAGAUUCACCACCAGGUUUUUUUUUAAUUUGUUAAUUGUGUGUACGUGCUAGUUAUAUGUUGAAAGAAUAGGAAGAAGUAUUUCAACAUGAAUGACUUAAAACUUAUUGCUCAGUAAACAUAAUCUGCAUGUAUUUAUCGUUUGUAUUUUUUAUGGUUUUGCUAAAGAAAUGAUAUGUGAAAUAAUGCUACAUUGCAUCAGGAAUAAAUUGAAGAGAUUUAUGAUAUUUAUGUGUUAUUCAAAUUUCAGAUUCAAUUUUAAACUUUUGAUACGUGCAUUGAAAGCUUAGACUUGUUUAAGAAAUUAUUAAUAGACACAUGUUUUUAUUAGUGUCAUCUUUGGAUGAUAGUGAGGAUCAUAUGUCUAUUAAUAAUUCUUGAAUUGUCCAGGCUUGGACAGUUUGGGAAUGCAUAGUUCACUCUGGUAGCUAGUAGCUGAAGUUUUUUCCCACGUAAAAAUGGGUUUUUCAGUAGCUGCUCCUCGUGUUCUCUGGGUACGUACUAGGUGAAUGGGUGUCAUGUGUUGUUUUGGCAUAACGCAUAAACACUUAUAUAGCUAUGUCGUGUGCUUGGAGAAUUAUAGGGAGAUGGUGCCGAAAUUUUUAUAAACGUGGAAGAAAACUUUAGGUACUUGAGAUUGAAGAAACUUAUGCAUUCUUGAGUGGGAUAUGUAGGAUUACUUACCUUUUGUAAAUAUGAAGGGAAUGUUGGAUAUAUUGGGGAUAGUGUAGGAGCUGAGUUGGAUGAAUGUAAUUGGUGAUGAUUUUGCUGAGCUGACCUUGGUUUUGAGCUUGUAAUUUGUUGUAAAUGGAGUGCUAUCUCCAAUGUUGGUUUAUAAAUAUGUUUCAGGACUUGCUGACCUAAUUUUUUGUUUCUAGGUUACAGGCUUUAUAUAUCUGUAAUUGAUGGCGAAGUGAAGUUCCCAGAACUUGGCGAGGAUGUUUCUUUACAGAAGGUAUUGGAAACUGUUUUUUACAUUAAUUAUUGUUGUAUAUAUACUUUGAUUUUCACAUCUUUUUCUCUGAUUCUUGUGGCUUUGCUUGCUUUCAUAUAUGUAAAUUCUAAUGAAAUUAACCAUAAAAUUGUAAAAUGAUCUUUUUAUUAUAUUGCAAAACUGUGCACACACGAAAAUAUAUUGUUUAGUAGUAGAAAUGAAGAACUAAAAUGAUUUACUUAACUAAUUUUUGUAGCGCAUUAAAAGGAGAUAGUCAUGGACAUGUGUUGGGUUGGUUUGCCAAAUAGAUAUCCAAGUCAUAUACUGAUGGGGAUGAAAAAUUUAUAGAUUUUGCAUUUGAGAAUGUUGUUGGUGGUACAAGAAUUUAAUGUCCUUUUAAGAAGUGUUGUAAUCUAUAUUUCGUUAUAAGGAAAGUGGCUGAUGAUGAUAUGGUUGGAAUGAUACAAUGCAUCACGUAAUCAAAUGUUCAAGUUACACGGAGCAUUGUUAUGGACUAUCAGUGACUUUCUAGCAUUGCCAACUUGUCUGGGUGGAGUAUUAAAGGUAAAUAAGCAUGUCUUGUUUGCCAACAAAACACUAGAUCUAAUUGGUUGAUACAUAGUAGAAAAUUUUGUCACGUGGGUCACCGUCGAUUUUUACCAACAAAUCAUAGGUUUCGAAAAUAUAGUGUCUUUUGAUAAAACUAGAGAGUAGGGACCAGCACAUUCUCGGUUGUCUGGAUCUGAAGUGAAAAAGCAGUUUAAUAUACUUACUGAGUAUAAGAUUGAAGACUUGAAAAUAGGAGAAUGAAUAAAAUGAGAGAAAUGAUAAGAUUACUUGGAAGAAGAAAAGCAUAUUUUAUGAACUACCGUGUUGGGAGUUCAAUUUGAUUCAUCAUAAUCUUGAUCUCAUGGGCUGUUUUGAUUUUUGUUAUGAACUCAGAUCAAAAGUUUAAUGUGAUCAAAAUUUCUUAAAAAUAGUGAAAAACGACUCCUAAUAAUAUGGAAGAUGGCUAUAAAAGAUAAAAGGAAAGGCUUAAAAAGAAAAGCCAUGCCUGUCCAAAAAAAAAAAAAAAUCAACAAAAAUCAAAACGGUGCGUUUGAGAGUGUAUAAAAUACAUUUAGAGUGGGAGUUGUGUUGUUGCUUGAAGGCAGAAAGAUAUUUGUCGACGAAGCCAAAACCAAAGAUGAAGCCCAUAAAGCUCAAAACUCCACCGGAGCAAAUUCAGACAAUUACGAGGGUUAUGUUUGACAUAGUCAAGGAAGACGGUCCUCUCACCGUUGCCGAAACUUGGGAACGCGUCAAGGUGUGUGUAUCUGUUAAAUUGAAUUUCAACCGUUUGAUCUGUAAUUAUAAUUAAUCCAAUCGAUCUGACAGUGAUCACUGACCAUAAUACUAGUAGUUGUUUUACAUUUUCAGCAGGCUAGAGCGGGUGGAUUGACGGGCAAAAGCUCAGGCUCGUCUGCAAUCACAUGGGCCCUCAUAAGCAAAUCCUGUACACAACUUGGUUCACUAAACCCAACAACUUGAAGCAGCCAAAAUCAGGGAAUGAUCCUUCUCCGUCACAACCCUAGCUGCCUUAACCUUGUAGUGACACGGUGAAGAUGGAAGCCCCUCAGCAUGUAAACUUUUCAACAGCGACAGAGCUCUUAUUCCAGAGGCUGCACAGAAGAGCGACCUGAAUCCUCUUCAAAACUUUCAAAUUUUUAUCAAGUAAAGCUUUCAAAAUUUCUCAACAAACUGAUUAUUUGGUGUGGUUGCCACAUUUUGUGCAACUGCUAUUCGUCUUCAAGUACAAAUUCCUUGCCUUCUAAGUUAGGGAACAUAGAUGUGGAGCAAACAGGGAAAUAGAUGUGGAGCAAACAGGGAAACAGCAAUGAUGGCAAUUAACAAACUAAUAGCAGUAUUACAUUUGAUUCUUUAGCCCAAUUUUGUUCCUUCUGUCAGCCAUUCUUCAAAAGUUUUUGAAAAUUAGAUGUGAAGCAAAAAAAAAACAAAUUUAGACAACAGAAGCCCUGUGCUCAACAUCAUAUAUAUACCUUGAAUACCUAAUAUACUAAAUUUCACAUAUAAAAUACUAGAGAUUUCAAACAGUACCAGCAAUAGAAUAAUGACAACGACAACAAUAACAGAAAAUUACAAGAUUGCUGACAAAAUUUAUGUGAUUUACUGUGCCUUUAUGCAUGCAAAAUGAAACUGAAGAUAAAAAAUUUAGGGAAAAGGACACAGAGACCCCCAACGUUUGAAUAAGGGACACAAAAUCCCUUAAUGUUUCAAAAAAGACACUCAGACCCCCAUUUGUUAACAUUAAAUUAUAAUUUUACCAUUGUACCCUUAUAGCAUAUUAAAAAAUAAUUAUUCAUUAUCCAAUUUAUUUCUAUAUUAUUAAUAAAAUUACGAAUAUAACUUCAUUACUCAAUUUUUCCAUUUAAUUUUUAUCAAAUUUUAUCUUCAAACUAAAUAAAUUUAAUCCAUUGCUCAAAAAUAAAAAUAAAUUAAAUUGAUUAUUAAUAUAAUAAAAAUAACAAUUCUCCAUAUGUUAUUUCUUAUAAUUUCUUAUAUAUAAAUUAAAUUGAUAAUUUCUUAAAAAUAACAAUUCUCCAUAUAUAAAUUAAAUUUAUUUUAAUUUAAUAUAUGUUAUUUUUAUAUUAAAUAUAUGUUAUUUUUAUUAUAUUAGUAAUCAAUUUAAUUUAUUUUUAUUCUUGAGUAAUGGAUUAAAUUUAUUUAGUUUGAAGAGAAAAUUUGACAAAAAUUAAAUGGAAAAAUUGGAUAAUGAAGUUAUAUUCGUAAUUUUAUUAAUAAUAUAGGAAUAAAUUGAACAAUGAACAAUUAUUUUUUAAUAUGCUAUGAGGGUAUAAUGGUAAAAUUAUAAUUUACUGUUAACAAAUGGGGGUCUCAGUGUUUUUUUUGAAACAUUAGGGGGUUUUGUGUCCCUUAUUCAAACGUUGGGGGUCUCUGUGUCCUUUUCCCAAAAAUUUAUAAACUAGAAAUUUAUAAUAAUCUAACUUAUUCUCGUUACUAUUAAAAAAUAAGUAAACAUAUCAAUAACAAUAUAGUUUAUUAUGAUUAUAAUUCAUUCAAUUAAAAUAAAUAAUUUAUUCUUAUUUCUAUUCUCUAUUCUAAUUUCAGUAAAUUUUGAUUUUAGUUUAUUUUAAUUAUUGAUUAGUUGUAAACUUAACUGGAAAUUUAUUGCAUAUAUUACGAGAAGCAGUACACACCAAUGGUAAAUUGAUACAUCGUUUUUGAGCUUAAGAUAGUCAAAUGAAAGAAACACAACGUAGGGUUCAUGAAACACUUUCAAAGCUGCUGAUGACUUAAAGUGAAUAACCUCAGCAUGUAAACUUAACUUCAAAGGACGGAGCACAAGUUUCACAGAAAAACAGCUCUUAUUUCUGAUGCUGCGAACACAGAGGAGUGACCUCAAUCUUCUUCAUCACUUGGGAAUUCUGCAAUUAUAGAGCACGACAUUGAGCAUGAACUAGAAAAAAUAUUUAUUUUCUACAAUUUUCAUAUAACCUCACUAACCAAGAUUAAUUUUGUGGUAAUGUAUUGGGUCAUUAAUUCAUAUGUUUUUACUGUCAUCACUUUAGAAAAAACUAAUUUCUCAAUGUGAAAUGGCCCAUAAAAGGUAUUCUCAUUUAAAAACUAAAUUUGACAAACCCCUCGAUUAAAGCAGGGGAGAGAAAAGAAAAAAAAAAAGAUCUGAAGGCUUUCCACAUGAAAAUGUUGUCACUUUGGAUGAUAUUUUCAAGGGAUUUCAUUCUAAAAAUAAAAUACCUGGGACCUUAUUCUUCAAAUUGACAGCUCGCCCAGUACUAAACGCGUAUGAGAUCAGUACUGGGACAAGUAACGAGACGACCCCUCCAACAGCUGAAAAUAAAAUUCGCAUUCAUCAAUUUAAAUUGAAAUUCAUAUUAUGAAAUUAAAACUAAUGAUUAAUGAAUUUUCAAGGAAUUUAAUAAGAUUCUCAUAUAUAAACGUGAUAAAAAAUUCACUCAUCAAUAACAAAUAUUCUAACAUUUUGUUGAUGUAAUUGUUGUAUGGUUGUGUUAAGGUCAUUAUUAGACCAACGCAGUUUGUCAUCACUCAUUCCGUACCAGACGUUUACUCUCGGAGGCGUGAUUGAUUCUCCUUUGGUGAAAUCUUCAUCUUCGGACAACCAAUCACAGUAAGAUAUUCCAAAGAUGGGAAUUUGAAGGCGUAAUUGCCAGAGGAGAAGCUUGUGAGACUAUCUAAAUCAAACAGGGACAACGUAGUCAGUUUGCUGAAAACAAUCUCUUCUUUUAAAUAUGCUGUUUCAUUUCAAGACUGGCAAAAUUCAUUGUGUAAUCAAAGUUUUCAAUGAUCCAACUAAUAUAUAUAUAUAUGUAUGUAUAUUCCUUCUCUAGUGCAGACAUUCUCAUUUUUUUUUUUCAUGUGGACCAGUUUUUAGAUCCCCUGGUUUAAAAGAGUUAGUUUUUAACUCUUUAAAACCGCAUGGCUUCAUAAUUUAUUUAAAAACUAACUCUCUUAAACCGCACGGUUUAAAAGCGUGUCCACAUUAAAAAAAAAUACGGACCCCCACACCUGAGAAUGAUUAUAUAUAUAUAUAUAUAUAUAUAUAGACACACGCUCUUAAACCGUGGGAUUUGAAAGCUUCUCCGCAUGAAGAAAGUAAAAAAUAAGGGCAUUCCCACUAGAAACAAACUCCAUAUAGGUAUUUAUUAAACCUCCUGAUCUGUGAGUGAGGAACAACAAAUAUAAUUGAUAAAAAAAAUCUAAAAUUUGGUUUCAUACCUUCUUGAACGAGAACAGGGGUUGUUGUGCCGGAAUACCAAAUUGAUCAUUCUCGUUAUUCUGGGACAACGUUAUUUUAUCACAAUUACAGGCCUCCAAUGUUUUUUAGUGCUGGCCAUUCUGAAGUAUGCAUUCCAGGGUAUAAACAUCCGAGUUCUGGUAGACCUUCGAGAUUCAGAGUGGUCACUUGUGGAAAGACAAAAUAUGGGGUCACUUGAUCUGCUCUGUCUUUGGAGAUGAUCUCUUGUAAACCCAUACAUAUCCGUAUCUCCAGGUGUUGGAGGUGCUCAAGGCUUUGGAUCAUAGAAGCUGAAAAUAUGUAUUUUAAUUUGUCACAGCCCCACACUAUCAAUCGUGUCAAACUUUGAAAGCCGCAAGUUGAUUGUCAUGCAAAAUCUCGUCGACAUUAAUAGCAUUCAGCUCCAAAGCCUCCAAAUUUGGCAACACUACCUGAAGAUAAUUUUCUCUUUAGAUCCAAUAUCCGUAUGGAAAGCACUUGUUUUGACACAAUAUCCAUAUAAGAAGCACUUAAUUAAGAGCUUAAUUAGCGAGUGUAUGAGACUUUUUUUUUUUCAAAUGCCAGUGCAUGAUAGAACUAAAAAAAAAAAAGAAGCAUUAGCCUACGUACCUUCUCGUUGAAAAGCAGAGUUGACGUUUCCGAACUGAUCUCGUUGGAACUGGCUGUCAAUUCCUCUUGCGACUCUUGUCUGUUUGGUGAUGUGGAAGAAGUCUUCACUUCACCGCAAAACCUUGUAACCUUUGGAAGCUUUCCCAGACUCAAAGAUCUUAAUUGACCAAACUCUAUCUUCCCAUCAACAUCAACAUCAGCUUCUCCUCCAGUUGCAAAAAUCUCUUCCAUGCUGCUGCAAUUGAUAACUGCAAUCCUCUCCAGUCUUGGAAGGCAUUUUGUACUACUAGAGAGCCAGAAGAUAUUACUCAACUCAUCACAAUUUUCUACUUUUAUGGUUUUGAGUUCAUUGAAGGACUCUAUUUUGAGUCGAUCAAUACAUAUCCUCUCCAUAUUGAUCAAAUUUUGAAGAGUAUGGGACUCCAAAAGAGGAAAGGCGACACAUGGUUCUCUCUCCAUUGAAUCGACGAUACACAGGAAGUCUGGAUUAUUUUGAACAUGGAGAUGCUUCAAUUGUGAAAAGCCCUCAGUGUCCAAUUCUAAAACAACAUUCUUGAUUCCUUGCAACUUAUCCAAACAUAAGUAUUCAACGUUAUUGAUGCGCUGCAACUUCUCGGAGCAAAUGGCCAUAGAAUCAAGCUUGAGCUUCAAUGUUCUUAAACUCUCAUGAUUACUGAUCAUAAAGUGCUGCCGACUUUCAAACCAAUCAUUCUCAAUAACCAGGGUAGAGUCGAAUGAUGCAUCUCCUAUUGAUAUAUCAAACCUUUCCAGCUUUUUGGAAAAAAAGCCAUCCGGUAAAAUGCUAUCAUUUUUAACAUCUAUCUAAGGUGGUCAAUCGCCUCAUAUGCAUCAAUUCGUCGAGGGUGGCAUUACUUCUUUCACUAUUGGCCUUUUCAACUUCCCAUUCAAUAGGGGAAUUACCCAUAUACAGUUCUUCCAAUCGAGUGAAGCUUGAUAAGACGUUGGGCACAAUAAAUUUUAGUUGCAAACAAUCUGUUAAAUCUAACAGCCUUAACUUAGUCAGUUGACCUAGUUCGCCAGGCAACCGUACAAUAUCAGAAUUUAAAAAGCUAAGGAUUUCUAGAUUCUUCAACUUUCCAAUUAUGGCUAUGUCUCCCAACAUGCUUUGAUCUAGACAGAGUGUUUGAAGAUUUGCUAGAAGACCGAUUGAAGAUGGCAAUGAAAAUAAUCGCAUUCGUGUCAAAUCUACAACUCGAAGCUUUUUCAGCCCUUUGAAAAUGUUGUCAGGAAUAUUGACCUCAACAAAAGUGUUUUGGGAAAUAUGUAAAAAUUCAAGUUGCAGACAUUCAAAUUCCUCAGAAACUUCAUGAAUGCUACUAUUUAGUAAAGAGAUUGCAUAGCAUUUUUUAAGUGCAUCCUCAUCUGGCCACUCCCACACAGCCUCAUUUCUCACCAAUAAAGCAUGUUGGUCUCGAUUUAAACUUUAACUCAAUUUGAAAAACUGAGCAAGUAUGCGUUACAGGAAAUCAAAAAAGCUCCACAUACCCAGAUCAUGAUCUCACGUUGAAUCCAGGUGGGAGAUAUAUUUAUGAUCAAGCCCAACAUCGAAGGGGGCAAAAAAAAAAAAAAAAAAAAAAAAAUCUACCAGACAUAUGAUCAUAUUGACCACGAGCUUCAUACGCCGUGGAUUUAUUAACAAAAGUGGGAAUUAAUUAAUCAUGAGCAUGUGUUCUAGUUAAGUCAAAAGAGAGACUUAAUUAAGAACGCAUAUAUAAUUCAUAAUCAGCACAUAAAAAGAUCACUAGUGCUUGCCCCUCCUGCCCUUGCCGUGCUUGCCGUGCUUGCCCCUGCCCUUGCUCUUUCCAUGCUGGUAGUAGCCGCCGUGCUUGCCGUGUGUGUAUGCACCGUGAGCUCCAGGAUAUGCGUUAUUAUCUGCAACAAAAUAAGAAAUUAAAUCAUAAGCUUAUAAUUAGCUCGCUCGCUAAGAGUGAUUAAAAUAAUACCGUGCGGAACGGAUGGGCCAGGAUAUCCCGUUGGUGUGUAACCACUGGCGAGUGCUGCUCCUGUAGGCGGGUAGCCGGCACCGGCUGGGGCAGCAUGAUCAGCACCUUCCAUGAUUUUGAUGAUCACCUAAUAAAUAAUAACUUGGUCCAAAAUAAACAACAAUAAAUAAUUGUGAUUAAUAAAAAGUAAUAUAUUCUCUAAUUAAAACAUUAAUGAUCAUUGGAGAGCAAGCGAGAAAUACUUACUGAAUGCGAUGGGACAGACAACAUCAUGCAUAGAGAAUUGUUCAUCUUCAACGAAUUUGGCUGCCCGGUCAAUGAUGCCGUUAGCACUAACCAGCCACUUCUCAACCUUCUCUUCAAUCUCUUCCCCUUUUUCUUUUGCCUCUGAAACUCUGCGCCGAAUGCUCGUACGUUCAACCUUCAACUUCUCCAUUUCCGUCUUGAGAUUCUCAAGGUUGGCAUUGUAGUUCCGCUUGCGCAAAUAAACAAGUUGGCGUUCUGUUGGAGGAGCCAAGCAUUUUACAAGUUCCAAAACGAGAGUAACAAUGAUUUCCAGCAUCUUGAAUCCUGACAACAAUGUAGAAGUGAAGAAGGCCAAAGGACAGUCAAAACAGAGAGACAGCGUUACGACAAGCAGUUAUGGAGCUAAAAAUAAAUAACAAACAAACAGAAGCAAAGUGUUUUUCGAAUGAGAAGAAGGAAGCAAGAAAAACUUAAAACUAGUAUAAUAAAUUUAUACUAAAACUAGUAUAGUAAAACAAGAAGUCAAGAACCAGCAACUUUUACACACAAAAUAAAACCUUAAAACUAGUAUAAUAAAUUUAUCAUCAAGUUGCAGCCUUCUUAUUCAACAAUUACAGCAUUAUCUUGAGCUCUGUGUUUCUUUUUUUAAAAAUUAUUCAAAAAAAUCUGCAUUUGUUUUUCAACGAUAAAAAUUAUAUUUUUGUCUCAUAUAAUAUAAAAUUAAAAAAAAAACAAACAUAUAUUAAAGGUCUGUUUGGGAUUAUUUUUAGAGGCUCAAAAGUAAUUUUAAAAAGUUAAAUGCUAAUUUUGGUAUUUAAUAAAAUUUUUAGAAGUCACCUUUGGUAAAAUCAUCAAUCCUACAACAAAUUUUGAAAGCAAAUAGUUUUUCAAAUUUUUAUUUUGAUAAUUAAUUUUAUACUUAAUAUAAUUCCAUAUACAUCCCUACAUAUAUUAAUUAUCCUUAUUAAUUAGAAAAUAAAAUUAUUAACUUUAAAGAUAUUAUCAACAAUUACAUUGAGAUAACAAACUAAAAAUAAAAUUAAUAAUAUAAAAUAUUUAUUUUAGUAAUCAAUUAUUAUACUUACAAGAUAAAAAAUAUUUUAUUUAAAUGUUUAUAAAUGUACAAAUAAAUUUUAUUUAAUAUUAUAUUCAAUUUAGUCAUUUACAUUGUCAAUAGGACUUCUAAAAAUAAAUUUUCCUAAAUGUUUAACUAAUUCUCUUCAUAGUGAUUAUUUCCAAACAUAACUACCAAAAAUUACUAUAAUAGAUACAACAUUACCAAAAAAAUAUUGAGAUAGAUUUUAAUUAGGUAAUUGACUUAAUUAUGAAUCAAUUUAUUAUUUCCAUAUGUGUUAUCAAAACCAGCUCAAUAAUGAGAUCACUCUUUUUCUUAAAUAAAAAUAUUUGUGCCAAACAAUUGUUGCAAAAUUUCAAAUAUAAAUUACAAACAACAAAAUUUUCUAAAAUCAUAACAAUAAUUUAUGUUGUGAAUACAUGUAACUAAACCACAUUGAAAUUUUAUUGUUAGUAAAAUUGUUUUUCACGCAAAUGCAGUGACGGAUUCAGUUUCAUGUUUCACCCUCAAUAACUUAAUUUUCAUAUCUAACAAAUCAUCCAUAUUAUUAACAAUAUCAUCACCAAACAUAAUCUACCUAAACAUAAACUAAACAUAACACAUACAUAUAACUAUAUACAUACCGAAUCAGGAAAACAAUGAAAGCUACACGUAUCCGGCUCUACAAUUCCUUCUUGAUACCCUUGUGCUUCUAAAAUAAUCAACCAAUUAUAAAAAUUAGCUUAGGUGCAACUUUACCCCUUUUUUUGGGAAACUUAACUAUAAAUAAAGUAUACAAAUCUCUAAAUUAACUUCGUCCCCAUGAAAUUCGGCAUAAAUAGAAAUAGAAUUAUAGAAACCUUACUACCUUUUAUGAGAAAUCCAACUUAUAUAUUUGAGACCUCUCUCUCUAAGCACGCGCUUCCUCUCUCUGCACACUUUCCACCUUUAAAUUCUCCUUCACUAAGUUUACCUAAAAGAAUUUAGCGUUCUCCCAGUUUCUUUCGCAUUUUUCUCCGUGAAAAUUGGUGAAAAAGAGAAAGUGAUUUGAUUAUUUUAAUGUGCGACAGAUAUGGUUUCCAUCUCUGUAAUAUAAGUGUAUCAAAACGAGGUGAACAACUCUUUGUCGAGUCAGUCAAAUAUAAAAGACAAAUUACGAAACCAAGCAGAGCCAAAAAAAAAAAAAAAAAUUUCCAAUUAAAUAAUCAUCAAGUCUUUUUCAAUUAAAAUCGGAGGUGCAGAACAACUGUCAGGAGAUAAUCAUUGUUUAUGGAGCCAUAUUAUAUUUUCGAUUAAAAUAGUUGCGCGUGAACAAUUGGCAGAAUUCGUAUAAAUUGUUUUAAGGUCUAUUAUAAUUAACAUUUAACAAGUGGAAUGGCCAAUGGAUGAAGAACCACUAUAAUUAGGGGGGUUUUGUGUCCCUUAUUCAAACGUUGGGGGUCUCUGUGUCUUUUUCCCAUAAAUUUAAAAUGCUAAAGAAACUGGGGAAAUUUACAAAAAUAACCAUAAAAUUUUUGUUAUUUUUACAAUUAACCCUCUCAACUUUUUUCUAUCAACAUUAGCCAAACACGUGCUUUUCUCCCCAAAUUACCCUUCUUUACAAACCAAAAGCAACAUUCUUUCUCCCCUUUCGUCAAACAAAGGCAGCUUCCACUCUUGAAUCAUCAACCAACGACAACGGCAAAAGGCAACGAUAAAAAGUGAAAUCCGAUCAUAAUUUAUUCGGAUCCAACACUAAUCGGCAUCACAUAGUGGUAUGAGUUAUUUUCUUGCUCGUGAGUUUGCCUGUCGCACCAAAAGCCAGAUUCAUUAUAAUUAACUAUUAAUUUGAUAGGGCUGAAAUAAUUUAUUUUUUUAUAAUUUCAGGCUUAAUGGAUUCAGUUGUACUUGAAUUGUGUUACGAUGGUUGUUGGGAGACAUUAGAGGAUGGGCGUAUGGAGUAUGUCAAUGGUAAAAAUAGAGCUUUUUUGGUUGGAAAAAAUUGUCUUUUUGAUCAGUUAUUGGCAAGAGUAUACGAUGUGUUACAAAUUAAUCCUAAUGAAUAUAGUAUCACAAUGAAGACAACUUUGAGGUCUAGUAACACAUUAUAUCGUGUAUGUGCACUGCCCAUGGAUAUAUUUGAUGAUGAAAUGGUGAGGGUUGUGUUACAUAUGGCAUCCGACGUAGCUAAUUUUGGAUGCAUUCCUAUAUUUGUUACCACAUCACCUCGAGUUCCGAGUGGAGGUAUUGAGCCACAUGUCGAUACAGAAACUUCGUUUAGAGCAAAUAUGUCUAGCCUCGAUAAUGAAGAAGAGGUGUUGCCAAGGACAAUAUCACUGCAGCAAUAUUACUCUCCAAUCCACGACAAUUAUGACAACAUUGAUGAUGACGGCGUUACGUUACAGGAUGUUGGAGCAACGGUAUUUCCAAUAACGACGUCGUUGGAGCAACGGUAUUCUCCGUAUCACAAUAAUGAUUUUCGGGACAAUGAUGAUUUUCAUGAUGAGACAGAGGGGGAUAAUGUUUGUGCAGAACCUUCUAAUAAUAUGAGGGGCACUCAUUUCAAUAAUGAUGGUGAUGAUGGAGGAGCCGGUCCUUCGAAUGUUCCGUCGUUUCAGCAUGAGGAUGAGUGUGAAGACAAUACUCCUGCGAAUAAUAGAGGCAAUAGACCUAUUCUAGCAAUGGUUCGAUCGAGAAGGAGAAUUGACCCUCUCACAAGUCUUGCUCCAACUUUGCCUUCGAACAUGGUUGCUCCAAGUUUUGUUAGCAGUUGUGACUCAGAUGAUAUCAGUGUCGGUAAGCUAUUUGCUGAGAAGAAUGAGUUUAUAUUACAACUACGCAAGGUUGCCUUUCAGGAUAAGUUUGAUUUCAAGAUUGCACGGUCUACUACGACACGUUUCGAGGCUCACUGUAGUUCAGAAUCAUGUAAAUGGCGUAUUCGAGCAACUAGAUGUUCGAACGAGGAAAAUGUUCCUUGGGUGGUGCGGAGAAUUGAUAAUGUACACACUUGUCAUAAUGAGGUGUUGGUUGCUGGAUGUCAUCAAGUCAGGAGCCGGGUUGUCAGUCAUAUUAUCGCAGAUAAAUAUAUUCAAGUCAAGAGAAUUUAUACUCCGAAUGACAUAAGAGCAUAUAUGCAACAAGAAUACGGUGUUCAGUUAACAUACCAGCAGGCAUAUCGGGCAAGAGAAGUUGGUCUUGAAAUAGUUCGAGGCAACCCUGCAGAGUCAUACAACUUGCUCCCUAAAUACUCUCGCGUACUAACUGCAGCGAAUGAGGAUACAGUCACUCACAUCGAGCUGGUGCGACAGCCGCGCCUGUUACACCAAAAAAUUGGUGCGACAGGCGCGCGCUGUCGCACUUGAUCUGGUGCGACAGUGGGGCACGCAUGGGCGCGCGCGCGCGCCCUGCCCCCCUCCCUCUCCACCCCCAAAAUUAAGCCACAACACUUUAAAAUCGAAAAACAAUACUCCCAAACACCACCAACCACCACAAACACCACCACUACCACCAUUAUUCUCAAGCUAUAACUAUUAUUAUUCUAAAAUCUCAUUUUAAAUUAAUGAAAAUAAGAAAAAUGACUAACCUAGGUUUUGUUGAAGGUUGUAGAUCGUAGAUCGGAUGCCGGUGAGAGAUGGAGCCACCGCCGACGAGGGUUGAUGUUGCCGCCGAUGAUGGGAGUUGGAUCGGUUUGGGAGAGAUGAGUGAAAGGGAGUGUUGGGGAAGAGAUGAGGGAGGGGUAUUUUGGUCUCAAAAGUUGUUUAAUGGCUAAUGUUGAUAGAAAUAUUUUUGGGGGGUUAAGAUGAAAAAAAUCAAAACUUUUAUGGUUAUUGUUGUAAAUUUCCCAAGAAACUGACAUCAACGCUAAACGUGAAUCUGCAGCCCUUGCCUCAGUGUCUUUCAGGCGUUACUCGGGGUAGUUGAUAUACUGACGAGCCCUUUAUCAAUUAAUAAUCGAAAUAGAUUAAAAUAUGAAUGGAUUAGAAUAGAAUGAGUUGGAAUUAAAAUACGAAAUCACAAUCAGAUUAAUUUAUUUUUUUAAAUUGAGGAAUUAGAAUUGGAAUAAAUUAUAUAGUUAUUGAUGUGUUUAUUUUAUUUUAAAAUUACAAGAGUUGUUGUAAAUUACUAAUAUGCCCUUAAUUUUUUAUUAUAAUUAUAAUUAUUUAUUACUACAUUUGUCAUAUUAUUAAUAUUAUAAUAAUAAUGAUGAUAAUAAUAAUAAUAAUGAUUGUAACAAUUAAUAUUGAAAAAAAUUUAUUGUUAAUAAUAGUAAAUAAAAUAAGAAUAAAUAGGCAAUUAUUCACUGACCACGUGAUCUUUCGGACUCUUUCAAAAAUACACAAAUACUUUUUUCUUUGCAGAAAUCCUCCUGAAGUUUACAAAGUGUUUCAAUUGUUCACUGUCAUCUUAACUCUAUUAGAAUCUUGUUGAUGUUGUCAGGAUAAAAUUGUCAUUUUACCUAAACAUCCAAAAGGAAGUAUAAGAUGAAGCUCAACUUGGAGAAGUGUGCUUUCGGGGUUGGAUUCGGCAAAUUCCUUGGGUUCAUGGUGAGUGAUAACUCUAUGAAAUGAGAGUUAUCAUGAAAUUUUUAAGUUUAAAUCAAGACUACUCAGAGAGUAAUUGAUAUGUUUUAGUGCACUUUAAUGAUAGUUUGCAUUACAUUCAUUUUAAUUUAAGUUUAAUAAAGUUUAUGUGAUUUCUGAAUAAUUGUAUGCUUAGAACAUAUGUUUAAUUGUAGGUCAAUGGAAACUUGAAUUUCAUGGAAAAGAUGCUUUUGCAAUGGACUUAUAAAGAGGACAAACGAGCAUGGCUAUAGUAGAAUUGGAGCAAGUUUGGAACAGUGGAGUUGCUGUAGCCAUUACUGUAGCAACCAUUGAUGUAGCAAUCCUCGAGCAUUGCGAUCUGCAGUUUCCUAAUCUGAAGAAAAAGUGGCAUAAGAGAGAGAGCCAUCAAUUAAGAUCAAAAACAGAAAAGAACCAAGGAAGUAACAGAAUUCCUGAGCAGAAUUCAAGGCUGAGCCAGUUGAAGAAAUUUGCAGAGUCAAUUGGAAUUCACUCUUUCUCAUUCUUUUCUUAUUUACUUGUUAUUUAUUGAUUAUGAAGAUGUACUAAAUGGCUAGAAUUUGGUUGUUUAAUCUCCUUUCACAAAUUAUGAACUAAAUUCAUUUGUGGUUGAGUAUUAAACUAUCUUGAUGGUUAAUUGACUAAAUAUAGGUGUUGCUAUAUGUUUGCUACAACAUUUUGCUUUAAUAACAUUUAUUUACAUUCAUUAUUUCGGUUGACCACCCAUUUAAUGAUACAAGUUAAGAAAGAGCUGUAAAAAGGGUCUAUCUUAUUGAAACAUAUUAGAGUAAUACUUGGUCUUAAAUUGGGUUUCCUAGAUUGAGUUUAACUUGAGACCAAAAAGGGUUGUACUUAAUUUAAGAUUAGUAAUGAACUAGAUAUAGGGAUUUGCCUUGUAGGGUAAAAAGAACAUAAAUGUGUAAUACUAUAUCUUACGUUGACAUAGUAACUGGUCACUGUUAGGUUGUAUAAAGAUAUAAAACAUUCGAACAUGCUACCGUUGAGGAUAAAGAUGGUUUCUGCCCAGUGCUGUAGCAGAUGCUGCAGCAACUGAGCUUGACAUGAAUAACACAGUCAACACCAUCAAGAGAGUUUAAUCACUCAACUACUCUAUUCUAAUUAAAUUUAAUUUCAUGUUUAAUGUAAAAAAUUUAUUUAUUACAUUUUUAAUUAUUGUGAUUUUAUUUUACCUAGUCAUUUAGUUGUAUUAGUUGCAUUGAUUUAAUUGAUAACAUAGGUUGCUCUGUGAAAUUACUGUAGCAAGUCUAAUAGCAUCAAUCCCUAUGGAGACGAUCUUGGAUACUUAUCCUUAUAUUACUUAUUGUGUACACUUGUGCAUUGACACUAAUAGCAAUGGAGUUAAAAUUAGCAACAAAUUUUUUGUGCUAUUGCUGGGGUUUGAUUGUUUACUUUUCAGUUGUGAAAUCAAUUUUGACGGUGCUAAUCUUUGAUUUUAUUUUGAAUUGUUUACUUUGUUAACAGAUCACUCUUGCAUGUGAAAAUACAAACUUGUUGAAUUUCAAUUUGAUCCAGAGAUUGAAAGAACUACAAGGAGAUUGAGAAGAGAGCAAAGAAAUUCAAAAGCUGCUGUAGCAAUAGAUGACUUGCAAAACUUAGGAAACUUAGACCCUCACGGACCAAUAUAACCUGUUAAUGCUCAAGAAAGUCAGAAUGGGAAAAUUAAUCAGAGACCAUCAGGGAAUAACAAUAUUAGCUACAUGGAAAAUGAUAGAGACAGGGCCAUUAGAGAUUAUGCUUUGUUAGCCCCUUAAGUUAUACAUCCUGACAUUGUCAGACCUGAGGUAAAAGAUGCCAAUUUUGAACUCAAACCAGUGAUAUUUCAAUUAUUACAAACAGUGAGGUAAUUUAAUGGAUUACCAUCAAGAGGUGAGUGAUGCUUUUAAAAUUAUUGGAGCAUCACAAGAUGCAUUGAGACUCAGAUUCUUUCCUUACUCCCUAAGAGACCGAGCAAGAGUAUGGUUGAACUCUUUACCACCAGACUCCAUUACAACAUGGAAUGACUUAGCUGAUAAGUUUAUGAUGAAGUACUUCACACCAACCAAAAAUACAAAAUUAUGUAAUGAGAUUACUUCUUUUCGUCAACUAGAAGAUGAAAACUUAUAUGAGGCUUGGGAAAGAUUCAAUGAGUUAUUCAGGAGAUGUCUUCAUCAUGGCAUUCCUUACUGCAUACAAUUUGAAACCUUCUAUAAUGGGUUGAACCCAAGCACUAGAUUGAUGGUCGAUACUUCAACAAAUGGGGCUUUGUUAUCUAAAUCUUACAAUGAAGCCUAUGAAAUUUUAGAGAGAAUUGCUAAUAACAAUUAUCAGUGGCCAUCACCUAGACAAAUUGUAUCAAGAGGAGCAGCAGGUAUACAUAAUGUGGAUGCAUUUACAGCAUUAUCAGCCCAAGUAACAUCAUUGACCAAUAUGGUGAAAGCUAUGACUACUGCUCUAUCGAAUGACAAUCAAGUUGCCGAUGUUUCUUGUCUGUAUUGUAGAGAGGGGCAUUUAUUUGAUAAUUGCCUAAGGAAGUCAACGUCAGUCAAUUAUGUGGGCAACUCCAAUAGAUAGAACCAGAACAAUCCAUAUUCCAGUACCUACAAUCCUAGAUAGAGGCAGCACCCAGUGGACAGAACAGACCUACUCAGCCAGUUGAUUUUCAUCAGCAAAAUCAAGGGUAAAAAAACACCAGCAAUGAUCAAUUCAGUUCUUUGGAGACCCUAAUUAAGGAGUACAAUGUGAAUAAUGAAGUAAUUGUCCAAAGUCAGGCUGUACCAUUGAGAAAUUUAGAAAAUUAAAUUGGACAGCUUGCCACAUUAUUAAGUAACAGACCUUAGGGGAGUUUACCCAGCAACACAGAAGAUCCAAGGAGAGAAGGUAAGGAAUAUUGAAAGGUGAUCAAAUAUUGCACAAACUAGAAGCCUCAGGUCGGCUGGUGAAAUGGGCAAUAGAGUUGAGUAAAUUCUAUAUAAGCUACAAACCCCGAGCAACAAUCAAAGCCCAUGCAAUGGUGAACUUCGUGGAAGAAUUUACAGAAUCACAUGUGGAACCUAGCCACAUUGAUAUUGCUAUAGGCAACAACAAAGGUCAAAUCUGGCAGAUGACAGUGGAUGGAUCUUCAGGUGAGCAAAGUACUAGAGCGGGGUGGUCCUGGAGAGUCCAGAUGGAGAGGAAAUCUCUUACGCUGUUAGACUGGAGUUCAAGGCCACAAAAAAUCAGGCUGAAUAUGAGGCUCUAAUUGCAGGGCUAGAGUUAGCUAAGGCGGUGCAGGCAAAUAAGGUGAAAAUUCGGACAGAUUCACAGCUAGUCGCCAACCAUAUUAGUGAAAUGUUCUAACCUAAAGACGAAAAGAUGGGGCAAUACCUGAGGAGGGUCAGGCAGAUGAUCAAAAAGUUCGAGUCGAUGGAUAUUGUGCAAAUUCCAAGGAGUGAAAACUAUCGAGCUAAUAUCCUAGUUGGAAUGGCUGCUACAGCGGACUAAAAAAUGCCAAAAUCAGUCCCUAUGGAAGUCAAGUCCUCCCCCCAGCAUUGUGUAAAGUCUGGAGAUGAUGCAGAUAGAGCAAAAAGGCUCAUGGAUAGACCCAAUAAUCUCAUAUAUACUGGAUAGAGUGUUACCAGCAGAUAAAACGCAAGCAUGAAAAAUCAAGGGCCAGCGUCUAGGUGUACACUAAUUGAUGGGGUGUUAUACCGACGAGGGUACACCUUGUCGCUCUGCGGUGUCUGGACAAAGACGACGCGAACUACGUUAUAAUGGAAGUACAUGAAGGGGUUUGUGAAAAUGAAUCUAGAGUUAGAUCUCUUGCCUACAAAGCCUUAAGACAAGGUACUUAUGGCCGACGAUAUACUAAGAUGCUCAAGAGAAAACCAGGAGUUACAGAAGUUGCCAGAACUUUGCUAGUUUCCCUACACAGCAAUAAAAAAUACUUACUACUAUGACUUCACCAUGGCCGUUUACUCAAUAGGGAAUCAACCUAAUCGAGUCUUUGCCAAAAUGAUGAAGAGCAGUUACACAUGCUAUCGUGGCAAUAGAUUAUUUCACAAAAUGGGUCAAGGUAAAAGCACUCAGAAGAAUCACAGAGAAUGAUAUAACUGAUUUCAUGUGGAGAAACCUUGUCAACCGGUAUGGAAUCCCAUACGCCUUGAUAGCGGACAACAACUAACAAUUUGACAAUCACAACUUUAGGGAGUUUUGUCAGAACUUUGACAUAGAGCUAAGUUCUGCUCCCCUGCCCACCCUUAGUCCAAUGGACAGGUGAAAGUGGCCAACAAGGUUAACAAAAAAACUCCUGAAGACCAAACUAUGAGAGAAGAAGUGUGCAUGGGUUGAUGAGCUUCUAGGAGUGUUGUAGGUAUAUAGGACUUCUCAUAAAACCGCCACCGAUGAGACACCCUUUGCUGUAGCCUUUGGGCAUAAAGCAGUCUUGCAUGCAGAGAUAGGGGUAACCACGCACCAAACUGAGCACUUUGAUGAGAGUGAGAAAGGUGAAUCAGAGUACCAAAGAUUCGACCCAUGGUGUGUAUCCGGAUCAAGAGCCUACAAGCUUGCUCUCGCGAAUGGACAUGAGCUGAAACAACCAUGGAACGUAACACAUCUAAAAAAAUACUUCCAAUAAGGCCCAUUGGUAGCGAGUUAGAGUUAUUUCUGUUCAUUUCUGUUGUUGUUUAAACUUUAUGAUCAGUCAAUUUCAUGUAUGUCGUAUGCCAUGAUUAAUAAAGUUUGGAGGAAGUUCAUUCAAUUAAUUUAAAGAAAAAAAAAGUUCGUAAGGUAAAUAAAUGCCUCAAAGUCUCAAAGCCUGCUCGAUGGUGAGACCAGAAGCCAGAUUUUCCAGACUCUGCUCUACCGAACGAUGACGAGCAGACAAUCAAAUAUUUCAAAAAGUUUCUAAGGCAGACAAAAGCUUCAAAGUCUCAAAGCCUACUCGAUGGCGAGACUAGAGGCCAAGUUUGCCAAACUCUGCUCGACCGAAUGAUGGCGAGCAGACGAUCAAAUAUUCCAAAAAAUUUCCUAAGGGAAAUAAAGGCUUCAAAGUCUCAAAUCCUACUCGAUAGCAAGAUUAGAAACCAAGUCUGCGAGACUUUGCUCGAGCAGGCUACAAGAAAAACCAAGUUAUUCGUUAAUAAUCUAGUGACAAUGACAACUAGCCUCAAAACUUGGCAUACAACGUUUACAAAAGAAAAUUAUGGUACAUUCACGAGGAUGAAGGAUCUAUAAGUAGAGCAGCUUUUGUUGGAUUUUCAAGCAGUAGAGAAUGAGGGGUCUGGCCAAUUCUGCCCGAGGGAGUGCUUGCUUCGAUCGGGGUUUUGCCUUUCAAGACCGGCAAUGAUGCAUCGACAGAAGUGCCUGAGCCCUUCGUUAAAUUGUCAUCAACUUCCUUUUCCAAGUUCUCAAUCUGAGUCUGGUGUGAAGCACAAAGUGAUUCCAACUAAGACUCGUAGGAAGCUUUUUAUGUCUCCAAAUUCUUAUUGACCUUGCUCAGCUACUCCUCAAGGGUGAUCACAUUGGCCUGUGCAAGAGAUGUCUGCUCCACUAAUUUCAAGUUCUCGAGGGUGAGGUCUCUUGCUUUCUUCUCAGUAGCAUCAACUUCGUUUUUAGUUGAUUGAAUAUUAUACUUCAUCUUGUGGUCAUAACGGCCAACUUUCACCUUGUAGUAGGUAGUCAUGCAACAUAGGUGGAAAACACUGAAUUGCAUAGCCCUAACUAGCUCACGAGGGUAAUGCCGUCAAAGUCCUCUAAAUCGUUUUUUUUCACGAGCCUAGAAAACUCACUUAUGUAAGGGCCAUAUGCUCUGGUCGAUCCUCAGGCAAUUGCGGUUCGGAUCUUGGUGGAGGAGGAGUGGUAACAAGACCAGUGCCGCUCGCAGCUCCACCAACUUCACCUGCCUUAGGACGGGGAGGAGGAUGUGGCAGCAUCUUCAGAGGGGAAGCUUUCCCUACAAUAUUGACCCACUUCUCAAGGGAGCAUAGUUGCUGCAACCCCCCUUUACACCACGAAAGCGAGGGCGUUUUCUGUUCAAAGCCCCAAUCACAGCAUCCUCUAUAGCAAUUCACCUUCGAUGCGGUAUUAGACACUCCAGGAACUUGCAACAUAGGCAGAGACUCUGUUAGAAAUUACUCAAUCACUUGAUCAGCUGGUGGUGUAAAACAACUUAAAUAAGCAGGCAACCUGGAACUAAGAAACGGAUGGGGACAUGGACAUUCUCAUCAUCAGUCGGCCACUUGACCCUAAGGACCCCCAGCAAAAAAGAAACUGCUUUUCUAAUUCUCACCACCUGUUAGGAGGCCAGUUAUAGGUUUCCUAGUCUUGGUACUUGACAUAAAAUAGUACCAACUAACAUCUUUAAGGCUACUCUUUAAUUGGUAUAAGUGUUUAACCUCAUCAAUUAUAGGCUCACUCUGACCACAUCUGUCCCAAAGUACGAGUACACCAGAAAGUACCCUCUAUCCAUUAGGGUUAAGCUGACCAUGAGCUAAGUGUAAUCUACCAAGCAUCUGGACGAAGUAAAGCGGCAAAGGAAGCCUCAUCCCUUGUUUAAAACUCUCUAAAAAUAUAGCAACAUACCCCCUGGAAGGUCGAUUAGGGGUAUCUUUUUUCUUAAGAACCCUAAGGUUUAUGUCAUCAGAAAUCUUGUAAGUAUUUUGGAGGGGUUUAAAGUCAUCUACUGUGGUCCUACAAGUCAUGAGGUCAAUAGGGUAGUUUUCGGCCGGAGUCCUACCACCUAAUUUCCUCCUCUUUGCUGGUCUUACUACCUUUAGUGAGGAUGCUUCACCAAACUCUUCAUCUGGGUACCCGCUUAGGGUCUCCUCUGAGCUAGAAGAUUCGUCAUUGUUACUUUUGCUAGAUGAGGUAGAAACCUCAGGAGACAUCCUCCUAGCACUACUUCUAACACUAGAAUGGCCUACAAGCUCUAAGGGGAUCCUAGGGUCGAAAAUGGGCUCUGUGAGCAAACCAGGUAGGAAAUCCAGUUCGUCAUCAUCAAUCUCAAUUUCUUUUUCCUUGCCUUUUGACAUUUUCUAAGCGAUAUCCAAGAAGAUACAACUAAAUCCCUCUUAACCCUAGAAAAAAAUGACAAAUAUCUAAGACAAGAGAGAAGAAGACCGUACCUAAAGCAGCGGCACCUCAAAAUCAAAAUGGAGGAAGUGACUUGAUAUUCGAUGGAGGAAAUAGCUGAGUCACCAAAGGGCGAAAGAAAAGCCGGAAAAAAACUUUCUUGUGAAGAUUAGGGUUCCCCAAGAGACACGGAGACCCCUAAUUUAUUACCAUUUAACGACACGCACUCCGAGGGUUCUUAACAGGCAGUUAAAAAUUUAAAUGAACGAGUGGAUUCCUGCCACAUCACCUGCUUUUAAUUAUGACGUGACUCUUUGGAUAAACAGCUAAUAGUAGCUUAAAGGAUCAAGUGGAUAAGGUGACCAGUCCUCAUUUCAAUGCCAAGAAGCCAAAGUGUGUUUUGAGCAAGAUAAGACUACCAAGUUUCUAGUGUUGAUCCAUUGCAUUAUCAGCACCAGAAACUGAGGGACUAGUAUUUGAGGCGUAUAACGACGCGACCAGCUACACUCGAGCGAGGAUUUCCUUUUUGUGGGCGAUGGGCUAUAUAGUGUCCGUGAGCAGAAGUGCUCUAUUCGACACCGAGGAGUUUUCUGCUAAACACCGAGGAUAUCUCCUGAUGGGGCCAAGGUCGGAAGACCCAGUCUAUGGCAGUUGUUAGAACAUGUGUCGCUCUCCGAGAAUCCAGGCACGAGGCCUAUUCAGCCACGAUCACAACGCCCGAGCAUCCAUGACCGGGAACUAAGGUAGAGUGGCAAACGUGGGUCAUGGUGACUAAAUUCUCAGGAGGGCUAUAAAAGGGGCUUGCAAAGAAGGUAAAGGGUUUAGACAUUUUUAAACUAAAAAUUAACCUAAGAGAAUUGGGGGGUGCAUCUUUAUUGGCGAGAAUUGGGAAAAUUUUUGAGAUUUUUCCAGUGUUUGAGAAAUUAUUACAGAGCCACGAGAUUAGUGGCAGGGUUUUUUCACAAUAAGCCCAGAUUGCUGACUUGAGCGUCGGAGGGUUUACGUCGGGAAAACCCUCAGCGUUCUUUGACCAAUUUCUGUGUGUACAGGAAUUCACAGAGGAGGAACGGUGAGCCUCAUAGUUCUGCUUAUCAAACAGGAGCAGAGUAAAGUUAUCCCCUACCACUACAAAUUUAAGUGUUGAAGAGAGAUCAUGGUCUCGAACGAGCAGAUGCAAAAUCCCGUAUCAAUAAUAACAACAACAACAACAACAACAUCAUCAAUAAUAAUAAUAAUAAUAAUAAUAUAUUAACUUUGUAGGAUGGAGCUCUCGCAAAUCUUCAAGACACAAAAUGUGUUUGACCCCAUUGUUGUUAUUAUAAUUUCAAAAUCAUUUGUAUAUAUAAUAUUAGGGAAUAUGACAUAGAAAAAUUGAUGGUACAUAUGUUGCAAUAUUCUUGUUCAUGUGGCGGCACACUGAAGUAAAGCAUAAGCAGAGCAACAACAAAUGUAAUGAGAGAGCUCUCAUUAUGUAGAUUUUCAAUAGAAGUAAUGCAUAUUUCACAAAGGCAAUGGCCUUAUUUUGAAUGCUGCACCUGAGGGUUGACUUGAAUCUUCUAUAGAACUCAGGCAUUCUGUAAUCAUAGAGUAUAGCAUUUCAACAAAAAUAUUAUACAGGUCGUUCCUUUAUAUAUUUUCUGGGUACACAUACAGAAAUAUUAUUUUGGGUACAUUUCUUGCAGUAAAACCUGCCCAGUCUAGCGUUCUCGUAAGUUGGGUUUCUCAUUUGCAUGUUUUUUCCAUUGGUUAAUUAUCACAAACCUCCACUAACAUUUAGCAUAUUCUUAGUUUAAUAGAUUAUAUUGGCGUAUUCUCAAAUAUAAAUUAAGCUGGUGAGGAUAAAAUCGUAAAAGCACCAUUAAUGAUAAAAAGAAACCAAGUAAACUUGAAAUUUUCAAGUUGUGUUUUGAAAUUGGUCUCAACUUUGUAAAUGUCCAUUGGGUAAAGAAGUAAAGAACAGAAGCAAGCUGUUCCCAGCACACAUAAGCAAGCUUUACGCAGCACAAAUUAACACCCACAAAAAAUGAAAAGGAAAAAUGGUCAUCUCUUUCCUCCAUUCGAAUUGAAGCCAUGAAACACAACAUCCCUUUCAUCUUCUCUCUAAUGCUUUGAUUAGAAAACUUGCUUACAAACGGGAGACCAUGACACUGAAUCCUGAGACGGCAAUACCAGAGACGACUGAUUUACGCCAACGGUGUGGAAGAAUACCAACCAGUGACUUUCGCUGUCGACCCACAAACAAUCCCAGUGUUUUCUAGCUGCGAAUGAGGUAUGAAUCAGAUUAUUUCCGUGCAUUUCAAUUUUGUCAGCUGACAUUAGGAGAUUUGGUUAAAAAAAAAAGAAUAAUGGGUCUCGAAAAUUUUUUGAGAGUGUUUUUGUUGCUUACAUUAUUUUCCAUCGAUUAAUGUUAGUUGUAGGUGAAUGAUUGUUGCAAAUGCAUGUUCGCUUGUGAUUGAUUGAAAAUGGCUUGUGAUUUGUUAUGCUGCCGUGUGACUGAUUAAAAAUGGCUCUGAAAAUUUUUCAUUUGUUUAAGGUACUGCUGUUGAUUAUUGAACCAGGAUUCAUGCUAGUUUUUGUUAAAUUGAAGAUGAGAUUACUUUUUAAGAGAUCUGCAAAACCUUCUCUACUAUAGAUUUGGCUUCUGGCAUACCUGGUUGGCUGGAGAUAAUUGUUUAUAUAGUCAUUGCUGCCCAUAUUAAUCAGGAAUAUUGAUUAGCAAUGUACUGGAUUAGUGAUUGGUAUAAUUUUGGAAAAUCAGUCGUAGAUGCAACCUGGUUAUGGUCUCAAAUAGUGUGAUCUGUCAAUUCCGUUUGCUCUGGCCUAACAACCUUGAAUCUGAGCUAUGCCACUAUACAAUGUCCUGACCCAAUCAAGCUUGUUAGCCAACGUCCAAAAUUGCAAUGUCUUUAGAUAAGUCCCGUCUUAUUUGUUUGAGUUAUAAAUGAAAAUUGCAGUGUCUUUGGAUAAUCACGCUGAUGUUCACGUUAUUGACGAGAGGAACCUCCAGAUUCAAGGCCGGAGCUCCUUGUUGAGAAACUUUGCAUAUAUAGGAUUGUUGCCGAGUGGAGGAUCGAUAUGACUGGUCUUGUUUAGAAUAGGGAUGGAGAUUUUGCAUUAAGGCUUUCUUAACAGAUCAUUCUGCAAAUCAAGGUCCAUGUACAUCUCUUUAAACUCUUUGAUAUGUAUAAAGCAGGUGCAUGCUCUAUAUGUUACUUAUUGUAUCACAAUUAUUUUUCUAUUGCUUAAUAUAAUUGCAGUCCUUGAUGAAGUUGAAGACAACUUAUGGAGGGUAUACAAAGGCUCAAGAGCUUGAUCGCCAUUCAUUUUACACUUGGCUGAGCUACAGCAUACCAACUAGUGAUUAAUAAAGAGAAGGUAUGAAGGUCCUGUUGCUGGUGGUAUUAUCAAUCAGAAUUGUUAUUUUACUUAGUCAUAGUUACCAUGUAUAAGAUUCGUAGACUUUUUGCAUGCUUAUGCAUUCGCAUCAUCUUUUUGUUAAGCUAGAAAUGGUUGAUUUGUGUACUCAUUUGUAUCACUUGUAGCCCUUCAGGAAUAAAAUUUAAAAUUCUGUUGCAUCUCAUGUACUAAAUACUAAUUUUGUUGGCUUUAUGUAUGGGAAAUGGUUCAUUAUCUUAUUUCUUUGAUGCGUAUAGUGUGACAAUGUCUAAAGGUGAAAAGUAUUUAUAUCACUUGUGUAACACUGUCUAAAGUCAAAAAGUGUUUCUAUCACUUGUGUGAAAAACAACCUACUUUUUUUUCACUCUUCUUAUAUUGAAUAAAAGACAGACGCCAAGAUUGAACGAAAUUUGAUGCAGAAAGCAUAGCAAUUAGGCCAGUGCAAAACAACUUCCUUCUGAUUCUCUGAUAUUUGACUUAAAUCUUUUGUCUGUUUCAUUCAUCAAAGUCAUUUUGGAAAGUAGCAGGGGUGAUGUGAUAUUUUCAUUGUAUUCACAUCCCUGGCACCAAAAACAAACAUGCUGGUACUAACCAACAAUUUUUUAUUUUCAGUAUACAAAUUUUUUUUUUUCUAAAUUAGGGGUAUUAAGAAAAGGUAUACUAGCACCAGAGGAGGUAUUUGAGAAUACACAAAUACAAUCUAUCAAAUUGAGAAUACGCCAAAUCUCAGGAGUGGUUUUUGAUAAAUCCUUUUUUUCUUUUUCCUCCAUUCACUAUAGGUUCAAUUUAGGGUGGUUGUUAAGUUAUAUCAUUGUGUAAUAUAGAUCAAUUCAACAGUUGUUAUCAGUAACACAAAAGUAUAACGAACAAAAACUAAUUGUGUGUUACUGAUAGUAACUAUUAAAUUGAUGUAUGUUACAUAAUUAUGUAACUUAACAAGUUCUUCAAUUUAGACACGGUUGACCAAACUGAAGGUUUAGGUUGGUAAACGCACUAGUUUUAAUGUCAACAACCCAAGGGGCUUCAUGGUCCUCUGGGUCGAAAUCGCGUAAUUAUUAAUUCUCCAACACUGAAAGUCUUUAUCAUCUUGGGACAAAUAAUUACAAAUUGACAUUAUAGCCGUGGAAAUUUGGAGGUGUAAUAACCGGAAAAAUAAAAAUCUCAAGAGACUUUUUAAAUAAAAAAGAUAACACCUUCAAUUUGCUAAAAGUAAUGGUAUCAUUUCUUGUAUGGAUAAUGGAUGAUUAGAUUUUGUUUUUGGUUAUCUGACGAAGGAUAUUCAGUUGUUCUUUAUGUGUUCAUAGGCAAGAGCAUGAGCAUAUGCAUGAUUUGAUAUAUGGUUCUUGCAUUUUCUAAUUAAGUGCUCUUUUUCCUUGCCUUCUUAGUUUUGAAAGAAAGAUGUGAAGCAAAGCAAACCCAGUGAAAUGUACAGAGAAACAGAACCAUCAGAGGAAAAACUAAAUAACAGAACUACAAUUGAACCAAACAAAAUCAAAUAAACGGACGCAACAGAUGCCCUGAACCUAGUAAUUACUCAAGAGUUGAGGAGUUGGAAUGAUUUGGUAUUCAUAUCUUCACAAAUCAUAUGCUUUAAUGCAGAAUCGACAGCUUUAUAUUAUUUUAUUCAAAAAACGAUAAAGCAGGAAAACCACAAUAAUCCACCAACUUUUGAUACUUGUAGGAAUUUUUUUUAGUCAAAUUAAGUUUCAUGAUGAAACAAGUGGCUCGUCCACACACUUGCACUUGCUUGAAUAUUUGUGCCGACAUUUUCAUAUGUGAUGGUACUUCUUAGCCAGUAGAUAUGUUGAAGUACUACAAAACAGAGUAUUUGAUGAAGUUUUGCUACAUUCGUAUCCCCUUUUUUUGUUGCAUAACUAAAUUCUUUAUAAACACAAAUUAGAAAGAUACAAAUAAUACAGUAGCUUGAAUUUAUAUGCUUUUAUGGUUAUUUGAUAAUCUAGUGCUGAUCAUAUGUGAUGAUAAACUUAGCUAGUAGUUUUAUAUUUGUUUUCGCAGUUUCCUUAGCGUUCACAUUUUGAUGAGUAAAUUAAGGAUUUCCAGAUGAAGUACAUAAUUAGAUGAAUGCUAAGGAACUGAAGUUUAAUUAAUUGAAAACAAAAAUAAUAAUGAACGUAAUUACGAAAAUGAACAAUGCAGAAGUAGUCCCUAUAGUAUUUCUAAAUUUUCUCUUGGGAUUUCUUAGUAUUCCUCAAUAUUUUAAAAAAAUGACAUGACGAUCUUUGAGUGGACAAAUCUUGGCCUGCUGCUUAGUACCCUUCCAACAUAUAAAGUACUAGAUGUUUUACUGAGAAAAUGACAAGAUCAUUUAUCAAAUUUCUUGCGCAUAUAUACGUAUGUAUAAGAGAAAUGAGAAUCAGUGAUUAUAAGACCUUGCAAUGAGACAAUAAUACAUCAUCAAAUCUAAAAAUACACAAGAAAUUCGGGACAUAUAUAUAACAAAAGACCUCUCAUUGAGUCAUACAUAUUGAGAAUGAAAUGUCAAAAUGCAGACAAAGAGCUUAUACAGAAAAUGAAUAAACUGUCUUUGAACUUCUGAUGGUCAAACAAAGGAAACAGGCAGGAUAUAACACACACUAUCAUAGAUGUAGCGACACGAUGAAGUAAAUCACAUGAAGAUGGAAAGGGGAACCCCUCACAGCAUAAAAUUUGAAUAGAGAGGGGAAAAAGGCUUCAUUUCAAAUGUUGCACAGAAGAAGAGUGACUUGAAUCUCCAUCAGUAUCCAGACAUUCUGCAAACACAGUGCUGAGAAUUUUAACAAGAAUAACAGACAAAAUAUUGUGCUUCUAUACUUGUCACAAAACUAGACCAAAUUAGUCCCCUUUUUGGUUUGUGAAAACUUGAUAUUUUUGAAAAUUCUAUCCAAUGCUUUCAAACAAUAUUUCCAUAAUAUAGUUGUUCAUAGCUAACCUUUGAUGGUGUAAGGAUUUGUUGUAGGCAUAAUGGGCUAAUUAUAUAUAUAUAUAUAUAUAUUUUACCCCCUGAAUGAUAUUCAGCUUCUUAAUUAUGUGUUCAUAGGCAAGAGCAUUUUCUUAAGUACUUUCGUUGCCUUCCAAGUUUCCAAUGAACAAACAGAGCACAAACAAAUUUAACGGAACAGUAACGAUGACAAUAAAUAAUUGGCAAGGAAAGAAAGAAAAAAGUUUGCAUGAUUUCAAGGAAUUAUAAAAUCUGAACACUUUCAACAUGCAAGUGUUGCCCCUUUUGAUGAAAUUUCAUCAUAAAAUGCUUGCAAAGAAUUAUAAAAUUUUAGAGAACAAGCGAACUCUCAAACAAAAUACUCAAAUUAAAUUAAAUUAGACCAAAAGACACUCAAUGACGCAAAAUCUGCCAUUCUAAAUAAUUGAGAUGAAAUUGUGAAACAACCCACGAGAUCAAAUAAAUAAAAUAAGAAUUAAUUACCAGCUUUGACUUUCUUCUCCAAAUUCGCAACUCGAAGACAUAAGAAGCCAAUGAAAUUAGUCGUAACCCAUAAAGUACGACGACGACCCCGCCAAUAGCUGAAAAUAAAAUACUUAUUCAUCAAUUUAAACUAACUUUAUAACAAAUAUCUUAUCGAUAUUUUAUUUAAAAAAAGCAAAUUUGUAGAAUUUUUCCAUGGGAGGUAGAGAGUAAUAUGUAUAUCCGUACCUUUUCAGUAUGUAAUUGUUGUAUGGUUGUGUUAAGAUCAUUAUUUGCCCAACGCCGUUGAUCCUCUGACUCUCCAUACGAGACGUUUACUCUCGGAGGCGUGUUUGAUUCUCCUGAAGUGAAAGUCUUCAUCUUGGGACAACCAAUCACUUCCAGAUAUUCCAGAGAUGGGAAUUUGAAGGUGUAAUUGGCAGAGCAGAAACUUGUGAGACUGUCUAAAUCACACAGAAUCAACGCCUUCAAUUUGCUGAAAACAAUCUCUUCUAUGUCAACUCCUUCUUUGUCAUUUAUUACCACCUCUGUCAUUGCUCUGCAUCCAUAUACUUGCACUGUUACGAGUCGCACCAGAGUUUUUGCUGUGGAGGAUGUUACUAAGUGUAUCAAUUCCUUGCAACCGACAGCUACCAGUUUUGCUAGGUUCCGAAAAGAUACCGAUGAUGAUGGCAAUAGACUUAACAGAUUUUGACAAUGAUAUACUUUUAGAAUUUCAAGAUAUUGAAAAAUGGAGUCAAGUUUGGAGUCUUGUUUACAUAGCUGCUUCAGAUGAUUAAGGUGGCCCAGCUCUAUACAUUUUAUCAUUGCCAACUUCCUCAAACGGUUCUCUAAGCAUCCUUCCGUUGAAAAUACCUCUUCGUAUGAACAAUGAUACAGUAAGAGUAAUUCGAGAUUGUGAAAUCUCUCAAGUACAUUCCUGAUUGGAAAACAAGCCGAGUCAUCAUAAGUUAUGUCUAGUUUUUUAAGACUGCCAAAAAGGUGUUGUGGGAAAUCGGCGUCCAAAAUCAUCUUCACAUCUUUUCCGCUUAACGCCAGUGACUCCAAGUUGGGUAAGAUCUGAUCAUCGUCAAUCACGUAGUAACUAAUCAGGUCAGUUGAUGUUCUCUCCAAUAAUUUUACCUUAGAGUACUUGUUGUAGAUUAUAUAUAUUUUACCAAAAAAAAAAAAGAAAAGAAAGGAAAAAUUGAAUUAGUGAUAAAAUUCAUUCUAGGAUUUUUGUAUGUUAAUUUGAGAGAUAAGAGAGAAAUUAGAAAAAAAAAAGGAUGAUUUAUACUGGCAUAAAAAUAUUUUAUUGCACAAUAAUAAAUUAUUAAUUUAUAUUGUAAGUGAUUAUAUAUGAGAAAACUGAGGAUUCUUUUUUAAUGCUAUACCUAAAAUAAUUCAUCUAACUAUUAAUUUAGUACAUUGAUCCCUUAGUCCAGACUAGCAAAAAUAUUAAUUUUGUACUAAAAGUUUUCAAUUUAUUGAGUAUUAAUUUAUUGAUGUUUAGUUAUAUUUUACAAAGUCAAAAGUCGCUAAUGAUCUAAUUGAUAAGAAAUCUAGAAAGCGGCUUCAUACCUUUUUGAACAAGAAUAGGGGCCGUUGUGCAGGAAUACCAAGUUGAUCAUCCUCAUUAUUCUGUGAUGAAUCUGCAGCGAAUGUCUUCAAUUUGUCACAACCAGACACCACUAAAAUUUUUAGUGCAGGCCAUUCCGAAGUAUGCAUUCCAUGGUAUAAACAUUUAAGUUCCGGUAGCUCUUGGAGUAUAAGAGUGGUCACCCGUUGAAAGACAAAAUGAGGGGUCACAUGAUCUACUCUGUCUUCCGAAAUGAUCUCUUGCAAACCCCUACAAUUCACUAUCUCUACUUGUUGGAGAUGCUCAAAGCUUUGAAUCAUAGAAACUAAAAAUAUGUAUUUUAAUUUGUUACAGUGGCACACAAUCAAUCGUGUUAAACUUUGAAAGCGAGGAAGCAUGACCGGACGAUGAUUGUAAUGCCAAAUCUUGUCGACAUUAAUUUCAGAUAUCUCCAAAGCCUCCAAAUUAGGCAACCCUACCUAAAAAAAUAUUAAUUUCUUGUUAGAUCCAACACCCAUAUGAGAAGGACUUAUUGAAAUUUUCUUCUUUGAUUACAGAUUAAUAAUUCAAGUCAAAAUCAAUUUCCAACUGACAGCUGAGUAUGCAUUCUAAUUCGUAUUACUUGUUAAGAGCUCAAUUAGUGAGUGCGUGAGAUUCUUUUUAUCCUUUUUUUUUCACUUUCUUUCAAUUCUUUAAAUGAUUUAAUUAUUUUCCACGUAUGACAUCAAAAGAGAAUGCACAAUAGCAUAAAGAAAGUGUUAGCCUACGCACCUUGCCGUUGAAAAGCAGUGUUUCCAAAUUGAUUUCGUUGGAGCAAGAACUUGUCAAUUCCUCUUGCAGCCCUUGUCUGUUUGGUGAUGCUGAAGGAGUCUUCAAAUUACGGAAAAAAGUUGUAACCUCUGGAAGAUUUCCCAAACUCAAAGAUCUUAAUUGAGCCAACUCUAUCUUCUCAGCAGCAUUAUUGUUGUCAACAUCAGCAUCUCCCCCAGUAGCAAAAAUCUCUUUCAUCUUGCUGCAAUUAAUAACUGCAAUUCUCUCAAGUCUUGGAAGGCAUUUUGCAGUGGAGAGCCAGAAGAUAUUACUCAACUCAUUACAAUUUUCUACUUUUAUUGUUUUGAGUUUAUUGAAAGACUCUACUUUGAGUCGAUCAAUGCAUAUCCUCUCCAUGUUGAUCAAAUUGUGAAGAGUCAGUGACUCCAAAAGAGGAAAGGCAUCACAAGCGACCAUCUCCAUUGAGUCGACAAUACAAAAGAAGUCAGGAUUAUUUUGAACCCAGAGAAGCUUCAAUUGUGGAAAGCCCUUUGUGUCCAAAUCGAAAAGAACAUUUUUGACACCUUGUAGCUUGUCCAACCAUACGUAUUCAACGUUAUUGAUGGCCUGCAAUUUCAUGGAGCAAAUGUCCGUAAAAUCAGGCUUGAGCUUCAAUUCUCUUAAACGCUCAUGAUUAUGGUUGAUCAAAAAGUGCGACCGACUGCGAAACCAAUCUUUUGUAACAGGCAAGGAAGCCAUGAAUGACUCAUUUCCAAUAGAUAUUUUGAACCUUUCGAGCUUUCUGGCCAAAAAGCCUUCCUGUAAAAUACUGUCAUUUUUAACAUCAAUUUCUAGAGUGGUUAGCCAAGGUAAAAGCAUCAAUUCAUCAAGGCUUGCAUUACUUCUUUCAGUGUUGGCUCUUUCAACCUCCCAUUCAACGGAGCAAUUACCCAUACACAAUUCUUCUAAUCGGAUUAAGCUCGAUAUGACAUUUGGGGCAAUAACUUUUAGAUGGAAACAGUCUCUUAAAUCUAACAGCCUUAGCUUAGUCACUUGCCCUAGUGCUUUUGGUAACUCUACAAUAUCAGACCACACAAAGCUAAGGAUUUCUAGAUUUUCCAACUUUCCAAUAAUGGCUAUGUCCAUGUCUCCCAAAAUGCUUUGAUCAAGACAAAGCGUCGGAAGAUUUACUAGAAGAUCAAUUGAAGAUGGCAAUGACAAUAACCGCAUUCUAGUCAAAUCCAAAACCCGAAGCUUUUUUGUCCUUUCGAAGAAGUUCUCAGGAACAUUAGGCGCAACAAAAGAGUUCUUGGGAGACAUGAAUAAAAAUUCCAAGUUGUGGAGAUUCCAACACUUCGGGAAUGUCAUUAAUAAUACUAUCUUUAAAAAAAUUGCAGGAUAUUUUUUUAAUGCAUCUGCAUCUGGCCAUUUCCACACAUCCUCAUUUCUCACCGCAAAUGCAAUUUUGUCACGACGUGCAAUUGAAAUGGCAACAUCGCGAACAACAUCAUGCAUGGAAAAGAAUUUACUGCCACCAUCCUCAAGCAACAAACAAGAGUCUCUUAGUUGAUGGACCCAUGCAUGUAAUUUGUUAUGUGCAUCUUCUAGCUUAUAGACACUUUCAAAUGCACCCAAGCCCACGCUAUAUUUGAACAAGUCCAUAAUUGAAGUUGGUGUAAUUAGACUACACAGUAAAAAAGUUUUCUUGAGUUGCUCACCUCUUAAAUACUUGUAACUUAGCUCAAUUGUUGAGUAUGCCUCUACUGGUACUCCUUCAUCGAAGCUUGCCUCUGAAGGCGUUUGGAGUUCUUGUAAGACGUUCUUCCACACAGGCAGCUCUUUGUUUCUCAGUGCCUUUGCUACUGUGGUUAGGGCAAUAGGCAAACCUCCACAUGCCUUGGCUACAUUUGUUGCUGUAGAUUUUAACUCACGAUUUUCAACAUAAUUACCAGCCAUUAUCUUGAACAACCUCCAAGCUUCUUGCUCAUUUAGAAUGCCAAUCAAGAAGUUUUUUUCAGAUCCCAUACUUAACAAAACAUUACGAUCCCUUGAUGUUAAUAAUAACUUGCAUCCUCUAUGAUCAACGCCAAAAGGAAUUCCGACUGUCUCUAAAUCAAGAUAUUUCCAGAUGUUAUCCAGAAUCACAAGGAUCAUCUUCUCUUUCUUCAAUCGUUCAUAAAGUCUACUAGCUCUUCUAGAUUCAGCCUCCUCGGACAACUCCAGACCUAGUUUCUCUGCAAUUUCCCCUUGAAUCUUUUUUAUGUCUGGAGUUUGGGAAACCUCUGAAAAAACCACCUGAUCAAAGAGUUUCUCUUCACUGGCUUGCCUUGCAAACUCCUUCACCAGUGUUGUCUUUCCAAUGCCGCCCUUUCCGUAUACCCCAACGAUGCUGACAUUGACAUCAGUCAAUGCAUCUUGUAUAGACUUCAGAGUAGAAAGUCUUAAUUUAAAGGCCUCGUAACCUUUGUUAGACUUUAGCCAUACCUCCUCCGCAAUGGUACGGUAGAAAAUUCUAUCAUCAAAUCUCCUAGCUUCUUCUUUGAGUUCAACAAGGGCCUUCACCUCUGUUUCUGCUUUCUUGCUAAGCUGAUAGCGGGUCUUCAAAUUAGGACACAAGCCCUUGAAACAUCGCUUACUUGUUGUCUCCCCAUCUUCAAUGAAUUUGGCUGCCUGCUCAAUGGUGUUGUUCGCACUAACCAGCCAGUUCUCAACCUUCUCUUCAAUCUUUUCUCCUUUUCUUUCAGCCUCAGAAACUCUGUGCUGAAUGCUCUUACUUUCAUCCUUGAGCUUGUCUAUUUCUGCCUUGAGAUUCUCAAAGUUGGCUUUAUAGUUUCGCAAAUAACCAAGUUGGCGUUCUGUUGGAGGAGCGAAGCAUUUCACAACUUCUAACAGAACAGUAACAAUGCUUUCCACCAUCUUCGAUCCUCUUUUUUUCAAAGUUCCGAAAUGAAAAUAAACGACGAGCGAAAAACAGAGAGAAAGAGAGGCAAAAAAAAAAAAAAAAAAAGAAAAAGAAAAAAAAGAAAAUGAAACAACAAAGAUGACAAGUGUAUCUGUUUGUGGAAGCGGAGAAAUCAAAGAAAGCUUAAAAACUGUUGUGAAUCUGGUGAGAAGAUGGAAACAAGGAAAAGGUUUCUAGUUCAAAACUGAUUGAAUUGAUAUAAGGAAUGAUUUAGAUAAUAGAGGAAAAUUGAAUCAGUCAAAAUAACUUAAGUAUUGACCAGAAGAAAGAUGCAAACAAUAUUAGAGACAACAACCGCGCUAUUGACUGGUAAUAGAGAUGGAGAAAAAGAAAAUAUCUUCACACGGUGGAAGUACAAAGGGUAGAUAUGGAACCAAACAGAGACAACAACAGGCCACAACUAGAUUGGGAAUGGAGAGAAACAAAUUAACAAAGACUGGAGAUUACAACAGAACAGAUGCCAAGAGAAAAGGGUUUCUUCAUCCAGUGAAAUUCAAGAGAGUUGACAGCAAAAGGGAGCACAUGUGUUUCUUGAUUGAGAACGAGUGCAAAGGAUGACUUUUUAAUGAGGUUCUGAAGCUGACGAAUAACGAUUUGCUAAAAUUUUGAGAAAGUUAUAUAUUCCGUAACUUCAACAAGUGAAGAAUAAAAGAAUAAUAGUUCGUCAUCUUCACAAUGAAGAUCAUGGACGAGAUUAAAAGCUAAAACUAGUCCAUUUGAAAAGCCAAAGUUCAAGUUCCUUGGCUAAGUUCAGAAGUGAAGCAAAGAAUAAAUAAAUAAAGAUCAAGGGAUGGGAAUAAAGUCACCCCCAGACAGUUGCAGAAAGAUUAUUAUUUGGUAAGCGUAGUUGAUUAUUAGUACAAAACAGAGUAGGUGAAACACAUCCUUUCUAUUUAGACUGAUCAGCAUCUAAAAUUUUAUGAAUUAUGAGUUGCAUUUUAUUUUGUACAUUCUGUUAACACAUUUUAAUUUAGCCAAUUUUGCAAUAAAUGUUAUUGAUGUAUUAAAUUGCAACAACAAAACACAAUUAUUGGUAUUAAAGAAUGAAAAAAAAUAAAAAUAGAAAAUGAAUUGAAUUCCACUCAUCGUCAUCUUGGGAAAUCAAGUCAAAAAAUAAAAAUCCAUAUGCUUUUGUUAAAGUUAAAAGCUACAUAAAUAAUAUCACAGAAGCUUCUGCUAAGGUUCAUGUGAAGUCACAGCUUUGAUACUUGUACUACAAGGAGCACGGAGAAACCAUAAACUUCAGUUUAGGUAUGUACAUUGCUUGUCUUUCAAACUUGAAUUGAUAAGGGGGAAAAAAAUAAUACUAAAGCAAACAGAAGGAUCAUUUAGUUGACAAAAUUAUUAUUAUUUUGAAAUUCGGGUCAUUCAGUUACUUUCAUUUCAGUUUCACUUCUGAUUCAAUUUAACCAGUUAACGUUGACAAAAAUAAAAUGCAAAUAUAAGGCUAAGGCUGCUAAUUUGAUGAACUAAUUAUCUCAGGAACCAAAGCAUCUAUAAGCAUGCAUGGGUGGCAACACCAUAAUUACUCAAGACUGGAGGAGUAAAAAGAUUGAAGAUGAUAAACAUUAAAUUUUAGGAAAAUCAUUCACAAAUAUGCUUUUAUAAAAGUAUUGUUGGUAAAGUUCGAGAAAUGCAUACAUGUCAAAUUUCCAUUUCUUGUGAGCAUUUCACCAAAUAGCUGAUAUGCAUUAAUAACUCCUAUCCUAUACUAUUGGCCAGUAGGUUGUUGCUGCUUCCCCAUUUUUAAUGAUGCGAACGUCUCAUACUUAGAAAUAAGGGCGGAGCCUGGAGAUUGAUGUAUAAGAUAAUCUUUUGAAUAAAAAUAAAAACAAUUACAGAUUUCAAAUGUGAGAAAAAUAAAAUUGCGUUAUAAAAUUAAUCCCACUAAGAAAGUCGUCUACGAAAUUGCCACAUUAAAAGAAAUUUUUUCCAUAAAUUAAAAUAAAAUUAAAUGAAAACUAUUUUUCAGUAAAGUCAAUUGCCCACGCUAGGCUAAGGCGUUUGUUUAUUUGUUUGUUUGUUUUUAUAAUCUGAAUAGGUAUAAAUUUUUCGUAAGCAUGAAUGAGCUGAGUACAAAUAUAUGAAUGAUAUAUUUAUUUUUCUUUUUCUUAAUACCCAAAUAUAAGUGACAUCUUAUUUAUCUUAAAUAUGGUUAUUUGAUAUUUAUAUUUUUACAAAUAAAAAUAAAAAAAGUAGUUAGAUUUUAUAGUUUAAGAAAUAAAUAUAUUUUAUAAAAAUAUUUUUAGAAUAUAUAUUUAAUUCUUAUUUAGACUUUUUUCUAUUCAAUAAAAGUCACAAAAGGUACUUUUUCUAUUCAAAUGUAAAUGCUUAAAAAUCAGAUAUAAGUUACAAAAAAAAUAAAUUUUAGAAAAAGUCAUAAAUUAAUAAAAUUUCAUAUAUUUAACUCCCAAUGCAGAUCCACCCCUAUCAGUGUGAGGAAAUUGACUGGUGAAGUAGGUUCACAGCUAAAAUGAAAUUGGAAGAAAAUGAAGAACAAGCACAUAGAGGACACCAAAAAUUACAUGGUUCGACUUUUAGCCUACGUCUACGGGUAAAGACAAAAGGAUAAAACUUUACUGGUGAAAUGAGGAUUACUAGUAUUAUAAUAUUUUGUUUCACUUCCCAGAACCCCAAUCCACUCAAUCUCUUAAAAUACUAAUCACUCAAGAGCAUUAAAACUCUUAGUCUCUCACUCUAGAAUUGAAGAAGAAAAGAAUGAAAUGCGGGGGUGAACCCCUCAUUUAUAGUUAAAAAUUUGGGCACUAUUUAUAUUUUUAUAUAUUUUUUUAAAUUAAAAGUUUGAACUUGACAUUCAAACUUUGAAUAUCAAAAGGUAUUGGUCACUCUUCUAGAAAAGUGACAUUGACUUUGACAUUCUCCCACUUAGAAAUUUGAUUGAGAAUCAAUCAAUCUCCACACCAUCCUUUCUGCUUCGCCGCUAUCAUGUUGCUUAUGUCUCUACUAGGCCAUAAAAUGAUCUACUCCAAACAAAUUUAUCAGCAUUGAUAGGCUUGGGCAAAACAUUUGUUAAGUUCUCCUUGGUAUCCACUCUUGUAUCUUUCACUACUUCACGAAGAAGUGAUAUUGUACUCCUAUAUUCUUUGUCCUAAAAUAAAAGGUUGGAUUCCUUGCAUUCUAACUAUCACAAACCAUAAAAAUUUUAUGCCCAAGCUCCUUCAGUAACCUUUGUAUCCAAAUAGCCCUUCCAAGCUUGUGUAGCUGCUAUGUAAUCUGCUUCUAUUGUUGAUAAAGCCACAAUGGUCUGCAAUUUUGAAAUCCAACUAACAAUUUCGCCUUCUGGUGUAAAUACUUAGCCAGUAGUGGGUUUCCUUUUAUUAAGAUUUUCUGCAAAAUCUGAAUGCACAAAGCCCUUGACAGUAAAUUCUAAUCCUUCGUAGCAUAAUGCAACAUCUGAUGUUCCUCUGAUAUUUCUCAGAAUCCUCUUAAUAGUCUUCCAAUGUUCUUUGCAAGGAUUCGCUAUGUAUCGACUAACUGCUCCCACUACUUGUACAAAUCAUAGCGAACCUUAAAUUUUCCACUGCUGAUGCAUACAGUUCUCAAGACAUCUCUUCUUCUCUACUUCAUUACUAUAUGAAUACUUAAGAAUAACUUGAAAUUAAUAGGAGGCGGGGUAGAAAGCCAAAUCUUCUUGCUAUUACUAUCUCGGUGAAUUUGCAUCCCUAAAAUCUUGUUUGUUGGUUCUAAGUCUUUUAUUUCAAACUCCCUAGUUAACUGUGCCUUCAGUUCUUGGACUCGAUCUUUGUUGGGGCUUGCUACCAAUAUGUCAUCCACAUACCACAGUAGAAUGAUGAAAUCAUUAUUAUCAAACUUGUUGUAAUAUGUACAAUAGUCUGAACUGAUUCUAUUGUAUCCAAGGUUUAUGAUGAAGGGAUCAAUUCUCUUAUAUCAACAUCUCGGUGCAUGUUUGAGAUCGUAUAGAGAUUUGUUCAACUUGCAAACCAAGUGUCCCUUUUUAGUAAAACCUUCUAGUUAGAGCAUAUAAAUCUUUCCUUCAAGUUCUCCAUGAAGAAAUGAAAAUUUCACAUCUAACUGCUCCAAAUAUAGGUCAAAUGUAGCACACAUCGACAAGAACACUCUAACUGUCCUGGGUCAAAUCACUGGAGAAAAUAUCUCAUUGAAGUUAAUACAUUCUUUCACCACCAAUCUUUCACGAUACCGCUCCACUAGGUUAUUACCAUCAUGUUUGAUCUUGUGAACCCAUUUGCAACCAAUGGUUUUUUUUUUAUAUGGUAGUAGUACGAGUUCCUAUGUCAUAAUCUUGUGUAGAGCCUUAAUUUCUUCCUGCACUGCUAUCAUUUACAAAGUAACAUCUAAGCUGUUUAAAAUUUCAUAGAAAGUUGAUGGCUUUCCAUUCUCUAUUAAAAGACAGUAUGCAAAAUUGAUAUCUGUGACAUAAUCCAAAUGCCACACAUACAGUUAUCUAUCACGAGUUGACCAACAAACUUUUAGGGCCUCAGACUCGAUUGGUUCUUGUUCUCAUACUUUAGUGCUGCUUCAAAAAAAUCUGAAUCUUCAUUUUCCAGAUUAUUUUCAAACAUAUAUUAGCACAAUCUCUAAAUUUUAAUAGUGCUAUCAUCCAUAUCUCUCUUUUGCAUUUGAUCUUCUACAAAGAUAAUAUCUCUGCUAAUAACGAUUUUGUGGGCAUUGAGGUCCCACAGAUAAUACCCUUUCACUCCAUCAAUAUAUCCUAAGAAGAUACAUCUCUUGGAUUUUGGAUCCAUCUUUAAUCUCACUUGGGUAUCGUAUAUCACGUAAAAGGACAUCAAAAUGCCUGAGAUGAGAGUAAUCAGUUGGCUUUCCUGUCCAUUUUUCCAUUGGAAUCUUCAACCCGAUUGCCUUGAAUGAUGACCCACUUACCACAUAAUAAGUAGUUUUUGCUACUUCCGCCUAGAAUGAGUUGGUAGACCAGCAGUUCUCAACAUAAUUCUUAUUUUUUCUAUAAGAGUCAUGUUCUUUCACUCCACUACUCUAUUUUAUUGAGGAGUGUAUGCCACUGUGAACUAUCUCUAGAUACUUUCUUACUUACAUAUGCAAGAAACAUGCUAUAUGUAUACUCUCCACCAUUGUCUGUCCUCAGGCACUUGAUCCCUUGCCCUGAUUUAAGUUCAAUCUAUGCUUUGAAUUCUUUGAACAAUGGAAAUACAUUUGACCUUUUCUUGAUUAGAUACACUAAAUAUCUCCUAGAAUAAUCAUCAAUAAAAGUCACCAAAUACUUUGCACCUCUCAUAGAUAUAUCAAUUGAUUCCCAAACAUUAGAAUGAAUCAAGUCUAAAAUACAUUUACUUUUGAAAGUGGAUCUGCUAAACUUUCAUCUAUGUUGCUUCAUUGUUUCGACAUGUGGCUAAGCUUAAGAUGCCACAUCAUCGCUGAAUUUUCUCUAUUUGAUGUGACACACACAAAAGCUUUCUGUAGUGUUUCCAUUUAAUUAUGAAUAGAUUAGCACCGAUCUUUUCCACCUUCAUUAAUGCAAGUGUGCCUUUGACUAUCUUUAUGAUCCCAUUUUCUACAUGAGUUUUGUGCACAAGGCUAUCUAUUUGUCCUAAAGACAAGAGAUAUUUUUCAAGUUUUUGACAUGUCUUACCUUCUCAAUUGUGCGAACCGUACCAUUAAACAUAUUUAUUUUGACAGUACCAAUAUCAAUGAUCUCAAAGGCAUGAUUAUCGCCUAUGUAUACAGAUUCUCUUGAAAUAGGUUCAUAUUUGUGAAAUCAUUCUCUUGGAGAGAUCAUGUGCCAGGCAACUAUUAAGUCUAUAAGCCAGACGUCAUAUAGUGGUUUUCUGCCUUCUGAAGCAGUUGUUGCCUUACUGUAGAGAAUUUUGCCAUCAUACGAGGUACUUACUACAUACCCUUGAGCAUUUGAUGACUCAGGAUCUUUACCCUCUCUUCUCUUCUAGUUGUUCCAAUACUCUUCCUUGACAUACUCUUUCUUGCCACAGUUGUUGCAUUCAACAUUCUUAUUACUUCUUGAUUUCGAUCUACUGUGAUUGUGGCUCUCACUAGGGCCACGUUCCAUGGAUCUUCCUUUCAUCAUCAAUAGUGUUUCUACUUGCUGCGAACUUGUCUGUCUAUCUUUUUUAUUUUUUGCUACUCUCCUCAUUUAAUACGGAGGCUGCCAUAUUGUCAAAGACUAACUUGUCUGCUCGAUUGUUAUUAGUUAGAUUAAUGACGAAUUGAUCAUACGAAUCUGGUAAACCUUGAAGUAAAAGCUCUACAUGAUCAUUUUCCUCUAUUUUAUGACCCAAUGUUGUAAGUUAUGAAAAUAAAGUCUUUAAAGUGUUGAUAUGGUCGAUCACUGAUGUAGAUUCCGUCAUUCGAAGAGUAUAAAGCCUCCUCUUUAAAAAGAUUUUAUUUUGUAGUGAUUUGACCUCGUAUAGUCUUGUGAGAGUAAACCAUAUUUCCUUUGCUCUCUUUUACUCUACUACAUUGAAUAAUACCUUAUUUGAAAGUGGUAUGUGUAGAUUUGCAAUGGCAUUAUUGUCUAUCUCAUUCCACUUGUCAUCAUCAGUUAUCUUUGUGAGCCUCUCUUCAAUUGCUGCCAAGCAAUUACUCUUCCUCAAUACAACCUUCAUCUUCAUUUUUCAUGACGAAAAAUUAUUUUUGUUGAACUUCUAAAUUUUGUAUUUUUCUGCCAUCACUGUUCACCACGAGCUACCUUUGCUAAGAUUGAUUCCUACCAUUUCACAUGAGCAGUAACUGUAUAUAUGAAUAAAGUGUUGUAUACAGAAACAAUAUCAUAGACAUGAACAGUACAAUAUAUGUAAACAGUAUCUCGACCCCAAAAAAUACAACCCGACUCUAAUACCACUAUUAGAAAAUUAAUUGGUGAAGUAGGGCCGCGACUAAAAUAAAAUUGGAAGAAAAUGAAGAACAAGCACACUGAGGACACCAUAAAUUAUUUGGUUCGACUUUUAACUUAUGCCCAUAGGUAAGGACAAAAGGAUAAAACUUUACUAGUGAAAUGAAGAUUAUAAGUAUUUUAGUAUUUUGUUUCACUUCUCAAAACCUUAAUACACCCAAUCUCUCCAAACACUAGUCACUCAAGAGUAUAAAACUCUUAAUCUCUCAUUAUAGAACUAAAGAAGAAAAUAAUAGAAUGAAUGAAAUGAGGGGGUGAACCCCUCUAUUUAUAGCUAAAAAUUUGGGCACUUUUUAUAUUUAUUAUUAUUUCAAAAUUUAAAGUUUGAACUUGAUAUUCAAACUUUGAAUAUCAAAAGAUACGGGUUGUUCUUCUAGAAGAACCGCACCAACAUUGACUCUUAGGCAGACCUUUAGAGCUUUAAAUAAAGAAAAAGCUUUUAAAAAUGCCAUGUGUACUUGAUUAUACAAUAAUCUCCACCACAUAGAAUGAUUUGAUAAAAGAAAUUUUUAAUUUUUAAUUUUACUUUUAUCAGGCACGGUGUAUUUCCCCUUGGGCUCAUAUGUAAGGAUGUCAAUAAGAUGGGAAGGAGAGGGGAUUGAUUUCCCCAUACUCAUCUUUAAUACUCUGUGUAUCUCUUUGUACUCUAGACAGUUCCUUCAAAAUUACUUGAAACGAGGGGAUGGAUGUUUCUAAAUAAUACAAAGGGAUCUCUUAUGGCAUCCGAUCUCUGAUUAUUUAAUUUCUUUUUUUUUUCUUAAUUUAAUCAUCUUAAAGUAAAAAUAUAAAAUCAUAUUAACACAAAAAAUAUCAAAUUAACUAAAGUGAUUAAAAUCAUUUCCAUCAAAUUAAGUCAAUGUCAUCAAAUUAGAAGAUAAUCUUUGAACUAAUUAAGCAAAAGUAAAUCUUCAAAGUUGAACUCAUCCAUAAAUGUCAUAUAGUAUAAACCAUCAAUUAAAUUAUCUUUGUCAAUUUUAAAGUGUUUAUAUUUACUUUAUAUUGGCUGUUAUUUAUAUUAUUUUUAUAAAUGUAUUAUGAUAUUUUUUAUUUACAUCACACUAUUACAAUUGAAAUUUUAAAUGUAUUUACUAUAAAUUUGAAAAAAAUGAAUUAAAAAUAGAAACUAAAGAUAGAAAUAAAAAAAUGUGGAGCCAAAUAAAAUAUUAGGGCAAACACUAAGUUAUAAUUCAAGUAACUUACACCCACACAUAUUAAUUUAUCACAGCCUUGUCUCCACAUAGAAAAAUUAGAUCUAAAAUUAUCAAACUCCCGAAUGAGGAAGAUCCCUCGGGGCCAUCGUCCCUGUGGAAAUUUCUGCAUCCCUGCAGUCUACAACGCCUAAUAAUGAAUUGAACGGUUGAAAUCCCUCUAAAUUUUUUAUAAUUUCUAAUCGCCCCUCCAUAUUUGAUUGAACAUCAAAACUAUGGAGUCCAAAUUUAUAACUUUGAUUUAUCUUCCAUUCCAUAGUUUUCAAGUUCUCUCUCUCUCUCUCUCUCUCUCUCUCUUUUAACCCUUUUUACUGCAACCACCAUCAAAGCCUAGUAGUUAAUAUGUAUGCUGCUUUGCUUUCAAAAUCGGACACUACUGGUAUUUAUGGUUUUUAUUCUUUAUUUGACACAAAAUUUGGCGAUAUCUCCGAGGAAAAACACUACUGGUGUAUUCAAUUUUAUCCGGUAAUGAUUAAAUUGAUUAUUACAUGAACCGUAACUUCGCCGAGCCCAAAAUACAUAUUAAGUUAUAAAGCGUUCGCACUCAUUAUUUUUCGCAAAAAGUUUCGCCCAAAAUACAUAUAUUUUUUUAAUUUUUUCUGUGAAAAAAACUACUGUUAUAUUCAAUUUUAUCAUUAAAGUUGUUAGUUACAUGAACCUUAAAUUAACACAAACCGUAACUUAGCCAAGCCCAUAAUACAUAUUUCAUAUUUGUAUGAAAUUUAAAGUUUUUCCACUUAUUAUUUUUCGCUAAAAGUUUCUAAAUUGUAUUGUAGUUUGAACUUGCCCAUCAUUCAAUUUUUUAACUCCACAAUUAUUUGACCUUACCAAGCUUGAAAAUAUCCUUCCAUACAUAUUUAAUUUUCUCCAAGUAUGAUGAAGAUUUAAUCAAGAGCCUCCGGGAUCUUAAAGUGCAAGAAAGGUCCGGAAAAUUUUUAAAACCCCACUGUUUAAAGUUUUUUUGGACUUUCUUGCACUUUAAAAUCUUGGAUUGAUAUAUAUAUAUAUAAUCAUUAUUAGGUGCUAGUGUUCUCAUUUUUUUUUUUAAUGCAAACACCCUUUUAAGCCGUAGGGUUUAAUAACAUUAAAAACUAACUUUCAACUAGCUCUCUUAAAUUGUACGGCUUAAAAGCAUGUUAGCAUGAAAAAAUGAACGUGUCUGUACCAAAAAAGGACUAUAUAUAUUAUUUACUUUAUAUAGACAUACGUGCGCGCGCUCGCAUAUAUAUAUAUAUAUCAUUUUAAUAUAUUCCAUUACUUUAAUAAUCAAUUUAAAAUAGUUUGUGAUAUUUCCAGCUAUUUAUUUAUCUACUUUUAGUUAGUUAUUUACACCGAAUGAAGUGAUAGGGUCCAACUUUUAGUAUCCUUCUCAGCUGUUUGGGGUUAGUAAAUACUAAUUAGCUUAUUCGUCCCGAACAGCCGCGUAAAUGCUGUUAGAUUUCGGAGAGAUGCUGAGGAUGGUACAAGAUUUAUCAAAUUGUGGCGACAUUUUUAUACCUUUAGAAUUUCAAGAUUUUGAAGAAAUAAAUGGAAUCUGUUUUCCAUAAGUGAUCCACUAUCUAUCAGGAGGAAUUCUAAAAUACAUUACAGAUUAAUGAUUUUUCAUAAUAAAUAAACAUAUGUUAUAAUAUUAUUUAUUUAUCAUAUGACUGAUAUAAUACUUCUGAUAUAUUUUGAAAUUUUUAAUUCACCAAAGUUCAUUUUUAGCUUUUAAGGUUUUUAUGUGUGAGCCUCUCAGCAUGUUCCCCAACCUCCUCACGUGAAAAUAUUUCUAUGUACGGUUACAAGCUUUUCCAGAUUGUGAGUAUUCCGAAGCAAUCCAACUUGAAAAACAGCUGGUUCGUAGAAAACGACAGUUUACGAAGCUGGCCCUGCUGCCAUACAUAUGAUGAUGAAGACCAUUUUGCUUUAUGUCAAUUCCUCCAAGUUGAAAUCUUUCUCGGUCUGGGACACUUCCAACACAUAAAGUACUACUAGGCUAGAUGAUUUUAAAAAAUGUCAAGGUCCUUUAUCAAAUUUCAUUUGCAUUCAAGACCAACCCCCUUUGAUGAAAAUCAAUAAUUAAAGACUUUCCAAUGAGAAAUUAUUACGUCUUCAAAUCUCAAAAAACGCCAGAAUAUUAAUUCGCUACAUAUAAUCAAGAUAUCUCAUUGAGACGCAUUAAUAAAAAAUGUCAAAAUGCAUAGAAAGAGCAGACACACGGAUGAUGAAUUUACUCAUCUUUAUUAGUAUUUGAAUUUGAGAGACAGAAUGAAGUACAUGUCAAGAAUAUCAUAAAGAUGGAAACCGGAAGUCCUCCGCACAUAAACUUUGAAGAAACUGGAAAACGACUUUAUUCCAGAUAAUGCACACCAGAGUGACCAAAAUUCUCUUCAGUAACUAUGGAGAAAAUAUUAUUUUGCAUGCAUUUCACGUAACUGGAUCAAACUACUCCCCUGUUGGUUUGUCAGACCACAUUUUUAUGGUGCAAUAUAAACCAUCUUUUCAAAACACUUCGACAAUGUGAGAAACAAAUGAUUUUUAUAUAGUUGUUCAUAGCUAACUUUUGAUGGUUUAAUGAUCUGUAGAUUUUGUUUUAUGCUGUUCAAGGAAUGAUAUCCAAUUGUUCCUAAGAGUUCAUAGGCAGGGGCAUAUAUGCAUGAUUUGAUAUAAUUCUUGCAAUUUCUAAGUACUUGCUCUUUUCAUCCCUUCUAAGUUUUGAAAGAAAGGUCGAAAUAAACAGAGAAACAGGACAAACAGAAGAAGACUGAAUUAACAGAUCAACAAAGAUGGCAACUAACAAAUGGAAAAGUUCUCUUGUAAUCAAACUAUAGCAAACAGACAAUACCAUUGCCAUAUAUCUUAAUCAGUAGAUUGAUUCUCAACAUAUAUGUUAGGAUACAUUUGGUUGUUUAAUAGUUCGAAAUAAAGAGGAUGAGAUGGUUUCCACAUAAAAGUGCUGGGCCUUUCAAUGACAUUUUCAAGGAAUUAUAAAAUUCAAAAUAAAAAAAAAAAUAGCACAUUAUAAAGCCACACCGUCAAAAAAAUAAAUAAAUAAAUAAGUGAAGACCUUUAAUGAUAUAAAAAUAAAUAAAUAGAUAAGUCACUAAGACCUUUAAUGAUAUAAAAUAAGCAUAUAAAUCUCAUAACAAAACAUUAAAACUCAUUCUAAAAGUAAAAAUAAACUAGUGGUGUAUUCCAAACAAUUUAGAUGAAGCAAUAAAACAAGCCAAGAAAUCAAAUAAAAUGAAAUGAAAUUGAAUUAACCGGGACUUUGUUUUUCAAAUUCACAACUCGCUUGUAAUUAAAGUAAAAUGCCAAUGCCAUUAGGACACAUACAUCGUUGAAUAAGAUGAGGACCCCUCCAACAGCUGAAAGUAAAAUUUUCAUUCAUUAGUUUCAAUUAAAAUUAAAGCACACAGAGAUUUGCAGGGAAGCAAGAGAUUUAAUAAAUUUAACAGCAGCAAUUUAAUUUGACAGGACUUCCAUACAGUAAUGAAGUUAAAAACUAAUGAUUAACGAAUUUAGUUUGGUCCCAAAGCUGUUGAUCAUCUCUCUCUCCAUAGUAGAAGUUUACUCUCAGAGGCGCGUUUAAUUCUCCUUUAGUGAAAAUCUUCAUCUUGGGACAACCAAUUAUAGAUUCCUUGAAGGUGUAAUUGGCAGAGCAGAAACUUCUGAGACUGUCAGCAGAAACUUGUGAGACUACCCAAAUCAUACAGAUACAAAAUCUUCAAUUUGGUGAAAACAAUCUCUUCUUCAAAAUUUGCUGCUCCAUCUUCGUCAUUUAUCACCACCUCUCUCAUUGCUCUGCAUCCAUACACCAACAUUGAUAAGAGUCGCUGUAGAGUUUGGAGUGACAGAUUCGAUAAUGAUCAACUCCAAAUACUCGCCAAGAUCGCAAAUCAAACAACCAAGAUGCAAAAAGAAUCAAUCCAGAACAAAUCACAGAGAAACUUAAGAACCGAAAAGAAUUAAAGAAUUAGCAGCAAAGACAAAAGAUAUAACAGAUUUUGACAAUAAUGUACAUUUAGAAUUUCAAGGCAUUGAAUAAAGGAGUCCAAUUUGGAGUCUUGUUUCCACAAUUGCUUCAGAUGAUUAAAUUUGUGCAGAUCUAAAUGUUUUAUCAUUGUAAACUUCCUCACAUGUUUCUUCAAGUAUCCUCCAUUCGAAAAUACCUCUUCGCAUGAACAACGACGCCGUAUGAGAGUUUCCAGAUUAUGAAAUCUCUCAAGUAAAUCAAGUGGAAAACAAGUUGAGUCAUCAUCCACUGUUUGUAGUAGUUUAAGACUGCCAAAAAGGUGUCGUGGGAAAUCGCUCUGCAAAGUCAUCCUCGAGUCUUUUCCACUUAAUGCCAGUUGGGUAAGCUCUGAUCAUCAUCAAUCACGUAAUAACUUAUUAAGUCAAUUCAUAUUCUCUCAAAUAACUUUUAAUAAUCCAAUCAUACACAGUGACUUUAAUAUAAAUGCAUAAUAUUUUACAAAAAAGAAGAAAAAAUCGAAUUAGAGGUAAAAGUUAUUCUACGAUUUUAUUUUUUAUAUAUAUCUUGCAUGCUAUUCCCAAAAGCAAUCCCAAACGACCCUUAAAGCAAUUUUACAAAAGCGGCCCGUACAUGUAUUGCCAACUUUGUUAGGAAUGGCAAUGGAAAGGGGAGGGGAAGAGACUGAUCUCCCCGUACCCAUUCCCGAUAUUCUGCAUAUAUCCAUGUCCUCUUCCCAUUCCCGACAAAAUUACUUUAGGGAAUCCCCCUCCCCUCCCCAAAUAAUAAUAGGGGAUCCUUAAAGGUCCUCGAUUGUCGAAUAACUGAUACGUUUUUAGUUUUAAAUUUUAAUUUAAUCAUAUUAAAAUAAAAAAUAAAAAUAAAGUUUGACGAUAUAUCUUACAUUAACAUUAAUCUAUUACAAAAGUCACAUUACAAAGUAUAAAUCACCAUAAUAAUUAUCUUCGGCAAUCUUCAAAAUCAUAUAAUAAAAAAAAAAGAAAUUACUUUUAUAUCAACAAUGAGAUAAAUGAAAUGAAUAUAGAUACUUAAUCAAUAUUUCUAAUAAAAGUAUUUACCUCUUGUGUCUCCUACUCUUCUUGUUCUUCCUCGAGGAAUGUGACAAAUUGAGAGAUAGCCUCAGAUUUCAAAUUUAAAACAACAAAAAUAAUAUAAGUAAUGUAAAUUCUAAGUGAAAAUAUUAAUAAUUAUAUAAUAUAAUUACAAUGUAAAAUAAACUCAUACUGCCAUUGUAAGCUUGUAGUCAACUUUGACAACAUAUUAAAGCCUCCAAUGUGCUUGAAUAAAGCGUGUUACAGUACUCUAACACUGGUGCUAAAAGCUAAUUCAAAAGCAACAUUUGUAAUUAGAAUUGCCAAAAUAUCUCUAGCAAUUCAUAUACCCUCCUUAUGUUACUAACCACGUGACGGUAGAGAGCCAAUUGGCAUACUAUUAUUUUGACGGUAGAGUUAUAAAUUUGUUUCUAAAUAGAAAACUAUUUGCUGAAGUCAAUAUUUUCAAAACCAAAGUCCCAAAUUCUCUCUCGUGCGUGCCUGGCCAUCCUAAACCUUACUGGUAGCCGGAGAAUGGCGUAAAACGGCGGCGAUCUUCUUCUUCAUCUUAUUAUCUCUCUCAUCGUUUCAGGUAAGCUUGUGAUUAUGAGUUUCUUCUCUUUCUUAGCUUGUAAUUAUAGGUUUUGAUUUCUUUAAUUCGUAUUGUAACCAUUAAUGUCAAUUUUUGUCCCGCCGGCAAUAUUUCUUGUUCCUAGAAGUUGAAGCCCUUCUGUUCUUGUUCCAUUGGUGACUUUGCUCACUCAAAUUAAUUUUGUUCUGCGGAAUUUACAAAGUUCAAAUGGAUUCAUUUGGAUUACUAUUGAAUUUAGCUUUCAUUUCAACAUUCAUUCUAAUGUUUUACAAUCAUGUAUUUAGAUUUACUUUAAUUUUAUGUUUAAAGCUUCUACAAUGAAUAGCGGAGCUUGGGUUUUAGUUUCAUUUUCUAAUUAACUUCUUUUAGUUUAUCUUAUAUGCUCGCCAAGUGCUUGUUAUAUUGUCUGAUAAGUUAUAUAACAUUGCUGAUUCUAUAUUAGUAAUGUCAUGUUCCAUUUACGGAAAUUAUAGCACAAAAGUUUUUACAAUGGCUUGCAUCUACAAACUGAAUUGACUUGUAGAGUAAGAGCUUGGAUUAGUGUUAUGUUCUUGAAUAAAUGAAAGUUCAUAUUGUGUAAGAGCAUGUAGAUGUAAAGCAUCACUACCAUUUCUACAAAAUGCUUUCAUUCUGUUCAGAUGCUCCUCUUGAACUUUGAAAGGUGCCUCAUUCAAGUCCUAGCUAUAACUAAUAGCUCUGAUUGCUUAAGUUCCUGUGCUAGCUGAAACAGAUUUAUUUAAUUAAUUAAUUGUGUAUGUACUAAUUAUAUUGAAAGUAUAUGAAGAAAUUGUUUAACAUGAAUGACUUCUAAAUGACUUAAAAGCCUAAAGGAUAUGUCAAAUAAUGCUCAUUUCACUUGAACGAGCCUAAUACUUUUAUGUCUAUGAUUGUCAAUCUUGCUUAAGUGUUUCAGUUAAGUGGUUUACCUAACAGGGGAAAAAAUUUAAUGGAAAACUUUAGAGUUCGAACAGAAAUAUAGUUGACUGCAGAUAUAGUUAUUUUACGGUACAUAAAUCAUAUUGUCCUAUACUCAAUGUCCUACGACCUAUUUUAUUUUAUAUGGUCAUUCAUUUUUGCGAUGGUUUUUUGUGCUUAUGAGUAUGGAAAUAGUGGGAUUUGGUGUGGCAAACAAAAAUAUACAUAUAAUCAAGUUUCUUAAUCAUGUAUAUUGGUUUUGGGUAUGAAUGUUUUCCUAUUCUAGUUCUAGACAAAGUUUCUUCAUUUUGGUCUUCAGAUUUCCAGUAGGUUAAGUUAAGCAACUAUCAUAACUAGCUAGCUAGUUAUUGCCUGCCUUGUCGCCAUUACCGACGCCAUUACAUUGCAUGGCAUAAGGAAUAGUAACUAGGUGAUUAUUGGUGAUUCCUUGAGUUUAUUAUUGGCCAAACAAACAUAUUCGCCUUUACCCACAACUUAGUUUGAUUAGUUAUUAGAUAAUAAAGAGCCUUAAUCUAUGCAUUGCUUUAUUAUUUUUAUUUGGUUUUUCUUUCAACAAUAUUGUUGAUUUCUUAUAAAAAAUAUUCAUUGGUUUUUAAACACCUAAUCAUUGGCUAUAAUGAAGCUAAUUAAAACGGAGGCUUUGGAUCAAUUUCUGUUAACAACAUACAAAUGAGCAUAACCACCCCCCCCCCCCCCCCCCCAACCACCACCAAAAAAAAAAAAAACCAAAUAGGAAGACUUUGCAAGAUUCACAACCAGGUUACAUUUAAUUUAUUAAUUGUGUGUACGUACUAGUUAUUUGUUGAUAGAAUAGGAAGAAGUAUUUUAAUAUGAAUGGCUUAAAACUUAUUGCUCAGUAAACAUAAUGUGCAUCAGUGCUAGAAAAUGUAUUUAUUGUUUGUAAUUUUUUAUGGUUUUGCUUAAGAAAUGAAAUGUGAAAAAAUGCUACAUUUUAUUAGGAAUAAAUUGAAGAGAUUUAUGAUUUUUAUGUGUUAUUCAAGUUUCAGAUUCAAUUUUAAACUUUUGAUACAUGCAUUGAAAGCUUAAACUCCUUUAAGAAAUUAUUAAUAGACACAUGUUUUAUUAGUGUCAUCUUUUGGAUGAUAGUGAGGAUCUUAUGUCUAUUAAUAAUUCUUGAAUUAUCUAGGCUUGGACAGUUUGGUAAUGCAUAGAUUUCUAUGGCAGCUAGUGCCUGAAAUUUUUUUCCCACGUAAAAAUGGGUUUUUCCGCAGCUGCUCCUCAUGUUCUCUGGGUGCAUACUAGACAAAUGGGUGUCAUGUGUUGUUUUGGCAUAACACAUAAACACUCAUAUAUCUAUGUCGUGUACUUGAAGAACUAUAGGGAGAUGCUUCCGAAGUUUCUAUAAACGUAGAGGAAAACUUUAGAUACUUAAGAUUGAAGAAACUUAUGCAUUCUUGAGUGGGAUAUAUAGGACCACUUACCUUUUGUAAAUAUGAAGGGAAUGUUGGAUAUAUUGAUGGGAGUGGAGGAGCUGAGUGGGAUGAAUGUAAUCGGUUAUGAUUUUGCUGAGUUGACUUGGUUUUGAGUCUUGUAAUUUUGUUUAUAAAUGGAGUACUAUCUCCAAUGUUGGUUUAUAAAUAUGUUUCAGCUGGCUGACCUAAUUUUUUGUUUCUAGGUAACAGGCUUUAUAUAUCUGUAAUUGAUAGCCAAGUGAAGUUCUCAGCAGUGGGUGAGGAUAUUUCUUUACAGAAGGUAUUGCAAACUGUUUUUUAGAUUAAUUAUUAUUGUAUAUAUACUUUAAUUUUCACAUCUUUUUCUCUGAUUCUUGUGGCUUUGCUUGCUUCCAUAUAUAUAAAACCAUAAAAUUGUAUAAUAAUUUUUUUAUUAUAUUGCGAAACUGCGCACACAUGAAAAUAUCUUGUUUAGUAGUAGAAAUGAAGAAUUAAAGUGAUUUAUUUAACUAAUUUUUCUAGUGCAUUAAAAGGAGAUAGUCAUGGACCAGAGUUGGGUUGGUUUGCCAAAUAGAUAUCCAAUUCAUAUACUGAUGGGGUCAAAAAAUUUAUAGAUUUUGCAUUUGAGAAUGUUGUUGGUGAUAAAAGAAUUUAUUGCCCUUUAGAAGUGUCGUAAUAUCGAUAUUUCAUUAUAAGGAAAGUAGCAAGAGACCAUAUCAUUAUAAAUGGCUAUUGGUUAAAGUAUUAAAACUGGAUAUUGGAGGGUGAGCCAUCUUCAUCUUUGAAAUCUAACUAAGAAACAGGUUAGUCAUGACUCGGGUAGUGAUGCUAGUAUGCUUGGAAUGAUGCAUAAUGCAUCACGUAAUCAAAUGUUCAAGUCACACGCAGCAUUGUUAUGGACUAUCUCCGACUUUCUAGCAUAUGCCAACUUGUUUGGGUGGAGUAUUAAAGGUAAAUAAGCAUUUCUUGUUUGCCAACAAAACACUAGAUCUAAUUGGUUGAUACAUAGUAGAAAAUUGUCACGUGGGUCACCGUCGAUUUUUACCAACAAAUCAUAGGUUCCGAAAAUAUAGUGCCAUCUGAUAAAACUAGAGAGUGGGGACAAGCACCUUCUCGGUUGUCUGGAGCCGAGGUGAAAAACCAGUUCAGUAAUGUACUUAAGAUUGAAGACUUGAAAAGAGGAGAAAAGAGGAGAAUGAAUAAAAUGAAAGAAAUGAUAAGAUUACUUGGAAGAAGAAAAGCAUUUUUUAUGAACUAACGUAUUGGGAGUUCAAUUUGAUUCAUCAUAAUCUCGAUGUCAUGCACCGUUUUGAUUUUUGUUAUGAACUCAGAUCAAAAGUUUAAUGUGAUCAAAAUUUCUUAAAAAUAGUGAAAACGACUCCUCCUAAUAAUAUGGAAGAUGGCUAUAAAAGAUAAUUUCUUAAAAGUUUAAUGUGAUCAAAAUUGCUUGUGAACGCAAGGGUUUUAGUUACACUGUCAACGCUGUCAAUGUAGUGAUACAAUGAAGAUGAAGUAAAGCAUUAGUAGAAUAAUGAAGUUGACCAGUAACACAGUAAAGCAAAUUUUAUUCCAGAGCAUGAAAACUUUUAAACAGUAACACAGCUCUUAUUCCAGAGGCUGCACGCGAGUGACCUGAAUCUUCUUCAGAACUUUCAAAUUUUAUCAAGCAAAGCUUUCAAAAUCCUUUGCCUUCCUAAGUUAGGAAAGAUAGAUGUGGAGCAAACUAUUUUUUUUAGAUAUUUUCACUUUGGGCUGUCAGCCCGAGGAAGUAGGGGGGUCUGAGUUAUUCAACUGAAAAUGUCGGCCAAGUUCUUGUGUUAGUUUUAGUAUAUUGUGUACAAAUGAUACACUAACUUGAAUUUAUAUGCUUUUAUGACUAUUUGAUAAUCAAAUGGGUAAAUGACACGAAUAACUUUGAGUUUAAAAAUCUGGCCCUGAUGCCUGGUAGCCCUCCAACCUAUGAAGCACUAGAUGUUUUAAUGAUAAAACGACAAGACCAUUUAUCAAAUUUCUUGUGGAUAUAAAUACAUACACAUAGACGAGACCAACCUCCUCAAAUGAGAAUCAGAGUGAUUACAAGACCUUUCAAUGAGACAAUAAUACACCAUCAAAUCUCAAAAUACAAUAGAAAUUCAUGACAUAUAUAUAAUAAAAGACCACUCAUUGAGUCAUAUAUAUUGAGAAUAAAUUUUUUUUAAUACAUACAAAGAGCUUAGCUAGAAUGAAAUGUCUUUGGACUUGCGAUGAAAACAAAGGAAACAGACAUGUUGCAACUCACACUAUCACAGAUGUAGCGACACAAUGCAGUGAAUCACAAGAAGAUCACGAAGAUGGAAACGGGAACCCCUCAGAAUGUAAACUUUGAAUAGAGGAAAAAAGGAAAACGACCUUAUUCACAGAGGACGAGUGACUUAAAUCUUCAUCAGUAUCCAAACAUUCUGCAAUCAUAGAGUAGAGAAAUUUUAACAGGAACAGCAGAGAAAAUAUUAUGAAUAUGCACUGAUUACGUUUUUUUUUUUAAUUUUUUUAAUCCGAUUAAUGAUAUUCAGCUGUUCUUUAAUUAUGUGUUCAUAGGGAAGAACAUUUUCUAAGUACUUUCCUUGCCUUCUAACUUUCCAAGGAAAUAUAGGUGUGAAGAAAAGCAAACCCAAUGAACAAACAGAGCACAAAGUAAAAUAAAAGAACAGCAAUGAUGACGAUAAAUAAUUGGCAAAGAAAGAAAGGAAAAAGUAUGCACGUUUUCAAGGAUUUAUAAAAUACGAAGGCUUUUAAUGGAAUUUUAUCAUAAAAACGUAUGCAAGGAGUUAUAAAAUUUUAGAAGACGAGGGGAGCUCGCAAAAAAAAAAAAAAAAGACUCAAAUUAAACUAGACUAAAAAGACAUUCAAUUAUGCAAAAUCUGUCCAUAAAAGUCUGAAAGGAUCAUUAAAAUUGCAUUGCAAAUUUAACAGUAAACCGAGGGAUCCAUUCUAAAUAAUUCAGAUGAAAUUGCGAAACAAGCCAUGGGAUUAAAUAAAUGAAAUAAAAAUUAAUUACCAGUUGAGACUUUCUUCUAAAAAUUCGCAACUCCAAGUCAUAAGAAGCCUAUGAAAUUAGUCGUACUGCGUAGAGUAUGACGACGACACCGCCAACAGCUGAAAGUAAAAUUCUUAUUCAUCAAUUUAAACUUUUACUUUAUAAAAAAUAUCUUAUCUAUAUUGUAUUUAAGAAAGCAAAUUUUGUAAAAAUUUAUCAUGGGAGAUAGAGAGUAAUAUGUAUAGACGUACCUUCUCAGCAUGUAAUUGUUGUAUGGUUGUGUUUAGAUCAUUAUUAGCCCAGCGCCGUUGAUCCGCUGUCUCUCCAUAGCAGACGUUUACUCUUAGAGGCAUGAUUGAUUCUCCUGUAGUGAAAAUCUUCAUCUUGGGACAACCAAUCACACACAAAUCUUGCAAAGAUGGGAAUUUGAAGGUGUAAUUGGCAGAGCAGAAACUUGUGAGGCUAUCUAAAUCACGCAGUUCCAACGUCUUCAAUUUGCGGAAAACAAUCUCUUCUUUUUCAACUCCUUCUUUGUCAUUUAUUACCACCUCUGUCAUUGCUCUGCAUUCACGCAUACGCACUGUGACGAGUUGCACUAGAGUUUUUGCUGUGGAGGAUGUUACCAAGUGUAUCAAUUCCUUGCAACCGAAAGCUACAAUUUCGGUUAGGUUCCGAAAAGAUACCGAUGAUGAUGGCAAUAGAAUUAACAGACUUUGACAAUCAUAUACUUUUAGAAUUUCAAGAUACUGAAAAAUGGGGCCAAGUUUGGAGUCUUGUUUGCACAGCUGCUCAAGAUGAUAGUGCUGGUGCAGCUGUAAUUCUUUUAUCAUUGCCAACUUCCCCACAUGUUUCUCUAAGCAUCCUUCCAUCGAAAAUACCUCUUCGUGGAAUGAAAAAUUACACAGUAUGAGUAUUUCGAGACUGUGAAAUCUCUCAAGUACAUUCCAGAUUGGAAAACAAGCUGAGUCAUCGCCACCAAUAUUUAGUUGUUUAAGACUGCCAAAAAGGUGUUGGGGGAAAUCGGCCUGCAAAAUCAUCUUCACGUCUUUUCCAUUUAAUGUUAGGUCCUUCAAGUUGGGUAAGAUCUGAUCAUCAUCAAUCAUAAUAAUUAUUAAGGUCAAUUGAUGUUCUCUCAAAUGAUUUUAAGUAAUCCAAUCACACGCAGUGACUUUAUAGUAUUUGUUUUAUAUUAUAUUUUACACAAAAAAAUGAAUUAUUGAAAAAAAUUAUUAAAUGAUUUUUUAUAUGUUAAUUUUAGAGGUAAAAAAGAAAUUAAGGAAAAAAUUUUGAUUUAUACUGGCUGGAAAUUAUUUUAUUGCACAAUAAUAAAUUACUAAUUUAUUUUGUAAGUUCUUAUAUAUGGAAAGACUAAGUAUCUCCAAAAGGCUCUAUAAAUUUUACUCUUUCAAAUUUCUAUUUGCUUACCUAUGUGGCAAAUAGAAAAGUGAAAAAAUAUGUUAUUCUCCAAAAGACUCUUCAAAUAGAAAUGAAUUAAUAUUAUUUUAAUUAAAUAACUAUUUUUAAAAAAUAAAAAGUCAAUAGUAAUUAAAACACCUCUCUCUCUUUCUCCAACAAAAAGUAAUAAAAUAUAAAUUGAAGAGGGGGAAUGCAACUCUCCAAAUUUGAAGAGAGAUGAUCAUUUCUUAUUUGAAGAAUCUUAAUUGGAGUAUCUUUUGGAACUUUAAAUGCUGAUGUGGCUCUUCAAAUAAGUAAUAAAAUCUUAUUUAAAGAGUCUUUUGGUGAUGCUCUAAGGAUUCUUUUAUAAAUGCUAUACCUAAAAAAGUUCAUAUAAUUAUUAAUCUAUCAAUAAAUCCCUUAGUCUAGACUAGCAAAGAUUAUUGUAUAAUAAAAGUUUUCAAUUUAUUGAGUAUUAAUUUAUUGAUGCUUUGUCAUAUUUUUUAAAGUUCAAACUAAGCUAUUGAUAGAAAUCUAGAAAAUGGCUUCAUACAUUUUCCAACGGCAAUAGGGCCUGUUGUGCAGGAGUAUCAAGUUCAUCAUUCUCAAAAAAAAAAAAAAGAUUGAAUUAUUGAUAAAAUUUAUUAAAUGAUUUUUUAUAUGUUAAUUUUAGAGGUAAAAAAGAAAUUAGGGAAAAAAUGUUGAUUUAUACAGGCUCGAAAUUAUUUUAUUGCACAAUAAUAAAUUACUAAUUUAUUUUGUAAGUUCUUCUAUAUGGAAAGACUGAGGAUUCUUUUACAAAUGCUAUACCUAAAACAAUUCAUAUAAUUAUUAAUCUACCACAUUGAUCCCUUAGUCUAGACUAACAAAGAUUAUUGUAUAAUAAAAGUUUUUAAUUUAUUGAGUAUUAAUUUAUCGAUACUUUGUCAUAUUUUUCAAAGUUAAAAAUAAGCUAUUGAUAAAAAAUCUAGAAAAUGGCUUCAUACCUUUUCCAACGGCAAGGGGGGCAGUUGUGCAGGAAUACCAAGUUGAUCAUUCUCAUUAUUCUGCGAUAAAUCUGCAGCGAAUAUCUUUAAUUUGUCACAACCAUACACAUAAAGAAUUUCUAGCGCGGGCCAUUCCGAAGUAUGCAUUCCAGGGUACAAACAUCUAAGUUUUGGUAGAUCUUGGAGUCUCAGAGUGGUGAGCGGUGGAAAGACAAAAUGAGGGAUCACUUGAUCUGCUCUGUUUUCAGAAAUGAUCUCCUGUAAAUCCUUACAGAAGCGUAUAUCUAGGUGUUGGAGCUGCUUAAGGCUUCCGAUCAUAGACGCUGAAAAUAUGUAUUUUAAUUUAUGACAACGAUGCACAGUCAAUCGUGUUAAAUUUUGAAAGCGAGGAAACAUGACCGGAAGAUUAUUGUAGUGCCAAAUCUUGUCGACAUUAAUUUCAUAUAUCUCCAAAGCCUCCAAGUUAGGCAACGCAACCUAAAAAAAUAAGAAUUUCUCGUUAGAUCCAAUAUCCAUAUGGGAAGCACUUGUUGAAAUUUUCUUCUUUGAUUACAAAUUAAUGCAAGUCUGAAUCAAUUUCCAACUGACAGCUGAGUAUGCAUUCUAAUUCAUACUACUUGUUAAGAGCUCAAUUAGUGAGCGCGUGAGAUUCUUUUUAUCCUUUUUUCCAUUUUCUUUCAAAUCUUUAAAUGAUUUAAUUACGAAAAAUUAAAUGAUUAAGCCCAUUUUAGUUGACCAAUUUUCUUAAUUAUAUGAAUAAAAUCUGUUAUAUAUGAAGAAAAUGUUAGCCUACGCACCUUCUCGUUGAAAAGCAGAGUUGAAGUAUCCAAAGUGAUUUCGCUGGAGCUAUACGUAGUCGUCGAUUCCUCCUGCGACGCUGGUCUGUUUGGUGAUGCUGAAGGAGUCUUUACUUCACGGCAGAAAUUUGUAACCUCUGGAAGAUUCCCCAGACUCAAAUAUCUUAAUUGAGCAAACUCUAUCUUCUCAAUUGCAUUAUCAACUUCUUCCCCAAUUGCAAAAAUCUCUUUCAUCUUGCUGCAAUUAAUAACUGCAAUUCUCUCAAGUCUUGGAAGGCAUUUUGUAGUAGAGAGCCAAAAGAUAUUACUCAAUUUAUCACAACUAUAUGCUUCUAUGGUUUUGAGUUUGUUGAAAGACUCUACUUUGAGCCGAUCAAUACAUAUCCUCUCCAUGUUGAUCAAGUUGUGAAGGAUAAGUGACUCCAAAGGAGGAAAGGCAUCACAAGCGACCAUCUCCCUGGAAUCGACGAUACAAAAGAUGUCAGGAUUAUUUUGAACCCAGAGAAGCUUCAAUUGUGAAAAGCCCUCCGUGUCCAAAUUGAAAAGAACACUCUCGAUGCCUUGCAGCUUGUCCAACCAUAAGCAUUCAACGUUAUUGAUGCCCUGCAAUUUCAUGGAGCAAAUGUCCAUAAAAUCAAGCUUGAGCUUCAAUGCUCUUAAACUCUUGCGAUCUCUGUCGAUCACAAAGUGCUGCCAACUUUUAAACCAUCUGUGUCUAAAAAGCAUGGGAUGUGUGAAUAACCCAUUUCCAAUAUGUAUUUGGAACCUUUCGAGCUUUCUGGCCAAAAAGCCUUCUGGUAAAAUACUAUCAUUUUUAACAUCAAUUUCUAGAGUGGUUAGCCGAGGUAAAUGCAUCAAUUCAUCAAGGCUAGCAUUACUUCUUUUGCUGUUGGCUCUUUCAACCUCCCAUUCAAUGGAGCAAUUACCCAUAUACAAUUCUUCUAAUCGGAUUAAGCUUGAUAUGACAUUUGGGGCAAUAACUUUCAGACGGAAACAGUCUGUUAAAUCUAACAACCUUAGCUUAGUCAGUUGACCGAGUGCUUUAGGCAACUCUACAAUAUCAGAUUCCAAAAAGCUGAUGAUUUCUAGAUUUUCCAACUUUCCAAUAAUGGCUAUGUCUAUGCCUCCCAAAAUGCUUUGAUUAAGACAGAGUGUCUGAAGAUUUACUAGAAGACCAAUUGAAGAUGGCAAUGACAAUAACCGCAUUCUAGUCAAAUCCAAAACCCGAAGCUUUUUCGUCCUUUUGAAGAAGUUCUCAGGAAUAUUAGGCACAGCAAAAGAGUUCUUGGGAGACAUGAGUAGAAGUUCAAGUUGUAGAGAUUCGGACCCUUCAAGAAUGUCAUUAAUAAUACUAUCUUUUAAAGAAAUUGCAAGAUAUUUUUUUAAUUCAUCUGCAUUUGGCCAUUUCCAAUCAUCCUCAUUUCUCACCACAAAUCCAAUUUUGUCACGACAUGCAAUUGAAAUGGCAACAUCGCGAACAACGUCGUGCAUAGAAAAGUAUUUACUGCCACCAUCCUCAAGCAACAAACAAGAGUCUCUUAGUUGAUGGACCCAUGCAUCUAAUUUGUUAUGUGCAUCUUCUAGCUUGUGGACACUUUUAAAUACACCCCAGCCCAUGCUAUAUUUGAACAAGUCCAUAAUUGGUGCUGGCGUAAUAAGACUACACAGUAAAAAAGUUUUCUUGAGUUGCUCACCUCUUAAGUACUUGUAACUCAGCUCAAUUGUUGAGUAUGCCUCUGCUGGUACUCCUUCGUCGAAGCUCGCCUCUGAAGGCGUUCGGAGUUCUUGCAAGGCAUUCUUCCACACAGGCAGCUCUUUUUUUCUCAGUGCCUUUGCUACUGUGAUUAGGGCAAUAGGCAAACCUCCGCAUGCCUUGGCUACACUUGUUGCUGUAGAUUUUAACUCACGAUUUUCAACAUAAUCACCAGCCAUUAUCUUGAACAAACUCCAGGCUUCUUGUUCAUUUAAAAUGCCAAUCGAGAAGUUUUUUUCAGAUCCCAUCCUUAACAGCACAUCAAGAUCUCUUGUUGUGAAUAAUAAUUUACAUCCUCUGUGCUCAACUCCAAAAGGAACUCCAAUAGUCCCCAAAUCAAGAGGUUUCCAGAUGUUAUCCAGAAUCACAAGGAUCUUCUUCUCAUUCUUCAAUCUUUCAUAUAGUCUACUAGCUCUUCUAGACUCAGCUUCCUCGGACAACUGUAGGCCUAACGUUACCGCAAUUUCCUCUUGGAUCUUUUUUAUGUCUGGACUUUGGGUAACCUCCGAAAAAGCCACCAUAUCGUAAAGCUUGUCUUCAAUGGCUCGCCUUGCAAACUCCCGCACCAGUGUCGUCUUUCCAAUGCCGCCCAUGCCGUAGACGCCAAUGAUGCUGACAUCAACAUCGAUCAAUGCAUUUUGUAUGGCCUUCAAAGUAGAAAGUCUUGAUUCGAAGGCCUCGUAGCCUUUGUGAGACUUGAGCCAAAUCUCCUCCGGAAUGGUACGGUAGGAAAUUCUAUCAUCAAAUCUCCCAGCUUCUUCUCGGAGUUUAAAAAGGGCCUCCUUCUCUGUUUCUGCUUUCUUUCCAUGCUGAUAGCGAGUAAUCCAAUUAGGAAACAGCCCCAUGAGACAUCGUUCAUUUGCUUUCUCUUCGUCUUGAAUGAAUUUGGCUGCCUCCUCAAUGCUCUUGUUCGCAUUAACCAGCCAUUUCUCAACCUUCUCUUCAAUCUUUUCACUUUUUCUUUCAGCCUCAGAAACUCUGCGCUGAAUGCUUUCUCUUUCAUCCUUGAGCCCAUCGAGUUCUUCCUUGAGAUUCUCAAAGUUGGCAGCGGAGUUAUACCAAUAACUAAAUUCGCGUUGUGCGUGAGGAGACAAGCAGUUUACAAUGCUUUUCAAAAUGUCCAUUGUUUUUUUGGGUUGGGGGGGGGGGGGGGGGGGGGGGGGGGGGGGGGGGGGGGAGGGGGGGGAAGGGAACGAAAUAGAAAUAGAACAGGGUCAUCGACCGCGCAAUUGAUAAUCAAGUAGAAGCAAAACAAGGCAAAAUUGGAAAAAGAAAUGAUAUUUGUACAAAACAAGGGGAAAAUCAGUGUAACAGAAGAGAAUCAAAGUGUUUUUGAGAUCAGAAAAUUGAAUCAAGAAAAGGGUUGCUUGAUCCAAUGAAAUGCAAACAGCUGGUGGCAAAAGGGAACGAAGCUAAAUAAGAAAACGGCUAGCACGAGCAGUGACCACGAUAAAUAGAAGCAAAGUGUGUAUGAGAUCAAAAGACGAAAAUCAGGAGAGGUUUUCUUGACUGAGAAUUGAAGGCAAAGAGUAGGAGCUGACGAAUACGGGGAUCAAGAGGGAAAAACUGCUUGCUCGUAAAACUACUUUCAAGCGAAUCUGAUAAAAUUAUUUCAAUACUCAUGGGCGACUCCUUUUUAAACUGCAGAAGGAAAAAAAAAAAAAAAAAAAGAGUUCUGAAUUUCAAUAUAUUAAUUUUUAUCCUAAUUUAUGUUGAGAUUCGUAAUCUCGUCUCAAUGAUUAAUUAGUAGAUAUUCUUUCUAACAAAUAUGUGUUGAAUAGAUAUAUUUCUUGACUAUUAGUAAGUUAGAUAUAUUUUGGCAUAGGAAUGAAAGUACCAAGUUGUGUCAUAUUAGAAUAAAAAUUUGAGCUAAAAAUAUUUUUCUAUGACCUUUUAAUUAUUUGUCAGCAAAUAAUUAAGUCAUAUAAAAAAAUUAAUAAUCUGAAUUAGUCUUUAAGUAUUAUAAAUAUUAUUUUUAUUUUUAAUUAUAAUAUCAUUAUUUAAAAAUAAUUGCUUGACUUAUAUUAGUAACAUUACGAUUGUCAUAAAACAUGUGAUCCUGAUCCAAUAUCCAUUAUUUGUGAUCCUUAAUCAAUAAAAUAUCUAACAAUAUCUUCACCUAAAGUUUGAGACAUGUGAUCCUUAUUCCACUGCGUCAAUUACACUCCAGACCAAUGCUGCCGUCAUUAUCGAACGGUCGAUAUCCAACACUUGCACGAAGAUUCCAAGAAGUUGCGUGGCUGCCGACUUUUAGAUGCAAAGCCUCAUUGUGUCGAUGUUACACAAAAGAGAGCAAGUCCGGGUAAUUGCCGAAACUUAGAACUAAACAGUAGCUUAGUCAGAAAAUCAAACGCCAGUAACCGUUAAAAUGACCGAUAAAAAUAUAAAGAAACCAAAGCUUUAAAAGAAAUCAGCCAAAUCACGAAGAUUGAAGAGUAAAUCUAUGGUUUUAGAUUUUUAUUUUAUUUUUUUAGAUAAUAGAUAUUAUUUUGAUGAAUUUUUAAUAUUAGAAUAAUGUUAGGAAUUUCGAUAGUAGAUUUCUAACUUGAGAUCCAAUUGUUAUGUAUCAUUUUUUUAUUGGAUAAUGAAUUUCAUAACUAGUAAAAUUAAUAUUUCGAUCAUCUAAUAAAUGACUAUCAUAUCAGUUGAGACUCAAUUAUUGGGAUCCUUAACAUUGCUCUUACUAUUAAAUUGGACAUCUUAGCUAAAUCAAAUUAGAUUUUAGGCUUUUAUCCAACAUCUCUUUUUUUUUUUUUUUGGUCUAUUUGAAGUGAACGAAAUAAAAAUACAACAGGUUCAACGACUGGGCAAUUGAUAGUCAAGUAGAAACAAAUCAAGGCUAAAUGGGAAAGAGAAAUGAUAUUUGUGCAAAACAAGGAGAAAAUCAGUGUAACUGAAGAGAAUCAAAGUGCUUUUGAGAUAAAAAAAAAUUGAAGCAAGAAAAGGGUCGCUUGAUUGAAUGAAAAUGCUAAGAGCUGAUGGCAAAAGAGAACAAUGUUAAAUAAGAAAACAGCUAGCUCUAGCAGCGACCACAAUAAACAGAAAAGUUGAGAUGGAUUUACAAUAUUUCUGUCUUUCUUCAUGCUUUAACAAAUAUUGCUCUAUAAAAAAAAAUAUUGAGCGUUUUUAUUAUUGGAAUCACAAAAGACCUACACAAUAUAGCAAGUGACUAGGAAUAAAUAAGAAUAUAUAACUCUCUCUCUCAUUCUCACUCUAGCUUUUAAUUGUCACUCAAAACCCAUAAUUCUUCCUUAAAGUGUAAGCAAAUAAGAGAUGACAGCGUCUGGUUGUCAUACGCGCCUUUUAGUUUUCGGAUGACAUGGGGUACACUUCUUCUGUAAACCGAACACGACAUGUCGUACUCUUUGUUUUGAGAUCAUAUUUCAAACUCUUCAUGCUAUGAAUGAAAGAUAAACUACAAUCAUCAAAAUAUUUAGUGUUUAUUUGGUAAUGUAAUGUCAUAGUUGUUGUGAAUUGAAAUUAUUUAUGUAAGAUAAAAGGAUUUGGGUCAUCGUUUGUUAUUCUCUGGCAAUAUUGUUUGGCCGUGACUACUUGAAAUUAUUUCUGUAAGAUAAAAGGAUUUGGGUCAUUGUUUGUUAUUCUCUGGCAAUAUUGUCUGGCCGUGACUAUUUGUUAAAUAUUUAAAAAAUAAAUUUAUAUUUAUUAAGUAUAAAAAAAAUAAACAAACAAAAAUAAAAGGAAAAGUUUAUACAUUACAUAAAAUAAUAAGAACAAUAUCAAUAUUUCACACUCUAUAAUUGAGUGAUGUGUUGUCCAACUGCCAUACUGAUAAACAGUGAACUCGAAACUCAAGUACUACAAGUCGUUUAGAGGAUUCAGUCUCGGAUGACUUGUCACUUGUAGAAGUUCCUGAAGCCAGAACCGACAUAAUCUUAGUCAUCUGUUCUAUCUUUAGUAGUACACGUGGUUUGCACAUGUGUUGAAGCUAACUCUUGCUUGGAUCAAGAAACGACGUCUCUGAGUGCAGUUUCUUAAUCACACUUAAAUCAGCGUGUGACAAGCACGUGAGGCAGAGCUUCUUGGAUAGAUUUGGCGGGAAUGGUAGUUGGCGUAACAACCCAGAAACAGAGGAUAAAAAGGUGCAGGCUUUGUCAUCGUCUUCACAUGAUUUGGGAAACACUGAGAGUAGAGAGAAGAUAGAGAGAGAAAGGGGUUUACAAGUUCUUGUUCUCUGUAAAUCAAUUCCUAUUCUUGUAUUGUUUUGUGAACGAAAUAGUGAAAGACUGUUGCUUUGUUUCCAGUGGAUGUAAGCACCACUUCUUGGUGCUGAACCACUUAUGCUUGGUGUCUUGUUUGUGAUCUUGAAAACUUUGAUUCGUGUGUGUAUUUGUUGCUGAAUAGUCUGUGUUAAUCAUUCUUAAAACCAUCGAUACAGAACUAAGUGUCUUGGGGAGAAUUUGGUUAAUCUUAUCAAAGCCAAAUUCACAACACAUACAUUGGUCCCAAACAGAGACUUAAAUAUUAAAGUCCAAAGUUAUUGUGAUGAUGACUUAUAAUCGCCAAACUUGACAUAGGGGUAAUCAUGCAUUAUAAGGUGCUGAUUUCUUCCGAUCAGAACCUUAUUUUUCAUUUACAAAUAAAUAAAUGAUGUGACUUCACGGUUGGCGGGGUCCUUUGUGUCAUUUGGGCAUUUCACUAAAUGAUUGAUUGCAGCAGGAAGAUUCCUGGAAGUUGCCAUUUGCCAAUGCUACUAACAUUUUCAAACUUGGAAAACCCUUCAAUCAAUCUUUUAGUGGUAGGCUCUGGUAGCUUGGUUUGAUUAUGACAUAUGAUUAUUUGAUAAUAAAGCUAGAGGAUGUAUUAAUAUAAAAUUUGUUUAUUGGUGUUGAAGUUAAUUAUCUCAUUAAUAAUGGUAUAAAAAGUUAAUUACUAAGAAACACAUAGCAGUAUUCUGGGAUAUAAUUUUAUAUCAUAACUUUGUAAGUGUAUAAUUACGCAUUAAAUUAACAAAAUUAUUUUAAAAUAUUUCGUUAGAAAAAAUAAAUUAUAUUCUUUUUAUUUCAAAUAAUCUAUAAGUUAACUCAAAACAUAAUCAAGUUGAGAAUUAAAAUAAUGCUACUGUAUGAGAGGAUUUUUAUUUUUUCCCGAAGUUUCACUAGGAAAUUAUUGAUAUAUAGCUUUAUUCGGAUCAUCUGAGUUCAAACGACAAAUAAUUGAAAGACUAAAGUAAAUAGACCAGCCAACAACUUUGUACAGCAGAGUUCAAAAAUUAAGGUCAUGGUAUUGAGGUGUUUUGUCUUGAAAAGUACGGCAUAAUGAUAAAAUAAAAACUAUUAGUCUUUGGUAAGAUAUAACUUUUAAAUAAUAAUUUUCACAAAAAUACAAAGAAUAUUUUAUAAAGUACUUCUAUAGUGAGGAGACCCUCACUUUGUUAAAGUGAAAAUAUCAAUAAUAUACAAGAAACAUAUAUUCUAACAUAUUGAGAACUGUAUCUUUUUAAUCUAUUAGUGUAUUGAAAUAUGUGUUAUUUAGUUUGUUAGUGAUAUCAUCACUUUGUUAAAAUACGGAUGUCAGAACCAUUAUAUUUUAAAGUUUUACUUCAUUGCUUUAUUAAUCUUAUUACUAUUUCUCCUUUGCACUUCUAAAGAAACCAAUUAACCAAAGCUUUAAAAGAAAUCAGCCAAAUCACGAAGAUUGAAGAGUAAAUCUAUGGUUUUAGAUUUUUAUUUUAUUUUUUAGAUAAUAGAUAUUAUUUUGAUGAAUUUUUAAUAUUAGAAUAAUGUUAGAAAUUUCAAUAGUAGAAUUCUAACUUAGGACCCAAUUGUUAUGUGUCAUUAUUUUAUUAGAUAAUGAAUUUCAUAACUAGUAAAAUUAAUAUUUCGAUCAUCUAAUAAAUGACUAUCAUAUCAGUUGAGACUCAAUUAUUGGGAUCCUUAACAUUGCUCUUAGUAUUAAAUUGGACAUCUUAGCUAAAUCAGAUUAAAAAUCAAAUUAGAUUUUUUGCUUUUAUCCAACAUCUCUUUUUUUUUUUGGGGUCUAUUUGAAGUGAACGAAAUAAAAAUACAACAGGGUCAACGACUGGGUAAUUGAUAGUCAAGUAGAAGCAAAUCAAGGCUAAAUGGGAAAGAGAAAUGAUAUUUGUACAAAAUAAGGAGAAAAUCAAUGUAACAGAAUUACAGAAGAGAAUCAAAGUGCUUUUGAGAUCAGAAAUUGAAGCAAGAAAAGGGUCGCUUGAUCCAAUAAAAAUGCAAAGAGCUGAUGGCAAAAGGGAACAAAGUUAAAUAAGAAAAUAGCUAGCGCUAGCAGCGACCACAAUAAACAUAAAAAGUUGAGAUGGAUUUACAAUAUUUCUGUCUUUCUUCAUGCUUUAACAAAUAUUGCUCUAUAAAAAAAAUAUUGAGCAUUUUUAUUAUUGGAGUCACAAAAGACCUACACAAUAUAGCAAGUGACUAGGAAUAAGAAUAUAUAACUCUCUCUCUAAUUCUCACUCUAGCUUUUAAUUGUCACUCAAAACCCAGAAUUUAUCCUUAAAGUGUAAGCAAAUCAAAGAUGACAGCGUUUGGUUGUCAUACGUGCCUUUUAGUUUCUGGAUGACAUGGCGCACACUUCUUCUGGAAACCCAACACUACAUGUCGUACUCUUUUGUUUUGAGAUCGUAUUUCAAACUCUUCAUGCUAUGAAUGAAAGAUAAUCUACAAUCAUCAAAAUAUUUAGUGUUUAUUUGGUAAUGUAACGUCAUAGUUGUUGUGAAUUGAAGUUAUUUCUGUAAGAUAAAAGGAUUUGGGUCAUCGUUUGUUAUUAUCUGGCAAUAUUGUCUGGCCGUGACUAUUUGUUAAAUAUUAAAAAAAUAAAUUUAUAUUUAUUAAGUAUAAAAAAUAAAUAAACAAACAAAAAUAAAAGGAAAAGUUUAUACAUUACGUAAAAUAAUAAGAACAACAUCAAUAUUUCAUACUCUAUGAUUGAGUGAUGUGUUGUCCAACUGCCAUACAUUGGUCCCAAAUGGAGACUUAAAUAUCAAAGUCCAAAGUUAUUGUGAUGAUGACUUAUAAUCGCCAAACUUGACAUACGAGUAAUCAUGCAUUAUAAGGUGCUGAUUUCUUCCGAUCGGAACCUUAUUUUUCAUUUACAAAUAAAUAAAUGAUGUGACUUCAUGGUUGGCGGGGUCCUUUGUGUCAUUUGGGCAUUUCACUAAAUGAUUGAUUGUAGUAGGAAGAUUCCUGGAAGUUGCCAUUUGCCAAUGCUACUAACAUUUUCAAACUUGGAAAACCCUUCAAUCAAUCUUUUAGUGGUAGGCUCUGGUAGCUUGGUUUGAUUAUGACAUAUGAUUAUUUGAUAAUAAAGCUAGAGGAUGUAUUAAUAUAAAAUUUGUUUAUUGGUGUUGAAGUUAAUUAUCUCAUUAAUAAUGGUAUAAAAAGUUAAUUACUAAGAAACAAAUAGCAGUAGUUAAUUGGUGUCAUAUUAUUGGGAUUCUGGGAUAUAAUUUUAUAUCAUAACUUUGUAAGUGUAUACUUACUCAUCAAACUAAUAAAAUUAUUUAAAAAUUUCAGUUGGAAAAAAUAAAUUAUAUUAUUUUCAUUUCAAAUAAUCUAUAAGUUAACUCAAAACAUAAUCAAGCUGAGAAUUAAAAUAAUGCUACUGUAUGAGAGGAUUUUUAUUUUUUCCCGAAGUUUCACUAGGAAAUUAUUGACACAUAGCUUUAUUCGGAUCAUCUCAGUUCAAACGACAAAUAAUUGAAAGACUAAGCUAAAUAGACUAGCCAACAACUUUGCACAAGAGAGUUCAAAAAUUAAGGUCAUGGUAUUAAGGUGUUCUAUCUUGAAAAGUAUAGCGUAGUAAUAAAAUAAAAACUAAUAGUCUUUGGUAAGAUAUAACAUUUAAAUAAUAAUUUUCACAAAAAUACAAAGAAUAUUUAUAAAGUACUUCUAUAGUGAGGACACCCUCACUUUGUUAAAGUGAAAAUAUCAAUAAUAUACAAAAGACAUAUAUUUUAACACAUUAAAAAUUGUAUUUUUUUUUAUCUAUUGGUGUAUUGAAAUAUGUGUUAUUUAGUUUGUUAAUGAUAUCAUUACUUUGUUAAAAUGAGAAUGUCGUUACUAGAGAAUCAUUAUAUAUACAUAUAUAAAGUGCCUCUGUCCAAGACCUAGACUUUAUUAACAUUUAAGAAAGCAAAUAUAUUUUAUAUGGUAUAAUAGUGUAAUAACAUCACACAAUUAUAUCAUAUAGAGUAAUAGUUUUUCGAACUUUAAUAAAGUUCAAGAUUAUAGAAUGAAUGAUUUUUAUAUAUUAUAAAUUUUUUUAUCAUAAAUGGAGGACAAAAUUAACAUAUUUUCAAAUUAUAAUAAGUAUUUAUCAAAUAAUUUAACAUUGCAAUUUCUCCUAACUAGUAUAGUAAAUAAUACGACCUAGGAGAUACAUUCAAAGCAUUUCAUAAGUUAGUUGUUAAUAAUAAAUGAUAUAUGCAGCUCCAAUCAUCAUUGUACGGUGAGUAAUUUCCAGUUAUAAAUAGAUAUUACUCCCUUCCCAGCAAUUUUUGAUGACUUAAUUUAGUGGGAUCAAAAUCAACAUUGAAUUUUUGACCAGCUGCCAACAACUUGUGAGCAGUUCACAGUGGGUACUGCACAUGAUGCCUGUUUCUCCUUUUGCAUCUAUUUUUGUUGUUAACAUUAAUUUCAAUAGCAGCUCGUUAAUCCCAAUUGUUGAUUUGGGACUAGAUAAGAAUUUAUCUUGGAACUCCAAUUCUCCCAAUUAUUUUAGUUGACAAUAUAUUUAACAUUAUUAAUUGCAUAUUAUUUAAUUAUCAGUAUAUAAUAUUCUUUAAUUUUCUAAUUUUAUAGGAUUAGACACAAAAUUGAUUAUGCCUUUUGAAAUUUAAGGGUUAUGUCAAUUGAAUAGAAAACUUGGAGGUAAACUUGUGGAUGUUUUUGUUGAUUAUCAAUUUAUGCAUGAAUUUUUGUACGUUUACUUUGGUUUAUAAUUAUUACUUUUAAAUAUUUUUGUUGGUUUGAUUUAGGGUCAAUUUGGUAAUCCUGUAGCUUUUAAAAUAAUUACAAUUAGUUAUGCUGUAGAAAUUGAUCAAUCGUCAAGAGAAUCAGCUGAACAUUUAGUAAAAUUUAUUUUUAAAAGUACUUUUAGUUUUAAAAGCGUUGUAUGAAUAAAACUGUUACACUAAAAAUUAAAUGUAUUGCCCACAUGGGUAAAUAAAGCUAUAUAUUACAACUGUUACACUAAAAAUUAAAUGUAUCUUAAACCCAAACUUCUUCUUCCUUUUUUUUUUUACUAACAAAAUUAAAAACAAUAGUGAACACAUUCUUUAAUAAACAAUAAGUAAUAAAUAAAAUCGUGUUAAAUUUCUUAAAAACUUUCUUUCACGGUUUGCUAAAUAUUUUUAUUAGUAUUUUAAAUAAAUAAAAAUAGUUGAUUUAAUUUUUUUAAAUAAACUUAUUAGGUUCAUGUAAAGAUGUUUUUGUUAUUUUAAAAAGUGUAGAAAGUACUCCUAAAAAAAAGCGUAGAAAGUAAAACUUAAUUUUUUAAAUUUAUUUGCUGAGUGCAUAAAUAAUUGAGUGUUCAUAAUGAUUUUUAAAGUAUAGAUAGUCGGACCCUAAUUUUUUAAUAUAUGAAAAUUUUGCUAAUAUGUUAAUGAGAAUUAAAAAGAUAAUUAAGGGAGGCAAUCGAGACAUUCAGGAUAGUUAGGAUGGGACAUGAUUGUGAGUGGUUUGAUAUUGGUCCUAAUUUUGAUCACAAAUAUAUAAACAGGACGAGUUUAUCUCUACUGACAUUCCAUUUGAUAAUUAAGAUGAGAGCGGAAUUGUCAAAUCUCAAAUCAUCCUGAACCAUUGCCAUCAAAGGUACUCUCACUAAUAAUAUCUAAAGAAAAAUCUACAUCUAUUUCAUACUUUUUUUUUUUAAACGGAAAGAGCCUUCAUGGGGCUUGAAAUGUUAUCCCAAAUAGUAUUAAGAAUAUCAAGCCAUGAUUGGGUUUGAGACAAACAAAUAUUACAUAGUUAGGAUACGUAGUUAUAGUGUCCCAAUUUAUGUAGUAUCUAUCAUUUAGUGCACAUAUAAAAUAUUAAUCAGCUUAAUUAAUUUAUAAAAUUUAAAUCUAAUUAAUAAGUGAUACAUAAAAGCCAAGUGCAAUAUUGUAUAUGCAAAACAUGUUUGUGGAUCAUUACAAAACUUGCUCUUGAAAACAAGCAAGAAAGCUUAAUUAAGAACUUAAAACAAAAAGAAUUAGAUUGAAAACAGUCAAGCUUUAUUUUUUCAAGGAUGGAGCUUAUAAAUCUUCAAGUACCAACAUAUGCUUGGCCCAAUUGUUGUUAUUAAAAUUUCAAUAUACAUAUAUAAGUAUGAUAUAGCAAAAAUUUGAUGGUACAUAUCUCGGAAUAUACUAGUUCAUGGAUGCAUUUGAUUAUUGUUUCCAUAAAUUUGAACCGGGAAGGAUGACAUGAUAAAAUUUGAUUUUAUGGUAUGGUUGAUUUCAGAUCUCAUGCCCUCAUUUCUUAAGAUAAUCAAAUUUUCUCUGGCAUCUUUUGCAACUGUGGAAAUAUCAAUUAUGAUCAAUCAAAACGAUUUCAAAACCUUUUAACGAGACAUAUUUAUAAUACAAUAUUGUGAAAAUUACAACAAAAAAUUAAUUUAUUAAAUAAUAUAUUAUUAUCCAACGAGCACACAAAAAUGAAUUCGUACAAAUCUAAAAUACUUAGCAAUUUUCAAAUAGAAUUUACCAUGUACUACAAGAAAAUAGGGUAUAUGUGACCCCUAAUGUGAAUGCAAAUUUGCAAAAGCAGCCAUUACGCAUGCCACUAACUUCUAACUUUGCAACCUCGAGUUGCUUACUUGCUUUUGUUACCCUUUAUGUGACGGCCACACUGCUGUCACAUAUGUUACUAACCACGUGACGGUAAAGAGCCGUUCGGUAUAGCACUAUUUUAGAAAUUUAAAUUUAUUUCCAGUUAGAAAACUAUUCGCUGGAAUAGCCACCAUCGUAAACCUAACUGGUUGCCGGCGAACGGCGUAAAACACCGGGCAUCUUCUUCUUCAUCGUAUUCUCCCUUCAUCUUUUGAGGUAAGCUUGUGAUUAUGAGUUUCUUCUCUGACUUAGCUUGUAAUUAUAGAUUUUGAUUUUUUUUUUUAAAUUCGUAUUGUAGCCAUUAUUGUCAAUUUUUGUCCCGCCAGCAAUAUUUUUUUAUUCCUACAAGUUGAAGCCCCUGUGUUCUUGUUCCAUUGGUGAGUUUGCUCACUCAAAUUAAUUUUGUUCUGCGGAAUUUACAAAGUUCAAAUGGAUUCAUUUGAAUUACUAUUGAAUUUAGCUUUAAUUCCAACAUCCAUUCUAAUGUUUUGCUAUUAGAUUUAGUUUAAUUUUAUGUUUAAAGCAUCUACAAUGAAUAGCGGAGCUUGGGUUUUAGUUUCAUUUUCUGGAUAACUUGUUUUAGUUUAUCUUGUAUGCUCACCAAGUGCUUGUUAUAUUGUCUGAUAAGUUAUAUACAUUGCUGAUUCUAUAUUAAUAAUGUUACGUUCUAUUUUCAGAAAUUAUAAUACAAAAGUUUUUACAAUGGCGUGCAUCUACAAACUGAAUUGACUUGUAGAAUAAGAGCUUGCAGUAAAUGAAAGUUCAUAUUGUGUAAGAGCAUGGAGAUGUAAAGCAUCAUUACCAUAUCUACAAAGUGCUUUCAUUAUGGUCAGAUGCUCUUCUUGAACUUUGAAAGGUGCCUCGUUCAAGUCCUAGCUAUAACUACUAGCUUUGAUUAAUUAAGUUCCAAUACUAGCUGAAACAGAUUUAUUUAAUUAAUUAAUUGUGUAUAUACUAAUUAUAUUGAAAGUAUAUGAAACUUUUUUUUUUUUUAAACAUGAAUGACUUCUAAAUGACUUAAAAACCUAAAGGAUGUGUGAAAUAAUGCUCAUUUCACUUGAAUGAGCCUAUUAAUACUUUCUAUGAUUGUCAAUAUUGGCUUAAGCAUUUCAGUUAAGUGGUUUACCUAACAGAGAAAAAAAUUUAAUAGAAAACUUCAGAGUUCUAACAGAAAUAUAGUUCACUCUGCAGAUAUAGUUAUUUUACGGUAUACAAAUUAAGUUGUCCUAAUCUCAAUGUCCUGUGACCGAUUUUAUUUUAUAUAGUCAUUAAUUUUUGCCAUGGUUUUUUGUGUUUAUGAGUAUGAAAUAGUGGGAUUUGGUGUACCUUAGCAUCUUUUGAAAAUUCUCUUUAAGUAUGGCCAACAGAAAUAUACAUAUAAUCAAGUUUCUUAAUUGUGUAUAUUAGUUUUGGGUACGAAUGUUCCUAUUCUAGUUCUAGACAAAGCUUCUUUGUUUUGGUCUUCAGAUUUCCAGUAGGUUAAGUUAAUCAACUAUCAUAACUGGCUAGCUACUUAUUGUCUGCCUUGGCGCCAUUACCCAGGCCAUUAUAUUGCAUAGCAUAAGGAAUAGUGAUUAGGUGAUUAUUAGUGAUUUGUUGAGCUUAUUAUUGACCAAACAAACAUAUUCGCCUUUGCCCACAACCUAGUUUGAUUAGUUUUAGACCACAAAGAGCCUUGAUCUAUUCAUUGGCUUUAUUAUUUUUAUUUGGUUUUUCUUUCAACAAUAUUUUUGAUUUCUUAUAAAAAUAUUCAUUGGUUUUUAAACACCUAGUCAUUGGCUAUAUGAAGCAAAUUAAAACUGAGGCUUUGGAUCAAUUUCUUCUAACAAGAUACAAAUGAGCAUAACCUUUCUCCUCUAAGUAAUUUUUUUUAAUAUCCUUGAUUUGUAAGGAUCUGGAGGCCUGAAAUCCUCUAGAUUUUUUUUAACACUGUCAAUGUCCUUUUUAUUCUGAAAAGGAAAUAAAAGGUUUUAUCUUUCAUACCCUAAUAGUAGGCUGGCCUUGUCUUAACAUGGCUUCUUGAGGAUUUGCAAGAUUCAUAGUUCCCCCAACACACGCCCCCCAAAAAAAAAGAAGAAAAAGAAAGAAAAAAGAAAAAAGGAAGAUUUUGCAAGAUUCACCACCAGUUUUUUUUUUUAAUUUAUUAAUUGUGUGUACGUACUAGUUAUAUGUUGAAAGAAUAGGCAGAAGUAUUUCAACAUGAAUGACAUAAAACUUAUUGCUCAGUAAACAUAAUCUGCAUCAGUGGGAAAAUGUAUUUAUCGUUUGUAUUUUUUAUGGUUUUGCUUAAGAAAUGAUAUGUGAAAUAAUGCUACAUUGUAUCAGGAAUAAAUUGAAGAGAUUUAUGAUAUUUAUGUGUUAUUCAAAUUUCAGAUUCAAUUUUAAACUUUUGAUACGUGCAUUGAAAGCUUAGACUUGUUUAAGAAAUUAUUAAUAGACACAUGUUGUAUUAGUGUCAUCUUUGGAUGAUAGUGAGGAUCAUAUGUCUAUUAAUAAUUCUUGAAUUGUCCAGGCUUGGACAGUUUGGGAAUGCAUAGUUCUCUCUGGUAGCUAGUAGCUGAAGUUUUCUUCCCACGUAAAAAUGGCUUUUUCGGUAGCUGCUCCUCGUGUUCUCUGGGUACGUACUAGGUGAAUGGGUGUCAUGUGUUGUUUUGGCAUAACGCAUAAACACUUAUAUAGCUUUGUCGUGAGCUUGGAGAAUUAUAGGGAGAUGGUGCUGAAAUUUUUAUAAACGUAGAAGAAAACUUUAGGUACUUGAGAUUGAAAAAACAUAUGCAUUCUUGAGUGGGAUAUGUAGGAUUUAUCACUUACCUUUGGUAAAUAUGAAGGGAAUGUUGACUCCUUGAAAUAUGCCCAAACCCAUGGAGUAUCUAAAUAAGUCUGAAAACCAAACACUGUUACCUACUAGACGACAAAGCAGAAAAAUUUUCUUGACUCGCUCACCUUUUAAAUAAUUGAAACUCAGCUCAAUACUUGAAUAAGUUUCUGCAGGCACAUCUUCGAAGUUUACCAUUGAAGGCGUUCGGAGCUCUCGCAAGGCAUUCUUCCAUUCAUGGAGACUCUAGUUUCUCAGUGCCCUCAACGCAAUGGGCAAACCUCCAUAUGCCUUAACUACAUUAAUUGCUGUAGACUUGAACUUACAAUUUUCAACAUCAUCACCAUUCAUUAUCUUAAACAAUCUCCAGGCUUCUUGUUCAGUUAGAUUGCCAAUCAAAAAGUUAUCUUUGGAGUCCAUACUUAAAAGCACAUUAUUAUCUCUUGCUGUCAGCAAUAGUCUACAUCCUUUAUGAUUAUUUCCAAAAGGAAUUCCAACCGUCUCCAAAUCAAGAUGUUUCCAGAUAUUAUCUAGAAUCACAAGAAUCUUAUUCUCACUCUUCAAUCGUUCAUACAGCCUACUAGCUCUUCUAUAUUCAGCUUCAUCGGACAACUCCAGACCUAACUUCUCUGCAAUUUCCCCUUGAAUCUUUUUUAUCUCUGGAGUUUAUGAAACCUCUGAUAAAACCACCCCAUAAAACAGCUUUUUUCCCUGGCUUGCCUAGCAAACUCUUUCACCAGUGUGGUCUUUCCAAUGCCGCCUAUGCCGUACACCCCAAUAAUGCUGACAUUCGCCUCCGUCAAUGCAUUUUUAAUAGACUGCAAAGUAGAAAGUCUUGAUUCGAAGGCCUCGUAACCACUGCUAGACUUAAGCCAUAUCUCCUCCGGAAUGGUACGGUGGGAAACAGUAUCAAACUUCUUAACUUCUUCUCCAAGUUCAAUAAUGGCCUUCACCUCCGUCUCUGCUUUCUUGCUAAGCUGAUAGCGACUCUUCCAAUGAGGACUCAAGCCCUUGACACAGCGCUUAUUCGUUGACUCCUCAUCUUCAAUGAAUUUGGCUGCCCGGUCAAUGAUGCCGUUCGCACUUCGCAGUAACCAGCCACUUUUCAACCUUCUCUUCAAUCUCUUCCCCUUUUUCUUUCGCCUCUGAAACCCUGCGCUGAAUGCUCGUAUGUUCAACCUUCAACUUCUCCAUUUCCGCCUUGAUAUUCUCAAAGUUGGCAUUGUAGUUCCAAAUAAACAAGUUGGCGUGCAGUUGGAGGAGCCAAGCAUUUUACAAGUUCCAAGACGAUAGUCACAAUGAUUUCCAGCAUCUCGAAUCCUGACAAAAACGUAGAAGCGAAGAAAGCCAAAGGAAAGUAAAAACAAAGAGACAGCGAUAGGACAAGCAAUUGUGUUUUUCAGAUGAGAUGAAGGAAACAAGAAAAGGGUUUCUAUCACGACGUAAAGAGCUAAAAGAGCUGAUGGGUACAGAAUAAGAAAUGAGACUGAGGAGUGAGCAAAGCUAAAUAAUAACAGAACAAGAACAAUGACGAAUAGAAGAAACAGUAGCAAAGAGCCGUUUAGAUGAUUAGAAUGAAACUAAGCGACUGGAAAUAGUAGAUGGUAGACUAAAGAGAAAGUGAUUGAUUAUUUUAGGAGGCCAAUUAACGUAAUGACAGAUCCGGUUUCGAUGUUUGUAAUUUGAGUAUGAGGUAAAUCGAUUCUUUGUCGAGCCAGUCAAAUACAAAGGCAAAUUAGUAAAACACGAGCCAGCAACUUUUACUCACACAAAAGCCAAUAAUAUAUUGAGAUCACGCAACAUUGCAAUAAAGUUAUCAUCAAGUUGUAGCCUUCUUAUUCAAUCAAUUAUGGCAUUAUCUCUAGCUCUGUAUUUUUCAAAAAAAAAAUUAUUAUUCAAAAGAUGUCUGUCAUUAAUUUUUCAAUGAUUAAAAUUAUAAUUUUUGUUUAAUAUAUAUAACGUAAAAUUUUAAAAGAAUCAGACAUGCAUUAGGGUUAAAAUAAAAAAUAUGGAGGUAGCUUUUAACUAGGUAAUUGGCUCAACUAUGGAUCAGUGUGAGAUCACUAUUUUUCUUAUUAAAAAAAAUUCCAGCCAAACAAUUGUCGCAAAAUCUUAAUAUAAAUUACAAAAAAAGACAAUAUUUUCUAAAAUCAUAGCAAUAAUUUAUAUUUUGAAUACCUGUAAAUAAACCACUUAGAAAGCUUUCGAAACACGAAUAUUGUUGUCGUUUUUAAAGACUUGACAUUUUGGGUAAUCUGAAUUAACAAUGCACAUCACUUGUUUGUCACAAUGUCCAAAUAAAUAAUUUUAAAAAAAAGUUAUUUUCAUUCUUUCUUUUCAGGUAUCCUAAUUCCUUUUGCAGUUUGAUUCCUCUUUUCCUGAAUUUCACACAGCGCACCCACAUUUUUUGACCAUGUGCACCUCCCCCUAUUUCUAUUAAAAAAUCAACUAAUCUAACUGUUUAGGCUGUUAUAAAUUUAAAAGACUAUACUACCCUUAUUUUGAAUGAAUUGGGUAUAUAAGUACUAAAAUACCCUUACAACUAAUAAAAUUUAAAUCAAAAAGUAAAAAUUUAUUAUAAUAUUUUUAAAUUUAUAUGUAUACGAUUUUUUCCCGGAUUACAAACCCAAGAUUAUAAACCUAGUAAAUUACAAAAUCAGAGGCAAAGCAUGAUUCCAAUGUGAAAGAAAAAAAUCAAACACACAUUCAUCAGUACAUUACAAAAUAAAUCCGAUAAUCCCACCAAAACAAAUAAAACCCAAUAGAAAGAAACCCUAAACUAAUGAUACCAAAAUCCCUGAGAGCAAAUUUCAUUGUAAAAUUCUAUUACAAAAUAAAUUCAUACUAAGAAAAUUCAAUAAAAAGAAACCCAAUAAUCAAAAAUCUUAAAACUAAAGAUAUCAAACCCAAAAUUAAAUUAUAGAGGUGGCGAAAGAAAAAGGGUUUUUUUAAUUAUAUAUAUUAUUUUAAUCUUGUGUUAAUUACCAUUCUACCCUUCUUUCCGUUAACAUUAGAUUUGAAAGAAAUGAGGGUGGUGGACAUGGUCUGUAGAUUGGGGGCACAAUGCAAAAUGUCAAAACAAUUGGGGCUAAUGCUAAAUUACACAUUAUUUAAAUUAAAUUAUCCUAAUUGUAUUUUUAUUAAUUAAUUAACAAUUAGUUUCAUUACUAUGAUAGUUUUGUCACUAUGUUUGUUACCAUCUCUCAAAAAAAAAAAAAAUUACUUUUACAUGUCGAAUUGUGUAACAACGAUUUAAUGAAAAAUUAGAAAACAGCACGACAUCUCGUGGCUUAACAUGGUCAUCAUGAAUAUCCCUUAUUAUUAAAAAAUGAACAAACAAACUCUUUUUUAAUACAUGUAGUCCUUUUUUUUAUAUUUCAAAAUAGUUAAACAGAUCCUGAAUUUGUGUGUUCCUCAAUAAAUUUUCAUGAUCAUUUUUUAAAAUAAGGGAUUUUUGUGAUUAUUUUGCCACGUCCAAGGAUGCCGCUGUUCUUGUCACCAAAAAUUAUUCUCAUAAGAGUCAUGAUUAAUUGGACGUCAGCAAUGAGGGCAUGUAAUGAAAAAAAUUUGUUUUGCAUGGGAUCCAAUAAUUUUAAUUACAAUGGUGGUGACAGACCCAGCUGGAAAAUCAACUGAUUUUAGAAUUCUGUUGAAAAUUCUUUAAAUGAUCACUAUAUCUCUAGUUCGAUUAUAUCCUUAAGCUCAUUGAUUCUUUUGUAUUGAUUUUGUUACUUCUUUUCUAAGAAAUAUUAUAAGAACUGCUCAGGCUGUAAGAUUGAUAAGCUUAAAGAGUCGGAACGAGGCUUACCAGUUCGUAAGCUUUUAAUUAUUUGGAUUGCUGUGCUUGCAACUGGUAAAUUUUUCAACUUCAACUCGAUAUAAUGAUUUUGGAGAGAACCAUUUACAGUGAUUUUCAAUUCUUUUGUGAUUUUUUUUUUCAGUUCUGCCAGUCUCAUCUCUCUUUCCCUUCCUUUAUUUUAUGGUGAGUGGAUUAUUAUUGCCUUCAGCGCAGUGGUUAUUAGUGAGAAAAUUUAUAUUUUCCUAUCAAGCUUGGUGAUUUUCUGAGAAAUAUAAGAAAAGACAAGUUUUAUAUGUCAAAUAAUUCAUUGCUUUUUCACAGCAGUCAUUUAUGAUUUCUUUUCAGAUUAGGGAUUUUCACAUUGCAAAAAGGGAGGAAGAUAUUGGAUUCUAUGCUGGUUACGUGGGUGAGUUAUUCUAUGUUUUUUUUUAUCGUAUUUAAUAAAUGACACACAGUAUGGAGUCCGUCUUGGGUACGAAUGUCCACACCUUAUAAAGUGCUGACUCACGCCUUUACAACUCUGGGAAGACAUUCUACCGAGACUUUACAUCACUGUAAACGCACUGUACAAGAGCUUUACAAUACGGACCCGCGUCUUUACAACUUUAAAGGGCCAAGUCUAUGCUUUAAAAAGUACAUAUGUUCGCACCUGGAAACGAUUUACAUAUGUAUGUAUAUAUGUAUAUAUGUAUGUAUGUGUGUGUAUAUAUAUGUAUGUAUGUAUGUGUGUGUGUGUGUGUGUAUGUAUGUACGACCAAUAAAACAGUUCAAAUUCCUCGAGAAGUUAUCCUAACAAGCAUCUUAAUACCUUGAUGAAAUUGAAGGGUCUUAAUACAUGCUUGGCAGAGCUCUAACAUCUGUUUUGUGGGGAAUGGUGGCUGACCGCUGUGGUCGAAAGCCUGUAAUAAUAAUAGGAAGCAUCACAGUGUUAGUGACUUCUAUUUUCAUAUGAUCAAGCUUGAAAUUGAUGAUACUUCGGCAAUUUCUGGAUUUCUUGUCUGUCUUAAAAUGCUCACAGGGUUAUUUUUAACACUCUUUUUGGGCUUAGUGUGAAUUUCUGGAUGGCCAUAGCUACAAGGUUUCUCCUUGGGGCUUUGAAUGGUUUACUUGGACCAAUAAAGGUAUUGAUUGGGGGUAUUUGUUGAUAAUUCCAAUUUAAUUCCUGCAAAUAUUUGUGCUCAAACUUCUCUUACACCACGAGGCAUAUGCAUGUGAAAUAUUGCGCGAUCAGCACCAAACUUAUUACGAAACCAAAAAUGUUACUUGUUUUCUGUACUUGCUUUCGCAUGCAUCACCCCCACAAAACUGCUUGACGAUUGUCCUCAUUUUGAACUUACUAUAGGUUUCAUUCUCCUUGUUUUUCAACUUACUCUGUACCCUUACGUCGAGAGGAUUAUUGGGCCAAUAAUCAUAACACGAAUUGCAGGGGGUAAUAUUUUGAACACCUCAUGCGGCAUUUGGACCAUUUGAUAGUUUGUUUCAAACAUAUCUGUUUAUAAAAUACUUUUCUUCAUGGUUUUGGUCCCAUAACUUUCUAUGUAUGUACAGGUUUUAUCGAUACCGCUUUUGACAAGUUACACUUACAUAGCAAUGCUAUCUGGGUUCAGCCUUGCCUUUUUGAUAAACUGUGCUUCUGUGAUGAAGAAUGUUUUAUCUGUAAGUGGAUAUCCUAAUCAUUGAUCCAUAUACUAAGGUUAUAUUAUCCAUCAGCAAGUAUGUAUAAAAUUAUUUUGUCUUUUUUAUUAGAAUUUUUGUAAUUCUUUUUUACUUUUCCUGAAUUGUAGCAUCAGGUGUCUAUAAUAACUGGAUCGUUCCUUCUGCAAAUCAGAGCAGUGGUAAAUAUAUUUUCUUUUGUUUGUUUAGUACAUUUCCAUGCUUUCAGCUUUUUCAAAUUUUGUAUGUGCCAAAGUUUAAAUUAAUUGGUUGGUUUAUGGUAUAAUAACAGGUAUGAUAAUUUACUAAUGAAAUUUCUCACUAGUUUGUGAAUUACUUGGUGCUAAUUAGCUUAAUCAGCUGCUUAAACUAAAGUGCAGGUAACCAGAUGAUUUUUUUCAUUCUGAAUUCGGUGGAGGCACUUGGAGUAAUAUUGACAUUCAAACCGUUUCUAACUCAACGUGCCCCGUGAGUGGAGAAAAGAUGCAUCUGUUGAAAUAUUCAAAUAUAUAUCAAGCAAAUUAAAGCUUUCAAAAUCUUUCAACAAUUUGAUUGUUUGAUGUGGUUGCCACUUGCCAUAUUUUGUGUUACUUUUCUAAAGGCUUAAAUAUGAAAAUGGUUGUUGGUGCUCACGCCAAUUGAUUGCUGGUAACAUUAAUUGUGCAGUACUUGUCAGAACUACCACAAUUUAUCUUCACAAUGAUGCUAGCUAGAAAGAAAAUUUCAUGUUAAGUAAAAUAUUGAAGCCAUAAAGAGUCUUAUUCCAGAGCCUCAUUAAGUACUAAGUUUUCUGCCAUGCUUUCAAAGUUUACAAAUUCGAAGCUUGGGGAUUCUGUAACAAUGGAGGAUAAAAAUUAUAUAAGAAUAUUUUUUGUACAAUUUUCAUACGACCAGACAGAAGCGAGCAUAAUUUUUUGAUCAUAACUCAGAUCAAAAGACCUUCAAUGAUGUAUAAUAUGCACAUAAAGCUAGCUCAGAACCAGACAUUAAAACUUAUGAUGAAAGGGAAACAUAGAUGUUGAGAUUGAAAACAUAGAGAAAUUUUUUUAAAAAAUCUGAAAUUUUAUUAAUAGAAGUUUGAAUAACAAAAUUAGGGUAUUGGACCCUUUUUAUACAAAUUCUAAAUAUUAUGUAUUUAUCAAAAUAGGCAAACUUGAAAUAUUAUUACAUAAUAACGUUCUCCUAACUGAAAUAAAAAAAAUAAAACAAAUCAUACUUAAAAUCUUAUAUUUAGAGAAAAAAUAUAAAAAUAUUGAAAAUAAUAAGAAAAAUAAGAAAAUAACUUAAACUUUGUAAAAUAACUACGAAAUAAACAGAAUUUCUUGCCGAAUAGAUACCCGCUCAAGUUAUGAUCUAGGAGUGAUAUCCUACUCAUCCUAUGCAACCAUCAGCUGCAUCAACUUCAUUCCAAAAUUAACAAAUAAACCAACUGACGCAUUGCAAAUAAUAAGAUGAAACGAUAAAAUAAACCUAGAGAUCAAACAACACAAGGUAAUAUAUUAAAAAGCCUAUGGGAUCAAAACACAUCGUACUAUGUCGAGAGAGAUGACGACUCCUCCAACAGCAGAAAAUAAAUUCUUUCAUUCAUUAAUUUAAAGUAAAUUUGGUGCUCCAUCUUCUUCUCCGUCACCUAUUACCACCUCUGUCAUUGCCCUGCAUCCAGCUACCUUCAUUGAUACGAGCCGCACUAGACUUUCUGCUGUAGUGGACGGAUGUUACAAUUCCUUGCAAUGGAAAAUCAACAGUUCUGUUAGAUUCCCAAAAGAUAUAGAUGAUCAUGGGAAUAGACUUAAAUGCUUGUAAAAUAGUCGUAGAAUGUCAAGAUAUUUAAAAUGGAGUCCAGUUUGGAGUUGCUUCAAUGAUUAAGUCUGGACAGGAUUAACCAUUUUAUCAGUGCCUACUUCCCCACUUGUUUUUAGCAGUAUCCGGCUUGAUUUAAGAAUCUCUUUGUAUGAACUAUAUUACCCAAAAAAAAAAAAAAUCUUAUUUCAAAUGAUGCACAGGAGAAGAGUUACUUGAAUCUUCAUCAGUAUCCAGACAUUCUACAAUCACAGAGUAAAGAGUUCUAGCAGGAAAAACUGAGAAAACAACGUACUUCUAUAGUUUUUCACAAUAUUUCCAACGUUUUCAAACAAUAUUUCCACAAUAUAGUUUUUCAUAGCGAAGAGUUUUGCUUUGGUGGUCUAAGGAUUUGUUCUAGGCAUAAUGCUCUGAUUAGAUUUUGUUUAUUUUUAAUUUUUUAUCCGAUGAAUGAUUUUCAGCUGGUCUUAAUUAUGUGUUCAUAGGGAAGAGCAUUUGGAAAGAUCAUCAAAAAAAAAAAAAAAAAAAGUUUCCAAAGAAAGAUAGGUGUGAAGCAAACCAAACUAAAUGAACAAACUAAAAUAACAGAACAGCAAUGAUGUUUUCAAGGAAUUAUAAAAUAUGAAGGCUUUUAAUGAAAUUUUAUCAUACAAAGUAUGCAAGGAAUUAUAAAAUUUUAGAAAACAAGGGGAACUCUCAAAAAAAGAAAAAAAGAAAAAAAUACUCAAAUUAAACUAGACUAGAAGACAUUCAAUGAUGCAAAAUCUGUCCACAAAAGUCUGAACGAAUCAUUAAAAUUGCAUUCCAAAUUUAACAGUAAGCCGAUUGACCCAUUCUAAAUAAUUCAUAUGAAAUUGCGAAACAAGCCAUGAGAUCAAAUAAAUGAAAUAAAAAAUAAUUACCAGCUGAGGCUUUCUUCUAAAAUUCACAACUCCCAAGUCAUAAGAAGCCUAUGAAAUUAGUACUGGGUAGAGAUCGCCGACUGCACCGCCAACAGCUGAAAAUAAAAUUCUUAUUCAUCAAUUUAAACUUUUACUUUAUAACAAAUAUCUUAUCUAUAUUUUAUUAAAAAAAAAAAUUGUAAAAUGUUUCCAUGGGAGAUAGAGAGUACUAUGUAUAUCCGUACCUUUUCAGCAUGUAAUUGUUGUAUGGUUGUGUUUAGAUCAUUAUUGGUCCAAAGCAAUCGAUCCUCUGUCUCUCCAUAGCAGACGUUUACUCUUGGAGGCGUGAUUGAUUCUCCUGUAGUGAAAAUCUUCAUCUUGGGACAACCAAUCACCCACAAAUCUUGCAAAGAUGGGAAUUUGAAGGUGUAGUUGGCAGAGCUGAAACUUGUGAAGCUAUCUAAAUCAAACAGUUCCAACGUCUUCAAUUUGCUAAAAACAAUCUCUUCUUUUUCAACUCCAUCUUUGUCAUUUAUUACCACCUCUGUCAUUGCUCUGCAUCCACAUACUUGCACUUUGACGAGUUGCACUAGAGUUUUUGCUGUGGAGGAUGUUACCAAGUGUAUCAAUCCCUUGCAACCGAAAGCCACCAGAGCUGUUAGGUUCUGAAAAGAUACCGAUGAUGAUGGCAAUAGAAUUAACAGACUUUGACAAUGAUGUACUUUUAGAAUUUCAAGAUACUGAAAAAUGGGGCCAAGUUUGGAGUCUUGUUUGCACAGCUGCUUCAGAUGAUAGUGCCGGUUCAGCUGUAAUUUUUUUAUCAUUGCCAACUUCCCCACAUGUUUCUCUAAGCUUCCUUCCUCCGAAAAUACCUCUUCGUUGAAUGAAAAAAAACACAGUAUGAGCAUUUCCAGAUUGUGAAAUCUCUCCAGUACGUUCCAGACUGGAAAACAAGCUGAGUCAUCUCCAGCAAUCUCUAGUUGUUUAAGACUGCCAAAAAGGUGUUGUGGGAAAUCGGCCUGCAAAAUCAUCUUCACAUCUUUUCCACUUAGUGAUAGUUCCUUCAAGUUGGGUACGAUCUGAUCAUCAUCAAUCAUAAUAACUAAUGAGGUCAAUUGAUGAUCUACGGUCACACGCAGUGACUUUAUAGUAUUUGUUUUAUAUUAUAUUUUUUUAAAAAAAUUGAAUUAUUGAUAAAAUUUAUUUUAUAUGUUAAUUUUAGAGGUAAAAAAGAAAUUAGGGAAAAAAGGUUGAUUUAUACUGGCUCGAAAUUAUUUUAUUGCACAAUAAUAAAUUACUAAUUUAUUUUGUAAGUUCUUCUAUAUGGAAAGACUAAGGAUUCUUUUAUAAAUGCUAUACCUAAAACAGUUCAUAUAAUUAUUAAUCUACCACAUUGAUCUCUUAGGUAAUGUUUAUAUAAUUAUGGCAAGGCAUGAUUAAAUUGAUCAUUUGUUUGGUAACAACUUUAUUAAUCGGGUUCUGGCAGAUUUUCUUGGUCACAAAAGCGUCAAGAUGCUGGUUUCCUCCCAGGUAUGAUGAUAUACUAAUGAAAAUUCCCACUAGUUUGUGAGUUGCUUUGUGCUAAUUAGCUUAAUUAGCUGCUUAAAUUAAAGUGCAGAUAACCAGGUGAUUUUUUUCAUUCUGAAUUUGGUGGAGGCACUUGGAGUAAUAUUGACAUUCAAACCGUUUCUAACUCAACGUGCCCCGUGAGUAGAAAAGAUGCUCUGUUGAAAUAUUCAAAUAUCUAUCAAGCAAAUUAAAGCUUUCUAAAUCUAUCAACAAUUUGAUUAUUUGAUGUGGUUGCCACUUGCCAUAUUUUGUGCUACUGUUCUAAAGGCUUAAAUAUGAACAUGGUUUUUGGUGCCCACGCCAAUUGAUUGCUGGUAACAUUAAUUUAUCUUCACAAUGAUGCUAUCUACAAAGAAAUUUUCAUAUCAAGUAAAAUAUUGAAGCCACAAAGAGUCUUAUUCCGGAGCCUUAUUAAGUACUAUGUUUUCUGCCAUGCUUUCAAAGUUUACACAUUCGAAGCUUGGGGAUUCUGUAAUAAUAGAGGACAAAAAUUUUAUAAGAAUAUUAUUUUGUACAAUUUUCAUACAACUGACAAAAGCAAGCAUAAUUUUUUUAUCUUAACUCAGACCAAAAGACCUUCAAUGAUGUAAAAUAUGCACAUAAAGCUAGCUCAGAACCAGACAAUAGAACUUAUGAUGAAACGGAAACAUAAACGUUGAGAUUAAAAACAUCGAGAAACACCCUUUCAAAAAAAAAAAAAAAAAAUCGAGAAACACAGCUUUUGAAAAGUCUGAAAUUUUAUUAAUAGAAGUCUGAAUAACAAAAUUAAGGUUUUGAACCCUUUUUAUACUAAUCCUAAAUAUUACGAAUUUAUUAAAAUAAGCAAACCUGAAAUAUUAUUACAUAAUAAGGUUCUCCUAACUGGAAUAAGAAAAAUAAAAUAAAUCGUAUUUAAAAUCUUAUAUCUAAAAAUAAAAUAUAUAAAAAUCUUGAAAAUAAUAUGGAAAAAUAAGAAAAUAUCUUAAACUUGUAAAAUAACUAUGAAAUAAACAAAAUUUCUGGUUGGACCAUGAGGCCAAUAGGGUGUCAUAGUAUUAGAUUAAUGGUAUAUUAUACGCCCUAGAUAGAUACUAUAGCUCAAUUUAUGAUCUCGGAGUGAUAUCCUACUCAUCCUAUGCAACCAUCGUCUGCAUCAACUUCAUUCCAAAAUAAACAAUAAACGAAUUGACGCAUUGCAAAUAAUUUAGAUGAAACGAUAAAAUAAACCUAGAGAUCAAAUAAAAUGAAAUGAAAAUGAUAGUUACCUCGGACUUUCUUCUUCAAAUUUCGCAGCACUAUGUAAUAAAUUAAAAAGCCUAUGGCAUCAGAACAUAUCGUACUGCGUCAAGAGAGACGACGACUCCUCCAACAGCUGAAAAUAAAUUCUCUCAUUCGUUAAUUUAAAGUAAAAUUUGUAAAUUUAGGUACUUGCUGAAGAAACGUGUUUUCAUUUCUUAAAUAAAGCAUUAUACAUUGAGAGUUAUUUAUAGAUGCAGAGGCUACAUUUUUUCAAAGAUUACAUAUGUGAAUACGGAAGGAAAUGUGUCAAUCCGUUCGGCGCGAAUCAUCCGUUCGGCGCGAAUCUUGUCUUUGACAAGUGCAGAUUACCCCUUUGACAAGUGCAGAUUCUGUCUUUGAAAGCUUCAUUCAAUGUCGUUUUAUUUGAUUUUCAACACUCCCCCUCAAGCUGGUGCAUAGAUGUCUUUCAUACCCAACUUGUCUAGGAAUUUUGUAAAUGCCCUGCUUGAAAUGGCCUUCGUUAAAAUAUCUGCAAGUUGAUCUUCUGAUCGAAUUUUCGGCAGUUCUAAGAUUUUUUCAUCUAAUUUCUCCUUGAUGAAAAAUCUAUCUACCUCCACAUGUUUUGUUCGAUCGUGUUGAACUGGGUUAUGAGCAAUAUCUCGUGCAGCUUUGUUGUCACAGUAUAGUUGUAUUGGUUGUUGUGAUGGAUAGCCCAUAUCGUUUAAGAUAAAACUUAUCCAUAGCCCUUCACAUAUCCCAAGGGCCAUGCCUCGAUAUUCUGCUUCAGCGCUCGAACGGGCAACGACAUGUUGUUUCUUGCUUCUCCAUGUGAUAAGGUUUCCUCCCACAAAGGUAAAGUAUCCUGAAGUAGAGCGUCUAUCACUAACUGACACGGCCCAAUCUGCAUCAGUAUAAACUUCUAUGUUGCUGUAAUCUUCAUUUUUGGAAAGUAAGAUUCCUUUUCCUGGAUUUGUCUUCAGGUACCUCAGGAUCCGCAUUACUGCUUUCAUGUGUUGUUCUCCGGGAUUAUGCAUAAACUGGCUUACAACACUCAAUGCAUAAGCAAGAUCUGGCCUUGUGUGGGACAAGUACAUCAAUCUUCCAAUCAGCCUUUGAUAUCUUCCUUUGUCUACUGGAACUUGGUCUGAAGUAAUACAAAACUUCAGUCCUUCUUCUAUUGGGGUGUCAAUAGGCUGACAAGCUGUCAUUCCCGUUUCGUGCAAUAGAUCUAAGGCAUAUUUCCUUUGAGACAGAAAGAUUCCUCCCUUAGAUCGAGAAACCUCAAUUCCAAGAAAGUAUUUUAAGGCACCUAAAUCCUUCAUCUCAAACUCUCUUGACAAGUACUUAUGAAGAGCCUCUGUUUCUUCCUCGUCGUUGCCUGUAACUACCAUAUCAUCCACAUAGACAAUAAGGGCAGUGAUUUUACCUUGUCGUUUUUUAAUGAAUAAGGUAUGAUCUGAAUUGCUUUGGUUAUAUCCAAAACGAACCAUAGCCUUUGUGAAUUUCCCGAACCAUGCUCUUGGGGAUUGCUUCAACCCAUACAAUGAUUUCUUCAAUUUGCAUACUUUCUGAUUGAGUCGUUCUGGUCCACUGCAUCCUGGUGGCAGAUCCAUAUAAAUUUCUUCAGACAGGUCUCCAUGGAGGAAAGCAUUCUUUACAUCGAACUGUUGCACUGGCCAAUCCAAGUUGACUGCUAAUGAUAAUAAGAUACGAAUAGUAUUAAUUUUUGCUACCGGUGCAAACGUAUCAGUAUAAUCAAUCUCGUAGGUUUGGGUGUAACCCUUAGCUACGAGUCUUGCUUUGUAUCGUUCAAUAGAGCCAUCUGCUUUGUAUUUUAUAGUGUAGAUCCAUCGACAACCCACUAGUUUCUUUCCUGGUGGAAGAUCAACUAGUUCCCAUGUUUGAUUUUUCUGAAGAGAUCUCAUUUCAUCAUUCAUAGCCGCUUUCCACUUUGGAUCUUUUAAAGCUUCCUGCACACUGUUAGGAAUAGAUACAGCAGAUAAUUGAUUCACAAAUGACUGAUUUGAUUCUGACAAGCAAUGGUUAGACACAAAAUGACUUAUAGGGUAUUUGACUAUACUAGAGAAGUCAGGCUCAUAUGUGGGUUUAGGGAUACCUCUAUUUUGACGCUGGGGAAGAAUUCUUCUGAUUGGACUUGUGGUAGGAACAUCCUCUGCAGACGAUUGGUUAGGUAUUUCUUCAUGUGACUCAUUCUCGAUUGCAGUUGUGUCUGAGUUAUUGUGCUCCCCAAAUGUGUCUUCACAUAUCUUAGCCUGCGAAUUAUCACCAUUUGCUUUUCCAGUAUCUUGAAGGUUUACUAUCUCAAUGGAAGAUUGACUUUCUUCAGGUGGAAGAUAUGUAAGAGUAUGAAUUUCCUCUUCAUUAUACUCCCCCUGAAAUUCAGACUCUGACAAGUAGUACAUGAUAUCUUCAUGAAAAACGACAUCCAUGGUGAUGUAUAUUUUUCUUGAUGGUGGAUGAUAGCAUCGGUAUCCCUUUUGAUGUAAGGCAUACCCUACAAACACACAACGUAGUGCUCGAGGAGAUAAUUUUUCUUGUUGCGGCAAAUGAACGAAGGCAACACAGCCAAACACAUGUGGGGGCAGAUUCGGCACAUUUGGUGACAUAAUUGCAUCAUUCAGAACUUGGAAAGAAGUCUGGAAUCCAAGGGAGCUUGAAGGUGUUCGAUUGAUCAAGUAUGUUGCGGAUGCCAGUGCUUCUCCCCAAUAAGAUAAUGGCAUGUGGGCUUGGAUUAGUGAUGCUCGAACAACUUCUAGUAAAUGUCUGUUUUUUCGUUCAGCAACGCCAUUUUGUUGGGGUGUCCCCACACAAGUGGUUUGAUGGACAGAUCCUUGUGAUUUCAAAAACUGUUGAAUUGCUGUGCUCAUAUACUCGCCUCCAUUAUCAGUAUGUAGAACUCGAAUUUGUGUCUGAAAUUGAGUUGUCACCAUCUUAUGAAAUCUUUGAAAUAAAGAGUUUACUUCGUCUUUCGAUUUCAUCAGAAAAAUCCAUGUCAUUCUGCUACAAUCAUCAAUAAAUGUAACAAACCAACGAGCACCUCCAAUUGUAGAAACUUUAGAUGGCCCCCAUACAUCAGAAUGUACUACCAUAAAAGGAACUGGAUUUUUAUUUAAGGACAAUGGAAAAGUAGUUCGAUGGCUUUUUGAAAGUUCACAAACAUCACAUUUAAAGUUACAAACAUCAAAUUUCAGAAACAAACUAGGAAAUAAUUUUUUUAAGUAACCAAAUGACACAUGCCCUAAACGUCUAUGCCAUAACCAAAUUUCUGAUUUCCCUUUUUUUAUGGAACUAUCUGCGACUAGUGCAGGGCUUAGCUUUCCAGUGUUUGUUGAUGACAUCUCCAAGUAGUACAAGUUGCCUCGUCUAAUACCAUAACCAAUCGUUUGCUUCGUUUGGAUGUCCUUAAACACACAAUGAUCAGGCCAAAAAAUUACAACACAUGAUAAGUAAGUGGUUAAUUGAGACACAGAUAAAAGAUUAUAAUCUAAAGAUGGAACAAUUAACACAGCGUCUAAAUUUAAUUCAUUUGUGAGUCGUAAAGAUCCUUCCCCAAUAACUGAGGUUGUGGUUCCAUUUGCAGUGGAAAUAUGUUUUUGUGAAGAUGGUUUCAAUUGAGAAACUUGUCGAGAAUCAAAAGUCAUAUGAUCAGUUGCCCCAGAAUCAGUUAUCCAUGUACUAUUAAUAACAGGUGUAAGAGUUUUAAGGGCCUUACCUGGACUGACAGAGGUUGCGAUUUGCACUGAAGAUUCUUUUUUAAGAUCUGUAGUGGAUGUGGAUUCAGCUACUGCAGUUUUUGAUCCAUGCUUGGUGUUCUUCUUUCGAGUAUCCCACCAGUCAGGAUAUCCAAUGAUUUCAAAACAUUGUUCUUUCGUAUGACCCUUCUUUCUACAAUGAGUGCAAUGGAGUGAUGACUUGUCAACAAACUUCCUUUGAGGUUGCUGUCGUGCUAUCAUAGCAGACGUUUCUGAGUCGACCUUCUUGUUUAGUUUGCUUUGCCAUAUAUCUUCUCUUCGGAUCAGAGAAUAACAUUCUUCUAAGUCUGGAAUAAUGUCUUUUCGUAGAAUUUCUCCACGAACUUGGUCAAAUUCUUCAUCUAGCCCAGCAAGAAAAAUGUGCACUCUCAAUCUUUCAACAGACCUUCUGUAUAUUACAACAUCUUCUGGAUCCUUCAUGACCACUUUAUCUCGGUGAUCAAGUUCUCGAAAUAUUUCGACCAAUUCUCCAUAGAAUUUAGAGAGUGGUUGUCCAUUUUGCUUGGUAGAGAAUGCCUUUUGGUUUAGAGUGAAAACUUGUAAUUCAUCGCUUCCAUCAUAGAAGGCUUUUGAUAAUGCAUCACAGAUUUCGUAGGCUGUAGAAAUUCGUAAAUAUUGCUUCAUGAUCUCCGGAGACAUGGAUAUGAGUAACAAUCUUUUUACUUUUUGGUUCUCACUAUACCAUUUCUCAUAUUCCUUUUAAGAUUCCUCAAAUGGCUUUGUGCUGCUACGAAUAUAUGAGAGUUUUUCUCUUUCUGCAAGAUGCAUUUCCAUUAUUUGAGACCAAACAUCGUAGUUUGUCUCAGUGAGGAUAAUUCCAGCAUUAAAUACUCCAUCAGAUUGAACAGAUUGAAUGACAACAGGACUAGAUUCAGUUGGAGUUUUCUCCAUUUUUUUUGUUUUUGUUUUUUUUUUCUUUUUCUUUUUUCUCUUUUUUUUCUUUUUUUUUGUUUUCUUUUUUUUUUUGUUUUUUUUCCCGUCUAGAUUGAAAGAAGAAAAAAAAAAUAACCUUUUUAGGUAACAAAACGACAGGUCGUUUAGCCACUGCUUACCAAACCGACAUGUCGGUUAUGGUGGAAUAUAAACGACAUGUCGUUUUACUCCUGCUGCACUUCUGGAAACUAAGCGUCACGUCGUUUUAUCUCUAAUUUAGAAAAGACAUAUCGGUUUUAAUAUAACACAAAACGACACGUCGGUUUUUGACUGCUGCACUUCUGAGAUAAAAAUGACAUGUCGGCUGACGUCUUCUUCAACCUCUGGAGCGCGUGAGGGCGCGUGAAUGAUGACAGAGGUGCGUGGUUGACUGGCCGUGGCUUCGGUUGGCGCGUGGGAGCGCGUGGGAAUGUGUUUAAAUGCGAAAGUUUUACAGUUUCCUCACUAAAAACUGAGAAAUUUUAUGGUGUUCUUGGUUUUGGACGAACACACUCUCGGAAAAUUGAUGGGAUUGUUGAUAAAUUUGUAAACUCAAGUUUUUUACGUAUUGGUGGCUUGUUUCUUGAUCGGCAUGGAUAUCUGUAAUGGUAGGAAUGGGUUUAAGAAAGAAAAUGGUGGGAAAAAUGGUUGUGGGAGGAAUUUGGUUUCCUCUGUUUUUGUUACAAACAGAGCAACGGAACUUGAAGAAACUUGAGCGUAUUCAUGGCUCUGAUACCAUGAAGAAACGUGUUUUCAUUUCUUAAAUAAAGCAUUAUACAUUGAGAGUUAUUUAUAGAUGCAGAGGCUACAUUUUUUCAAAGAUUACAUAUGUGAAUACGGAAGGAAAUGUGUCAAUCCGUUCGGCGCGAAUCUUGUCUUUGACAAGUGCAGAUUAACCCUUUGACAAGUGCAGAUUCUGUCUUUAAAAGCUUCAUUCAAUGUUGUUUUAUUUGAUUCUCAACACUUGCACAUAGAGAUUUGCAAGGGGAGCGAGAGAUUCAAUAGCAGCAAUUUAAUUUGACGGGACUUUCAUUGAAUAAUGAAAUUAAAAACUAACGAUUAUUGAAUUUUUUAUAUUCUCUUAACUCUUGUGGAAAUGUCAGCUCUAAAUAGGACAGCUUCAAGAAUCUUUAUCUGAAAGUGUAAUUGGCAGAGCAGAAACUUGUGACACUAUCUAAAUCACAAAGACUCAACGUCUUCAAUUUGCUGAAAACAAUCUCUCGUUUUGAAUUUACAUUUGGAGCUCCAUCUUCUUCUUCGUCACCUAUUACCAUAUCUGUCAUUGCCCUGCAUCCAGCCACCUUCACUGAUACGAGCCGCACUAGACUUUUAGCUGCAGUGGAUUUUACAAUUCUUUGCAAUGGAAAACCACCAGUUCUGUUAGAUUCCCACAAGAUAUAGAUGAUCAUGGCAAUAGACUUAAAAGAUUUUUACAUGCAGUAAUAUACUCUUAAGUGGUGUUUGGUUGGGAGGAGAGAAUAGAAGAAAGGAAAGUAAUUUAAAUGCUCUUUUUAUUUCCAUUAUUUGGUUUGACAAAAUAGAUAAGAAUUUAAUUUCCAUUAGAAUUUGAAUUCCACACCAAGUAGUGAAAAAUUUAAAUUCCUCUUAUGUUAAAAACUAAAGUUUCCAAAAUUAUCCUUCAAAUUUUUAACUUGUUUAAUGUCAUUAAUAAUUAUUAUUUAUAAUUUUAUUUUAUUGAUUUAAUAUUAUAAAUAGACCUCCACCGGUAAGUCGCCGGACCACUGUCGGACUUCACCGGACCACCGCUGAACUUUCGCCAGACCAUUGCCGAACUUCCACCGGAAAGUCGCCGGACUUCCACCGGAAUAUAGUUUUUCAUAGCGAAGAGCUUUACUUUGAUGGCUUAAGGAUUUGUUCUAGGCAUACUGCUGUGAUUAGAUUUCGUUUAUUUUUAACUUUUUUUAAUCUUUUAUCCGAUGAAUGAUUUUCAGCUGUUCUUAAUUAUUUGUUCAUAGGGAAGAGCAUUUUCUAAGUACUUCCUUGCCUUCUAAGUUUCCGAAGAAAGAUAGGUGUGAAGCAAAGCAAACCAAACCAAAUGAACAAACAGAGCACAAACUAAAAUAACAGAACAGCAAUGAUGACAAUAAAUAAUUGGCAAAAAAAGAAAAGAAAAAAGCAUGCACAUUUUCAAGGAAAUAUAAAAUAUAAAGCUUUUAAUGAAAUUUUAUCAUAAAAAGUAUGCAAGUAUUUAACAAGAUGUUUGGAACGAUAGAAAAUGAAAGAAAAUUGAUUAAGAAGAUUCUGGAACAAUCAUAAUUCUUAUUGAUGAAACUGAUCAAAAUCGUACAUUGUGAACGAGCUCAGCACUAUUUAUAGUUACACACAUGCUGAUUAGAAAGUGUAGAGCUCAAAACUGCAAUAUUAACAAACUAAUUAACCUUCCAAUCAUAUUAAGCCAGCUGGACAGUUAGUUACAACCAAUCAGUACAAAUAACAACCUAAUCCAGCUUGGCAACUUUGUUACACAUCAUCAGCCAGCUCAGCUUAGCAAACUUACACUCUUAACAGCAAGGAAUUAUAAAAUUUUAGAAAACAAGGGGAACCCUAAAAAAAAAACUCAAAUUAAACUAGGCUAAAAGACAUUCAAUGAUGCAAAAUCUGUCCAUAAAAUUCUGAACGAAUCAUUAAAAUAGCAUUCCAAAUUUAACAGUAAACCGAGUGACCCAUUCUAAAUAAUUCAGAUGAAAUUGUGAAACAAGCCAUGAGAUCAAAUAAAUGAAAUAAAAAUUCGCAACUCCAAGUCAUAAGAAGCCUAUGAAAUUAGUCGUAAUGCGUAGACAACGACGACGGCACCGCCAACAGCUGAAAAUAAGAUUCUUAUUCAUCAAUUUAAACUUUUACUUUAUAACAAACAUCUUAUCUAUAUUUUAUUUAAAAAAAGCAAAUUUUGUAAAAUUUUUCCAUGGGAGAUAGAGAGUAAUAUGUAUAUACGUACCUUCUCAGCAUGUAAUUGUUGUAUGGUUGUGUUCAGAUCAUUAUUAGCCCAGCGCCGUUGAUCCGCUGUCUCUCCAUAGCAGACGUUUACUCUUGGAGGCGUGAUUGAUUCUCCUGUAGUGAAAAUCUUCAUCUUGGGACAACCAAUCACCCACAAAUCUUGCAAAGAUGGGAAUUUGAAGGUGUAGUUGGCAGAGCUGAAACUUGUGAAGCUAUCUAAAUCAAACAGUUCCAACGUCUUCAAUUUGCUAAAAACAAUCUCUUCUUUUUCAACUCCAUCUUUGUCAUUUAUUACCACCUCUGUCAUUGCUCUGCAUCCACAUACUUGCACUUUGACGAGUUGCACUAGAGUUUUUGCUGUGGAGGAUGUUACCAAGUGUAUCAAUCCCUUGCAACCGAAAGCCACCAGAGCUGUUAGGUUCUGAAAAGAUACCGAUGAUGAUGGCAAUAGAAUUAACAGACUUUGACAAUGAUGUACUUUUAGAAUUUCAAGAUACUGAAAAAUGGGGCCAAGUUUGGAGUCUUGUUUGCACAGGUGCUUCAGAUGAUAGUGCCGUUUUAGCUCUAAUGUUUUUAUCAUUGCCAACUUCCCCACAUGUUUCUCUAAGCUUCCUUCCUCCGAAAAUACCUCUUCGUUGAAUGAAAAAAAACACAGUAUGAGCAUUUCCAGAUUGUGAAAUCUCUCCAGUACGUUCCAGACUGGAAAACAAGCUGAGUCAUCUCCAGCAAUCUCUAGUUGUUUAAGACUGCCAAAAAGGUGUUGUGGGAAAUCGGCCUGCAAAAUCAUCUUCACAUCUUUUCCACUUAGUGAUAGUUCCUUCAAGUUGGGUACGAUCUGAUCAUCAUCAAUCAUAAUAACUAAUGAGGUCAAUUGAUGAUCUACGGUCACAUGCAGUGACUUUAUAGUAUUUGUUUUAUAUUAUAUUUUAAAAAAAAUUGAAUUAUUGAUAAAAUUUAUUUUAUAUGUUAAUUUUAGAGGUAAAAAAGAAAUUAGGGAAAAAAGGUUGAUUUAUACUGACUCGAAAUUAUUUUAUUGCACAAUAAUAAAUUACUAAUUUAUUUAGUAAGUUCUUCUAUAUGGAAAGAUUAAGGAUUCUUUUAUAAAUGCUAUACCUAAAACAGUUCAUAUAAUUAUUAAUCUACCACAUUGAUCCCUUAGUCUAGACUAGCAAAGAUUAUUGUAUAAUAAAAAUUUUUAAUUUAUUGAGUAUUAAUUUAUCGAUGCUUUGUCAUAUUUUUCAAAGUUAAAAAUAAGCUAUUGAUAAAAAAUCUAGAAAAUGACUUCAUACCUUUUCCAACGGCAAUAGGAGCUGUUGUGCAGGAAUACCAAGUUGAUCAUUCUCAUUAUUCUGCGAUAAAUCAGCGAAUAUCUUUAAUUUGUCACAACGAUACACUAAAAGACUUUCUAGCGCGGGCCAUUCCAAAGUAUGCAUUCCAGGGUACAAACAUCUAAGUUUUGGUAGAUGUUGGAGUCUCAGAGUGGUGAGCUGUGGAAAGACAAAAUAAGGGAUCACUUGAUCUGCUCUGUUUUCAGAAAUGAUCUCCUGUAAAUCCUCACAGAAGCGUAUAUCUAGGUGUUGGAGCUGCUUAAGGCUUCCGAUCAUAGACGCUGAAAAUAGGUAUUUUAAUUUGUGACAAUGCCGCACAGUCAAUCGUGUUAAAUUUUGAAAGCGAGGAAACAUGACCGGAAGAUGAUUGUAGUGCCAAAUCUUGUCGACAUUAAUUUCAGAUAUCUCCAAAGCCUCCAAGUUAGGCAACGCAACCUAAAAAAAAGAAGAAUUUCUCGUUACAUCCAAUAUGCAUAUGAGAAGCACUUGUUGAAAUUUUCGUCUUCGAUUACAAAUUAAUGCAAGUCAAAACCAAUUUCUAACUGACAGAUAAGUAUGCAUUCUAAUUCAUACUACUUGUUAAGAGCUCAAUUAGUGAGCGCGUGAGAUUCUUUUUAUCCUUUUUUUUCCAUUUUCUUUCAAUUCUUUAAAUGAUUUAAUUAUUUUCCACGUAUGACAACAAAACAGAACGCAUGAUAGAAUAAAGUCUGUUAUAUAUAUAUAUAUAUAUAAAGAAAAUGUUAGCCUACGCACCUUCUCGUUGAAAAGCAGAGUUGAAGUAUCCAAAGUGAUUUCGCUGGAGCUAUACGUAGUCGUCGAUUCCUCUUGCGACGCUGGUCUGUUUGGUGAUGCUGAAGGAGUCUUUACUUCACGGCAAAAACUUGUAACCUCUGGAAGAUUCCCCAGACUCAAAGAUCUUAAUUGAGCAAACUCUAUCUUCUCAAUUGCAUUAUCAACUUCUUCCCCAAUUGCAAAAAUCUCUUUCAUCUUGCUGCAAUUAAUAACUGCAAUUCUCUCAAGUCUUGGAAGGCAUUUUGUUGUAGAGAGCCAAAAGAUAUUACUCAAUUUUUCACAAUUAUAUGUUUGUAUGAUUUUGAGUUCGUUGAAGGACUCUACUUUGAGCCGAUCAAUACAUAUCCUCUCCAUGUUGAUCAAAUUGUGAAGGCCAAGUGACUCCAAAAGAGGAAAGGCAUCACAAGCGACCAUCGCCCUUGAAUCGACGAUGCAAAAGAAGUCAGGAUUAUUUUGAACCCAGACAAGCUUCAAUUGUGAAAAGCCCUCCGUGUCCAAAUUGAAAAGAACGUUCUUGAUCCCUCGCAGCUUGUCCAACAAUAAGUAUUCAACGUUAUUGACGCCCUGCAAUUUCAUGGAGCAAAUGUCCGUAAAAGCAAGCUUGAGCUUCAAUGCUCUUAAACUCUUGCGAUCACUGUCGAUCAAAAAGUGCUGCCAACUUUCAAACCAAUUUUGUCCAGCAAUCAUGGGAUGUGUGAAUAACACAUUUCCAAUAUUUAUUUUGAACCUUUCGAGCUUUCUGGCCAAAAAGCCUUCUGGUAACAUACUCUCAUUUUUAACAUCAAUUUCUAGAGUGGUUAGCCGAGGUAAAUGCAUCAAUUCAUCAAGGCUAGCAUUACUUCUUUUGCUGUUGGCUCUUUCAACCUCCCAUUCAAUGGAGCAAUUACCCAUAUACAAUUCUUCUAAUCGGAUUAAGCUUGAUAUGACAUUUGGGGCAAUAACUUUCAGACGGAAACAGUCUGUUAAAUCUAACAGCCUUAGCUUAGUCAGUUGACCCAGUGCUUUAGGCAACUCUACAAUAUCAGACCGCACGAAGCUGAGGAUUUCUAGGUUUUCCAACUUUCCAAUAAUGGCUACGUCUAUGCCUCUGAAAAUGCUUUGAUCAAGACAAAGUGUCUGAAGAUUUACUAGAAGACCAAUUGAAGAUGGCAAUGACAAUAACCGCAUUCUAGUCAAAUCCAAAACCCGAAGCUUUUUCGUCCUUUUGAAGAAGUUCUCAGGAAUAUUAGGCACAGCAAAAGAGUUCUUGGGAGACAUGAGUAGAAGUUCAAGUUGUAGAGAUUCGGACCCUUCAGGAAUGUCAUUAAUAACACUAUCUUUUAAAGAAAUUGCAAGAUAUUUUUUUAAUUCAUCUGCAUUUGGCCAUUUCCAAUCAUCCUCAUUUCUCACCACAAAUCCAAUUUUGUCACGACAUGCAAUUGAAAUGGCAACAUCGCGAACAACGUCGUGCAUAGAAAAGUAUUUACUGCCACCAUCCUCAAGCAACAAACAAGAGUCUCUUAGUUGAUGGACCCAUGCAUCUAAUUUGUUAUGUGCAUCUUCUAGCUUGUGGACACUUUUAAAUACACCCCAGAGCAUGCUAUAUUUGAACAAGUCCAUAAUUGGUGCUGGCGUAAUAAGACUACACAGUAAAAAAGUUUUCUUGAGUUGCUCACCUCUUAAGUACUUGUAACUCAGCUCAAUUGUUGAGUAUGCCUCUGCUGGUACUCCUUCGUCGAAGCUUGCCUCUGAAGGCGUUUGGAGUUCUUGCAAGACAUUCUUCCACACAGGCAGCUCUUUUUUUCUCAGUGCCUUUGCUACUGUGGUUAGGGCAAUAGGCAAACCUCCGCAUGCCUUGGCUACACUUGUUGCUGUAGAUUUUAACUCACGAUUUUCCACAUAAUCACCUGCCAUUAUCUUGAACAAUUUCCAGGCUUCUUGUUCAUUUAAAAUGCCAAUCGAGAAGUUUUUUUCAGAUUCCAUCCUUAACAGCACAUCAAGAUCUCUUGUUGUGAAUAAUAAUUUGCAUCCUCUGUGCUCAACUCCAAAAGGAAUUCCAAUAGUCCCCAAAUCAAGAGGUUUCCAGAUGUUAUCCAGAAUCACAAGGAUCUUCUUCUCAUUCUUCAAUCUUUCAUAUAGUCUACUAGCUCUUCUAGACUCAGCUUCCUCGGACAACUGUAGGCCUAACGUUACCGCAAUUUCCUCUUGGAUCUUUUUUAUGUCUGGACUUUGGGUAACCUCCGAAAAAGCCACCAUAUCGUAAAGCUUGUCUUCAAUUGCUCGCCUUGCAAACUCCCGCACCAGUGUCGUCUUUCCAAUGCCGCCCAUGCCGUAGACGCCAAUGAUGCUGACAUCAACAUCGAUCAAUGCAUUUUGUAUGGCCUUCAAAGUAGAAAGUCUUGAUUCGAAGGCCUCGUAGCCUUUGUGAGACUUGAGCCAAAUCUCCUCCGGAAUGGUACGGUAGGAAAUUCUAUCAUCAAAUCUCCCAGCUUCUUCUCGGAGUUUAAAAAGGGCCUCCUUCUCUGUUUCUGCUUUCUUUCCAUGCUGAUAGCGAGUAAUCCAAUUAGGAAACAGCCCCAUGAGACAUCGUUCAUUUGCUUUCUCUUCGUCUUGAAUGAAUUUGGCUGCCUCCUCAAUGCUCUUGUUCGCAUUAACCAGCCAUUUCUCAACCUUCUCUUCAAUCUUUUCACUUUUUCUUUCAGCCUCAGAAACUCUGCGCUGAAUGCUUUCUCUUUCAUCCUUGAGCCCAUCGAGUUCUUCCUUGAGAUUCUCAAAGUUGGCAGCGGAGUUAUACCAAUAACUAAAUUCGCGUUGUGCGUGAGGAGACAAGCAGUUUACAAUGCUUUUCAAAAUGUCCAUUUUUUUUUUUUGGUUGGGGGGGGGGGGGGGGACGAAAUAGAAAUAGAACAGGGUCAACGACCGCGCAAUUGAUAAUCAAGUAGAAGCAAAACUAGGCAAAAUUGGAAAAAUAAAUUAUAUUUGUACAAAACAAGGGGAAAAUCAGUGUAACAGAAGAGAAUCAAAGUGUUUUUGAGAUCAGAAAAUUGAACCAAGAAAAGGGUUGCUUGAUCCAAUGAAAAAGCAAAGAGCUGAUGGCAAAAGGGAACAAAGAUAAAUAAGAAAACGGCUAGUACGAGCAGCGACCACGAUGAACAGAAGCAAAGUGUUUAUGAGAUCAAAAGACGAAAAUCAGGAGAGGUUUUCUUGACUGAGAAUUGAAGGCAAAGAGUAGGAGCUGACGAAUACGGGGAUCAAGAGGGAAAAACUGCUUGCUCGUAAAACUACUUUCAAGCGAAUCUGAUAAAAUUAUUUCAAUACUCAUGGGCGACUCCUUUUUAAACUGCAGAAGGAAAAAAAAAAAAAAAAGAGUUCUGAAUUUCAAUAUAUUAAUUUUUAUCCUAAUUUAUGUUGAGAUUCGUAAUCUCGUCUCAAUGAUUAAUUAGUAGAUAAUCUUUCUAACAAAUAUGUGUUGAAUAGAUAUAUUUCUUGACUAUUAGUAAGUUAGAUAUAUUUUAGCAUAGGAAUGAAAGUACCAAGUUGUGUCAUAUUAGAAUAAAAAUGUGAGCUAAAAAUAAUUUUCUAUGACCUUUUAAUUAUUUGUCAGCAAAUAAUUAAGUCAUAUAAAAAAAUUAAUAAUCUGAAUUAGUCUUUAAGUAUUAUAAAUAUUUUUUUUUAUUUUUAAUUAUAAUAUCAUUAUUUAAAAAUAAUUGCUUGACUUAUAUUAGUAACAUUACGAUUGUCAUAAAACAUGUGAUCCUCAUCCAAUAUCCAUUAUUUGUGAUCCUUAAUCAAUAAAAUAUCUAACAAUAUCUUCACCUAAAGUUUGAGACAUGUGAUCCUUAUUCCACUGCGUCAAAACAAGGAGAAAAUCAGUGUAACUGAAGAGAAUCAAAGUGCUUUUGAGAUCAGAAAUUGAAGCAAGAAAAGGGUCGCUUGAUCCAAUGAAAAUGCUAAGAGCUGAUGGUAAAAGGGAACAAAGUUAAAUAAGAAAACAGCUAGUGCUAGCAUCGACCACAAUAAACAGAAAAUUUGAGAUGGAUUUACAAUAUUUCUGCCUUUCUUUAUGCUUUAACAAAUAUUGCUCUAUCAAAAAAAAUAUUUAGCAUUUUAUUAUUGGAGUCACAAAAGACCUACACAAUAUAGCAAGUGCUAGGAAUAAAUAAGAAUAUAUAACUCUCUCUCUAAUUCUCACUCUAGCUUUUAAUUGUCACUCAAAACCCAGAAUUCAUCCUUAAAGUGUAAGCAAAUCAGAGAUGACAGCGUCUGGUUGUCAUACGUGCCUUUUAGUUUUCGGAUGACAUGGCGUACACUUCUUCUGUAAAUCGAACAUGACAUGUCGUACUCUUUGUUUUGAGAUCAUAUUUCAAACUCUUCAUGCUAUGAAUGAAAGAUAAACUACAAUCAUCAAAAUAUUUAGUGUUUAUUUGGUAAUGUAACAUCAUAGUUGUUGUGAAUUGAAAUUAUUUAUGUAAGAUAAAAGGAUUUGGGUCAUCGUUUGUUAUUCUCUAGCAAUAUUGUUUGGCCGUGACUAUUUGUUAAAUAUUAAAAAAAUAAAUUUAUAUUUAUUAAGUACAAAAAAUAAAUAAACAAACAAAAAUAAAAGGAAAAGUUUAUGCAUUACAUAAAAUAAUAAGAACAAUAUCAAUAUUUCACACUCUAUAAUUGACUGAUGAGUUGUCCAACUACCAUACAUUGGUCCCAGAGACUUAAAUAUUAAAGUCCAAAGUUAUUGUGAUGAUGACUUAUAAUUGCCAAACUUGACAUACGGGUAAUCAUGCAUUAUAUAAGGUGCUGAUUUCUUCCGAUCGGAACUUUAUUUUUCAUUUACAAAUAAAUAAAUGAUGUGACUUAACGGGUGGCGGGGUCCUUUGUGCCAUUUGUGUAUUUCACUGAAUAGUUGAUUCAACUUGAUUGCAGCAGAAAGAUUCCUGGAAGUUGCCAUUUGCCAAUGCUACUAACAUUUUCAAACUUGGAAAACCCUUCAAUCAAUCUUUUAGUGGUAGGCUCUGGUAGCUUGCUUUGAUUAUGACAUAUGAUUAUUUGAUAAUAAAGCUAGAGGAUGUAUUAAUAUAAAAUUUGUUUAUUGGUGUUGAAGUUAAUUAUCUCAUUAAUAAUAAUAUAAAAAGUUAAUUACUAAGAAACACAUAGCAGUAUUCUAGGAUAUAAUUUUAUAUCAUAACUUUGUAAGUGUAUAAUUCCUCAUUAAAUUAACAAAAUUAUUUUAAAAUAUUUAGUUAGAAAAAAUAAAAUAUUUUACAAUACCUCCCUUCAGAUUGCACAAAUUACAUAAAAAAAAAAAAUUGCUUUAUGUAUAAAACUUUCAAACAAAUUGGGCCAAAAUCUAACUUUACCAAGUUUAGAGUAAUUUUGGGCUCUACAUUCCAUUUCCGACAAACGAAUUUUCUUUAUCACCAAGGUAUGAUACUUUUCAUAUUUAUCCAACGGCUCGUCAAUGACAAUACCUUUGUAAAAAGUACUUAUUUUCAAUAGUAUAUUGUGGAAAUGUCUGGUCGGUAAUACAACUAUUUCUUAUAGUGUAAAAAUGAUACACUAAGCGUUCACAUUUUGAUGAGUAAAUUAAGGAUUUCAAGAUGAAGUACAUAAUUAGAUUAAUGCUAAGAAACUGAAGUUUGAUCGAUUGAAAACGAAAAUAAUAAUAAAGGUAAUUAAGAAAAUGAACAAUAUAUGCAGAAGCGGCUCCUUAUUAGGACUUCUAGAUUUUCUCUUGGGCUUUCCUUAUUAUUGUUAAAAAAUGACACGAAGAACUUUGAGUUUAAAAAUCUGGCCCUGAUGCCUGGUAGCCCUCCAACAUAUGAAGCACCAGAUGUUUUGAUGAGAAUAUGACAAGACCAUUUAUCAAAUUUCUUGUGGAUAUAAAUACGUACACAUGGACGAGACCAACCUCCUCAAAUGAGAAUCAGAGUGAUUACAAGACCUUGCAAUGAGACAAUGAUACACCUUCAAAUGUCAAAAUACAAUAGAAAUUCACGACAUAUAUAUAAUAAAAGACCUCUCAUUGAGUCAUAUAUAUUGAGAAUAAAAAUGUUAUAAUACAUACACAAAGCUUAGCUAGAAUAAAAUGUCUUUGAACUUGCGAUGAUCAAAUAAAGAAAACAGACAGGUUGUAACUCACACUAUCACAAGAAGAUCACGAAGAUGGAAAUAGGAACCCGACAGAAUGGAAAUUUUGAAUAGAGGAAAAAAGAAAAACGACCUUAUUCACAUAAGAAGAGUGACUCAAAUCUUCUUCAGUAUCCAGACAUUCUGCAAUCAUAGAGUAGAGAAAUUUUAACAGGAACAGCAGAGAAAAUAUUAUGAAUAUGCUAUAGACCAAUAUACUUGUUCAUAGCUAACGUUUGAUGGUUUAAAGAUUUGUUCUAGGAAUAAUGGGCUGAUUACUUUUUUUUUAUUUUAAUUUUUUUUUAAUCCAAUGAAUGAUAUUCAGCUGUUAAUUAUGUGUUCAUAGGGAAGAACAUUUUCUAAGUACUUUCCUUGCCUUCUAACUUUCCGAAAAGCAAACCCAAUGAACAAACAGAGCACAAACUAAAAUAAAAGAACAGCAAUGAUGACAAUAAAUAAUUGGCAAAGAAAAAAGGAAAAAGUAUGCACGUUUUCAAGGAAUUAUAAAAUAUGAAGGCUUUUAAUGAAAUUUUAUCAUAAAAAGUAUGCAAGGAAUUAUAAAAAUUUAGAAUUUUUGGAAUUUUUAAUGCACCAAAGUUCAUUUUUAGCUUUUAAGGUUUUUAUGUGUGAGCCUCUCAGCAUGUUCCCCAACCUCCUCACGUGAAAAUAUUUCUAUGCACGGUUACAAGCUUUUCCAGAUUGUGAGUAUUCCGAAGCAAUCCAACUUGAAAAACAGCUGGUUCGUAGAAAAUGACAGUUUACGAAGCUGGCCCUGCUGCCAUACAUAUGAUGAUGAAGACCAUUUUGCUUUAUGUCAAUUCCUCCAAGUUGAAAUCUUUCUCGGUCUGGGACACUUCCAACACAUAAUGUACUACUAGGCCAGAUGAUUUUAAAAAAUGUCAAGGUCCUUUAUCAAAUUUCAUUUGCAUUCAAGACCAAUCCCCUUUGAUGAAAAUCAAUAAUUAAAGGCUUUCCAAUGAGAAAUUAUUACGUCUUCAAAUCUCAAAAAACGCCAGAAUAUUAAUUCGCUACAUAUAAUCAAGAUAUCUCAUUGAGACGCAUUAAUAAAAAAUGUCAAAAUGCAUAGAAAGAGCAGACACACGGAUGAUGAAUUUACUCAUCUUUAUUAGUAUUUGAACUUGAGAGACAGAAUGAAGUACAUGUCAAGAAUAUCAUAAAGAUGGAAACCGGAAGUCCUCCGCACAUAAACUUUGAAGAAACUGGAAAACGACUUUAUUCCAGAUAAUGCACACCAGAGUGACCAAAAUUCUCUUCAGUAACUAUAGAGAAAAUAUUAUUUUGCAUGCAUUUCACGUAACUGGAUCAAACUACUCUCCUGUUGGUUUAUCAGACCACAUUUUUAUGGUGCAAUAUAAACCAUCUUUUCAAAACGCUUUUACCAUGUGAGAAAUAUACGCAUUAAAUUUCAUAAACUAAAAACUCCAAUUGUCAAAAAAAAAAAAAAGGGUGAGAAACUCAGUAGAAUUUACAACUUCUCAGACUCACGAAAAGGUGAGAAACAAAUGAUUUUUAUAUAGUUGUUCAUAGCUAACUUUUGAUGGUUUAAUGAUCUGUAGAUUUUGUUUUAUGCUAUUCAAGGAAUGAUAUCCAAUUGUUCCUAAGAGUUCAUAGGCAGGGGCAUAUAUGCAUGAUUUGAUAUAAUUCUUGCAAUUUCUAAGUACUUGCUCUUUCCAUCCCUUCUAAGUUUUGAAAGAAAGGUCGAAAUAAACAGAGAAACAGGACAAACAGAAGAAGACUGAAUUAACAGAUCAACAAAGAUGGCAACUAACAAAUGGAAAGUUCUCUUGUAAUCAAACUAUAGCAAACAGAUGACACCAUUACAAUAUAUCUUAAUGAGUAGAUUGAUUCUAAACAUAUAUGUUAGGAUACAUUUGGUUGUUUAAUAGUUUGAAAUAAGGAGGAUGGGAUGGUUUCCACAUAAAAGUGCUGUCCCUUUCAAUGACAUUUUCAAAGAAUUAUAAAAUUCAAAAUAAAAAAAAAAUUAGCAAAUUAUAAAGCCACACCGUCAAAAAAAUAAAUAAAUAGAUAAGUUAAGACCUUUAAUGAUAUAAAAAUAAAUAAAUAGAGAAGUCACUAGGACCUUUAAUGAUAUAAAAUAAGCAUAUAAAUCUCAGAACAAAACAUUAAAAUUCAUUCUAAAAAUAAACUAGUGGUGUAUUCCAAACAAUUUAGAUGAAGCGAUAAAACAAGCCAAGAGAUCGAAUAAAAUGAAAUGAAAUUGAAUUAACUGGGACUUUGUUUUCCAAAUUCACAACUCGCUUGUAAUUAAAGUAAAAUGCCAAUGCCAUUAGGACAUAUACAUCAUUGAAUAAGAUGAGGACCCCUCCAACAGCUGAAAGUAAAAUUUUCAUUCAUUAGUUUCAAUUAAAAGUAAAGCACACAGAGAUUUGCAGGGAAGCAAGAGAUUUAAUAAAUUUAACAGCAGCAAUUUAAUUUGACAGGACUUCCAUACAGUAAUGAAGUUAAAAACUAAUGAUUAACGAAUUUAGUUUGGUCCCAAAGCUGUUGAUCAUCUCUCUCUCCAUAGUAGAAGUUUACUCUCAGAGGCGCGUUUAAUUCUCCUUUAGUGAAAAUCUUCAUCUUGGGACAACCAAUUAUAGAUAAAUCUUCCAAAGAUGGGAAUUUGAAGGUGUAAUUGGCAGAGCAUACAAAAUCUUCAAUUUGGCGAAAACAACUCUUCUUUUAAAUUUGCUGCUCCAUCUUCGUCAUUUAUCACCACCUCUCUCAUUUCUCUGCAUCCACAUACCACCAUUGAUAAUAGUCGCUCUAGACUUUUUGCUGUGGAGGAGGUUGCUAAGCUCAUCAAAUUCCUUGCAACGAAGAACUAGAAGUUCUUUUAGGUUCCCAAAAGAUACCGAUGAUGAUGGCCAUAGAUAUAACAGAUUUUGACAAUAAUGUACAUUUAGAAUUUCAAGGCAUUGAACAAAGGAGUCCAAUUUGGAGUCUUGUUUCCACAAUUGCUUCAGAUGAUUAAAUUUGUGCAGAUCUAAAUGUUUUAUCAUUGUAAACUUCCUCACAUGUUUCUUCAAGUAUCCUCCAUUCGAAAAUACAUCUUCGCAUGAACAACGACGCCGUAUGAGAGUUUCCAGAUUAUGAAAUCUCUCAAGUAAAUCAAGUGGAAAACAAGUUGAGUCAUCAUCCACUGUUUGUAGUAGUUUAAGACUCCCAAAAAGGUGUUGUGGGAAAUCGCUCUGCAAAGUCAUCCUCGAGUCUUUUCCACUUAAUGCCCGUUCCUCCUAAGUUGGGUAAGCUCUGAUCAUCAUCAAUCACGUAAUAACUUAUUAAGUCAAUUCAUAUUCUCUCAAAUGACUUUUAAUAAUCCAAUCAUACACAGUGACUUUAAUAUAAAUGCAUAAUAUUUUACAAAAAAGAAGAAAAAAUCGAAUUAGAGGUAAAAGUUAUUCUACGAUUUUAUUUUUUAUAUAUAUCUUGCAUGCUAUUCCCAAAAGCAAUCCCAAACGGCCCUUAAAGCAAUUUUACAAAAGUGGCCGGUACAUAUAUUGCCAACUUUGUUAGGAAUGGCAAUGGGAAGGGGAGGGGAAGAGACCGACCUCCCCGUACCCAUUCCCGAUAUUCUGCAUAUAUCCCCAUCCUCUCCCCAUUCCAGACAAAAUUGCUUUAGGGAAUCCCUCUCCCCUCCCCAAAUAAUAAUAGGGGAUCCCUGAAGGUCCUCGAUCCUCGAAUAACUAAUACGUUUUUAGUUUUAAAUUUUAAUUUAAUCAUAUUAAAAUAAAAAAUUUAAAUAAAAAUAAAGUUUGACGAUAUAUCUUACAUUAACAUUAAUCUAUUAAAAAAGUCACAUUACAAAGUAUAAAUCACCAUAAUAAUUAUCUUCGGCAAUCUUCAAAAUCAUAUAAUAAAAAAAAAGAAAUUACUUUUAUAUCAACAAUAAGAUAAAUGAAAUGAAUAUAGAUACUUAAUCAAUAUUUCUAAUAAAAGUAUUCACCUCAUGCGUCUCCUACUCUUCUUGUUCUUCCUCGAGGAAUGUGACAAAUUGAGAGAUAGCCUUAGAUUUCAAGUUUAAAACAAUAAAAAUAAUAUAAGUAAUGUAAAUUCUAAGUGAAAAUAUUAAUAAUUAUAUAAUAUAAUUACAAUGUAAAAUAAACUCAUACUACCAUUGUAAGCUUGUAGUCAACUUUGACAACUUAUUAAAGCCUCCAAUGUGCUUGAAUAAAGCGUGUUACGAUACUCUACCACAGGUGCUAAAAGCUAAUUCAGAAGCAACAUUUGUAAUUAGAAUUGCCAAAAUAUCUCUAGCAAUUCGUGCCAAUAUAGGAUAUCUAUAGACAUUUGUUUUACACCAACUCAAAAUAUUAAAAUCUUUCAUCCGUGGCAUAACUUUUUCAUCCAAAUAUUAAUGUAGUCAAUUAGGCCUAAAGUUUAAUAAUAUAAUUAUUUUAAUUUUUUUAUUUAUACUAAUAUUUAAUAUUUUAUUAUUUAUAUUUUAUUAUUUAUUUACAAAUAAUUUUAAAAAAAUUAAAAUUAAAAUUAAAAAAUUGGAAGGGGAUAGGGAUUCCGCUGCAUCCCCGUCCUUUUUUUGAAUAAGAAAUUGGGUAAAAAAACUAUUUCCGUCGCUUUUCUAAAUAAAAAAUUAAGUAAAAAAUUAUGUACCCUCCUGAAUUGGGAAAAUCUCGAGGGUCAUGUCCCCGCGGGAAUAUCUGCCAUUCCAAAACUUUGUAACAGCCACUUGCUUUUGUGACCGUUUAUGUGACGGCUAGACUGCUCUCACUUAUGUUACUAACCACGUGACGGUAGAGAGCCAAUUGGCAUACUAUUAUUUUGACGGUAGAGUUAUAAAUUUGUUUCUAAAUAGAAAACUAUUUGCUGGAGUCAAUAUUUUGAAGACCAAAGUCCCAAAUUCUCUCUCGUGCCUGGCCAGCAUCCUAAACCUUACUGGUAGCCGGAGAAUGGCGUAAAACGGCGGCGAUCUUCUUCUUCAUCUUAUUCUCUCUCUCAUCGUUUCAGGUAAGCUUGUGAUUAUGAGUUUCUUCGCUUUCUUAGCUUGUAAUUAUAGGUUUUGAUUUCUUUAAUUCGUUUUGUAGCCAUUAAUGUCAAUUUUUGUCCCACCGGCAAUGUUUUUUGUUCCUAGAAGUUGAAGCCCUUCUGUUCUUGUGCCAUUGGUGAGUUUGCUCACUCAAAUUAAUUUUGUUCUGCGGAGUUUACAAAGUUCAAAUGGACUCAUUUGGAUUACUAUUGAAUUUAGCUUUAAUUCCAACAUCCAUUCUAAUGUUUUGCCAUUAGAUUUACUUUAAUUUUAUCUUUAAAGCUUCUACAAUGAAUAGCGGAGCUUGGGUUUUAGUUUCAAUUUCUAAUUAACUUGUUUUAGUUUAUCUUAUAUGCUCGCCAAGUGCUUGUUAUAUUGUCUGAUAAGUUAUAUAACAUUGCUGAUUCUAUAUUAGUAAUGUCAUGUUCCAUUUUCGGAAAUUAUAACACAAAAGUUUUUACAAUGGCUUGCAUCUACAAACUGAAUUGACUUGUAGAGUAAGAGCUUGGAUUAGUGUUAUGUUCUUGAAUAAAUGAAAGUUCAUAUUGUGUAAGAGCAUGUAGAUGUAAAGCAUCACUACCAUUUCUACAAACUGCUUUCAUUCUGUUCAGAUGCUCCUCUUGAACUUUGAAAGGUGCCUCAUUCAAGUCCUAGCUGUAACUACUAGCUCUGAUUGCUUAAGUUCCUGUGCUAGCUGAAACAGAUUUAUUUAAUUAAUUAAUUGUGUAUGUACUAAUUAUAUUGAACGUAUAUGAAGAAAUUGUUUAACAUGAAUGACUUCUAAAUGACUUAAAAGCCUAAAGGAUAUGUGAAAUAAUGCUCAUUUCACUUGAACGAGCCUAUUAAUACUUGUAUGUCUGAUGGUUGUCGAAGCCAACAAAAAUAAAUUCAUACUCUAAAUAAAUUGUGUAUAGUGAUUGAGCAAGGUCAUGUCCACAGAGAUCGGUAAUUAUUUAAAUCCUUUUGAAACGUAAAACGUAAAAUGGGGGAAUUGUUGACAAUAAUAAAAAUCAAAUUAAAAUAACAAGAAUGCAAAUUAAAGUUGUAAUUCAAAUUAGAGAAAGCUCUGGUUGAAGGAAUUAAUUCAGCUUGAUUCGACUACUGAUCAUUGAUUCAAAUAUAGAUUAUUAUUACUUAUGAAUAGACCGGUUAUAGCUACUGAGACCCUCUAAUAGCCAAUCUCUCCUUAACUAGUCGAUAACCAAGGUACGACUGUUGGUUAUUUCCCUAAUCAAUAGACAACCCUAGAUACGAUCAUAGGAUUUAAUCAAUUGACAGCCUGAAAAACCAGAGAGACCCAAAUCCUAAUCAACACAUACGAUGAUUCAUUUAAAUUAGAUUGUUUAUUCUCACAACACAACUCUCUGCUAUGUUAUUUGUCACAAACAUUAAAUUCUUCAUACGAUGAAUCCUUUAAUUGACAAUAGAUUAAGUUGAUAAUUAAAUAGUGGCCAAUUACCUAAUUAACAAACAUAAUCAUGAAAAUAAUUCAGAGAAUAAACAAAUACCCAAAAAGUAAUAAAACAAUUAAAGCAUAAAAUAGAUCUCACAAUAGUGAUGAAUCAAAGCUUCAUUAUCCUUCAACCAGAAAAAUAUAUUUAGUUCUUCAUAGAGAGAAGAGAAAAGUUUAGAUCUAGGGUUUCUUUCUCUUCUCUUCAAAAGUCCCAUUUUUCACAAUAGAUUCCUCUCUUAAAUACUCUCUCUCUCUUCUCCUCUAGAAUUCUAUUUAAAAUAAAAUACUAAUAUAUGAAAUAUUAAAUUCGUAAUUACAAAAAUAACCAAAAAUACAAAACACGUUAAACUAAAAACUGUAGGUCCGUAGUUGCAGCACGCGCCCACGCGUUAUCAACAAAGUUCUUCUGACGCUCAUAAUUUCUCCAAGAAAGCAAUCAUCUUUAAACAUCAUCUUAUAGCUCAAUUUUAUCACAAAUCAAUAGAAUUGCACCUACAAAAGUAAAACACAAGUAAAUUAUCAUUAUUAAGUGCAAAACAUCAAUAUUAAGGGAAGUAAACAAUGCAAAACUAGUGCAUAAAUUGCACUCUAACAAAUUCCCCCACACAAAGAUGAUGCUUGUCCUCAAGCAUAUAACUCAAGACUAAUCCCAAAUCUCCACUCAAUUCUCAUCUCAACUCAUCCAAAAACAAUUUUAAGCAAGUAUACCUCAAGAAAUUAAGUCGAUCAACAUUCGAGAGACAAGGAUUUUAAAGCAUAGAAUCUCAUAAGAUAGAAUAAGAACAUUCAACCACCAAGAAGAUCCAUUCAAAAUUCAAGUGCAACAAGAUUUAAUAGCCCUCUCAUUGACCUCACUCCAUGCACUCAAAGUGUUUAGGGUGUCAUUUAUUCACUCAAAUCAAAUCAAAGAAUGUUAUUACCAUAAACUUGCUUAUAUAUCACAUCUCAAUCCACAAAACAUGAAUUAAAUGCAAAAAUCUAAGGGUCUUAAAAGGUUGUAACGGGGUUAAAUGGGUUAAAUGAAAAAGAAAAGUUUAUGAAAGAAAAAGAGAUCAAAAUGAGAAGAAUGAACUCAUUGAACGAACUUUAUGAUAUCGAAACGCUUAUUUCUACACAAGUCACCAAGAAUGUAAACAUUUUUUUUUCUUUUUCUUUUUUUUUUUCAAUUUUUUUUUUCGAUUUUUCUUUUUCUUUUUCUUUUUUUUUUUGAAUCAAACAAAAGAAACGAACCUUGCACAAUUUAAUUCAGGCAUAAUGCUUGUUGAUCUAAUUGAGAAACUUUAAUACAAGGUAGAAAAAGCAACAAAAUAUAUACAAAAUAUAUCCACACAAUGAGUCCAAAAAUCUCCUUAAAUUGAGGCUCAAAAAGAAGAAAAAUGGUUAAGUAGACGGAGAGAAUUAGAUGGGUAAUGGUUAAGGCUCAAACAAAGAUAGUAAAUCAAGGUCUUCGGGUAGAGAAAAAAAAAUGCGAGAAUAGAAAAAUGGUAAAUGGUUUGCCCUUAUCAUUUUAAUGCAAAAAAUCCGUAAUGUGGCUUCAACAUGCAUAACAAAGCAAGUUCUAGAAUAAACAAACUAAGAUUGAUAUUCACAUAACAAAAAUAAUAGAGCAAAGUGGUUGCUCAUAGGCUCAAAUCCUCACAAAGUUGGUAAAUUUGCCAUCAAAUCAUGUGCACUCUUCAAAUGAAUCAACCAUCAAUAGUGGUGUAGAAUGAGAAGAAGGUAUGAUUGAGAUAUGAAAGGAAAGGUAAAAAGGAUAAUAAGCGAGAAAGAUGUAUGUAGUAAAAAAAAUGAAUGAUAAAAUGUGAGUGAUGAAAGAGUAUGAUAGAAUAAAAAUAUAUGUAAAUAAUUUGAGGUAGAUGGGAAAAGAGUAGUGAGAGAGAAAGGAAAAGAAAAUUAAUAAUAUAUGAAGCAUACUAACUCCAAAAUCAUUUAAGGAUGAGUAGAGUGAAAAUAAUAAUUCCAAACAUCAAUAAUGUAAAAAAAUCCCUCCCCCACACCAAGAACUUACAUUGUCCUCAAUGUAAGAUAAUCAAAGCUCACAUAAAAAUUAAAGCGUAAGGAUAAAAGAUUAAAGACAAAAAAAAAAAAAAACUUCCCUGAAUUAUGAGCUUUGAUCCACAUAACGUCUAUGGGCUUGGCAGAAAUGGUGGGGUAAAUCCCACACUCUCGAAGUAUGCGGCCAAAUUCUGCUCCAUCUUGUUCAGCUUGUGCUCCAUUUUCUCUAACUGAAUGCUCAAAGGUGGUGCGGAUGUAGAAGGAAUAGUUGGCGGGGCAGCAGUGUCGUCGUCAAACUCGUCAUCAGAGGUAGCACCACUCCUAGCAUAAAGCUUCUUCGGAGGUUGAGUGGGUCCUGGUUCAGUAAAAUGAAAUCUCCCCUCCUUGAAUUCGACCAUACCUGUUCUUUCAAACACAGACAUAUCCAAAAAUUCCUUUUUGCAAGCAGGAUGCAAAUCAUUAUUGUCAGGAUCAAGCACACAUAGGUUUAUAGCUAACAGAGUAAUGUAUGGACCAAGAAAUAAAGUUCUAUACCGUUUAAGCACACUUUGAAAUUGAUCCGCUAACCAAAAACCUAAAUUAGGCCUCACAUCAUUUAACAUGCACCAGAUAAAAUAACAUUCAGUUUUAGAGAAAACUCCUGAGUGAUCUUUCUUACCGAAAAAAUUAUAUGCUAAGAAUCGAUGCACACAUUUCAAAACAGGAUCACGUAAGAAAGAACUCUUUGAUUUACUCGGGUCAUAGGCAUUGUGAUCAAUAGAUAAAUUACGCCAAAGACCAUAAGGCUCAAAAUUUUCGCUAAAGUCACAAGUUGUUCCUAAAUAUGCAUCACUAGAAGAAUAAUCAUCAUCAAUGAAUCCUAAAGCUAGGUUAAAAUCCGUGAUAGAGUGUAAAAAAUUUCGUCCCAUUAACCUAAACUUAAUGACAUCCGGGGUAUGCAAAGUAAAAUCAUUCGGCAUAUUAAAUUGAAAAGUAGCAUAAAACUUCCUAAUCAACUCAACAUAACCCAAACAAUCAACAUCAACAAACUUAUGUGACCCAAUCUUAUCUAUCAAAGAAUCAAAAUUAUCCUUAACAUUCAAUUUUUCAAGAGUCGGGUAAUGAAUAUACUUAGCUGGAAGUAUUUUGCGCGUGGAAAUAUCUUUGUACCUCUCUUUCUCUUGUUGAGUCGCGAAUGCGAGGCACUCUUUGAGAUUGGAUUCCGCAAGUGGCAAAACACUCAUGCCUUUUCCAUGUUUCGAUCUUUGUCUCACGGCUUGGCGUGAAUAUGAAAUUGUGUUCCAUGGAACCGUAGUGGGAGCGGCAAUCUUAGAUUUCUUUGCGACGAGUGUCUUUUUAGAUGACUUGGAAGUAGAUGCUUUCCUCUUCGGCAUUGUUACAAUAAUUGCACUCACGGAUUUCGAUUUACCUGGCUGGAAUACAGGGCGUAGGUUGGAUCUGCGUUGCGUUGCUGCUUGGCUGGAGCUUGCUGCGCAGGUUGGGGCUGGUUGCGCGCUGCUGCUGGUUGUGUUGCGCGCUGCUGCUGGUUGUGUUGCGUGAUGCUGCGCGCUGCGGGUGGAAUUGGUUGCGCGCUGCUGGGGCUGGAUUCGGGUUGCGCGCGGGGGCUGGGGAUGCUGGUGCGCGCUGCGGGUGGGACUAAUGCGCUGCGCUGAGGCUAAUUCGCGUUGCUGGGGCUGCGUUGUGGGAUGCUGGUGCUGUGUUGCGUUGCGCGCGGCUGCUGCUGCUGCAUGGCUGCGGCUGCUGCUGCUGCGGGUGAAAACGAUAAUCAACAGUGAAUUUUUAUUUUAUUUUUUUGAAUUAGGGAUUUAUGAACAGUGAUUUGUGAUUUUUGUUUUUUUUUUGUUUUUUUUAAAUAAAAAAAAUAUGUAUAUAUAAAAGAAAGAAAAGAAGGAAAAAAAAUAAUAUUUUUUUUUUUGUGAUGAAUCACUUUGAGACACUAAAAAUUUCAGAAGUACUUUUCUAAUAAGCACGUGGGCACGCCUUAAAACCAUUUUAUUUUAAAAAUCACAGAAGUACUUAUUAGUUAAGACGUGGGCACGCCUUAUCAAAAAUUUUCUUCUGACCAAAAUAAGCAAACACAUUAAAAAAAAAUGAAUCAAAAUUAAAAGAAGAUAUAACAAAAACCAAAAUAAAUAAAUCAUUUGGGUUGCCUCCCAAAAAGCGUCUUUGUUUUAUGUCUUUGGCUAGACACAUUUAUGCAUCAAUCUCCAUAAUUGGGACUCUCGAGAGCCACAUCCUCCACAAUAUUCACAAAAAAACCUUCAUAAAAAGGUUUUAAGCGAUGACCAUUAACCUUAAAAAUUUUGUCAGAGGUCGGACUUCGAAUCUCAACUGCACCAUGAGGGAAAACAUUAGUAACAAUAAAAGGUCCAACCCAGCAAGAACGUAAUUUACCCGGAAAAAGUUUAAGCUUAGAAUGAAAAAGAAGAACUUUUUGACCAACAGAGAACUCCUUUCUCAAAAUCAUUCUAUCAUGAAAUGUCUUCGUUUUUUCCUUGUAAAUAACUUCCUGCACUAUAGGGUUAAUAACAUCCACAGAAAAUACCGAAUGUUCCUCACUAGGAUAUUUCAUGGCAUCAUUCAUAUUGAAUUCUAUAACCUCUCCAUCAAACUCCAUAGUGAGAGUCCCUUUAUGUACAUCCAUUUUAGUCCUAGCAGUCUUAAGAAAAGGUCUUCCUAGCAAAAUUGGGACAAAAUUGGAGGAGUUAUCCUCUUCCAUAUCAAGUGCAUAAAAAUCAGCAGGAAAAACCAACUCAUUAACUUGUACUAAGACAUCUUCUAAUACCCCAUCAGGAUAUGCAUUAGACCUAUCAACUAGUUGAAUUAUCACGCCAGUUUCUUUUAAUGGACCAACAUUCAAAGAUGAAUAAAUGGAACGAGGCAUGACAUUAAUAGAAGCUCCUAGAUCUAACAAAGCCUUUUCAAUUCUAACACUACCAAUUUUACAAGGGAUAGUAAACAUACCUGGAUCCUUGCACUUAGAGGUAGUUUCUUUUGGAGAACUGCUGAAACAUUCUCCCCCAUGUGAACUUUUUCAUCUCCUCUUAAUUUUCUCUUAGAGGUGCACAGUUCCUUAAGGACUUUAGCAUAUCGAGGUAUUUGUUUUAUAGCAUCUAAUAAAGGAAUAUUUACCUCAACCUUGCGAAAUGUCUCAAGGAUGUCUUUCUCUUGUUCCUCCUUCUUGGAUAUUGCAAACCGGCUUGGAAAAGGAGGAGGUAUCACAAUAGGUAGGGGUUUCGCUCUGGUGGGUUGCGCAUCUUGAGAUUUAGGCAUCAAUUCAUUCUUCUCAAGCUCAUCUUCUACAUGCUUUGUCACUUUCUUACUAGGCUCUUGCAACUCCUUCCCACUUCUAAGGAUGACAGCACUAACGUUUUUCUUUGGAUUCACCUCAGAUUGUGAAGGCAAUCUCCCUAAUACUUGAGACUCCAGAAGGCUCACUGUAGUCGCCAAUUGACUCAUUUGGUUCUCCAAAUUCUGAAUGCUUGUUGUAGUUGCCUGCUGAAAUUGUUGAGUGUUAGUCGCAAGUGAUUUAACAAUUUCUUCAAGAGAUAUACCUGACUUAGAGUUUGAUUGUGGAGGUGCUGGUUGUCUUGGUGGAUACUAUUGUGGGAAUCCUGACGGCCUAACUCCAUAGCUGAAGUUGGGGUGAUCCUUCCAUCCCGGAUUGUAUGUUUAUGCAUAAGGAUCAUACCUCCUCUGAGGCAUGCCUGGAAAUCCUCCAACUGCAUUGGUUUGUUCAACGGGUUCUUCUUGAAGUGUAGGACACAUAUCAGUUGAAUGACCCAUAUUGUAACAAAUGCCACAAGUCUUCACCUGUUGCACAUUACCUACAACAAACUUUUCCACAAGAGAAGUAAGUUUAUCUAAACUUUGUCCAAUAGAAGAAAUAUUUACCUCAUUUACCUUCCUUGAAGUGAGAUCUUGCCUGCUGCCAAAUUGUUGUGCGUUGGCAGCCAUAUUUGAUAUCAGCUCCUUUGCUUGAGUAGGGGUCUUGUUCACCAACACGCCUCCACUAGCAGCAUCUAUCAUACUCCUAUCCAUCAAUGACAGUCCUUCGUAAAAAUAUUGAAUAAGAUGUUGAUCAGAAAUCUGAUGCUGAGGACAGCUGGCACACAAUUGUUUGAAUCGCUCCCAAUACUCAUACAAAGUCUCCCCAGGAAGUUGUCUGAUCCCACAAAUGUCUUUUCUGAUGUUAGCAGCUCUUGAAGCAGGAAAGUAAUUCUCGAGGAAUUGCUUGUUCAAACCAUUCCACGUUGUAAUUGAUCCAGGAGGCAAGUAGUACAACCAGUCUUUAGCUAGUCCAUCUAAAGAGAAAGGAAAAACACGCAGCUUAAUCUGCUCUUCAGUCACGCCUUGUGGUCUCAUACUUGAACACACAACAUGAAACUCCUUAAGAUGUUUAUGAGGAUCUGCACCUGCAAAACCAUGAAACUUGGGUAAUAAAUGAAUAAGACCAGACUUUAAUUCAAAAUUUACCUCCAAGUCUACAUAUUGAAUGCAGAGUGGUUGUUGACUCAAGUCUGGUUCAGCUAACUCUCUAAGAGUUCUUUCUACAGGUGCAGGUCUAUCUAUCAUUUGUUCUUCUGAAUCGCUAGAUGAUUCAACUAAAUCAGGCACUGUAUCUAUUUCAGAAAGCAAAGGCGACGAGGAUCGUUACUUAGCUCGCUUCGUCUGCUGUCUCAGCUGGCGAGCUGUCUUCUCAAUUUCAGGAUCAAACGAAAGUGUACCUGUACGAGAAGAACGAACCAUACACCAAGUAAAACGUAAAAAGGAUUAAAUAAAUGACACCAAUCCCCGACAACGGCGCCAAAAUUUGAUGGUUGUCGAAGCCAACAAAAAUAAAUUCCUACUCUAAAUAAAUUGUGUAUAGUGAUUGAGCAGGGUCGUGUCCACAGAGAUCGGUAUUUAAAUCCUUUUGAAACGUAAAACGUAAAAUGGAAGAAUUGUUGAUAAUAAUAAAAAUCAAAUUAAAAUAACAAGAAUGAAAAUUAAAGUUGUAAUUCAAAUUAGAGAAAGCUCUGGUUGAAGGAAUUAAGUCAGCUUGAUUCGACUACUGAUCAUUGAUUCAAAUAUAGAUUAUUAUUACUUAUGAAUAGACCGGUUAUAGCUACUGAGACCCUCUAAUAGCCAAUCUCACCUUAACUAGUCGAUAACCAAGGUACGACCGUUGGUUAUUUCCCUAAUCAAUAGACAACCCUAGAUACGAUCAUAGGAUUUAAUCAAUUGACAGCCUGAAAAACCAGAGAGACCCAAAUUCUAAUCAACACAUACGAUGAUUAAUUUAAAUUAGAUUGUUUAUUAUCACAACACAACUCUCUGCUAUGUUAUUUGUCACAAACAUUAAAUUUUUCAUACGAUGAAUCCUUUAAUUGACAAUAGAUUAAGUUGAUAAUUAAAUAGUGGCCAAUUACCUAAUUAACAAACAUAAUCAUGAAAAUAAUUCAGAGAAUAAACAAAUACCCAAAAAGCAAUAAAACAAUUAAAGCAUAAAAUAGAUCUCACAGAAGUGAUGAAUCAAAGCUUCAUUAUCCUUCAACCAGAAAAAUAGGUUUAGUUCUUCAUAGAGAGAAGAGAAAAGUUUAGAUCUAGGGUUUCUUUCUCUUCUCUCCAAAAGUCCCCUUUUUCACAAUAGAUUCCUCUCUUAAAUACUCUCUCUCUCUUCUCCUCUAGAAUUCUAUUUAAAAUAAAAUACUAAUAUCUGAAAUAUUAAAUUCGUAAUUACAAAAAUAACCAAAAAUACAAAACACGUUAAACUAAAAACUGUAGGUCCGUAGUUGACAGCACGCGCCCACGCCUUAUCAACAAAGUUCUUCUGACGCUCAUAAUUUCUCCAAGAGAACAAUCAUCUUUAAACAUCAUCUUAUAGCUCAAUUUUAUCACAAAUCAAUAGAAUUGCAUCUACAAAAGUAAAACACAAGUAAAUCAUCAUUAUUAAGUGCAAAACAUCGAUAUUAAGGGAAGUAAACAAUGCAAAACUAGUGCAUAAAUUGCACUCUAACAAUGUCUAUGAUUGUCAAUCUUGCUUUAAGUGUUUCAGUUAAGUGGUUUACCUAACAGGGAAAAAAAUUUAAUGGAAAACUUUAGAGUUCUAACAGAAAUAUAGUUGACUGCAGAUAUAGCUAUUUUGCAGUACAUAAAUUAUGUUGUCCUAUUCUCAAUGUCCUACGACCUAUUUUAUUUUAUAUGGUCAUUCAUUUUUGCGAUGGUUUUUUGUGCUUAUGAGUAUGGAAAUAGUGGGAUUUGGUGUGGCAAACAAAAAUAUACAUAUAAUCAAGUUUCUUAAUCAUGUAUAUUGGUUUUGGGUAUGAAUGUUUUCCUAUUCUAGUUCUAGGCAAAGUUUCUUCAUUUUGGUCUUCAGAUUUCCAGUAGGUUAAGUUAAGCAACUAUCAUAACUAGCUAGCUAGUUAUUGCCUGCCUUGUCGCCAUUACAUUGCAUGGCAUAAGGAAUAGUAACUAGGUGAUUAUUGGUGAUUCGUUGAGUUUAUUAUUGGCCAAACUAACAUAUUCGCCUUUACCCACAACUUAGUUUGAUUAGAUAUUAGAUAAUAAAGAGCCUUAAUCUAUGCAUUGCUUUAUUAUUUUUAUUUGGUUUUUCUUUCAACAAUAUUGUUGAUUUCUUAUAAAAAAUAUUCAUUGGUUUUUAAACACCUAAUCAUUGGCUAUGAUGAAGCUAAUUAAAACGAAGGCUUUGGAUCAAUUUCUUCUAACAACAUACAAAUGAGCAUAACCACCCCCUCCCCCCGAACCCAAAAAAAAAAAAAAAAAAAGGAAGACUUUGCAAGAUUCACAACCAGGUUACAUUUAAUUUAUUAAUUGUGUGUACGUACUAGUUAUUUGUUGAUAGAAUAGGAAGAAGUAUUUUAAUAUGAAUGACUUAAAACUUGUUGCUCAGUAAACAUAAUGUGCAUCAGUGCUAGAAAAUGUAUUUAUUGUUUGUAAUUUUUUAUGGUUUUGCUUAAGAAAUGAAAUGUGAAAAAAUGCUACAUUGUAUUAGGAAUAAAUUGAAGAGAUUUAUGAUUUUUAUGUGUUAUUCAAGUUUCAGAUUCAAUUUUAAACUUUUGAUACAUGCAUUGAAAGCUUAAACUCCUUUAAGAAAUUAUUAAUAGACACAUGUUUUAUUAGUGUCAUCUUUUGGAUGAUAGUGAGGAUCUUAUGUCUAUUAAUAAUUCUUGAAUUAUCUAGGCUUGGACAGUUUGGUAAUGCAUAGUUUUCUAUGGUAGCUAGUGCCUGAAAUUUUUUUCCCACGUAAAAAUGGGUUUUUCAGCAGCUGCUCCUCAUGUUCUCUGGGUGCAUACUAGACAAAUGGGUGUCAUGUGUUGUUUUGGCAUAACACAUAAACACUCAUAUAUCUAUGUCGCGUACUUGAAGAACUAUAGGGAGAUGCUUCCGAAGUUUCUAUAAACGUAGAGGAAAACUUUAGAUACUUAAGAUUGAAGAAACUUAUGCAUUCUUGAGUGGGAUAUAUAGGACCACUUACCUUUUGUAAAUAUGAAGGGAAUGUUGGAUAUAUUGAUGGGAGUGGAGGAGCUGAGUGGGAUGAAUGUAAUCGGUUAUGAUUUUGCUGAGUCGACUUGGUUUUGAGUCUUGUAAUUUUGUUUAUAAAUGGAGUACUAUCUCCAAUGUUGGUUUAUAAAUAUGUUUCAGCUGGCUGACCUAAUUUUUUGUUUCUAGGUAACAGGCUUUAUAUAUCUGUAAUUGAUAGCCAAGUGAAGUUCUCAGCAGUGGGUAACAGGCUUUACAGAAGAAUACUAUAAAUAAUUCUUGAAUUAUCUAUGCUUAUUGACCAUAGAUCAAAACAAUCUCUUCCUUUUCAACCCCAUCUCUGUCAUUGCUCUGCAUCCGUAUACAUAAAGUGAUAUGAGUCGCACUAGAGUUUUUGCUGUGGAGGAUGUUACUAAGUGUAUCAAUUUCUUGCAACCGAAAGCUACAAGUUUUGUUAGGUUCCCAAAAGAUACCGAUGAUGAUGGCAAUAGAAUUAACAGACUUUGACAAUAAUAUACUCUUAGAAUUUCAAGAUACUGAAAAAUGGGGGCAAGUUUGGAGUCUUGUUUGCACAGCUGCCUCAGAUGAUAGUGCCGGUGCAGCUUUAAUUCUUUUAUCAUUGCCAACUUCCCCACAUGUUUCUCUCAGCAUCCUUCCUUCGAAAAUUCCUCUUCGUUGAAUGAAAAAUAAACCAGUGCGAGUAUUUCGAGAUUGUGAAAUCUCUCCAGUACGUUCCAGAUUGGAAAACAAGCUGAGUCAUCUCCGGCAAUCUCUAGUUGUUUAAGACUGCCAAAAAGGUGUUGUGGGAAAUCGGCCUGCAAAAUCAUCUUCACAUCUUUUCCACUUAGUGAUAGUUCCUUCAAGUUGGGUACGAUCUGAUCAUCAUCAAUCAUAAUAACUAAUGAGGUCAAUUGAUGUUCUUUCAAAUGAUUUUGAGUAAUCCAAUCACGCAGUGACUUUAUAGUAUUUAUUUUAUAUUAAUUUUACCCCUAAAAAAAUUGAAUUAGUGAUAAAAUUCAUUAUAUGAUUUUUUUAUAUGUUAGUUUUAGAGGUAAUAAAGAAAUUAGGGAAAAAAACGAAAUUAUUUUAUUGCACGAUAGUAGACUCUUGCUUCUCAGUGCCUUUGCCACUGUAGUCAAGGCAAUGGGCAAACCUCCACACAACCUGGCGACGUCUGUUGCUGUAGAUUCCAACUCACGAUUUUCAACAUCAUCACCGGCCAUCAUCUUAAACAAUCUCCAGGCUUCUUCUUCAUUUAAAUUGUUAAUCAAGAAGUUGUCUUUAGAUCCCAUUUUUAAGAGGACGCCACGAUCUCUUGCUGUCAGCAGUAGUUUGCAGCCUUUAUGAUCUUCUCCAAAAGGAAUUCCAACUGUCUCCAAGUCAAGGUGCUUCCAGAUGUUAUCUAAAACCACAAGGAUCUUCUUCUCAUUUCUCAAUCGCUCAAAUAGUUUACAUGCUCUUCUAGAUUCAACUUCCUCGUGCAACUCCAGGCCCAACUUCUCGGCAAUUUCCUGUUGAAUCCUUUUUAUGUCUGGAAUUUGGGAAACCUCUGAAAAGACCACCAUAUCAAAGAGCUCGUCUUCCAUAGCUUGCCUGGCGACCUUCUUCACCAGUGUCGUCUUUCCAAUGCCGCCCAUGCCGUACACCCCAAUGAUGCUGACACUAACAUCGAUCAAUGCGUUUUUUACAACUGACUUCAUCAACAAAGCUUUUGUGAAUAUGCGUUACAUUACAACUGCGAUAUCCUUUCACUGUAUAUUCAUACAGUGGCAGGCCAUGUGACGUUGUGACCCAUGUGCUAGCUUUCACUAUUCAUAUUAUUUUUUUACACGGUGUUUAACAAAAUCUUCACGUAAAGAUUUCAGACGCGUGAUCCUAAUUCAGUAUGCAUUAUUUAUUUAUAAAAUGAAAAUAAAAAGAUAAAAGGAUGUGACUUAACUUGCUAUCAGUGCGGAUCCAGGACUUAAUAUUAUUUCGGGUUAAAUUUUAUAUUUUAAAAUUUAUAUUUUGAAGUGAACAUAAAAAUUUAUAAGUAGAAAGAAGUAUAUUAAAUGAGGGGAGAUAUGGAGAGCUUUAUCCCUAUGAAUAUGUAUUAUAAACGAAAAUAAUUGUAAGAAAAGAGUAGAAACCAAAAGGCAAUUCAAAUAUCAAAACAUUAUUUUUCAAUUAUGGAAUCCGAUAUUGCAACCUAUAAUAACAUGUAAUUAUAUAAGGAUUAAUAAAUCAAUUAAGAAUUUCAAACUAAAUUAGAUCAGUACAUGUGAUUAAAAUUAAUUAAAGAUUACAAGUAAAACUUUUUUGUUUGAAGUCAAGUACUAAAUUACCAAGCUUAAAUAAAUUUAAAAAAUUAAAAUUCAUUCAUUCUUUCGAAUUAUAAAAGUAUUAUUAAUAAAAAAUUUAGUAAUAAACUAAAUUCAAUUCAACAAAAAGUUAUUUGGAUAUCGUUGUUUCAUUGCCAGUGCACUAACUUUCUUUAUAGAAGUAGAUGUUGAUGAUUCUUCUAUUAAAGUUCCUCAAAAUACCUAAAUUUUAUUUUCUAACUUCUUCUCGUAGUUAAUGUAACUAAUAAAUAGAAUCUAAAAAAUCACAUAAAAUGUUUAUGAAAAUGUUGAUAAUUGUUACUAUUUAUUGUUUUCGUAAGUACUUUUAAUGCUAGUGACGAUGUUAUAUUACAUUGAUUUAUAUUUUUUUUCAAUUAGAAGUUUUUUAAAAUAAAUUAAAGCGAUAAUAAUACUUUAGCUCCUAAUGUUUUCAAUCUAUCCACUAAGUAUAUAAUUUAAUCAUUUUAUAAAAUAAGUCACUAAUUUCAAUUGGAAAUAAUACAAUUUAAUUAGGGAUAUAUUUGAAUAUAAAAUAAUAGCCCAAUUGUUAUACUAAAUUGAUGAAAAUAUAAGGGUAAUUGAGUUAGGGAAAUAUUUGAAUAUAAAGUAAAAACUCUAUUGUUAAACUAAAUUGAUGAAAACAUAAGGAUACUUGAGUUAGGGACAUAUAUGAAAACAAAAUAAAAACUCUAUUUUUAUAAAAAAAUUAUAAGAAAACAAGGUGUAUAAAUGAUUUUUUCUGUGCUAGACCAAGCUACAACCCAGUCUAGCCCAACUGUAGGUCCGCCACUACUUGCUAUUUACAUACAGACAUGUAGCCCUUAUUCUAAUAUCUAUAGGAAAAGACACUUAUACUCCAAGAUUUGAAGAAAUGGUCACGUAGAUCUCUAAGUUUUCAGUAACCAAAAUUUCUUUUUGACUAUAAUACUUUUUGUACAUAGUAAAUAAAAAAUGACUUUAAGAUUUUUUUUAAUAAAUAUAAAUAUAACUUAAAUAGUUUAAUCUGUCUAAUAGACUAAUAAUAUUAGAAUAUUUUUAAUAUAUAAAAUAUUUUUUAAAUAAAAACAUUAUAUUUAUUUUAAUAAUAUAUUUUUAUUUAUCAUAAAAAUAUCAAAUAAAUCAUUGGGGUUAAAUAGAAUUUAAAAUUAAUAAAACACAUCUCAUUAAUAAAAUAUAUCUCAUGUAGUAAUAAUAUUGAAAUUAUUUUAUAUAAUAUUUAAAAAAUUUAUAAAAUUUAUAAAAUUUAUAAAAUUUAUUUUAAUAUUAUGUUCUUAUUUAUUAUAAAAUUUAGUCUAAUAUAAUAUAAGAUUGUUAAGUAUAUAAAUAUUUUCCUAAAUUGAAGUUGUUUUAAAAUGUUAAUAUUUUAUGUUUAUUUCAAUAUUAUAUUUCUAUUUAUUAUAAAACAUAGGAGUCAAUUUUUUUGAGUUAAUAGAGUCAAAUGUAUUAUAGUCGAAAGAGGUAUUGGUAUUCCUUAUUAAAAAUUUAGGGGUCUACAUGACUAUUUGCCAAACCUUAGGUGUAACGUCCUUUUCUCCAAAAUUGAUUCUCUAUAGGUAUUUCAUGAAGGAAAAUGAUAUUUACAAUGAAUCAAACCCCGGACUAGUUAAAAUGCAUUAUUUCAGCUUAAAUAAUGGUAAAUAUUUGUUCAGUCUCUAUAUUUUGAAUUAAGUACCGUUUAGUCCCUCAAGACACCUUUGUCAGUAAGCACAAUAUAAUCCUACCCUUACUUUUUCUUUGAUUUUAUAAUAACAUGCUUGCAACAAUAUUCUUAGAUAUGUUAAUGUAAAGAAAAAUUUAAAUUUAUCAAAUCAGCCUUAAAAGUAAAAUACAAAUUAGUUGUUAUUAUUAUUAAUAAAAUAAUAAAAUAAUAAAAUAAUAAAAUAAUAAUAACAAUAAUUAACAUUAAUUAAAAUAAUAAAGUUAAUAUAUUAUAUAACAAAAAAAACAAUAUUUACAUUUAUCAAAUUUUCAUGUGUUUAAAAAAAAUUAUGUGAUAUUACAUUAUUAUCUUUACACAAUCAAUCAUUUUUAUGAUCAAGUUAGGCUAAUGGAUCAAGCUUUAAAAAAUUUAAAACAAUAGGAGUUAUAUAAAUAAAUAUUUAAAAAAUUUUGUUUUAUGAUAUUAUAAUAAACAGUAAAGAUUUAAGUCUUAAUAACCAAUUGAACACAUCUCAACCGUUGACAGUAGCGGCUCGACCUCUAGGCAACUUAAGCGGUUGUCUAGAGCCCCGCUUUACAUUAAGGUCCUAUGAAAUGAUUAUUUUGUAUAUAAAAGGGAAAAGUGAAUUUAAAAGUCAUUACUAUGCAUUUAAUUUGUUAUUAUUUUGUAAUUAUCUUUUUCUAAAUAAACUAUCAAAUUCCUAUAAAGUUUAUUUAAUGUAGUACUUAGUAGUUUUAAUUCCUACAAAACCGAUAAAUUAAUAGUUUCAAUCCUACAAAUUCUCUAUUUAAUUGUUAGAAUUAAUAUGUUAUAAUUAAAAAGUUUUAUAUUCAUUUUAAACCUCUAUAAAAGCCCCACAUUUUAUUACUUAUCUAUUAAAUUUUUCCUCUAAUAAUCAAGACACGAUAUGUUGUUAGUGUUUGAGAGAAAGAAAGACAGAGAUGGAAAAAAUCAUGCUUCCUCUACUUUCCACUCAAGAAGAAAAAAAAAAAUCUAAUAAUUUUCUCUAUACUCUAUGGCUAUUGGUCAUUACUUAAAUCCUCAAAUAAUUAAUAUAAAUAUAAAGUUAAUUCAUGAUUUCAUCUCAAAUUCCAGAUUUUAUCUUUUUAUUAUUCUCUUAAUUAGUUGUGUUAUUUACUUGUUCUUAUUUUUUUUCAAUAUAUUCUUUUAUUCAUCUACUUUUUUUUGUAUGCUUGUUUUAUCUAUUUUGAAAUAAAAUUAUAUCGAAAAACUUUAGAAAAUAGAAAAAUUAGUUUAAUCUAGAAAAGGAGUAGUAAAAAAGAUGUAAUUUGAGUUGAAGAACAAUAAGUGAAAAUAUUAUAAUUGAAUUAAAAUUUAAUAGAUAACCCUAAUUUUUUUAUAAGAACUAAUUAAAAUCAUUUGCCUAGGGCCCCAAAUAUGGUUGAGUCGGCCCUGACCGUUGAACACUUUAGCUAUUAGAUUCAUCAGUUGAAUUAGAAAAAUAUAAAAUUUGGGGUACCGUGCAACUGUUGCAAGGUAGGCGGACACGUUAUAUUUAAUAUAGAAUAAAUAAACUAAAUAUGUGUAAAGAAUAUAGGUUAUUAACCUUGCAAUACUUCAAAAAAUUAUAAAAUAAAAAAGGUGAAAUUUCAAAAUAAGGAACUGUAAAAAGUAUUAGGUUCUAAAAUUUUAUUAUUUUAAUAUUACAAAACUUUACUUUUUUAUAACAUUUUUGUUUUUAAUAUUAGUUGACAUGUUAGUUUAUUUGUAUAUAAAAUAUGUUAAUUUACCUAUAAAAUACUAAUAUUACUCUUGAAAUUUAAGGAAGCCAUUUUAAUUUUUUAAAAUUUUAAAUGUAGCCCAACAAAGUCAUAGAAAUAUAAAUAAAGAAUAGCAUAAAAGGAAGUUAGUUUAAUUUUUUGAAGAAUACUUCAAAAGCAUUUGAGUUUUAUGUUUCUUGAGAAUUAUACCUUUUUGUUUUUUAGAUAUUUGAGCUUGUGAAUCUUGUUGUAAUGAUAAUUUAUUAUUUAUUCUUGAUUAAAAAUAAUUGAAUAGUAAAUUUAUUGGUUUCUAAUUACUCUUUUAAAUGUAGGGCGAUUGCUUAAUUUUUAUUAUGUUACCCUAAAUUUUUUGAUGAUGGCUAAUCAACCACUGCAAAAGACUCUACCAUGAUUAUUUUUACUUUCUCUACAUCCCUCUAGACCAUCAUCACUCAAAGAAUUAAGAGUCCAUUUGGCAUACUGUAUUAUAUUAUACUGUAUUGCAUUAUUUAAUAUAGGUAUAUUGUAUUAUGUUAUAUUACAUUAGUACUAAAUUAUAAUAAUAUUUGUACAACAUUUGGUAAUUGGUAUUACAUUGUACUGCAUUAAUUUUAUAUUAAUAUUAUACUAACAUUAUUUAAAUUUAUUAUUAAUUAUAUUAAAUUAUUAUUUUUAUAUAAAUAUAAUAUGAUAUAAUAAAAUAAUAUGAUAGUAUAAUUUAAUUUUAUAUUUUUAUUUAUUAUUAUAAUAAAUAAAAAUAUAAUAAAAAUAUAUUUAAUGCUUAAUUAAGGUAAAAUAAUAAUAAUAACAAUAGUAUUACUUUAAACAAAAAAAUCUAUAAAGUUUAAAGAUGAUGAUGAUGAUGUUGACGACAUUAAUAAUAACAUAACAAUUAAAAUAAUAAAACAAAUAAAUUUUAAUGAUAUUAAUAUUAAUAAAAUAAUAAUAACAAUAAUUAAAAUAAUAAAAUUAAUAUAUUUUAAUAAUAGUAAUAAAAAUAAUAUUAAUGACAGUAAUAAAAUUAAUAAAUAAUAAUAAUGACUUAAUUAAAAAUAAUCAUAAUAAUUAAAAUAAUAAAUUUUGAUGAUAAUAAUAAUAAUAUUAUUAUUAUUCUUAUUAAUAUAAUAAUAAUGACAUUAAUAAAUAAUACUAAUAAUAACAGUCAAAUGUUUUUGAAAAACCAUUUUAUCCCAAAAAAAGGGACUUAUAUAUAAAAUUUUGUAACUUCUAAUGUCUAUUCAAUUUUUUCAUAAAAUAUAAGGUAGUGCAGUGUAAUUAAUAAAAAAGACAAAAUUCGGUGGUAUGCUGCAAUUGUUGCAACAUAGUUUCAUCUUUAUUUGUGAUCCUAAAGUUUGAGAUAUGUGAUCCUUAUUCUAUUGUGUCAAUUAUAGUCCAGUCCAAUGCCGCCAUCAUUAUCGAACAGUCGAUAUCCAACACUUGCACGAAGAUUCCAAGAAGUUGUGUGGCUGCCGACUUUUAAAUGCUAAGCCUUAUUGUGUCGAAGAUACACAAAACAGAGCAGUCCAGGUAAUUGCCAAAACUUAGAACUAAACAGUAGCUUAGUCAGAAAAUCAAACAAGUACCAAUAAAAUGACUGAUAAAAAUAUAAAGAAAUCAGUCAAAUCACGAAGAUUGAAGAGUAAAUCAAUGGUUUUAGAUUUUUAUUUUUUUUUUUAGAUAAUAGAUAUUAUUUUGAUGAAUUUUUUAAUAUUAGAAUAAUGUUAGGAAUUCCAAUAGUAGAAUUCUAGCUUAAGACCCAAUUAUUAUGUGUCAUUUUUUUAUUGGAUAAUGAAUUUCAUAACUAAUAAAAUUAAUAUUUCGAUCAUUUAAUAAAUGACUACCAUAUUAGUUGAGACUCAAUUAUUAGGAUCAUUAACAUUGCUCUUAGUAUUAAAUUGGACAUCUUAUCCAAAUCAGAUUAAAAAUCAAAUUAGAUUUUAAGCUUUUAUUCAACAUCUCCUUUUUUUUUUUUUUUUUUGGUCUAUUUGAAGUGAACAAAAUAAAAAUACAUUAGGGUCAACGACUGGGCAAUUGAUAGUCAAGUAUUUUGUUGUUUUUGCUACCUUGAAUUAAAUUUUCUCAAUUAGAUCAACAAGCAUUAAGCUUGAAUUAAAUUAUGCAAGGUUCAUUUCUUUUGUUUGAUGCAAAAAAAGAAAAAAAAGAAAAAAAAAUGUUUACAUUCUUGGCGACUUGAGUAGAAAUAAGCGUUUUGAUAUCAUAAGGUUCAUUCAAUGAGUUCAUUCUUCCCAUUUUGAUCUCUUUUUCUUUCAUAGACAUUUCUUUUUCAUUUAACCCCAUUACAACAUUUCUAAGACCCUUAGAUUUUUGCAUUUAAUUCAUGUUUUAUGGAUUGAGAUGUGAUAUAUGAGCAAGCUCAUGAUAAUAGCAUUCUUUGAUUUGAUUUGAGUGCAUAAAUGAUACCUUAAACACUUUGAGUACAUGGAGUGAAGUUAAUGAGAGGGCUAUUAAAUCUUGUUGCACUUGAAUUUUGAAUGGAUAUUUGAUAACUCUAGGAAAUGAGAGUUAUUACAUCAAUUCUAGACUUGAAUCAAGGUCACUUAGAGAACAAAUAAAGUGUUUUUAUUACAUUUUGGGUACCUUUUUGCAUAAACAUUCAUUUUAGUUGAGUCUAAUAAAUUUUGCUUGAAUCAUAGUAAUUUGUGCUAAAAACAGGUUUUAAAUUGUAGGUUUUAAAUUCGUGAGAGGAUGUUGAGGCAUUAGAAGAGCAAGAGGAGGAAGGAAGUUGGCCACAAAAGAAGUAAAGCACAAUCGGGAAUAAAACAGUAUUGUAGCAGCUGUUAGAGCAACCAGUGCUAUAACAAUCUUGGAGCAAUGCGGGAGAAAACUUAGGCGCGAGUCAGCCACAAAAUCGUGAUCUGCAUGUUUCCUAAUUCAAGCAUAUGCACGCUCAUAGGCUUUGGUUUAACCUAAUUUGCAAUAUAAAAAAGAGGCGUGCAGCACAUAGAAAGGCGGCAAGGAAUUAUCAUAAAAAAUAAUUACAAAGGCAAGAAGAAGGAGAUCAAGAUUAAAGAGUGCUAUUCGGAAACAAAAGGAGAGAGCCGUGCAGAAUUAUUUGCCUUUCAUCGUGCUCAACUUAUAUUUUCUCUUUUUCCUUGAAUUGUUGGGAUGUAUUCCGAGUUCAACAUAUUUGUGUUUAUUUUUCUCAUCCAGAUUAUGAACUAAAUUUACUUGUGGUUGAGUGAAAAAUAAUCCAAUGGGUUCUUGACUAUUCUUUUAUGUUGUUAUGGUAAUGUUGUAGCAUUAUACUCUAGUAGUUUUUAUGAAUACAACUGUUGUUUCGGUUCACCACCCAUUUAAUAGUUUCAGUUAAGAUAGAGCAGCAAAAGGGCAUGUCUUAGCGGACAUUAUUAGAGUAUUACUUGUUCUUAAGUCGAGUUUCCUGGAAUAUGUUAUCUUGAAUCCCAUAAGGGCAAUACUUGAAGUUAAGAUUUGUGACACUCUAGACAUAGGUGUUCACCUUGUAGGGUAGAGAGAUUAAAGGUUAUAAUGCCAUACCAUAAAUAUAUGAGCAACUGGUCAUUGUUAGUAGAUUUAAAAGUAUGAAAUUUCCAACAUGCGAUAGCUGCGGAUGCAGAUUUAUUCUACCCAUUGCUGCAGCACUUAUUGAAACAAUUGGUGCUAAUUUGGUAAACAACAGUCACCCCAUUAGGAGAGUUUGAUCAUUCAACUACUAUAUUUUCAAUUGAAUCUUAGACACAUUUAACUUAGUUUACUUCAUUACAGUAUUGUUUUAUUUUCAUCUCUCAUAAUUAUUAGUUACAGCAGAAUUAUUUGACAAUUGUUUGUUUCGAUCUUUAAUUGAUUUGCACUAUUGUGAUUGUUUUAGCAUUUUGAGUAACAGCAAUCCCUGUGGAGACGAUCUUGAAUACUCAUCACUUUAUUACUUGUUGUGUAUACUUGCACAUUGGCAUUGAUAAUAAUUGCUUAUAGAAAUUAACCAACAAGUUUUUGGCGCCGUUGCUGGGGAUUGAUUGUUUAUUUUUGAAGUGUGAAGUAAAUCUUGAUAGCGCCAAAUCUGAUUUGAUUUAUUCUAUUUAUUGGCAGAUCGGUACAUGCAUGUGUAAAGACAAAUCUGUGGUAUUCUAAUUCGAUCCUGAGAUUGAAAGGACUGUCAGGAGAUUACGAAGAGAACAAAGGAAUUCAGAAAUUGCUUCAAGCAUGAAUAAUUUACAAGAUGCAGGAAAUUUGAAUCCUCACGGGCCCUUACAACCAGUGAACAUUCAAGAAGAGCAGAAUGACCAUGCUAACGGGAGACAGCCAGGCAAUAACAAUAUUAUUUACAUGGCUGAUGACAGAGACAGAGCUAUAAGAGACUAUGUUGUGCUAACUCCUCAAGUUAUAUAUCCUGGCAUCAUCAGACCUGAAGUAGACGCUGCCAAUUUUGAGUUGAAGCCAGUGAUGUUUCAAAUGUUGCAAACUGUUGGGCAUUUUAUUGGAUUACCAAAUGAAGAUCCUCAUCUCCAUCUUAAAUUGUUCUUGGAAGUAAGUGAUGCUUUCAAGAUUGCUGAAGCAACACAAGAUGCCUUAAGGCUGCGGCUUUUCCCUUAUUCCUUAAGAGAUCGAGCAAGAGUAUGGUUAAAUUCGUUACCAUCUGAUUCCAUCACUACAUGGAAUGAAUUGGCUGAUAAAUUCUUAAUGAAAUAUUUCCCACCGACAAAAAAAUGCGAAGUUGAGGAAUGAGAUUACUUCCUUCCAUCAACUUGAAGAUGAAAGUUUGUACGAGGCUUGGGAAAGAUUCAAGGAAUUGCUCAGAAGGUGUCCUCAUCAUGGUAUCCCUUGUUGCAUUCAAUUGGAAACUUUUUACAAUGGGUUGAAUCCAAGUACAAGGUUAAUGGUGGAUGCUUCAGCAAAUGGAGCUCUGUUAUCCAAAUCUUACACUGAAGCCUAUGAAAUUCUGGAAAGAAUUGCCAACAAUAAUUACCAGUGGCCUUCAGCCAGGCAACCAGCAGCAAGAGGAUCAGCAGGGGUACAUAACAUUGAAACAAUUACAGCUUUAUCAGCUCAAGUAACCUCAUUGACUAACAUGGUAAAAGCCAUGACAGCUGCUCCAGCAACAGUAAAGCAAGUUACUGAACUUUCUUGUGUCUACUGUGGUGAAGAACAUGAUUUUGAUAAUUGUCUUGGAAAUCCAGCCUCAGUAAACUAUGUGGGUAACUUCAAUCGACAACCUCAGAACAACCCAUAUUCAAAUACUUACAACCCAAGCUGGAAACAACACCCAAAUUUCUCAUGGAGCAGUCAAAAUCGAAAUGCUCCAGCAUUGAAUGGACUAAGUACAAACACACAACCACUUAGUUUUCAUUAGCAAAGUCAAGGGCAAAAGCAUAUUAGUCAGGAUCCAAUCACUUCACUAGAAACACUGAUUAAGGAGUAUAUUGCAAAGAAUGAAGCAAUUGUGCAAAGUCAAGCUGUAUCUUUAAGAAACCUUGAGAACCAAAUGGGACAACUAGCUACAGCAAUGAGCAGCAGAACUCAAGGAAGCCAACCUAGCAACACAGAAGACCCUAGGAGAGAGGGCAAAAAAGAAGUUACAACACCAGUAGUUACAACUUGCACAAAAUCAAACAAACAAAGUUUAAUAUCCCCUGAAGUUACCCAGCAGUUUAGACAUCCACCACCUUUCCUACAAAGGUUCCAGAAGCAAAAAUAAGACAAGCAGUUCAGCAAAUUCCUGGAAGUGCUGAAAUAAUUGCACAUAAACAUACAUUUUGUGGAAGAUUUGGAGCAAACGCCAAAUUAUGUUAAAUUUCUAAAAGAUAUCUUGGCACGAAAAAGAAGGCUGGGAGAGUUUGAAACUGUUGCUUUAACACAAGAAAGCAGUCAUAUGCUCCAGAGCAAAAUUCCCACAAAAUUGAAAGAUCCAGGGAGUUUUACAAUACCUUGUUCUAUAGGAACUAGAUAUGCUGGCAGAGCACUUUGUGACUUGGGAGCUAGUAUUAAUCUGAUGCCAUUAUCUGUAUUUAAGCAACUGGGAGUAAGGGAGUGCAGACCAACAACAGUCACUCUGCAAUUAGCUGACAGAUCUCAUGCAUACCCUGAAGGAAAGAUAGAGGAUGUAUUGGUGAAGGUUGACAAAUUCAUCUUUCCAGUGGAUUUCAUUGUGUUGGACUUUGAAGCCGACAAAGAGGUACCCAUUAUACUUGGAAGACCUUUUCUAGCAACUGGAAAAACUCUGAUAGAUGUGCAGAAAGGAGAGCUCACCAUGAGAGUGAAUGAUCAGCAAGUCACAUUUAAUGUGCUAGAGGCAAUGAGAAACCCUAGAAGAUUGUAAUUUCCUAAGUGUAGUGGAUCUUGUUGUAGCAGACAGAAUGGACAGAUGCUGCAGUAAUAUACUUGACAAAGUCACCACCUUUGAGGAUGUUGAAGAGGAAGAUGUUGCAGCAAUCCAAACAGAUUGGAUGGACAAACAACAAUCUGAUAGGUACAACAGGUUUAUUGAACACCUGAAUCUUUUAGACAUGGAAGUAAAAACAACUUUACCAUCUAUUGAAUCACCUCAUAAUUUUGAGUUAAAAUUGUUACCUUCACAUUUAAAGUAUGCUUAUCUUGGUCAAAACAACACACUCCCUGUAAUCAUUUCUUCUACUUUGGAUGCAGGUCAAGAACAUAGUUUAGUAGAUUUGCUGGGAAAAUACAGAAGAGCAAUUGGAUGGACCAUGGCAGAUAUAAGGGGGAUAAGCCCAUCCAUCUGUAUGCAUAAAAUCCUAUUAGAGGAUUGUUCCAGCAAUUCGGUGGAACACCAGAGAAGGCUGAAUCCUAUUAUGAAAGAAGUGGUGAAGAAGGAAAUCAUCAAAUGGCUAGAUGCUGGAAUCAUAUACCCAAUAUCAGACAGUUCAUGGGUAAGCCCAGUUCAGUGUGUUCCAAAGAAAAGAGGGAUAAUAGUAAUGGCUAAUGAGAAUAAUGAACUUAUUCCUACAAGGACAGUGACUGGAUGAAGAGUGUGUAUGGAUUACAAGAAGCUUAACAAAGCCACAAGGAAAGACCAUUUCCCACUUCCAUUCAUAGAUCAGAUGUUGGACAGACUUACUGGAAAACAGUACUACUGUUUCUUAGAUGGGUAUUCAGGCUACAACCAGAUUGCUAUAGUUCCAGAGGAUCAAGAGAAGACUACAUUUACUUGUCCUUAUGGAACAUUUGCCUUCAGAAGAAUGCCAUUUGGGCUAUGCAAUGCUCCAGCAACUUUUCAGAUAUGCAUGAUGUCUAUAUUUUCUAAUAUGGUAGAGCAAACUUUGGAAGUUUUCAUGGAUGACUUCUCAGUUUUUGGAGAAACAUACAAUGAUUGUUUACACAACUUGGAAGAAGUUCUUAAAAGAUGUGAGAUGACCAACUUAGUACUCAAUUGGGAAAAGUGCCAUUUCAUGGUGCAAGAAGGAAUAGUGCUGGGUCACAAGAUAUCCAAGGAUGGUAUUGAGGUAAACAAAGCCAAGUUAGAGGUAAUAGAUAAACUGCCACCUCCAACUUCAGCAAAGGGUGUUAGGAGUUUUUUGGGUCAUGCUGGAUUCUACAGAAGAUUCAUUAAGAAUUUCUCCAAUGUAGCUAAACCUCUGUGUUCAUUGCUGGAGCAUAACAAACCAUUUCACUUUGAUACAGAGUGCCUUAAGGCAUUUGGAGAAUUAAAGAAAGCUCUUAUCAUUGCUCCAGUAGUUAUAUCUCCAUAGUGGACUUUACCAUUUGAAUUGAUGUGUGAUGCUAGUGAUCAUUCUGUGGGGGCAGUAUUAGGGCAAAGAAAGGAUAAGGUUUUUCAUUCCAUAUACUAUGCAAGCAAAACGUUCACUCCAACUCAGAUCAAUUACACAACUACAGAGAAAGAGUUGCUAGUAGUAGUUUUACUUUUGACAAAUUCAGAGCUUACCUGGUGGGUACCAAAGUAACUGUUUACACAAACCAUGCAGCCAUCAAAUAUUUAAUUUCAAAGAAGGAUGCCAAACCAAGAUUAAUCAGAUGGAUCUUAUUGCUUCAAGAAUUUGAUCUGGAAAUUAAAGAUAGAAAGGGGACUAAGAAUCAAGUGGCAGACCACUUGUCACGGUUGGAAUCAGACACUAGUACAUUGACAAGGAAGGACAUCACCGAAACUUUUUCUGAUGAACAGUUGUUGGUAAUACAGCAAGCACAGAUGCUGCAGCAGUCAGAAUCUCCAUGGUAUGCAGACUUUGCUAACUACUUAGUAAGUGGGUUGCUACCACCUGAGCUGAAGUUUUAAGAGAAAAAUAAAUUUCUUCAUGAUGUUAGAAGUUAUCAGUGGGAUGACUCACAUUUAUAUAAGCUAUGCUCAGAUCAAGUAAUAAGAAGAUGUGUUGCAGCAGAAGAAAUACCUCAUAUACUGGAGUCAUGUCAUGCUGCAGCAUAUGGAGGAUAUUUUGGUGGUCACAGAGCAACUGCCAAAGUUAUGCAAUCAGGUUAUUAUUGGCCCACUAUCUUUAAAGAUGCUUAUGAAUUUGUUAAAUGUUGUGAUAUGUGUCAAAGGACAGGGAACAUAACUAGCAGACAUGAGAUGCCUUUGACUAACAUAUUGGAAGUGGAAGUUUUUUAUGUUUGGGAAAUAGAUUUCAUGGGACCUUUUCCCCCAUCCUUUGGGAACUUAUAUAUCAUUGUUGCUGUAGAUUAUGUCUCCAAGUGGGUAGAAGCUGCAGCAUUACCUACCAAUGAUGCUAAAACAGUGGUGACUUUUCUUCAAAAAAAUGUUUUCUCUAGGUUUGGCACUCCUAGAGCAAUUAUUAGUGAUGAAGGCACACAUUUUUGCAACAAAAUCUUUGCUGCAGCAAUGAUGAAAUAUGGAGUCAGACACAAGAUAGCAACAGCAUAUCACCCACAAUCCAAUGGUCAGGCUGAAGUGUCCAACAGAGAAAUUAAAAAGAUCUUAGAAAAAGUGGUGAACCCAAAAAGGAAGGAUUGGUCUUUACAUUUGCAUGACUCUCUAUGGGCCUACAGAACAACAUACAAAACUCCACUCGACAUGUCUCCUUACCGAAUUGUUUAUGGCAAAGCAUGUCAUUUGCCACUAGAGCUAGAGUACAAAGCCCAUUGGGCAUUAAAGAAAUUAAAUUAGGAUAUGCAUGCUGCAGCAGGGCAAAGGAAACUUCAACUUUGUGAGCUUGAUGAAUUACGGCUGUUUUCAUAUGACAAUGCAAGAAUCUAUAAAGAGAGAACAAAACACUGGCACGACAAGCAUAUUCAACACAGGAAAUUCACCCCUGGUCAAUUAGUGUUACUCCACAAUACAAGACUAAGAUUAUUUCCAGGAAAGCUCAAGUCAAGAUGGUCUGGCCCGUUUAAGUUGUUAAAAUCUUACCUUCAUGGAGCUGUUGAUCUUCUAGAUGAACAAACAGGCCACGAGUUCAAGGUUAAUGGACACAGGGUUAAGCAUUACAUACAUCCAGCAGCAGAAUGUUCAAAGGAGGUGUUACUCCUUAAAGAACCUAGCUAUUGAACAAAGAAGGAAGGUCAUGCUGAAGGACCUUAAAUCAAGCGCUUCAUGGGAGGCAGCCCAUUGAGGAGAUAGCCACUUCAAACCAAGUUUGAUAGCCUUUGGUUUUGUAGACAGCUUUCUCUCUUUGCCAUCUUAUUUAAUUUCUGUUUUUCUAUGAUUAGCCCUUAUUUUCAUCCAUUUACAUUAUUGCAUUCUUUACUUUCACUUUAAUUUGCUAUAUCUAUUUCUUUUAAUAAAUUUUAGACUUAAUGUUAGUAAGUGUGAUAAUUGAAUUUCAUAUUGACAAGUGAGAGUGAAUGGUGGCAGAAUUCAGAGGUGAAUCACGUGUUAGAAGCUUUUAGUGGGGAGUCUGUAUCCGUUGUUAGAAUAAGCGAAUGGGUGCUGCAGCAGCUAAUUUUACCGUUACAGUAAAUUAAAAGCUGGAGCCUUUCACUUACCGUUGGAGAUAAAAUCGUGACAGAUGGAUGCAUGGACAUGGAUAGAAAAUUGAGGAAACCAAUCUAUGAAAUUAAAGCUUUAAUUUCAUUGGCCGAUAAUUUUGGGGAUAUGGACAUUUAAUUCAAAUAUUUUAUUCCCUCAAUUAUCUCUCGUUACCGUAUUUAUCUUCAAAUUAAAGUCCAUUAUAAAAAAGAAUCACUGUGCUUAGUGCUCUACGCCACUAUUCCCCAUCUCCUUCGCAAAGACAACUCUAAAAACUCUUAAACUCUUUUUCUCUUUUUAUUCUCAGGAACAGUAGCUUCAAUUUGUUAUUGCUACAGCAAUGCCGAGAUACAAGAAAAUAGUCAGUCGCCUCAAAGAUCUAUCACGAUUCCAGAGUUACCACGCUGAAGAAAAAUAUGAAGAAUUCAUAGAGCCACGUCGGAUUCUGGAAGAAAAAAGGGUUUCAAUUCCCAGACCAACUCACGGGAAUUGUGCAAACCAUUCAUAAUGCUAUAGCAAAGCGAGGAUGGUUAGAGUUUUGCAACCACCCUCGCGAUCCUGUGUUGCCUGUAGUCAAAGAAUUUUACGCCAAUUUGGUGUUCGUCUUGACGCUAGAGAUGAACAUGUAAAAAAUGAUGGUGCCUGUACGGCACGUACCAUUGAGAGAGUUGCUGGUGAGAGUGCUGGAACAACCACUGAACCAGCUGCUAUCACUGGAGCAAGACGAGCCAUUGGUUUAGAACAGACUAUCCAGGUACUCAGCAAUAGUAUAACUCAAUGUGUGGAAGCUCAACAGAGGGAAAAUGGUCGAUUUUGGAGCUAUCUACAGCACUUGGAUAACCAACUACACCAAUUUGAUCUGUACAUGAAACGCACUCACUGGAACUUCCCUGAUGCACUGCUCCAGCAGUUCCAUUUUGCCAUAAACACCACAGGUGCUCCAGCAGCAGCCAGUGAAGAAGCCACUCCUUCAGAUGAACCAGCAGAGGACGCUGCCACUGAGCUACAAGCAGCAGUCGACUCAGAAGAGGCUGAACCGUCUGAUCCACCUGAGGACGAAGGUGACAAGUCUGAGACUGAUAGCUCACCCUCAGAGGCAGAGGAUAACUCAGAGAAAGAAAGUGAGGAACCAACCAUCCCAAGCUAGCCCAAAACUAGAAAAAAGCAUAUUAUUCAAGAAGAAGAAGAGGAAGACCUUGAAGAGGAGCUGCCUAUUCCAGUCUUUAAGGGUAAGAGGAAGGAUAAGGGUAAAGCAAAAUUGGCAACCCCUCCAGCCUCUGAAGAUGAAAUGGAGCAAGUCGAUGCUGAGUUGGCUGCUGCAGCAGCCAGAGCUAUGCCUACACCUGAGCAAGCCUAGCAACUACUUGCGGUUAUUGCUGCCAUCACCGCUGAGGGCCAGGCAGCUGAUGCAUUGACUCAAAAGCCUCCACAGCAAACUCCUGACCAGCCUAUCCGCACCAGUCCAAGACAAUCCAGCAAAUGAAAAGGCAGUACGUCUACAGGUACUGCUACAACAACCCCAGCCACCACUCCUCUCACCAGCCCCGCAGCGAAAAAGACAAAGACAUUGCCAGCCACUUCCCCAAAAGCUUCACCAAAGGAUAAGCUGCGCAGUGCGUCCAAGAAGCGCUGAUAGCAUCCUGUCAUGUGCUGCAGUCCCCACCACAGGGGAGUACUCUUUCCUUACUAGUGCAUUAAAAAAAAAAAAUUCAAUUUGUGUGUCAUUGUUAUGUUUGCUUGUGAGGACACAGCAACUCUCAAGUUUGGGGCGGGUUGUGUUCCCAAAUGCAUAUGUUUAUGUUUGUAUGCAUGUGUUUAUGUUUGUGUGGUGUGGAGCUCUAUUAUCUAAUAUUUGUGUAUGGAUUUGAAAGCCUAAUGAAGAUAAAUUGAGUGCUAUUCAAUAUAUAUAUGCCAAGUAGAGAUAGUUAUAGAUGAAAGUGAAAUUCUGUCCCGACACUUAGACUUUGGUUGAAUUGUACGAGACUGUUAGAGCAAAGCCAAAAGAAGAGAAAAGAUCUCAAGUUUGGGGGGGGGGGGUAGAAGCAAGUUUGAAUAACUGUGAUAUCUAUGGAAUACAAUUUGUUCCAAUGACUCAAGUUGCUGAGUAACCAUAUCUGAGUAUGUACCCCAUAUGCAGACUUGUGUUCAAAGGUAGCGAGAGUUAUGAGCAAUGCUGCACCAUAUAUAUAUAUAUAUAUAUAUAAAGAAAUCAUCUGUCUAAGGCAUUGAGUAGUUAGGUCUGUUCAUGAGCCCCAUGUUCAGCCUUGAGUAAAAGAUACUUCUAGAUAAGAUUACCUUACAAUUACUGGUGCAGCAACUCUAAUCUGGGCAUGGUUUGAUUAAUUGGGUGUCAUCAUUACAAUUGAUUGACAUUCACAUGAAAGAUAAAUGUUACAGUGAGGAGGUUAAAUAUUUCCUAGUUUGUCAAUCCUAAAAUAAUCACAGUUGAGUAUGUGAAAGUUAUGAUUACCCCAUUUAUGAAUGAAGUGUUCUCACUGUUGAAAUUCAUGCAAUCCCUUGGUGAUGCUAUAGCAUAUCUAGAAUUCAACCGAAAGAGCACACACACACACUAUGGACAGAAAGAAGCUUAAGUCUAGGACUAAUUUACUAUGGUCAUCUUGCUUGAUUGAGAAUAUGAUCUAAAGGUGGAAGAAUCCUUGCAAAGUUGAUAAAAGAGUUAAAUUUGUGUAAAGUGUUAGUAUGUGUCAUUACUUGAGGACAAGUAAUAGUUUAAGUUUGGGGGUGUGAUAACUCUAGGAAAUGAGAGUUAUUACAUCAAUUCUAGACUUGAAUCAAGGUCACUUAGAGAACAAAUAAGGUGUUUUUAUUACAUUUUGGGUACCUUUUGCAUAAACAUUCAUUUUAGUUGAGUUUAAUAAGUUUUGCUUGAAUCAUAGUAAUUUGUGCUAAAAACAGGUUUUAAAUUGUAGGUUUUAAAUUCGUGAGAGGAUGUUGAGGCAUUAGAAGAGCAAGAGGAGGAAGGAAGUUGGCCACAAAAGAAGUAAAGCACAAUCAGGAAUAAAACAGUGUUGUAGCAGCUGUUAGAGCAACCAGUGCUGUAGCAAUCUGGGAGCAAUGCGGGAGAAAACUUAGGCGCGAGUCAGCCACAAAAUCGUGAUCUGCAUGUUUCCUAAUUCAAGCAUAUGCACGCUCAUGGGCUUUGGUUUAACCUAAUUUACAAUAUAAAAAGGAGGCGUGCACCACAUAGAAAGGCGGCAAGGAAUUAUCAUAAAAAAUAAUUACGAAGGCAAGAAGAAGAAGAUCAAGAUUAAAGAGUGUUAUUCGGAAACAAAAGGAGAGAGUCGUGCAGAAUUAAUAGUUUCAGUUAAGAUAGAGCAGCAAAAGGGCAUGUCUUAGCGGACAUUAUUAGAGUAUUACUUGUUCUUAAGUCGAGUUUCCUGGAUUAGGUUAUCUUGAAUCCCAUAAGGGCAAUACUUGAAGUUAAGAUUUGUGACACUUUAGACAUAGGUGUUCACCUUGUAGGGUAGAGAGAUUAAAGGUUAUAAUGCCAUACCAUAAAUAUAUGAGCAACUGGUCAUUGUUAGUAGAUUUAAAGGUAUGAGAUUUCCAACAUGCGAUAGCUGCGGAUGCAGAUUUAUUCUACCCAUUGCUGCAGCACUUAUUGAAACAACUGGUGCUAAUUUGGUAAACAACAGUCACCCCAUUAGGAGAGUUUGAUCAUUCAACUACUAUAUUCUCAAUUGAAUCUUAGACACAUUUAACUUAGUUUACUUCAUUACAGUAUUGUUUUAUUUUCAUCUCUCAUAAUUAUUAGUUACAGUAGAAUUAUUCGAUAAUUGUUUAUUUCGGUCUUUAAUUGAUUUGCACUAUUGUGAUUGCUUUAGCAUUUUGAGUAACAUCAAUCCCCGUGGAGACGAUCUUGAAUAGUCAUCACUUUAUUACUUGUUGUGUAUACUUGCACAUUGGCAUUGAUAAUAAUUGCUUACAGAAAUUAACCAACAAUAUUCUUGGUGGUUGAUUUUGUUUUUUUAUACUAGCUUAUGAGAUCCUAUGCUUUAAAAUUCUUGUCUCUCGAAUGUUGAUUGAUUUAAAUUCUUGAGGUAUGCUUGCUUAAGAUUAUUUUUGGAUGAGUUGAGAUGAGAAUUGAGUGGAGAUUUGGGAUUAGUCUUGAGUUAUAUGCUUGAGGACAAGCAUUAUCUUGGUGUGGGGGAAUUUGUUAGAGUACAAUUUAUGCACUAGUUUUGCAUUGUUUACCUCCUUUAAUAUCGAUGUUUUGCACUUAAUAAUAGUGAUUUACUUGUGUUUUAUUUUUGUAGGUGCAAUUCGAUUGAUUGGUGCUAAAAUUGAGCUACAAGAUGAUGUUAGAGGAUGAUUGUUUUCCUGGAGAAAUUAUGAGCUUCAGAAGAACUUUGUUGAUAAGGCGUGGGCGCGUGCUGUCAACUAAGGACCUGCAGUUUUUAUUUUAACGUGUUUUGUCUCUUUGUUUAUUUUUGUAAUUUUGAAUUUAAUAUUUAGAUAAUAUUUUAGAUAUUAGUAUUUUAUUUUUGGAAAAACUCUAUAAGAGAAAGGAGACGUGAAAAACAAAGGAGGAUGAGAUUUUUAAAAAAAGAAAAAGAAACCCUAGAUCUAAAUUUUUCUCUUCUCUCUAUGAAGAACUAACCUAUUAUUCUGGUUGAAGGUUAAUAAAGCUUUGAUUCGUCAUUACUGGGAGAUCUUUCUUAUGCUUUAAUUGUUUUAUUACUUUUUGGGUAUUUGUUUAUUCUCUAAAUUAUGGUUAUGAUUAUGUUUGUUAAUUAGAUAAUUGGCCACUAUUUAAUUAUCAACUUAAUCUAUUGUCAAUUAAAAGAUUCAUCGUAUGAAGAUUUUAAUGUUUGUGACAAAUAGCAUAGCAAUGCGUUGUGUUAUGAGAAUAAACAAUCUAAUUUAAAUGAACCAUCGUAUGCGUUUGUUGAUUAGGAUUUGGGUCUCUUUGGUUUUUCAGGUUGUCAAUUGAUUAAACCCUAUGAUCGUAUCUAGGGUUGUCUAUUGAUUAGGGAAAUAACCAAUGGUCGUACCUUGGUUAUCGACUAGUUAAUGAGAGAUUAACUAUUAGAGGGUCUCAGUAGCUAUAAUCGGUCUAUUCAUAAGUAGUAAUGAUUUAUAUUUGAAUCAAUGAUCAGUAGUCGAAUCAAGCUGAGUUAAUUCCUUCAACUAGAGCUUUUCUCAAUUUGAAUUACACAUUUAAUUUGCAUUCUUGUUAUUUUAAUUUGAUUUUUAUUAUUGUCAAAAAUCCCCCCAUUUUGUAUUUUACAUUUUAAAAGGAUUCAAAUAAUUACCGAUCUCUGUGGACACGACCCUGCUCAAUCACUAUACACAAUUUAUUUAGAGUAGGUAUUUAGUUUUGCUGGCUUCGACAACCAUUAAUAUUAAAAAAUAAAUUUAUAUUUAUCAAGUAUAAAAAAUAAAUAGACAAACAAAAAUAAUAUGUUACCUAAAAUAAUGACAAUAUCAAUAUUUAACACUCUAUAAUUUAGUGAUGUGUUGUCCAACUGCCAUACAUUGGUCCCAAACAGAGCCUUAAAUAUCAAAGUCCAAAGUUAUUGUGAUGAUGACUUAUAAUCGCCAAACUUGACAUACGGGUAAUCAUGCAUUAUAAGGUGCUGAUUUCUUACUAUCAGAACCUUAUUUGUCAUCUAUAAAUAAAUAAAUGAUGUGACUUCACGGUUGGCGGGGUCCUUUGUAUCUCCUUUUGCAUCUACUUUUGUUGUUAACAUUACUUUCAAAAGCAGCUCGUUAUGUAUGCAACAUUUCAAAAUUAAUCUAAAAAAAACAAAAAUUAGUUCAGCUGACUAAAUUUGAAAGCAUGGAUUUGCUGUCGAUUAAAAACCGUUUUGUAGGGAAAAUUUUUGGAUUGCAAUUCUCAUAUAAUACAUAGAAUUAUCAUAAUUUAUAAAUUUUAUUUUCGCUUUUCUGUGGUAGUAAGUCAGACUCCUUAGUGACAAUUUAAUUUGAAAAAAUAAAAUCAUAAAUAAGAAUUAUUCGAUAAGAAUUAAAAUAAUUGAUAAAUAUUUGAGACGUGCAAUUUUGGAAGAUUCGAUUUCUAAUAGGAGGGGAAUUUAAAUUUUACAGCCUUUGGUGAGGAAUCCAAAAUGCACAAUUUGAUGAAAAUUAAAUUUCAAUAGAAAUUGAAUUCCCAUAUAUUAGUGAAAACCAAACAACAGAAAAGUGAAAUGAAUUUGAAUUUAUUUCCUUCCUCUCUUCUCCCUCCAACUAAAUACCAUUGAAAUCCAAAGGUAUGGGAUUUGUUUCGGAGUUUAAGAUUGAAAUUAAUCCCAAUUGUUGAUUUGGGACUAGAUAAGAAUUUAUCUUGGAACUCCAAUUCUCCCAAUUAUUUUAGUUGACAAUAUGUUUAACAUUAUUUUUUUAACAUUAUUAAUUGCAUAUUAUUUAAUUGUCAGUAUAUAAUAUUCUUUAAUUUUCUAAUUUAUAGGAUUAGACGCAAAAUUGAUUAUGGCUUUUGAAAUUUAAGUGUUAUGUCAAUUGAAUAGAAAACAUGGAGUAAAAAUUUUGGAUGCUUUUGUUGAUUAUCAAUUUAUGCAUGAAUUUUUGUACAUUUACUUUGGUUUAUUAUUAUUACUUUUAAACAUUUUUAUUAGUUUGGUUUAGGGUCAGUUUGGUAAUCCUGUAGCUUUUACAAUAAUUACAAUUAGCUAUGCUGUAGAAAUUGAUCAAUCGUGAGGAGAAUCAGCUGAACAUUUAGUAAAAUUUAUUUUUAAAAGUACUUUUAGUUUUAAAAACAGUCGUAUGUAUUUCUUAAAUCUUAUUGUUAAACUGGUGCAAGAAUAUAAAUGAUGAAUUGGACAUAAUGCGAAAUAAAAUUUAUUUACAAACAUGUAUAUAAAAUAUUUUUAUUAUGUACAUAUAAUUAUUGAUAACUAAAAUAAAUAUUUUAUAUUAUUAAAUUUUAUUCUCUAUUUUGUUAUCUCAAUAUAAUUGGUAAUAAUAAUAAUCUUUUUAAAGUUAAUGAUUUUAUUUCUUAAUUAAUAAAGAUAAUUUUGGAUUUUUAUUAUAUAAUGAGAAUAUAUAUAUAGAAUUGGAUUAAGUAUAGAAGUGAUUCUCAAAACCAGAUUUUGAAAAACUAUUCAUUCCCUACUUUUCAAAAUCUAAUGUAUGAUGAAAUGAUUUUGCCAAAACUAAUUACUAAAAAAAUUUAUAAAACACUAAGAAUUAACUUUUACUUUUUAAAAUCACUUUUAAGCUUCCCAAAAACAAUCCUAAGGGCCUUUAUUUGGGUGGUGUUGGAACUUGUAACUUUUGGAUCUUUUAGCUUUUAUUGGUUUGACACAACUGUUACACUAAAAAUUAAAUGCAUCUUAAACCCCAAACUUCUUCUUCUUCUUUUUUGAUUGCACAAAAUUAAAAACAAUAGUGAACACAUUCUUUAAUAAACAAUAAGUAAUAACUAAAAUUGCGUUAAAGAAUUUAGUUGAUAUAUAAAUUGAUUUCAAUGUUGUAUAUGCUAAAUUUCUUAAAAGUUUUCUUUCACAAUCUGCUGCAUAGUUUUAUUAGUAUUUUGAAUAAAUAAAAAUAAUUGAUUUAUAUUUUUUUAAAGAAACUUAUUAGGUUCAUGUAAAGAUGUUUUUUUUUUUAUUUUAAAAAAGUGUACAAAGUAAAACUUAAUUUUUUAAAUUUAUUAGAUGAGUGCAUAUAAUAUUUGAGUGUUCAUAGUAAUUUUUAAAGCAUAGAUAGUCGGGCCCUAAUAUUUUUAAUAUACGGAAAUUUUGCUAAUAUGUUAAUGAGAAUUAAAAUGAUAAUUAAGGGAGGCAUUCGAGACAGUCAGGAUAGUUAGGAUGGGACAUCAUUGUGAGCGGUUUGAGAUUGGUCCUAAUUUUGAUCACAAAUAUAUAAACUGGAUGAGUGUAUCCAUACUUACAUUCCAUUUGAUAAUUAAGAUAAAUGUGGAAUUGUCAAAUCCCAAAUCAUCCCAGACCAUUGCCACCAAAGGUACUCUCACUAAUAAUAUCUAAAGAAUAAUCUACAUCUAUUUCAUACUUUUUUUUUAACGGAAAGAGCCCUCAUGUGGCUUGAAAUGUUAUCCUAAAUAAUAUUCAGAAUAUCAUACCAUGAUUGGGUUUGUGACAAACAAAUAUUACAUAGUUGGAAUACGUAGUUACUAGUGUCCCAAUUUAUGCAGUAUCUAUCAUUUAGUGCACAUAUAAAGUAUUAAUCAGCUUAAUUAAUUUAUAAAAUUUAAAUCUAAUUAAUAAGUGACACAUAAAUGCCAAGUGCAAUAUAUGCAAAUCAUGUUUGUCGAUCAUUACAAAACUGGCUCUUGAAAACAAGCAAGAAAGCUUAAUUAAGAACUUAAAACAAAAAGAAUUAGAUCGAGAACAGUCAAGCCUUAUUUUUUCAAGGAUGGAGCUUAUAAAUCUUCAAGUACCAACAUAUGCUUGCCCCAGUUGUUGUUAUUAAAAUUUUAAUAUAUAUAUACACACACACACACACACACACACACAUAAAAAAGUAUGACAUAGCAAAAAUUUGAUGGUACAUAUGUCGGAAUAUACUAGUUCAUGGAUGCAUUUGAUUAUUGUUUCCAUAAAUUUGAACCAAGAAGGAUGACUCGAUAAAAAUUGAUUUUACGGUAUGGUUGAUUUCAAUCUCAUGCACUCAUUUCUUAAGAUAAUCAAAUUUUCUCUGGCAUCUUUUGCAACUGUGGAAAUAUCAAUUAUGAUCAAUCAAAAGGAUUUCAAAAACUUUCAACGAGACAUAUUUAUAAUACAAUAUUGUGAAAAUUACACCAAAAAUUUUAUUUAUUAUAUAUUAUUAUCCAACCAGCACACAAAAAUGAAUUCGUACAAAUCUAAAAUACUUAGCAAUUUUCAAAUAGAAUUUACCAUGUACUACAAGAAAAUAGGGUAUAUGUGACCCCUAAUGUGAAAAUAGGGUAUAUGUGACCCCUAAUAGAAUUUGUUGAACCUAGACCAGACUUAAUAUCCAAUCAAGAAUCUCCAGGAUCUAGCUGAACUCUCUAAUCAAGAUCUAAAGAAUGGUUAAUCAAUUCACAGAAAAGAAUCACCCAGAAACAGUAUGCAAAGAACAACAAAUAUAAGUGGUUCGGCUGAAAGAGCCUACAUCCACUGAAGAACAGACCAACAGCUUUUCACCAUUAACAAAGAACAAGUUACAAGUUUAGAGAUGAAGUUACAAGCAAUACAUUCCCUGAUUUUCCAGUCCUUAAGACUACUUAUACUAGCUUAAAGGCCCUCACAAAGACCCCCUGUCAACCAGCUGUAAUCUAGGUUUGUUAGCUAACAAACCCAGAAUUCUCCCGCCUAUUGUAACUGACUUUAACAGCUUCCAGGACACGUGUUGAAUUCUUACAAACAGCAAGCCCCAAAACGACAUUCUUUCAUGCCGUUCAGAGUAAGUGGAAGCACGUGACAUUUACGUGCUUCACUUAAAGCUUUGGGUGACGACCAAAGUUUGUCAUACAGGCUUGUAUCCUUUACAGCUGACAUGUCGUAUACCAACAUGACCACAAACUGACAUGACGGUUGAUCUUCUGGAAAUCAGUUUAAAGCUCAUACUUUAACAUUCUCCACCUUGAGCUUGAAACUCUCAUGACCUGCUCAUCUUCUCUCCCACCAUCUGUAUUUUAAUUAUCACAGAUGCCAGCCAAAUCCAAACAGAAUUUGAAUUUAGCCCCUGAAAUAGCUUUAGUUAACAUAUCUGCAACAUUGUCAUCUGUAUGGAUUUUCUGAAGCAUCACAGUUGCUUUUGAGACUUCCAGCCUGAUGAAGUGCACCUUAAUGUCAAUGUGUUUGGUUCUUUUAUGGUGAGUUUGAUUCUUACUUAGACAUAUAGCACUUUGGCUAUCACAAUGUAUCACCACAGACCUCUGAUUGACUCCAAGCUCCUUCAACAUACCCUUCAGCCAUAUUGCCUCUUUUAUGGCUUCAGCAUCUUUUAUGGCUUCAGCAGCAGCUGUGUACUUUGCUUCAGUUGUGGACAAAGCCACAACACUUUGUAGUUGUGAUUUCCAGUUUAUUGUGCAGUUGUUGAAUGUGAACAGAUACCCAGUUAGAGACCUUCUUCUAUCCAAGUCUCCUGCAUAAUCAGCAUCCACAUAUCCUACAAUUAAACUGUCAUCUCUUCUCUGUCCCCCAUAUAUCAGACCAUGCCCAGAAGUUCCCCUUAGAUACCUGAGUAUCCACUUUACAGCCUUCCAAUGUUCUUUUUCAGGAUUGGACAUAUACCUACUAACCACACUGACUGCAUGUGCUAUGUCAGGUCUGGUGAGUACCAUAGCAUACAUUAAGCAGCCUACAGAACUUGCAUAAGGAAUUUUCAUCAUUUUAGACUUGUCAGCAUUAGCUUUUGGGCACUGCUGCUCUGAUAAUCUGAAGUGGGCUGGUAAUGGUGUUUGCACUGGUUUGGCAGUAGCCAUGUCAAACUUAUCAAGUACUCUCCUGAUGUAUUCCUCAUGUGUAAGAAACAAGGUGCCAGAUUUCCAAUCUCUGAUUAGUUGCAUUCCAAGUAUUUUCUUAGUUGGUCCCAGAUCCUUCAUCUCAAAUUCACCUUUGAGUUGUUGUUUCAGAACUUUAUUUGUUCCAUGCUCUUACUAGCAAUAAGCAUGUCAUCCACAUAUAGAAUCAGAUAAACCAUUUCCCCUGAUAUCUCUUUGUAAUAAACACAGCAAUCUAGAUUACAUAUUUGAAAACAAAUUUUCAUCAUAAAGCUGUCAAACCUGAGAUACCAUUGUCUUGGAGACUGCUUGAGGCCAUAAAGUGAUUUCUUCAGAAGGCAUACCCAAUCACCAUUUGACUAGUCUUCAAAGCCUUCAGGUUGAGACAUUAUUAUUUGUUCUUCAAGCUCACCAUGUAAAAAUGCAGUCUUAACAUCCAUCUGUUCAAGAUGCAUGCUAUGAACUGCAACCAGUGCUAGGAUCAUUCUUAUUGAGGUAUGCCUAACUACAGGUGAGUAGACUUCUGUAAAAUCUAUCCCUUCCUUCUGUGUGUAGCCUUUGGCAACCAGCCUAGCCUUAUAUCUCAUGGAUUCAAUCCCUGGUAUACCCUGCUCGACCUUGUAAACCCAUUUGCAGCCUACUACCCUUUUGUUUUCUGGUCUUUUUACAAGCUCCCAAGAGUUAUUCUUGUGUAAUGACUCCAUUUCAUCCUUCAUAGCUUUUAUCCACUUGUCUGCAUCUUUUCCUGAAACAGCUUCUCUGAAGGUUUUAGGUUCAUCAUUGUCUAGUUCAUGGGCUGCUGUUAGAGCAUAUGCUAUCAAAUCUGGAUAUGCAAACCUCUUAGGUGUUUUGAUAAUUCUCCUUUGUCUGUCUCUUGCCAGCUGAUAGUCUUGAAUAUCUGUAUAAGUUCCAGAAGUUUCACUAAUAUCUUUAGUUUCUUCUCUCUCCAUGUCUUCAGCUUCAUCAUGGUAGUUCAGAGUUGAUUUACCUUUCAACUCCAUCUUCAAAUGUUGUCCCUGUGAGUCCACUCCUCCUUCUGGUUUAGCAGGAUCUUUUUUAUGUCUUUUCAUCAGCAUCUCUGACUCAUUGAAGACUACAUCUCGGCUAACUAUACACUUUGGUGGCCUCAUUUCAGUGCACCAGAGCUUAUAACCUUUGACACCUUCAGGAUACCCUAGGAAUACACAUUUCAGUGCUCUUGGCUCCAGCUUCCCUUGCUUGACAUGUGCAUAAUCUGGACAACUAAAAAUCUUUAGAUUUGUAUAAUUUGUUGUUCUUCCUGACCACAUCUCUACUGGUGUCUUGAAGUUUAAGGCACUGGAUGGGCUUCUAUUCACUAGAUAAUAUGUUGUCAUCAAAGUUUCAGCCCACAAUGUUUGAGGAAGCUUUGAAUGAAUCAGUAAACAUAUGACCUUAUCCAUCAAAGUCUUGUUCAUUCUUUCUGCUAACCCAUUUUGCUGUGGGGUGUAAUUCACUGUUUUGUGUCUUGCUAUGCCAUUGAGUUUAUAGAAAUCAUCAAACUGUUGAUUGCAGAAUUCAAGCCCAUUAUCAGUCCUCAGUCUCUUAAUCUUCCUACUACUCUGAGUUUCUACCAAUGCUUUCCAUUGUUUAAACCUCUCAAAGACUUCAUCCUUGCCUUUCAAGACAUAAACCCAUACCAUUCUCGAGUAAUCAUCUAUAAAGAAGAGAAAGUAUUUUGCUCCACCUAGAGAGACAGUAUGUGAUGGCCCCUACAGAUCUGAAUGGAUGUAAUCUAGGGUCCCUUUUGUGUUAUGCACUGCAGUUUUGAAACUAGUUCUUGAGGAUUUGCCUAGGACACAUACCUCACAGAACUCCAGAGACCCCAACUUAUCAUCCCCUAAGACUCCCUGUUUUUCUAAAAUUUUUAGCCCCUUCUCACUCAUAUGUCAUAACCUUAGAUGCCAUAUGAGAGUUUUAUCCAAACCCAGACUUGCUGAAAUACUGACAUCUCCAGUUACAGUAGUGCCUUGAAGCACAUAUAAGCCAUUUUGCUUAUUCCCUUUCAUUAUCACUAUAGACCCUCUAACAACCUUCAUUACUCCAGAUUCAACUUUAAUGGAGCAUCCAACCUGAUCUAGAGUGCCUAGAGAUAUUAAAUUCCUCUUUAAAUCAGGAAUAUGCCUUACCUCUCUUAGCUCCCUAAUCAUCCCAUCAAACAUCUUAAAUCUAAUGGUUCCUAACCCAACAACCUUACACAUUGUGUUAUUCCCCAUUAGAACCUCACCUCCAUUAAAAGAAUUAUAAGUAGUAAAAAGAUUUUGAUCAGGGCACAUGUGAUAUGAACAUCCAGAAUCAUGAAUCCACUUACUGUUUGUCUGAGUUUCAGAAGCCAAAAGUACACCAGCUGAGUCAUAGCCCUCAUCCUCGGAUGCAACAGCAGCAUCACCAUUAUUUCCAUGCCCUUCCUUACCCUUGUUCUUUCUGUCUGGACAGUCCCUCUUGAAAUUCCCUUCUUUAUGGUAGUGAAAGCAUUUCAUAUUUUUAUUCUUGGACUUUGACUUGUCUCUUUUCUUCCCUUUGUUGUAUUCUCUCUUUUCAGGUCUUCAUCUUGCCAUCAGACCUUCCCCAGCUUUUGUUUCUGACCUCUUUGUGACUUCUUUAUAACUGAGAGAAUCCUUUACAUCAGCCAUCGAUAUUGACUGCCUUCCAUAGAGCAGUGUAUCUACAAAGUGUUCAUAGGAUGGUGGGAGAGAUGAUAAUAAGAUUAUUGCCUUGUCUUCAUCCUCUAGACUCACAUUUAUAUCUUCAAGAUCCAGGAUGAUCCUGUUAAAGCUAUCAAUGUGAGUUGCCAAAGAACUUCCUUCCUCCAUUUGCAAAGUAUAUGGCCUCUUUUUGGUACAAAGUCUUUUGGUUAGAGACUUCUUGGUAUAUAGGUCUUCAAGCUUUUUCCAGAGGCCUGCAGCAGUAGUUUGAUCUCCCACUUCCCUAAGAACUCCAUCUCCCAGACUCAAGAUUAGAGUGUUAUGAUCUUUAUCCAAAGCAUCUAGCAUUUCUUCAUCAAAAAGCUUGCUGGGUUUCUUUUCAGAUCUUGGAUCACCCAAAGUAUCCUCCAGCCCCUGAUGAACCAACAGAGCUCUCAUCUUGAGCCGCCAUAGAUGGAAGUCAUUUUCUCCAGUGAAUUUUUCUACCUCAAACUUAGAGGUUCUCAUUUCUUGGAUCAAAGAUCAGAGAUAAGGCUCUGAUACCAAUUUGUUGAACCUAGACCAGACUUAAUAUCCAAUCAAGAAUCUCCAGGAUCUAGUUGAACUCUCUAAUCAAGAUCUAAAGAAUGGUUAAUCAAUUCACAGAAAAAAAUCACCCAGAAAUAGUAUGCAAAGAACAACAAAUAUAAGUGGUUCGGCUGAAAGAGCCUACAUCCACUGAAGAACAGAGCAACAGCUUUUCACCAUUAACAAAGAACAAGUUACAAGUUUAGAGACGAAGUUACAAGCAAUACAUUCCCUGAUUUUCCAGUCCUUAAGACUACUUAUACUAGCUUAAAGGCCCUCACAAAGACCCCCUGUCAACCAGCUGUAAUCUAGGUUUGUUAGCUAACAAACCCAGAAUUCUCCUGCCUAUUGUAACUGACUUUAACAGCUUCCAGGACACGUGUUGAAUUCUUACAAACAGCAAGCCCCAAAACGACAUUCUUUCAUGCCGUUCAGAGUAAGUGGAAGCACGUGACAUUUACGUGCUUCACUUAAAGCUUUGGCUGACGACCAAAGUUUAUCAUACAGGCUUGUAUCCUUUACAGCUGACAUGUCGUAUACCAACAUGACCACAAACUAACAUGACGGUUGAUCUUCUGGAAAUCAGUUGAAAGCUCAUACUUUAACAUAUAUCACUAACUUCUAACUUUGUAACCCCGAGUUGCUUUUGUUACCCUUUAUGUGACUGCCACACUGCUGUCACAUAUGUUAUUAACCACGUGACGGUAAAGAGCCGUUCGGUAUACUACUAUUUUACAAUUUUAAAUUUAUUUCCAGUUAGAAAACUAUUCGCUGGACUCCGUGUUACAUAUGCCACCAUCGUAAACCUAACUGGUUGCCGGCGAACGGCGUAAAACACCGGCCAUCUUCUUCUUCAUCGUAUUCUCCCUUCAUCUUUUGUUCGUAUUAUAGCCGUUAUUGUCAAUUUUUGUCCCGCCAGCAAUAUUUUUUUAUUCCUACAAGUUGAAGCACCCGUGCUCUUGUUCCAUUGAUGAGUUUGCUCACUCAAAUUAAUUUUGUUCUGUAGAAUUUACAAAGUUCAAAUGGAUUCAUUUGAAUUUAGCUUUAAUUAUGUAUGUCAAUUAUGUAUUUAGAUUAUGAAUUUAGCCGUUAUUGUCAAUUAUGUAUUUAGAUUUACUUUAAUUUUAUGCUUAAAGCUUCUACAUUGCUGAUUCUAUAUUAAUAAUGUUAUGUUCUAUUUUCAGAAAUUAUAAUACAAAAGUUUUUACAAUGUUGUGCAUCUACAAACUGAAUUGACUUGUAGAAUAAGAGCUUGGAGUAGUGUUAUGUUCUUGAAUAAAUGAAUGUUCAUAUUGUGUAAGAGCAUGUAGAUGUAAAGCAUCAUUACCAUAUCUACAAAGUGCUUUCAUUCUGUUCAGAUGCUCUUCUUGAACUUUGAAAGGUGCCUCGUUCAAGUCCUAGCUAUAACUACUAGUUUUGAUUAAUUAAGUUCCUGUACUAGCUGAAACAGAUUUAUUUAAUUAAUUAAUUGUGUAUGUACUAAUUAUAUUGAAAGUAUAUGAAUUUUUUUUUUAAAACAUGAAUGACUUCUAAAUGACUUAAAAACCUAAAGGAUGUGUGAAAUAAUGCUCAUUUCACUUGAAUGAACCCAUUAAUACUUUUAUGUCUAUGAUUGUCAAUAUUGGCUUAAGCAUUUCAGCUAAGUGGUUUACCUAACAGAGAAAAAAAUUUAAUAGAAAACUUCAGAGUUCUAACAGAAAUAUAGUUCACUAUGCAGAUAUAGUUAUUUUACGGUAUACAAAUCAAGUUGUCCUAAUCUCAAUGUCCUAUGACCGAUUUUAUUUUAUAUAGUCAUUAAUUUUUGCCAUGGUUUUUUGUGUUUAUGAGUAUGAAAUAGUGGGAUUUGGUGUACCUUAGCAUCUUUUGAAAAUUCUCUUUAUGUGUGGCCAACAGAAUAUAAUCAAGUUUCUUAAUCGUGUAUAUUAGUUUUGGGUAUGAAUGUUCCUAUUCUAGUUCUAGGCAAAGCUUCUUCAUUUUGGUCUUCAGAUUUCCAGUAGGUUAAGUUAAUCAACUAUCACAACUGACUAGCUAGUUAUUGUCUGCCUUGGCGCCAUUACCCAGGCCAUUAUAUUGCAUAGCAUAAGGAAUAGUGAUUAGGUGAUUAUUAGUGAUUUGUUGAGCUUAUUAUUGACCAAACAAACAUAUUCGCCUUUGCCCACAACUUAGUUUGAUUAGUUAUUAGACCUUAAAGAGCCUUGAUCUAUUCAUUGGCUUUAUUAUUUUUAUUUGGUUUUUCUUUCAACAAUAUUGUUGAUUUCUUAUAAAAAUAUUCAUUGGUUUUUAAACACCUAAUCAUUGGCUAUAUGAAGCUAAUUAAAACUGAGGCUUUGGAUCAAUUUCUUCUAACAGGAUACAAAUGAGCAUAACCUAUCUCCUCUAAGUAAAUUUUUUUAAUAUCCUUGAUUUGUAAGGAUCUGGAGGCCUGAAAUCCUCUAGAUUUUUUUUAACACUGUCAAUGUUCUUUUUAUUCUGAAAAGGAAAUAAAAGGUUUUAUCUUUCAUACCCUAAUAGUAAGCUGACCUUGUCUUACCCGAGGAUUUGCAAGAUUCAUAGUGCCCCCCCCCCCCCCCCCCCAAAAAAAAAAAAAACACAAAUAGGAAGAUUUUGCAAGAUUCACCACCAGGUUUUUUUUCAUUUAUUAAUUGUGUGUACGUACUAGUUAUAUGUUGAAAGAAUAGGAAGAAGUAUUUCAACAUGAAUGAAUGACUUAAAACUUAUUGCUCAGUAAACAUAAUCUGCAUCAGUGCGAAAAUGUAUUUAUCGGUUGUAUUUUUUAUGGUUUUGCUUAAGAAAUGAUAUGUGAAAUAAUGCUACAUUGUAUCAGGAAUAAAUUGAAGAGAUUUAUGAUAUUUAUGUGUUAUUCAAAUUUCAGAUUCAAUUUUAAAUACGUGCAUUGAAAGCUUAGACUUGUUUAAGAAAUUAUUAAUAGACACAUGUUUUAUUAGUGUCAUCUUUGGAUGAUAGUGAGGUUCAUAUGUCUAUUAAUAAUUCUUGAAUUGUCCAGGCUUGGGCAGUUUGGGAAUGCAUAGUUCUCUCUGGUAGCUAGUAGCUGAAGUUUUUUUCGCAAGUAAAAAUGGGUUUUUCGGUAGCUGCUCCUCGUGUUCUCUGGGUACGUACUAGGUGAAUGGGUGUCAUGUGUUGUUUUGGCAUAACGCAUAAACACUUAUAUAGCUAUGUUGUGUGCUUCGAGAAUUAUAGGGAGAUGGUGCCGAAAUUUUUAUAAACGUAGAAGAAAACUUUAGGUACUUGAGAUUGAAGAAACUUAUGCAUUCUUGAGUGGGAUAUGUAGGAUUACUUACCUUUUGUAAAUAUGAAGGGAAUGUUGGAUAUAUUGAGGAUAGUGUAGGAGCUGAGUUGGAUGAAUGUAAUUGGUCAUGAUUUUGCUGAGCUGACCUUGGUUUUGAGCUUGUAAUUUUGUUUGUAAAUGGAGUGCUAUCUCCAAUGUUGGUUUAUAAAAAUGUUUCAGGACUUGCUGACCUAAUUUUUUUUUUCCUAGGUUACAGGCUUUAUAUAUCUGUAAUUGAUAGCCAAGUGAAGUUCUCAGCACUUGGCGAGGAUAUUUCUUUACAGAAGGUAUUGGAAACUGUUUUUUACAUUAAUUAUUGUUGUAUAUAUACUUUGAUUUUCACAUCUUUUUCUCUGAUUCUUGUGGCUUUGCUUGCUUUCAUAUAUGUAAAUUCUAAUGAAAUUAACCAUAAAAUUGUAAAAUGAUCUUUUUAUUAUAUUGCAAAACCGUGCACACACGAAAAUAUCUUGUUUAGUAGUAGAAAUGAAGAACUAAAAUGAUUUACUUAACUAAUUUUUGUAGCGCAUUAAAAGGAGAUAGUCAUGGACAAGUGUUGGGCUGGUUUGCCAAAUAGAUAUCCAAGUCAUAUACUGAUGGGGUUGAAAAUUUUAUAGAUUUUGCAUUUGAGAAUGUUGUUGAUGAUGAUAUGAUUGGAAUGAUACACUGCAUCACGUAAUCAAAUGUUCAAGUUACACGCAGCAUUGUUAUGGAUUAUCAGUCACUUUCUAGUAUUGCCAACUUGUCUGGGUGGAGUAUUAAAGGUAAAUAAGCAUGUCUUGUUUGCCAACAAAACACUAGAUCUAAUUGGUUGAUACAUAGUAGAAAAUUUUGUCACGUGGGUCACCGUCGAUUUUUACCAACAAAUCAUAGGUUUCGAAAAUAUAGUUUCUUUUGAUAAAACUAGAGAGUAGGGACAAGCACCUUCUUGGUUGUCUGGAACUGAAGUGAAAAAGCAGUUUAAUAUACUUACUGAGUAUAAGAUUGAAGACUUGAAAAGAGAAAUGAUAAGAUUACUUGGAAGAAGAACAGCAUUUUUUUAUGAACUACCGUAUUCAUCAUGAUCUUGUUGUCAUGCACUGCUUUGAUUUUUGUUAUGAACUCAGAUCAAAAGUUUAAUGUGAUCAAAAUUUCUUAAAAAUAGUGAAAACGACUCCUCCUAAUAAUAUGGAAGAUGGCUAUAAAAGAUAAAAGGAAAGGCUUAAAAAGAAAAGCCAUGCCUGUCAAAAAAAAAUAAAAAAAUUGGCAGCGUCAAAUUUAUAACAAAAAUCAAAACGGUUUUGAGAGUGUAUUAAAAUACAUUUAGAGUGGGAGCUGUGUUGUUUUUUGAAGGUAGAAUGAUUGUGAGAUAUUUGUCGACGAAGCCAAAACCAAAGAUGAAGCCCAUAGAGCUCAAAACUCCACCGGAGCAAAUUCAGACAAUUACGAGGGUUAUGUUUGACAUAGUCAAGGAACACAGUCCUCUCACCGUUGCCGAAACUUGGGAAUGCGUCAAGGUGUGUGUAUCUGUUAAAUUGAAUUUCAACCCGUUUGAUCUGUAAUUAUAAUUAAUCCAAUCGAUCUGACAGUGAUCACUAGUAGUUGUUUUACAUUUUCAGCAAGCUGGAGCGAGUGGAUUGACGGCCAAAAGCCACAUGAAGAUUGUGUUGAGAUGGAUGAGGGACAGACAAAAGCUCAGGUUCGUCUGCAAUCACGUGGGCCCUCAUAAGCAAAUCCUGUACACAACUUGGUUCACCAAACCCGACAACUUGAAGCAGCCAAAAUCAGGGAAUGAUGCUUCUAUGUCACAACCCUAGAAAUUUCAAACACGGUGAAGAUGAAGUAAAGCAUAAGUAGAACAAUGAAGAUGGUAGCCCCUCAGCAUGUAAACUUUUCAACAGUAACACAGCUCUUAUUCCAGAGGCUGCACAGAAGAGCGACCUGAGUCCCCUUCAAAACUUUCAAAUUUUUAUCAAGUAAAGCUUUCAAAUUUCUCAACAAAUUGAUUAUUUGUGUGGUUGCCACAUUUUGUGCAACUGCCAUUCGUGUUCAAGUUCAAAUUCCUUGCCUAGUAAGUUAGGGAAGAGAGAUGUGAAGCAAACAGGGAAACAGAACAAACCGGCCAAAUUUAAAAUGACAGAACAGUAAUGAUGGCAAUUAACAAACUAAUAGCAAUAUUACAUUUGAUUCUUUAGCCCAAUUGUUCCUUCUGUCAGCAUUCUUCAAAAGUUUUUGAAAAUUAGAUGUGAAGCAAACAAAAUAAAACAAAUUUAGACAACAGAAGCCCUGUAUUCAGCAUCAUAUAUAUACCUUGAAUACCUAAUAUAAUAAAUUUCACAUCUAAAAUACUAGAAAUUUCAAACAGUACCAGCAAUAGAAUAAUGACAACGACAACAAUAACAGAAAAUUACAAGAUUGCUGAUAAAAUUUCAUUUGCAUGGAUGUAUAACAAAAAUUCUGUGAUUUAAUGUGCGUUCAUGCAUGCAAGUCCUAACGUUCCUGUGAUCACAAAAUGAAACUGAAGAUAAAUCAGAACAACUACCAAACCUCUGACUGAAAGUUCAAAAGAAUUUAUAUUCAAAAUGUCAAAAUAUACUGGAAAUUUAUUGCACAUAUUACAAGAAGCAGUACACACCAAUGGUAAAUUGAUACAUCGUUUUUGAACUUAACAAAGUCAAAUGAAAGAAACACGACGGAGGGUUAAUGUAAAAGUGAAUACCCUCAGCAUGUAAACUUAACUUCAAAGGACGGAGCACAAGUUUCACAGAAAAGUAGCUCUUAUUCCUGAUGCUGCAAACACACAGGAGUGACCUCAAUCUUCUUCAUAACUUGGGAAUUCUGCAAUUAUAGAGCACGACAUUGAGCAUGAACUAGAAAAAAUAUUUAUUUUGUACAAUUUUCAUAUAACUUGACUAACCAAGAUUAAUUUCGUGGUAAUGUAUUGAGUCAUUAAUUCAUAUGUUUUUAAAUAUUUUUAAAAAACUAAUUUCUCAAUUUGAAAUGGCCCAUAAAAAUUAUUCUCAUAUAAAAACUAAAUUUGACAGACCCCUCGAUUAAAGCAGGGGAAAAGGCUUUCCACAUGAAAAUGUUGUUUGUCACUUUGAAUGAUAUUUUGAAGGGAUUUCAUUCUAAAAAUAAAAUACCUGGGACCUCAUUCUUCAAAAUUGACAACUCGCCAGGUAUUAAAAGCGUAUGAGAUCAGUACUGCGACGAGUAAGAAGACGACCCCUCCAACAGCUGAAAACAAAAUUCGCAUUCAUCAAUUUAAAUUAAAAUUCAUAUUAUGAAACUAAAACUAAUGAUUAGUGAAUUUUCGAGGAAUUUAAUAAGAUUCUCAGAUAUAAACGUGAUAACAAAUUCACUCAUCAAUAACAAAUAAUCUAACAGUUAUCCGUACCUUUUCUUGAUGUAAUUGUUGUAUGGUUGUGUUAAGGUCAUUAUUAGACCAACGCAGGUUGUCCUCUCUCUGCCCGUACCGGACGUUUACUCUGACAUGGGUACUUAAUUCUCCUGAAGUGAAAAUCUUCAUCUUGGGACAACCAAUCACAGCAAGAUAUUCCAAAGAUGGGAAUUUGAAGGCGUAAUUGCCAGAGGAGAAGCUUGUGAGACUAUCUAAAUCAAACAGGGACAACGUAGUCAGUUUGCUGAAAACAAUCUCUUCUUUUAAAUUUGCUGUUUCAUCUUCGUCACUUAUUACGACUUCUGUGAUUGCUCUGCAUCCAAAUACACCCAAUGAUACGAGUCGCUCUAGACUUUUUGCUGUGGAGGAUGUUAGUAAGUUCAUCAAUUUCUUGCAAGCACAAGCUUGCAGGCGUGUGAGAUUCUGAAAAGAUACCGAUGAUGAUGGCAAUAGACUUAACAGAUUUUGACAGUAAUAUGCUCUUAGAAUUUCAAGAUGUUGAAAAAUCAAGUCCGGCUGUUUGGAAUCGUGUUUCCACAGUUGCUGCAGAUGAUUAAGUCUGGUCAGGUGUAACAUUUUUAUCAGUGCCAGCUUCCUCGCAUGUGUCUCCAAAUAUCCUUCAUUUGAAAAUACCACUUCGUACGAACAAUCCGACAGGUGGAGAAAUUCCAGAUUGUGAAACCUCUCAAGUAAACCAAGUGGAAAGCAAGCUAAGUCAUCAUCCCCAACCUGUAGUCGUUUGAGACUGCCAAAGAGGUGUUGUGGGAAAUCGCCUUGCAAAAUCAUCGUGAUGUCUUUUCCACUUAAUGCCAGUUCCUCCAAGUUGGGUAAGAUCUGAUCAUCAUCAAGCACAAAUUAUUAACUUAGCACAUUGAUCCCUAAUUCGAGACUGGCAAAAUUCAUUGUUAUAUACACACACAUAUAUAUAUAGUAUUUAUUAAAAUUUCUGGUCUGUGAGUAAGAAACAACAAAGACAACUGACAAAAAAUCUAAAAGUUGGUUUCAUACCUUCUUGAACGAGAAUAGGGGCUGUUGUGCCGGAACACCAAAUUGAUCAUUCUCGUUAUUCUGGGAUAACGUCAUUUUAUCACAAUUACACGCCUCCAAUAUUUUUAGUGCUGGCCAUUCCGAUGUAUGCAUUCCAGGGUAUAAACAUCUAAGUUCUGGUAGACCUUCGAGUUUCAGAGUGGUCACCCGUGGAAAGACAAAAUAAGCGGUCACUUGAUCUGUUCUGUUUUCAGAAAUGAUUUCUUGUAAACUCUUACAUAACCGUAUCUCCAGGUGUUGGAGUUGCUCAAGGCUUUGGAUCGUAGAAGCUGAAAAUAUGUAUUUUAAUUUGUCACAGCCCCACACUAUCAAUCGUGUCAAACUUCGAAGGCAAGGAACCAUGGCCGGAAGUUGAUUGUAAUGCCAAAUCUCGUCGACAUUAAUAGCAUUCAGCUCCAAAGCCUCCAAAUUUGGCAACACUACCUAAAGAUAAUUUUGUCGUUAGAUCCAAUAUCCAUAUAAGAAGUGCUUAUUGAGAGCUUAAUUAGUGAGUGUAUGAGAUUUUUUUUUUUUGCAUUUUCUUUUUCUAAAUGAUUUAAUUUUUUUUCACUUAUGGCAUCAAAUGCAAGUUCAUGAUAGAAUAAAAAAAAAAAUGCAAUAUCCAUAUGAAAAGGACUUGUGUGGUCCAGUUUGGGAUUAUGGAUGCUGAUUAAAUAAGUUGCUCCUGCUGUACGGAUGCAAUAAGUAGUUGAUUAAAAAAGCAGUUAGCUGUUUGGUAAACUGUGUUGUUGCAGUUGCUGUGAGUUUGAAAAGCAAUGUACAUGCGUUUGGUAAAUUUUAUUACAAACGUGUUAUUUUAUCAUAUAAUGACCAAAAUAUAUAUAAGUUUAAAUUUCCGUUUAUUUUUUUUAAGCAUGUUUAAUAAUCUUUAGAUAUGUCAUUUUCUUUUUAAAAUACGUAAAAUUAUAUUAAGUGAAAAAACUUAAUAAUUUGUUACAUAAAAUAUGAUAAAAAUUUAUACUAGUAUAUGAUCCAAAUAAAAUAAAAAAAGUAAUAUGCAUUACUUUCACAUUAAACUUGUUGCAAUAAACACCAUGACUAUAGAAAAUAUAAAUAGAUUGAAUGUUAAAAGCUAUGGUUAUAAAAUUGAUUUUAAAAGUUAUGAUUAAUUUUCAUGUGAAAUUGUUUAUAGUUCAAAAAAAAUUUACAUAAUUACAUGCAAGUCUUUUUUAAUCUUAUUAUAGAAAAUACAAGUAUAAUAUAAAAAAUAUGAACUUACUAAAUCAAAACUUUGAUAUUAGAGAGAAUAUAUAGUAGUUGUGGUGGUAAUAUGAUAUCUAAUAACUUAUAUAUUAGAGUGUAUGGAAAUAUAUGACAUAAUUAUUUUUGUUAAAAUAUUAAUUAAGGUUAUAAUAGAAACUUUAAAAAGAUGUGAUAGCUUAUUUAAUAAGCUGCUUAUGAAAAGUAACUCCCUAUCUGCUUUUAAAAGUUAAUGUCAAAAUAGAGAAAAUUAUAAAAUAAACAGUUUUUACAAAAUUUAACAAAUACUAUUUUUGUCACAGAUUAUGAAAUAGACAGUUUAUUGAGUUUUAACCUCAAUUCCAAACAGGGGCCACAAUAUCCACAUGACAAGCACUUAUUGAGAGCUUAAUUUGUGAAUAUAUGAGAUUUUUUUUUCUUUUUCUAAAUGAUUUAAUUUUUUUGCACAUAUGGCAUCAAAUGCGAGUGCAUGAUAGAAUAAAGGAAAAAAAAAAAAAAAGAAUGCAUUACCCUACGCACCUUCUCGUUGAAAAGCAGAGUUGAAGUAUCCGAACUGAUCUCGUUGGAACUAGCUAUCAAUUCCUCUUGCGACUCUUGUCUGUUUGGUGAUGUGGAAGGAGUCUUCACUUCACGGCAAAACCUUGUAACCUUUGGAAGCGUUCCCAGACUCAAAGAUCUUAGUUGACCAAACUCUAUCGUCUCAUCAACAUCGACAUCAGCUUCUCCUCCAGUUGCAAAAAUCUCUUCCAUGCUGCUGCAAUUGAGAACUGCAAUCCUCUCAAGUCUUGGAAGGCAUUUUGUACUACUAGAGAGCCAGAAGAUAUUACUCAUCUCAUCACAAUUUUCCACUUUUAUGGUUUGGAGUUCAUUGAAGGACUCUAUUGUGAGUCGAUCAAUACAUAUCCUCUCCAUAUUGAUCAAAUUGUGAAGAGUAAGGGACUCCAAAAGAGGAAAGGCGACACAAGGUUCUCUCUCCAUUGAAUCGGCAAUACACAGGAAGUCUGGAUUAUUUUGAACAUGGAGAUGCUUCAAUUGUGAAAAGCCCUCAGUGUCCAAUUCGAAAACAACAUUCUUGAUUCCUUGCAACUUAUCUAAACAUAAGUAUUCAACGUUAUUGAUGCCCUGCAACUUCUCGGAGCAAAUGGCCAUAGAAUCAAGCUUGAGCUUCAAUGUUCUUAAACUCUCAUGAUUACUGAUUGUUAGAGCAGCUCAUUAUGCUGAACAGAAGAAGGUGAAGACUAAGAUGAAGAAAAUACAGAGCAAGUUACAGGGCAAGUGUGUCAGCAGUGCCAGCUCAGCUAACAGCUCAGCAGAUUAGUUAAAGAUGGUUGUAAGCAUGAUGUGCAUUGUACUGAAGUUAGUUAGCUUUGAUUACAGUUAGUCUUUGGAUUAGUUAAAUGAAGUUACCGUGAUUGCAUUGUAUAUAAACAGGUGAUGCUUUGUAAUCAAAAGUUAAGCAAAAUAAAAAUCAAAGUUUGUUAAGGAAAUAUCUCCAGAAUUAUCAAUUCAUUUUCUUAGUAACCAAACAACUUUAUUUCAUUUUUCUUUCAUGGUAUCAGAGCAAGGUUAAUGGCUAGUUCCAGUAGCACAACAUCAAAUCCAAAUCAAAUGAAUAUAAAUCAAUCAUCACAUAUCUCCUUUUCGUUCAGCACUCCAGUCAAAUUGGAUCGAUCAAAUUUCAUGAUUUGGCGAAAGCAAGUUCUUACUACAAUAAGAGGAAAUCGUCUUGAAGAUUUUAUUUCUGGAAAUCAAAUCAUACCAGAACAAUACAUUUCUAAUACAGUAGCUGAUGGAUCAGUACAGAGAAUCACGAAUCCAGCUUACAUCAACUGGCGAGCUCAGGAUCAAACUUUGCUUGGCUGGAUUUUGUCAUCCAUAAGUGAAGGUAUCUUAAAUACUGUUCUUAAUUGCGAAAAUUCAUUUGAAGCAUGGAGAUCAAUUGAAAAACAAUUUGGAGUACAAUCUGAGGCUAGAGUAUUGCAAUUGAGGUAUGAAAUGAAUGUCCUUAGAAAAGAGAAUAUGUCUGUUGAGGAGUACUGUUUAAAAGUAAAAGCUGUUGCUGAUAAGCUUGCUUGUGCUGGUAGCCCUGUGUCUGAGAAAGAUCUGCUAAUGCAAAUUUUGAAUGGCCUAGGACCUGGAUUUCUAGAUCUUGCUUCAAUAAUUACUGCUAAUAGAAUGUCGUAUGAUGAUGCUUAUGCAUUACUCUUAACACAUGAGGCAAGAAUGGAACAAAAUCAUAAUACUAAAGAUCUUUUUAGUGCAAACUAUGGGAUGAUGAAUGCUAACUACUCUCAGUUUAGAGGAAAUAAUAAGAGAGGUGGUUAUAGUGGAUAUCAAGGGCAAUUUAAUGCUGGAAAUAGGAAUCAAAAUGGAGGAAGAGGAAUGUUUUUCAAUUCAUUCUCAAGAGGUUUUCCAGCUGGUGGAUAUACUGGUAAUGCUGGUGGCAGAGGACAGCAAAUGAAUGCAUAUGCUUAUAAACCUGUGCUUAACAACAGGCAUAAUUUCAAUAUGAAUCAUGGCUCAACUUCAAUGUCCAAUGGAAAUGGAUCUGAUGAUAAUGUGCUUAUCUGUCAAAUCUGUCAUAAAGCUGGACAUGCAGCUGAUGUUUGUUGGCACAGACACUUUGAUGGCUAUGCUCCUCAACCCAGACAAUUUGGAAGGGGCAGAGGGCAUAAGUCUGCUUAUAUGGCUAACUUUGAUCCACAAAUUGGCUUUACUUCACAAUUUGAAGAUUCGUUUGCUACAGAAUAUCCUGGUUAUCAUGGGUACCAUCCACCUGAUAUGAAUGCAUCAGUUGCAUCAGUAAGUCAUCACUCAUCUGAUAUGCAUUCUGUACCUGGAGCAGCUUAUAUUGCAAAUUUUGAAGGACCAGCUGAUGAAGGGUGGUAUCUUGAUAGUGGAGCUACGCAUCACAUCACUAACAACAUGGCCAAUAUGCAUAUCAGAGAUCAAUUCAGUGGAGCAGAUCAGCUCAUUAUUGGAAAUGGACAAGGUUUGCCCAUAACUCAUGUUGGUGAUGCAUCCUUUCUCUUUAAAAGUUCCAAUUCUACACACAAACACUCACCUAUAGUACUUAAAGAUAUUCUGUUGGUGCCUUCCAUUACCAAAAAUUUGUUAAGUAUCUCGAAGCUUACCACUGAUAACAACUUGUCUGUUGAAUUUCUUGGAAAUGUUUGUUUUGUGAAGGAUUCUCUGAGGGGACAGGUACUUCUGCAGGGUCUUGCUGAGAAAGGGUUAUACAGGCUGUUAUUGAAAUCAUCAUCAUCCUCUCAGUUAUCAUCAUCUUUUCUUUCUCACAUGUGUUCCAAUAAACCUUUGUCUAUGCUUUCUUGUUGUUGUUUCAAUUCUGUUCCUUCUGGAGUUGUUACAGAAUCUCAGAAAUCAUGUAAUCAAACUGAUGAUUCAUCUUGUAAAACUUCAGUUAAUAAAGCUAUUUUGCUUCAUAGAAAGUUUGGUCAUCCCAAUCAUCAAAUAUUAACUCAUAUACUCAAAACAGCAAAAUCUAUUCAUUUACCUGCAUAUCAAAAGCAACAAAUGCAUCAGCACAUCUGUGAGGCCUGUCAAAUGGGCAAAACACAUAAACUUCAUUUUCCUAUUACUGAAACCAAAACCUCCAAAACUCUAGAACUUAUACACACUGAUUUAUGGGGUCCUUCUCCCAUUAUUUCUAGAGAUGGUUAUCAGUAUUAUAUAAGUUUUGUAGAUGACUACAGCAGGUAUACAUGGAUUUAUCAUUUGAAGCUAAAGUCUGAGGCAUUAGAAGUCUUUAAGCUCUUUAAACUGCAGGUUGAAAAUCAGUUUAGCACAACCAUUAAGAUGAUGCAAUCUGAUUGGUGGGGAGAGUAUAGACCAUUCACUGAGUUUUUAAGCCAAUUUGGUAUCAUCUUUAGACAUCCUUGUCCUUAUACUCAUCAUCAAAAUGGGUUAGUUGAAAGGAAGCAUAGACAUAUUGUUGAAUUGGGUCUGACUCUCUUAGCUCAAGCUCAACUUCCCUUUAAGUUCUGGUGGGAUGCAUUUCAUACUGCUGUAUAUCACAUCAACAGACUUCCAUCUCCUGUUUUGCACCUUUUAACCCCAUAUGAAAAGACAUUCAAACACAAACCUGAUUAUGAUUUUCUCAGAUGUUUUGGGUGUUCUUGUUAUCCUUACUUGAGAGAUUACAAUAAACAUAAAUUUGCCUACCAUUCUAGUAAGUGCAUAUUCAUUGGUUACAGUCCUUCACAUAAGGGCUACAAAUGUUUACACCCUUCAGGUCGAGUCUAUGUGGCAAGACAUGUUACCUUUGAUGAAUCAGUUUUUCCUUAUGCCACUGAGUUUGUUUUUCAUAGUCAUGCUAAAACUGAUUCUCAAAUUUCUCAUUCCCAUACACCACAGCAAAUCCAUCAUAUCUCUUCUUUGCCUGUCAAUAACAGCACUGGUAAUCUGAACUCUGUAAGAUCUGGAAGCAGCAGUUCAAGUCACUCAGAUCAUCUAGAACAGACAGCAACUGAUCAGAAUUCACAACAAGCUACCAUAAAUGACAGGUCACCUUUUCAUACAUGUCCAACAAUUGUUGAAUCUAUACAAAAUAUUCCAGAACCUCCACAUCACUCUUUGCCUAUACAAAGUCACCAUCCUAGCAACACCUCUUUCUAUCCAUAUACACAACCAAAUACACAUCAGAUGAUAACCAGAAGUAAAGCAGGGAUUUUCAAACCCAAAAUUUAUACUGCUGUGCUUACUCACAAGGAACCAGAUACUGUGCAAGAAGCAUUAAAUGAUUCAAAGUGGCUACAAGCUAUGAGGGAGGAAUAUGAUGCCUUGAUUAAGAAUAAUACAUGGACAUUGGUUCCAAGACAAGCUGAUCAGCAUGUGGUUGGAAAUAAAUGGGUGUAUAGAAUCAAAUAUAAUACAGAUGGAAGUAUAGCUAAGUAUAAAGCUAGACUUGUUGCAAAGGGUUUUCAGCAAGUGGCAGGGAUUAACUAUUUUGAGACAUUUAGUCCAGUUGUGAAGUCAGCUACAGUUAGAGUAAUACUUAGCUUGGCAGUGAUGAAUCAGUGGAGAAUAAGGCAAGUGGAUGUCAAUAAUGCCUUUUUGAAUGGAGAGCUAACAGAAGAAGUUUUCAUGUCUCAACCUGAUGGCUUUAUUGAUGCUCAGAGAUCUGAUUUUGUAUGCAAAUUACACAAGUCUCUGUAUGGGCUCAAGCAAGCUCCUAGAGCCUGGUAUGACAAGCUUAAAGGAUGCUUAAUAAGCUGGGGUUUCACUACUACUAGUUCUGACACCUCAUUGUUUGUUAGGAAGAUCAAGACAUCUAUGAUCAUAGUUCUUAUAUAUGUUGAUGACAUACUGAUCACAGGUCCAAACACUGAGGAGCUGGAAGGUUUCAUAACUGAAUUCAGCAAAACUUUUGCUCUAAAGGAUCUGGGAGUGUUAUCUUAUUUCCUUGGAAUUGAGGUAUUAUAUGAUGCAGAUUGUAUGUACUUGUCACAGAGAAAGUAUAUCAGAGAUUUGUUAUCGAAGGUAGAAAUGACUGAAUGUAAGGGCAUUGAUACACCCAUGAGUACUGGCUCUAAACUGCAAAAGAUAGUUCAGGGGGAACUUGGAUACUAUCUUGAAGAUCCAACUCAUUAUAGAAGCAUAGUUGGAGGAAUGCAGUACCUGAUACUUACCAGACCUGAGAUUGCGUUUGCUGUAAACAAGCUCAGUCAGUAUGUAGCUGCACCAACACUACAACAUCUAAUGGCAUGCAAGAGAGUUCUAAGAUAUCUGAAGGCAACUCAAGAUUAUGGUUUAAAAUUUUUCAGAGAAGGAAGCUUAACACUCACUAGUUUUACUGAUGCAGAUUGGGCAUGUGACUUAGAUGAUAGGAAAUCAGUUGGUGCUUAUUGCAUUUAUUUAGGCAAUAAUUUGAUAUCCUGGUCUUCUAAGAAACAAUCAGUGAUAACCAGAUCAAGUGCCGAGAGUGAGUAUAGAGCUUUGGCAUCAGUGAGUGCAGAGCUGACAUGGUUACAAUCCUUAUUUUCUGAGUUGGGAUUAAGUUGCAUAGAAAAGCCAAUCAUAUGGUGUGACAACAUUAGUGCCACUGAACUAGCAAAGAAUCUUGUGUAUCAUUCAAGAACAAAGCAUAUCGAAAUUGAUAUGCACUUCAUUAGGAAUAAGGUUCUUGCUGGUGAGUUGAUUAUUCACUAUGUACCAAGUGAAGAACAGAUUGCAGACAUAAUGACCAAGCCUCUCUCAUUUGUAAGGUUUAACUACUUGAGGUCCAAACUCAAUGUCCAUCUUUGUCCUCUGAGUUUGAGGGGGGCUGUUAGAGCAGCUCAUUAUGCUGAACAGAAGAAGGUGAAGACUAAGAUGAAGAAAAUACAGAGCAAGUUACAGGGCAAGUGUGUCAGCAGUGCCAGCUCAGCUAACAGCUCAGCAGAUUAGUUAAAGAUGGUUGUAAGCAUGAUGUGCAUUGUACUGAAGUUAGUUAGCUUUGAUUACAGUUAGUCUUUGGAUUAGUUAAAUGAAGUUACCGUGAUUGCAUUGUAUAUAAACAGGUGAUGCUUUGUAAUCAAAAGUUAAGCAAAAUAAAAAUCAAAGUUUGUUAAGGAAAUAUCUCCAGAAUUAUCAAUUCAUUUUCUUAGUAACCAAACAACUUUAUUUCAUUUUUCUUUCACUGAUCAUAAAGUGCUGCCGACAUUCAAACCAGUCGUUCCCAAUAACCUUGGUAGAGUCGAAUGAUGCAUCUCCUAUUGAUAUAUCAAACCUUUCCAGCUUUUUGGAAAAAAAGCCAUCCGGUAAAAUGCUAUCGUUUUUAACAUCUAUUUCUAAAGUGGUCAAUCGCCUCAAAUGCAUCAAUUCGUCGAGGGUGGCAUUACUUCUUUCACUAUUGGCUUUUUCAACUUCCCAUUCAACAGGGGAAUUACCCAUAUACAGUUCUUCCAAUCGAGUGAAGCUUGAUAAGAUGUUGGGCAAAAUAAAUUUUAGUUGCAAACAAUCUCUUAAAUCUAGCAGCCUUAACUUAGUCAGUUGACCUAGUUCGUAAGGCAACCGUACAAUAUCAGACCUUAAAAAGCUAAGGAUUUCUAGAUUCUUCAACUUCCCAAUUAUGGCUAUGUCUCCCAACAUGCUUUGUACUAGACACAGUGUUUGAAGAUUUGCUAGAAGAUCGAUUGAAGAUGGCAAUGAAAAUAAUCGCAUUCCUGUCAAAUCCACAACUCGAAGCUUUUUCAUCCCUUUGAAAAAGUUCUCAGGGAUAUUGAGCUCGACAAAAGAGUCUUUGGGAUGAAUAAGUAAAAAUUCAAGUUGCGGACAUUCCAAUUCCUUAGAAACUUCAUGAAUGCUACUAUACAGUAAAGAGAUUGCAGAGCAUUUUUUAAGUGCAUCCUCAUCUGGCCACUCCCACACAACCUCACUUCUCACCAAGAAAACAUGUUGUUCUCGACAUGCAAUUGAAAUGGCAACAUCGCAGACAACAUCAUGCAUAGAAAAUUGUUCAUUACUAUCACCCUCAAGCAAAAAACAACAAUCUCUAAGUUCAUGGAGCAAUGCAUAUAAUUUGUUUCGUGCAUCUACCAUCCUGUUGACUCCUUGAAAUAUGCCCAAACCCAUAGAGUACCUAAACAAGUCUAGAAACCAAAAACUGUUACCUAUUAGACUACAGAGAAGAAAAUUUUUCUUGAGUUGCUCACCUUUUAAAUACUUGAAACUCAGCUCAAUACUUGAAUAAGUCUCUGCAGGCACACCUUCGAAGUUUACCAUUGAAGGCGUUUGGAGUUCUCGCAAGGCAUUCUUCCAUUCAUGCAGAGUCUUGUUUCUCAGUGCCCUUGCCACUGUAGUCAAGGCAAUGGGCAAACCUCCACAUGCCUGGGCUACAUUAAUUGCUAUAGACUUGAACUUACAAUUGUCAACAUCAUCACCAAUCAUUAUCUUAAACAAUCUCCAAGCUUCUUCUUCAUUUAGAUUGCCAAUCAAAAAGUUAUCUUUGGAGCCCAUACUUAAUAGUACAUUAUUAUCUCUUGCUGUGAGCAAUAGUCUACAUCCUUUAUGAUCAUUUCCAAAAGGAAUUCCAAUCGUCUCCAAAUCAAGAUGUUUCCAGAUAUUAUCUAGAAUCACAAGAAUCUUAUUCUCAUUCUUCAAUCGUUCAUACAGCCUGCUGGCUCUUCUAUAUUCAGCUUCAUCGGACAACUCCAGACCUAACUUCUCUGCAAUUUCCCCUUGUAUCUUUUUUAUGUCUGGAGUUUGUGAAACCUCUGAAAAAACCACACGAUCAAACAGCUUCUUUUCCCUGGCUUGCCUAGCAAACUCCUUCACCAGUGUCGUCUUUCCAAUGCCGCCCAUGCCGUACACCCCAAUAAUGCUGACGUUCACAUCAGUCAACACAUUUUGUAUAGACUUCAAAGUAGAAACUCUUGAUUCGAAGGCCUCGUAACCUUUGUUAGACUUAAGCCAUAUCUCCUCCGGAAUGGCACGGUGGGAAACGAUAUCAAACUUCUUAACUUCUUCUCCAAGUUCAACAAGGGCCUUCACCUCUGUCUCUGCUUUCUUGCUAAGCUGAUAGCGGGUCUUCAAAUUAGGACACAAGCCCUUGAGACAGCGCUUAUUUGUUGACUCUUCAUCUUCAACGAAUUUGGCUGCCCGGUCAAUGAUGCCGUUAGCACUAACCAGCCACUUCUCAACCUUCUCUUCAAUCUCUUCCCCUUUUUCUUUCGCCUCUGAAACUCUGCGCUGAAUGCUCGUACGUUCAACCUUCAACUUCUCCAUUUCCGCCUUGAGAUUCUCAAGGUUGGCAUUGUAGUUCCGCUUGCGCAAAUAAACAAGUUGGCGUUCUGUUGGAGGAGCCAAGCAUUUUACAAGUUCCAAAAUGAGAGUAACAAUGAUUUCCAGCAUCUUGAAUCCUGACAACAAUGUAGAAAUGAAGAAGGCCAAAGGACAGUAAGAACAGAGAGACAACGAUACGACAAGCAGUUAUGGAGCUAAAAAUAAAUAACAAACAAACAGAAGCAAAGUGUUUUUCGAAUGAGAAGAAGGAAGCAAGAAAAGGGUUUCUAUUUAGAUUAAGAAUGAAUGUAAAGAAGUGACAAAGAUGUCACAUAAUGUAAUUAAGUACUGAAUCCAAAUCCUAUCCUAAAUGGUUAGAUAAAAAUAAGGGAAUGAAAAGAGUAAUGGUAGAUUAAUUUAUGAGGCCAAUUAACGAAACGACAGAUCUGGUUUCCAUGUUUGUAAUUUAAGUGUAUGAGUACGAGGUGAACCAACUCUUUGUCGAGUCAAGCAAUUAGAAGGAGAAAUUACUAAAACAAGAACCAGCAACUUUUACUCACACAAGAGCUAAUAAUGUAUUGAGAUUGUGCAGAGUAAUACAAAACCUUAAAACUAGUAUAAUAAAUUUGUCAUCAAGUUUUAGCCUUCUUCUUCAACCAAUUACAGCACUAUCUUGAGCUCUGAGUUUCUUUUUUUAAAAUUUUUCAAAAGAUCUUUGUCAUUAGUUUUUCAAUGAUAAAAAUUAUAUUUUUAUCUCAUAAAAUAUAAAAUUUUAAAAAAAUCAAACAUAUAUUAUAGGUUUGUUUGAGAUUAUUUUUAAAGGCUCAAAAGUCACUUUUUAAAGUUAAAUGUUAAUUUUGGUAUUUGGUAAAAUUUUUAGAAAUCACCUUUGGUAAAAUCACUUAUCCCACAACAAAUUUCGGAAAGCAAAAAAGGAAUAGUUUGUCAAAAUCUAAUUUUGAUAACCAGUUUUAUACUUAAUAUAAUUCUAUAUACAACCUUAUAUAUAUUAUAAAAAAAAAAUAUCCUUAUUAUUUAGGAAAUAAAAUUAUUAAUUUUAAAGAUAUUUUAACAAUUACAUUGAGAUAACAAAAUAAAAAUAAAAUUAAUAAUAUAAAAUAUCUAUUUCUGUUAUCAAUUAUUAUAUAUACAAGAUAAAAAAAAUAUGUUAUAUACAUGUUUAUAAAUGUAUAAAUAAAUUUUAUCUAACAUUAUGUUCAAUUAAGUCAUUUACAUUAAUAGCACUUUUACAAGUAAAUUUUCCUAAAUGUUUAACUGAUUAUCUUCACAGUGAUUAUUUCCACAACAUAACUACCAGAAAUUAUUGUAAAAGAUACAACAUUACCAAAAAAAUAUUGAGGUACAUUUUAAUUAAGUAAUUGACUUAAUUAUGAAUCAAUUUAUUAUUUUCAUCUGUGUUAUCUAAACCAGCUCAUUAAUGAGAUCACUCUUUUUCUUAAAUAAAAUAUUCCUGCCAAACAAUUGUUGCAAAAUUUCAAAUAUAAAUUACAAACAGCAAAAUUUUCUAAAGUCAUAACAAUUAUUUAUGUUUUGAAGGGUCCAGCUAGCUUGCAACCGUGAUUUGGUACCCCAUUUUUUGUCUUUUUGUGAUCCAACCAUUAGAUCCAACCCAAAAGUUGUAAAAGCUAUUCCAACGGCAAGGAUGCAAUUACUUAGUUAUUAACGCUGAAGCCCCUCUUGUUUCAUAAAAAAAAGAAAAGGUUAAAUUUCAAGAUUUUGACACAUAAGUCCAUCAAAAUAUUUUAUGAUUUUUAUAUGAGUCCAGGUAAUUUAAUAAAUGAAUAUAUUUAGAUAUACAAAAAUAUGGAUGGAUUAUUUUAACUUGCUAAAAUACUCCCCACAUCCAUUUAUUUAAAAUAUCAAUUACAAAAAAUCCCAUUUUUUAGUAUAAUUUUUUUAAAAAUAAAAUACCCAUUUAAUGUUUUACCAUUUAAGAUAGUGUUACUUAUAAGGAUAAAUAAUUAUUUUAACUAAAUAAAUGAAACUUAACUUUUAUUUCUAUAAAUUUGCUCAACAUCAUAUAACCUUAUAAUUGUUAGCAUAAGAUAUAAAUUUAGUCUAAAAAAUUUAUUCAAAGGGUCCCCUUAGGGCAAAAAAUUAAUUAUCAUAUGAUAAUUUGGUUGGCACAAACUCUAUUAUUCUUAAUUUACUUAUCCAUGCCAAACACUAUAUUGGAAUUAAAUUUUAGUAAAAUAAACAUAUGUCAACAUCUUUAACCGCAUUCAACUGACCCUAAUUGUUUAGAUUUUGUUAUAGAGAGCAAGAUAUAGUUCUUUUCUUAUUAUAGUAGUAAAAAUAAAUAAAAAUAAACACAAUAGAUUUCUUUUAAGAGAAUGCAAGCAUUAUUUUUAUGAGAUUUUGUGUUCAAGAAAUUAAUCUAAUUAUGUGGUUAGAAGACUCUCUAUUUUGUGAUAUUUUAGAAGAAUUAUAUGUUGGAUAAAUGAAUAAAUUAAGAUCAAAGCAAAACAAAAAUGAUUGAGAAGAAAACCGAGAGAGAAUAAUUUUUUAAAUUUUAAAAUUUUCAUUUUUUAAUUGGGGUUUAUUUUGUAAAAUUAUUGCAAUUUAUAGUUUUUAAUAUUACCAAAAACAGUAGAGAUUGCUAAAGAAAAUGCCAAACAAAUUUUUUAGAAUUAUAAAAUUAUUAUAUUUUAAUUAGGGCUUGUUGUGUAAAAUUUUUAAAAUUUAUAGUUUUUAUUAUUUACCAAAAACAAUGAGGAUUGUUAAAGAAAAUGUCAAAAUUGGGUGUUUGGUAUAACGGAGGCAAAGUAGUUUCGUCCUGUUUUGAAUACAUGUAACUAAACCACAUUGAAAGUUGUCAAAACAGGAGGACCUAAUGUUAGUAAAAUUAUUUUUCAAGCAAAUGCAGUGACGAAUUUGGUUUCAUGUUUCACCCUCGAUAACUUAAUUUUCAUAUCUAACAAAUCAUCCAUAUUAUUAACAAUAUCAUCACCAACCAUAAUCUACCUAAACAUAAACUAAACAUAACACAUACAUAUAACUAUAUACAUACCGAAUCAGGAAAACAAUGAGAGCUACACGUAUCCGGCUCCACAAUUCCUUGUUGAUACCCUUGUGCUUCUAAAAUUAUCAACCAAUUAUAAAAAUUAGCUUAGGCGCAACUUUACCCCUUUUUUUUGGAAAACUUAACUAUAAAUAAAGUAUACAAAUCUCUAAAUUAACUUUUUUCCCAUGAAAUUCAGCAUAAAUAGAAAUAGAAUUAUAGAAAUCUUACUUCCUUUUAUGAGAAAUCCAACUUAUAUAUUUGAGACCUCUCUCUCUAAGCACGCGCUUCCUCUCUCUGUAUACUUUCCACCUUUAAAUUCUCCUCAUUAAAUCUGUCUAAAUGAAUUUAGCAGUCUCCCAGUUUCUUUAGCAUUUUUCUCCGUGAAAAUAAGUGAAAAGCGAAAGUGAUUUGAUUAUUUUAAUGUAUGACAGAUCUGGUUUCCCAUCUCCGUAAUUUAAGUGUAUCAAAUUGUCGAGUCAGUCAAAUAUAAAAGACAAAUUACUAAACCAAGCAGAGCCAAAAAAAAAAAAAAAUUCCAAUUAAAUAAUCAUCAAGUCUUUUUCAAUUAAAAUAGGGAGUGCAGAACAACUGUCGAGAGAUAAUCAUUGUUUAUGGAGCCAUAUUAUAUUUUCGAUUAAAAUAUUUGCGCGUGAACAAUUGGCAGAAUUCGUAUAAAUUGUUGUAAGGUCUAUUAUAAUUAACAAGCGGAAUGGCCAAUGGAUGAAGAACCACUGUAAUUUCGUUUAUGAAUUUAAAAUGCUAAAGAAACUGGACAUCAACGCUAAAUGUUAGCCUGCGGUCCUUGCCUCAGUUUCUUUCAGGCGUUACUCUGGGUAGUUGAUAUACUGACCGUCCCUUUAUCAAUUAAUAAUCGAAAUAGGUUAAAAUAUGAAUGGAUUGGAAUGGUAUGACUUGGAAAUGGGAUGACAAUCAGAUUAAUUUAUUCAUUUAAACUGAGAAAUUAGAAUCAAAAUAAAUUAUAUUGUUAUUGAUAUAUUUACUUUAUCUUAAAAUUAUGAUAAGUUGUUACGAGUUAUUAAUAUGCCUUAUUUUUUAUUAUAAUAAUUAUUAUUUAUUAUAACAUUUUUCAUAUAAUAAUAAUAAUAAUAAUAAUAAUAAUUAAUAUUGAAAAAAUUUUAUUGUUAAUAAUAAAGUAUCAUUAGAGUACUAGACAAGCUCACCACGUCUAAGCUAAGUGAAGAAAUAGACUUCAUCAACAAAGCUUUUGUGAAUAUGCGUUACAUUACAACUGCGAUAUCCUUUCACUGUAUAUUCAUACAGUGGCAGGCCAUGUGACAUUGUGACCCAUGUGCUAGCUUUCACUAGUCAUAUUAUUUUUUUACACGGUGUUUAACAAAAUCUUCACGUAAAGAUUUCAGACGCGUGAUCCUAAUUCAAUAUGCAUUAUUUAUUUAUUUAUAAAAUGAAAAUAAAAAGAUAAAAGGAUGUGACUUAACUUGCUAUCAGUGCGGAUCCAGGACUUAAUAUUAUUUCGGGUUAAAUUUUAAAAUUUAUAUUUUGAAGUGAACAUAAAAAUUUAUAAAUAAAAAGAAGUAUAUUAAAUGAGGGGAGACAUGGAGAGCUUUAUCCCUAUGAAUAUGUAUUAUAAACAAAAAUAAUUAUAAGAAAAGAAUAGAAACCAAAAGGCAAUUCAAAUAUCAAAACACUAUUUUUCAAUUAUGAAAUCCGACAUUGCAACCUAAUAACAUGUAAUUAUAUAAGGAUUAAUAAAUCAAUUAAGAAUUUCAAACUAAAUUAGAUCAGUACAUGUAAUUAAAAUUAAUUAAAGAUUUCAAGUAAAACUUUUAUGUUUGAAGUCAAGUACUAAAUUACCAAGCUUAAAUAAAUUUAAAAAAUUAAAAUUCAUUCAUUCUUUCGAAUUAUAAAAGUAUCAUUAGUCAAAAGUUUUAGUAAUAAACUAAACUCAAUUCAACAAAAAGUUAUUUGGAUAUCGUUGUUUCAUUGCCAGUGCACUGACUUUCUUUAUAGAAGUAUAUGUUAAUGAUUCUUCUAUUAAAGCUCUUCAAAAUACCUAAAUUUUAUUUUCUAACUUCUUCUCGUAGUUAAUGUAACUAAUAAAUAGAAUCUGAAAAUUCACAUAAAAUAUUUAUGAAAAUGUUGAUAAUUGUUACUAUAUGUUGUUUUCGUAAGUACUUUUAAUGCUAGUAACGAUGUUAUAUUACAUUGAUUUAUAUUUUUUUCAAUUAGAAGUUUUUUAAAAUAAAUUAAAGCAAUAAUAAUAUUUUAGCUCCCUAAUGUUUUCAAUCUAUCCAAUAAGUAUAUAAUUUAAUCAUUUUAUAAAAUAAGUCACUAAUUUCAAUUGGAAAUAAUACAAUUGAAUUAGGGACAUAUUUGAAUAUAAAAUAAUAGCUCAAUUGUUAUACUAAAUUGAUGAAAAUAUAAGGGUAAUUGAGUUAGGAAAAUAUUUGAAUAUAAAGUAAAAACUUUAUUGUUAAACUAAAUUGAUGAAAACAUAAGAAUACUUGAGUUAGGGACAUAUAUGAAAACAAAAUAACAACUCUAUUAUUAUAAAAAAUUUAUAAGAAAACAAGGUGUAUAAAUGAUUUUUUCUGUUCUAGACCAAGCUACAGCCUAGUCUAGCCAGCUGUAGGUCUCCCACUACUUGCUAUUUACAUACAGACAUGUGGCCCUUAUUCUAAUAUCUAUAGGAAAAGACACCUAUACUCCAAGAUUUGAAGAAAGAUUUGAAGAAAUAGUCACGUAGAUCUCUAAGUUUUCAGUAACCACAAUUUCUCUUUGACUAUAAUAUUUUUUGUACUUAGAAAAAAAAAUGACUUUAGAUUUUUUUAAUAAAUAUAAAUAUAAGUUAAAUAGUUUAAUUUGUCUAAUAGACUAAUAAUAUUAGAAUAUUUUUAAUAUAUAAAAUAAUUUUUAAAUAAAAAAUAUUAUAUUUAUUUUAAUAAUAUAUUUUUAUUUAUCAUAAAAAUAUUAAAUAAAUCUUUGGGGUUAAAUAGAAUUUAAAAUUAAUAAAACACAUCUCAUUAAUAAAAUAUAUCUCAUGUACUAAUAAUAUUGAAAUUAUUUUAAUAUAAAAUUUAUUUUAAAAUAAAAAUAAAUUUAGAAUAUUGAAAAAUUUUAUAAAAUUUAUUUUAAUAUUAUGUUCUUAUUUAUUAUAAAAUUUAGUCUAAUAUAAUGUAAGAUUGUAAAGUAUAAAAAUAUUUUCCUAAAUUGAAGUUGUUUUAAAAUGUUAAUAUUUUAUGUUUAUUUCAAUAUUAUAUUUCUAUUUAUUAUAAAUCAUAGGAGUCAAUUUUUUUCAGUUAAUAGAAUCAAAGGGUAUUAUAGUCAAAAGAGGUAUUGGUAUUCCUUAUUAAAAAUUUAGGCGUCUACAUGACUAUUUCCCAAACCUUAGGGUGUAACUUUCUUUUCUCCAAAAUUUAUGAUUCUCUGUAGGUAUUUCAUGAAGGAAAACGAUAUUUACACUGAAUCAAAUCCCGAACUAAUUAAAAUGCACUAUUUCAGCUUAAAUAAUGGUAAAUAUUUGUUUAGUCUCUAUAUUUUGAAUUAAGUACCGUUUAGUCCCUCAAGACACCUUUUUCAGUAAGCACAAUAUAAUCCUACCCUUACUUUUUCUUUGAUUCUAUAAUAACAUGCUUGCAACAAUAUUUUUAGAUAUGUUAAUGUAAAGAAAAAUUUAAAUUUAUCAAAUCAGCCUUAAAAGAAAAAUACAAAUUAGUUGUUAUUAUUAUUAAUAAAAUAAUAAAAUAAUAAAAUAAUAAUAACAAUAAUUAACAUUAAUUAAAAUAAUAAAGUUAAUAUAUUAUAUAAAAAAUAAUAUUUACAUUUAUCAAUUUUUCAUGUGUUCAAAAUUUUUUAUGUGAUAUUACAUUAUUAUCUUUACACCAUCAAUCAUUUUUAUGAUCAAGUUAGGCUAAUGGAUCAAACUUUAAAAAAUUUAAAACAAUAGGAGUUAUAUAAAUAAAUAUUUAAAAAAUUUUGUUUUUAUGAUAUUAUAAUAAACGGUAGAGACUUAAGUGUUAAUAACCAAUUGAACACGUUGAACACUUUAGCUAUUAGAUCUGGCUAAAUUAGAAAAAGACAAAAUUUAGGGUACCGUGCAACUGUUGCAAGGUAGGCGGACCCGUUAUAUUUAAUAUAGAAUAAAUAAACUAAAUAUGUGUAAAGAAUCUAGGUUAGUAACCUUGCAAUACUUCAGAAAAUUAUAAAAUACAAAAGGUGAAAUUUCAAAAUAAGGAAUUGUAAAAAGUGUUAGGUUCUAAAAUUUUAUUAUUUUAAUAUUACAAAAAUUUACUUUUUUAUUACAUUUUUAUUUUUAAUAUUAGUUGACAUUUUAGUUUAUUUGUAUAUAAUAUAUGUUAAUUUACCUAUAAAAUACUAAUAUUACUCUUGAAAUUUAAAGAAGUCAUUUUAAUUUUUAAAAAUUUUAAAUGUAGCCCAACAAAGUCAUAGAAAUAUAAAUAAAGAAUAACAUAAAAGGAAGUUAAUUUAAUUUUUUUAAGAAUAUUUCAAAAGCAUUUGAGUUUUAUGUUUCUUGAGAAUUAUACCAUUUUUUUUUAGAUAUUUGAGCUUGUGAAACUUGUUGUAAUGAUAAUUUAUUAUUUAUUCUUGAUUAAAAAUAAUUGAAUAGUAAAUUUAUUGGCUUCUAAUUACUCUUUUAAAUGUAGGGUGGUUGCUUAAUUUUUAUUAUGUUUCCUUAAACUUUUUGAUGAUGGCUAAUCAACCAUUGCAAAAGACUCUACCUGAUUAUUGUUUCCUUAAACUUUUUGAUGAUGGCUAAUCAACCAUUGCAAAAGACUCUAGCAUGAUUAUUUUUACUUUCUCUACAUCCCUCUAGACCAUCAUCACUCAAAGAAUUAAGGGUUCACUUGGCAUACUGUAUUAUACUAUACUGUAUUGCAUUAUUUAAUAUGGGUAUAUUGUAUUAUGUUAUAUUACAUUAGUAAUAAAUUAUAAUAAUAUUUGUACAACAUUUGGUAAUUGGUAUUACAUUGUACUGCAUUAAUUUUAUAUUAAUAUUAAACUAACAUUAUUUAAAUUUAUUAUUAAUUAUAUUAAAUUAUUAUUUUUAUAUUAAUUAUUUUUAUAUAAAUAUAAUAUGAUAUAAUAAAAUAAUAUGAUAGUAUAAUUUACUUUUAUGUUUUUAUUUAUUAUAAUAAAAAUAAAAAUAUAUUUAAUGCUCAAUUAAGGUAAAAUAAUAAUAAUAACAAUAGUAUUACUUAAAAAAAAAUCUAUAAAGUUUAAUGAUGAUCAUGAUGUUGACGACAUUAAUAAUAACAUAACAAUUAAAAUAAUAAAACUAAUAAAUUUUAAUAAUGUUAAUAUUAAUAAAAUAAUAAUAACAAUAAUUAACAUUAAUUAAAAUAAUAAAGUUAAUAUAUUUUAAUAAUAGUAAUAAAAUUAAUAUUAAUGACAGUAAUAAAAUUAAUAAAUAAUAAUAUGACUUAAUUAAAAUAAUUAUAACAAUUAAAAUCAUAAAUUUUAACAAUAAUAAUAAUAAUAAUAAUAUUAUUAUUAUUAAUAUAAUAAUAAUGACAUUAAUAAAUAAUACUAAUAAUAACAUUCAAAUUUUUUUUAAAGCUAUUUUAUCCCAAAAAAGGGACUUAUAUAUAAAAUUUUGUAAAUUCUAGUGUCUAUUCAAAAUUUUCAUAAAAUAUAAGAUAGUGCAGUGUAAUUAAUAAAAAAAAGACAAAAUGAUAUGCUGCAACCGUUGCAACAUAUUUUCAUCCUUGUUUGUGAUCCUUAAUCAAUAAAAUAUCUGACAAUAUCUUCGCCAAAAGUUUAAGACAUGUGAUCCUUAUUCCACAGCGUCAAUGAAACUCCAGUCAAAUGCUGCCAUCAUUAUUGAACAGUCGAUAUCCAGCACGUGCACGAAGAUUCCAAGAAGUUGCAUGGCUAUCGACUUUUAGAUGCUAAGCCUCAUUGCGUUGAUGAUACACAAAACAGACGGUCAAGGUAAUUGCCAAAACUUAGAACUAAACAGUAGCUUAGUCAGAAAAUCAAACGCCAGUACCGGUAAAAUGACCGAUAAAAAUAUAAGGACAUAAAAAUUUUAAAGUUUUACUUUAUUGCUUUUUUAAUCUUAUUACUAUUUCUCCUUGCACUUCUAAAGAAACCAAAGCUUUAAAAGAAAUCAGCCAAAUCACAAAGAUUGAAGAGUAAAUCUAUGGUUUUAAAUUUUUAUUUUAUUUUUUUAGAUAAUAGAUAUUAUUUUGAUGAAUUUUUUAAUAUUAGAAUAAUGUUAGGAAUUCUAACAGUAGAAUUCUAACUUGGAACCCAAUUGAUAUGUGUCAUUUUUUCAUUGGAUAAUGAAUUUCAUCACUAGUAAAAUUAAUAUUUGGAUCAUCUAAUAAAUGACUACCAUAUCAAUUGGGACUCAAUUAUUGGGAUCCUUAAAAUUGCUCUUAGUAUUAUAUUGGACAUCUUAGCUAAAUCAAAUUAAAAAUUAAAUUAGAUUUUAGGCUUUAUUCAACAUCUCUUUUUGUCUUUUUUUUGGUCUAUUUGAAGUGAACGAAAUAAAAAUACAAUAGGGUCAACGACUGGGCAAUUGAUAGUCAAGUAGAAGCAAAUCAAGGCUAAAUGGGAAAGAGAAAUUAUAUUAGUGCAAAACAAGGAGAAAAACAGUGUAACAGAAGAGAAUCAAAGUGCUUUUGAGAUCAGAAAUUGAAACAAGAAAAGGGUCGCUUGAUCCAAUGAAAAUGCAAAGAGCUGACGGCAAAAGGGAAUAAAGUUAAAUAAGAAAAUAGCUAGCGCUAGCAGCAACCACAAUAAACAGAAAAUUUGAGAUGGAUUUACAAUAUUUCUGCCUUUCUUCAUGCUUUAACAAAUAUUGCUUUAUAAAAAAAAAGAAAUUGAGCGUUUUUAUUAUUGGAGUCACAAAAGACCUACACAAUAUAGCAAGUGACUGGGAAUAAAUAAAAAUAUAUAACUGAUAAGUGCAUAUUUUCCAUAUAUUUUGUUAUUAAUUUCUCCAUCUUUUUCUUGAUUUGAUCUUAAAUAUUCUAGUUAUUUUAGUUAAUUUUUAAUUAAUUGUAUUAUUUUAUUGAAUAGGGAAUUAAUUGGAGAUUGUGGAUAAAAAGGGCAUGAAGAAAUUCAAAUUGAGAAGGAAUAAGGAUUAAAUUGGAAAAGGAUUUCAAUUAGAAUGGAAAAAGGAUUUCUUUAUUCUUGUUGGAGAAGAAUUCGGUCAACUAGCUUUAUAAAAGGGGAGCUGCUGGAUGAAAAAAAAGGAGGAGAAUAUUCGGCAGCCAAGAGGAUUUGAGGAACUAGCAGCCGAAAGAAGGAAAAGCAAGGGAGAAACCGAAAAGGAAUUGAAGAAAAAGGCAGCUGCUUGAAUUAAUCUCCAUGAUUGGUUUUGUCAAUUCUCUUAUUUCCAAUUCAAUUAUGUUAGGCUAGAUUUUUAUUUGGUUGAGGGUGAAUUCAAAACCCUAAACAUGCUAUGCAAUUAAAUUUAAAUUCUAUCAUUUAAUUUAUUUAAUUGAGAUUGUUUAUGUUCUUCUAUAAUUAAUGUUCAUGGUUUGUUCUUGUUUUAUUUGAGUGGCCAAUUAGAUAGGACUUGAAUAAAUUUUAUUGCUAGAUUAAAAUUCUUGAUCCGUAAUUAUCUUGAUAUUUUAAUUAUUAGUAACAUGUUGGAAUUAGUGAUUUCAAUUAAAGAACAUAACCUAGGUUAAAUAAUCCGAGCUUGUGUGUUUAUUGCCUAGAUCAACCUAAUAUCUUUCUCUGUUUAAUGCUUCCAUUAUCUUAAAUUUAAAGAGCUUGUUUUAAAUUAUUUAAUGGUUAGAGAUUAGGUGAAGAGCUUAUUUUGCCUAACGACACACUAAGGAAAGAUUGAGACUAACAGAGCUUAUUGUUGUCUACGGUUGAUAGUUUUAAUAUAAAUUAAUGAUAGAAUUGAUAUAUUAUGUGCAUGUUUGGUGGUGGCGAAUGAUCCUUUAACCAAAGUUUUCAUCAUUAAUAUUUCUUUCUCCUUUAAUUAGAGUUUUUAUUAAAUUCUUGUUCGUAGUUUUAAUUUCUUUACUUCUUACUAUUUAGUUAAAAAUUCAUAAACCCCCUCUUUUAUUUAUAAUUGGUAAUUUCCUUAGUUAGAUUAAUUUAUAUUAUUAUUACUACUAUUAUUUUAUUUUAAAUCUUGCUUUAGAGUUGAUAAUAAAUAUAACUACAUAGUCUUUGUGGGAUCGAUCCUUACUCGCUCUGUACUAAUUAUUUAUAUUAGUGGUAAGGUUAUAAAUUUGGUGCACCUUAACGACACUACCAAAUUUUUGUAACUCUCUCUCUAAUUCUCACUCUAGCUUUUAAUUGUCACUCAAAACCCAGAAUUCAUCCUUAAAGUGUAAGCAAAUCAGAGAUGACAACGUCUGGCUGUCAUACGUGCCUUUUAGUUUUCGGAUGACAUGGCGUACACUUCUUCUGUAAACCGAACACGACAUGUCGUACUCUUUGUUUUGAGAUCAUAUUUCAAACUCUUCAUGCUAUGAAUGAAAGAUAAACUACAAUCAUAAACAUAUUUAGUGUUUAUUUGGUAAUGUAACGUUAUAGUUGUUGUGAAUUGAAAUUAUUUCUGUAAAAUAAAAGGAAUAUUUAUAAUAGUAUAAAAGGAAUAUUAAUAGAGGAUGUAUUAAUAUAAAAUUUGUUUAUUGGUGUUGAAGUUAAUUAUCUCAUUAAUAAUACUAUAAAAAUUUUAAUUACUAAGAAACACAUAGCAGUAGUUAAUUGGUGUCAUAUUAUUGGGAUUCAGGGAUAUAAUUUUAUAUCAUAACUUUGUAAGUGUAUAAUUACUCAUUAAAUUAAGAAAAUUAUUUAAAAAUAUUUAGUUGGAAAAAAUAAAUUAUAUUCUUUUUAUUUCAAAUAAUCUAUAAGUUAACUCAAAACAUAAUCAAGCUGAGAAUUAAAAUAAUGCUACUAUAUGAGAGGAUUUUUAUUUUUUCCCGAAGUUUCACUAGGAAAUUAUUGAUAUAUAGCUUUAUUCGGAUCAUCUCAGUUCAAACAACAAAUAAUUGAAAGACUAAGCUAAAUAGACCAGCCAACAACUUUGUGCAAGAGAGUUCAAAAAUUAAGGUCAUGGUAUUGAGGUGUUCUGUCUUGAAAAGUACAGCAUAGUGAUAAAAUAAAAACUAUUAAUCUAUGGUAAGGUAUGACUUUUAAAUAAUAAUUUUCACAAAAAUACAAAGAAUAUUUAUAAAGUACUUCUAUAGUGAGGAGAUCCUUACUUUGUUAAAGUAAAAAUAUCAAUAAUAUAAAAAAACAUAUAUUUUAACACAUUAAGAACUGUAUUUUCUUAAUCUAUUGGUGUAUUGAAAUAUGUGUUAUUUAGUUUGUUAGUGACAUCAUCACUUUGUUAAAAUAAAGAUGUCGUCACUAGAGAAUCAUUAUAUAUACAUAUAUAUAAAGUGUUUCUCUCCAAAACCUAGACUUUAUUAAAAUUUAAGAAAGCAAAUAUAUUUUAUAUGGUAUAAUAGUGUAAUAACAUCACACAAUUAUAUCAUAUAGAGUAAUAGUUUUUGGAACUUUAAUAAAGUUCAAGAUUAUAGAAUGAAUGAUUUAUAUAUAUUAUAAUUUUUUUAUCAUAGAGUGGAGGACAAAAUUAACAUAUUUUCUAAAUUAUAAUAAGUAAUUAUCAAAUAAUUUAACAUUGUAUUUCUCCUAACUAGUAUAGUAAAUAUGACCUAGGAGGUACAUUCAAAGCAUUUCAUAAGUUAGUUGUUAAUAAUAAAUGAUACAUGCAGCUCCAAUCAUCAUUGUACGGUGAGUAAUUUCCAGUUAUAAAUAGAUAUUACUCCCUUCUCAGCAAUUUUUUAUGGCUUAAUUUAGUGGGAUCAAAUCAAAAUCAACAUUGAAUAGUCAAAAUAUUAAUGACCAAACAGACCCAGAUAGAAUAAUAUUAAAUGUAGUUAUCUCAAACAAGAUAGAAUAAUAAUUGAUAAGGUAGGUGUAUGAGUGUGUGUGAUGUGUACUCUUUAUGCCAUUGUGUAUAUAUAUAUAUUUGUUUUUUUUUUCUAUUUCGCGUGGUUCCACCAUGCAUAAUUGAAGGGCUUCAAAUUCUUAAACGUUCGGUCACCGAAAUUGAAAUCCCAAUGGAACAAGUAAUUAAGCAUGUUAAUUCAACAAGAUUCACUCCCUUUAUUACUUAAAAGUUAUUUUCGCUUUUGAUAUUGAUACUUAUUUUUACAUUUGCAUGCACUAGGGCAGACGCGAAGCUAAAGGUGGGCUAACCCAGGCAGCAGCCUCGGUUAGCUUUUUGAAAAAAAAUAAUUAAUUAUAAUUUAUAAAUUUAUUUUAUUAAUAUAUAUAAAAAAUAAAAAUAAAUCUAAUAUUUGAUAAUAUUUUUCUUAUUUACAUUGUAUUUUUAUAAUUUUAUGGUUAGAUUUUUAUGUAUAUAGUGUGCUUAAUUUCGUUUAUAUAAAACAAAUUUUUUGAAAAGUAAAUUUCAUUUUUUAAAAAAAUCUAGCCCACCCAAAAAAAUACGCUAGCUUCGCCACUGCACUAGGGACAUAUUAAUCAGGUGGGUUAUAUUACAACCAGAGGAUUUAAAUUUGAUUUAAGAUAUGUGGGGUCUGCUUUUGGAUUUAGAAAAUUUGCCCAUUAAGAGUUGAAACCAAGUGACCUACCGUUAGAUUAGAUUAAUAGUGAUUUCUUGUAGUAAACAUUUGUGAAUUUGAAAUAUGUGAAUUCUAUCCUGGUGAUACAAAACAAGCUUCUUGUACACGAGAACUAUUUGUUUUUAUGAUUUGGAAACCAAUCUAUAAAGAUGAAUUAAGUUGGCAUAAUGGUACAAAGCAACUUUAAUUUUUCAAUAAAUUCAAAAGUUGGCAGGUUGGUUGUGAUUAUUAUCUUUUCUUUUUUACUAUUUAAACUACAAUUAAUUGAAUCCAAAGACUAAAGGGUUGGAUCGAGAAGAAACUAAUUUUAAGUAGACAUUCCGGCGAAAAUCACUCCCAUGAUCGAGACACUCAUGCAAUCAAUACAAAAAAUGGACACAAAAAUUGUCUACUUAAGUUUGGUUGAAUGAUUUUAAAAAUAGUUUUAUUUGUUUCACACUCGAAUUUGUAUUUUGAAAAAGAGUGGGAGUUAAAAAUUGAUUUACACUUUAUCAAUUACUCUAUUUUAAAAAGAAAUAAAUAUUAAAAAAAUAAAAACAUUAAUUUCUUGUUUGUUUGUACUUACCAUUGUAGGAUAAAUAAAGUGGUUGACAAAAAUUAGAUAUCUUAAAAAUAAAUUCUAAAUUUAUAACUAAUGUAUAAUGAUUUCAAUUCACAUGUUUCAAUCCCAAAUAAAUUCUCCUUUGGUUAUUUGAAUCUUAGCACGGUAAGAUUUCAUUCUCUUGUAUGCAUUUGUGUAAACUUCUCCCUUUACCUUUAUCAUUUUAUCAACUGUAUUGAUUGCCAAACAACUUUAGGGUUUAGGCAUGAAUCACACAAGGGAAUGAUAUUGUGGCAAUUUUUUCCCCCUUCUUUCUUCUUUUUGAAAAAAAAAAUUAAUUAUAGCUUUGCUUUGAUGGGUAGAAGACUAGAAGACCAAUUAAUUUCUUUUUGUUGCGUGGUGAUAAUAAUGGUGAAAAUUGCUAUGUGCGUGUUGGUGAUUGCAUUGCUAAUCACAUAUUGCUUCCCAUCAUGGAGACAAAGGGGACCCCUCUAUCAAAGCUAGCUGUUGAAAUAUCAUACCCAAAAUCACAUGAAUUCAAAGGUUGAAUGGGAAAACGAUCUUGCUUCUUUGUAUGUUUUAUUUUAUUUAAAGACUUAUUUUUCCCAUAAGAGAUAAGCUUGGAUCUAUCUUUCCUUUUAAUCAUUUUAGCCUCCAACUCCCAUCUUUUUCAAAAGUUUCGUUUAGCCCAUUUUGAAUGGCAAGGUAAGCUUCAAUCAACGCUACAAGUUCUAGUGAUUCCCGUCAAUAUUCGAUUGCAUGUAUGUAGCUUUGAAUGCUCAAAUUUAUUUUAUUUAUUAGUUGUUAUCACUUAUCAUUUUCUUUUUAAUAAUGAGAUUUGGGCAUUUUCUUUUUAAUAAUGAGAUUUGGGUCCCUAGAUGGUGAUUAGCCAACAGUCUAGUUAUGAGAAAUUAAUGUCUUAAUUACAAUGACAAAAAAAGGCAAGUGGGGAUCUCAUUUGCCAUUAGGUAACACAACAUCUUCAGCAUUGGAGCUUUUCUUCCUUUCUCUCCUUCUUUCUUUCUUUCUCAAAAUAAUUGAAAAUCUAAUGCAAUACAAUUAAAUUGAUCAACGAUCUAAUUUAAUCAAUACAUUAUAUUAAGAUAUUUAAAAUAAAAUCGGUUCAAAUGGAAUGAGAAAUUCUACUCACAAAAUAACAACAUUUAUUCCCGAAUUCAAAUAACCUUGGAUUCCAAAUGCAUUCAAGACUAGCCAGGCUGCAUAUCCAAGAAGAAAACAAAAUCAAAACUUUAGCCACAAACAUAUACGUGUGUGUGUAUGUGUGUGUGUAUAUAUGUGUGUGUGUGUCUGUGUAUAUAGAGAGAGAGAGAGUUCUUUCACUAGGUUCAUUUGCGUGAAACUUUUUGAUCAUUUAGGUUUAAGACUAUAUCAUAUAUCCUAUUGCAUGAACAUUGAUUAAUAUGAAUGAGUCAAACCCACUAAGCUUGUAACAAAAUCUUUUCAUAGUUACUAGAGAAUAUUUAUAUUUUUUUCAAACAUUAAUAAAAUUAUUGAAUUGCUUUAUUUAUAGUAUGUAUACAAUUAAUAGUGUAUGGAUUUUUUUAUCUAUUGGUAUAUUGAAAUAUGUGUUAUUUAGUUUGUUAGUGAUAUCAUCACUUUGUUAAAAUGAGAAUGUCCUUACUAGAGAAUCAUUAUAUAUACAUAUAUAAAGUGCUUGUGCUUCUAUCCAAGACCUAGAUUUUAUUAAAAUUUAAUAAAGCAAAUAUAUUUUAUAUGGUAUAAUAGUGUAAUAACAUCACACUAUUAUAUCAUAUAGAGUAAUAGUUUUUCGAUUUUUUUAAAGUUCAAGAUUAUAGAAUGAAUGAUUUAUAUAAAUUAUAAUUUUUUUAUCAUAAAUGGAGGCGAAAAUUAACAUAUUUUCAAAUUAUAAUAAGUAUUUAUCAAAUAAUUUAACAUUGUAAUUUCUCCUAACUAGUAUAGUAAAUAAUAUGACCUAGGAGGUACAUUCAAAGCAUUUCAUAAGUUAGUUGUUAAUAAUAAAUGAUAUAUGCAGCUCCAAUUAAUCAUCAUUGUACGGUGAGUAAUUUCCAGUUAUAAAUAGAUAUUACUCCCUUCCCAGCAAUUUUUGAUGGCUUAAUUUUGUGGGAUCAAAAUCAACAUUGAAUGUCAAAAUAUUAAUGGCCAAACAGACCAGCUGCCAACAACUUAUUCCAAUGUGAGUAGUUCACAGUGGGUACUGCACAUGAUGCUUGUUUCUCCUUUUGCAUCUAUUUUUGUUGUUAACAUUAAUUUCAAUAGCAGCUCUUUAAUCCCAAUUGUUGAUUUGGGACUAGAUAAGAAUUUAUCUUGGAACUCCAAUUCUCCCAAUUAUUUUAGUUGACAAUAUGUUUAACAUUAUUUUUUUAACAUUAUUAAUUACAUAUUAUUUAAUUAUCAGUAUAUAAUAUUCUUUAAUUUUCUAAUUUUAUAGGAUUAGACACAAAAUUGAUUAUGCCUUUUGAAAUUUAAGGGUUAUGUCAAUUGAAUAGAAAACUUGGAGUUAAACUUGUGGAUGUUUUUGUUGAUUAUCAAUUUAUGCAUGAAUUUUUGUACGUUUAUUUGGCUUAUUAUUAUUACUUUUAAACAUUUUUAUUGGUUUGAUUUAGGGUCAGUUUGGUAAUUCUAUAGCUUUUAAAAUAAUUACAGUUAGCUAUGCUGUAGAAAUUGAUCAAUCGUCAAGAGAAUCAGCUGAACAUUUAGUAAAAUUUAUUUUUAAAAGUACUUUUAGUUUUAAAAGCGUCGCAUGUGUUUCGUAAGUUAUAUACAUUGCUGAUUCUAUAUUAAUAAUGUUAUGUUCUAUUUUCAGAAAUUAUAAUACAAAAGUUUUUACAAUGGCGUGCAUCUACAAACUGAAUUGACUUGUAGAAUAAGAGCUUGGAGUAGUGUUAUGUUCUUGAAUAAAUGAAAGUUCAUAUGGUGUAAGAGCAUGUAGAUGUAAAGUGUCAUUACCAUUUCUAUAAAGGACUUUCAUUCUGUUCGGAUGCUCCUCUUGAACUCUGAAGGGUGCUUCAUUCAUAACACACAUAAUUUAUGCCAGGGAAGAGAAGAUGCCAAAAAAGUUGAAGGUGAUCAUUCAUAACUUUUCAGAAAGUUGUUGCAAAACAGAAAUCACCCAUCACGAUCGGUCGUACAAGUGUCUGCUACGAGUGCAGCAAAACGUUUGUCACGCUAGUUGUGCUAAAUGGACCUCUCCUGUGUGCCUCUAAAAUCAAUGCAUGUGAUCAUGUCGGUGAUUCAAUGGCUGGUGGGGAUGAGUCCACUCAAAUUCUGAAACUAAUCAGGUGAAAUAUAAACCCUUUUUGUCUCCUUCUUUAAUUGUAUGUUUUACUAUCCAUGUUUUACCCAAAAAAAUUGUAGGUUUACACUUUGCAAUCAAAUUUUGUAGUUGUGCUUUUUUCUUGCUUUUAUCCUAAUAAGCAAAAAAUCUAAUUAAUCCUAAUUAAAGGUGUUUUAAAAUUUAAAUAGAGAAAGUACCAUUGAGAUUUGAGAGAAAAUGAAUCGAUUGAUUUACUUCACAGUAUGAAUACACAGAGAGUUCGCUUGCUUUAUAUGCAGUAAUCUAACCAACUUGUUAACUAAGCUACUAUUCCCAGCAAAUCAAGCUAACCAAUCCCACUACUCAGCUUGUCUACUACAGAUCACAGAACCACUUGGGCUGAGCCGUAAUUCCAUGUCAUCAGUCUGUGCAACAACCUCAUUGAUCACUUGUUGUGCUGACUAUCGAACAACAGUGUGCCUCUUUAACAUAAUAGACUAAGCUCGUAUGCAUAGGAAUGGAUCUUUUAUUAUUGUCAUUAACUAUCUGUCCCUAAGGGUUUGGUUGAGUGAUUUAUUCCUUUAGUUGGCCCUCCCAAUCUUUUGGAUUGUUAUUGUCAUUAAAUAUCGGUCCCUAACUGCGUGAUGUAAGUACUUUCUAGAAGAUAUCUAAAUGGUAAAGCGACAUUACCAUUUCUAUAAAGGACUUUCAUUCUGUUCAGAUGCUCCUCUUGAACUCUGUAAUUCAGAUCCUAGCUAUAACUACUAGCUUUGAUUAAUUAAUUUCCUGUACUAGCUGAAACAGAUUUAUUUAUUUAAAUAAUUGUGUAUGUACUAAUUAUAAUGAAAGUAUAUGAAGAAAUUUUUUAACAUGAAUGACUUCUAAAUGACUUAAAAACCUAAACAAAUAAUGCUCAUUUCACUUGAACGAGCCUAUUAAUACUUGUAUGUCUAUGAUUUUUAAUAUUGGCUUAAGCGUUUCAGUUAAAUGGUUUACAUAAGAGGGAAAAAAAUUUAAUGGAAAACUUUAGAGUUCUAACAGAAAUAUAAUUGACUAUGCAGAUAUAGUUAUUUUAUGGUAUACAAAUCAUGUUGCCUUAAUCUCAAUGUCCUAUGACCUAUUUUAUUUUAUAUAGUCAUUCCUUUUGGCCAUGGCUUUUUGUUUUUAUGAGUACGGAAAUAGUGGGAUUUGGUGUAUCUUAGCAUCUUUGGAAAAUUCUCUUUAAAUGUGGCAAACAAAAAUAUACAUAUAAUCAAGUUUCUUAAUCAACUAUCAUAACUGGCUAGCUAGUUCUUGCCUGCCUUGCUGCCAUUACCCAGGCCAUUACAUUGCAUAGCAUAAGGAAUAGUGAUUAGGUGAUUAUUAGUGACUCGUUGAGCUUAUUAUUGACCAAACAAAUAUAUUUGCCUUUACCCACAACUUAGUUUGAUUAGUUAUUAGACCAUAAAGAGCGUAAAUCUGUUCAUUGGCUUUGUUAUUUUUGUUUGGUUUUUCUUUCAACAAUACUGUUAAUUUCUUAUAAAAAUAUUCAUUGGUUUUUAAACACCUAAUCAUUGGCUAUAAUGAAGCUAAUUGAAACUGAGGCUUUGGAUCAAUUCCUUCUGGCAAGAUACAAAUGAGCAUAACCUAUAUCCUCUAAGUAAAUUUUUCUAAUAUGCUUGAUUUGUUAGUAUCCGGAGGCUUGAAUCCUCUAGAUUUUUUUAACACUGUCAAUGUUCUUUUUACUCUGAAAAGGGAAAAAAAAGGUUAUAUCUUUCAUACCCUAAUAAUAAGUUGUCCUUGACUUAACAUGCCUUCCUGAGGAUUUGCAAGAUUCACAAGCAGCUCAACAACACCCCCCCCCAAAAAAAAGCAAAUACGAAGAUUUUGCAAGAUUCACAACCAGGUUAUAUUUAAUUUAUUAAUUGUGUGCACGUACUAGUUAUAUGUUGAAAGAAUAGGAAAAAGUAUUUUAACAUGAAUGACUUAAAACUUAUUGCUCAGUAAACUUAAUCUGCAUCAGUGCUAGAUAAUGUAUUUAUUGUUUGUAUUUUUUAUGGAUUUGCUUAAGAAAUGAUAUGCGAAAUAAUGCUAUAUUGUAUUAGGAAUAAAUUGAAGAGAUUUAUGAUAUUUAUGUGUUUUUAAAUUUCAGAUUGAAUUUUAAACUUUCAAUACAUGCAUUGAAAGCUUAGAUCGUUUAAGAAAUUAUUAAUAGACACAUGUUUUAUUAGUGUCAUCUUUGGAUGAUAGCGAGGAUCAUAUGUCUAUUAAUAAUUCUUGAAUUGUCUAGGCUUGAACUGUUUGGGAAUGCAUAGUUUUCUACGGUGGCUAGUAGCUGAAGUUUUUUUCCCACGUAAAAAUGGGUUUUUCGCUAGCUACUUCUCAUCUUCUUUGGGUGCAUACUAGAUAACACAUACACACUCAUAUAUCUAUGUCGUGUGCUAGGAGAACUAUUGGGAGAUGCUGCCGAAAUUCCUAUAAACGUAGAAGAAAACUUUAAAGUACUUGAGAUUGAAGAGACUUAUGCAUUCUUGAGAGGGAUAUAUGGGACCACUUACCUUUUGUAAAUAUGAAGGGAGUGUUGGACAUAUUGAUGGGAGUGAAGGAGCUGAGUUGGAUGGAUGUAAUUGGUUAUGGUUUUGCUGAGUUAACUUGGUUUUGACCUAGUAGUUUUGUUUAUAAAUGGAGUACUAUCUCCAAUGUUGGUUUAUAAAUAUGUUUCAGCUGGCUGACCUAAUUUUUUGUUUCUAGGUAACAGGCUUUAUAUCUGUAAUUGAUAGCCAACCGAAGUUCUCAGCUGUGGGUGAGGAUAUUUCUUUACAGAAGGUAUUGGAAACUGUUUUUUACAUUAAUUAUUGUGGUAUUUAUACUUGAAAAUCUUUUUCUCUGAUUCUUGUCGCUUUGCUUGCUUUCAUAUGUAUAAAUUCUAAUGAAAUUAACCAUAAAAUUGUAUAAUGAUUUUUUUUAAUUAUAUUGCAAAACUGUGCACACACGAAAAUAUCUUGGUCAUUAGUAGAAAUGAAGAACUAAAAUGAUUUAUCUAACUAAUUUUUGUAGUGCAUUAAAAGGAGAUGAAAAUGGAGAAGAGUUGGGUUGGUUUGGCAAAUAGAUAUCCAAGUUAUAGAUUUUGUAUUUGAGAAUGUUGUUGGUAAUGCAAGAAUUUAUUAUCCUUGUAAGGAGUGUCGAAUAUUUUGUUUUAAGGGAAGUAUCAAGAGACCAUAUCAUUAUAAAUGGUUUUUGGUUAAAAUAUUAAAACUGGAUAUUGCAUAGUGAGCCAUCUUCAUCUUUGGAAUCUAGCCAAGAAACAAGUUGGUCGUGACUCAGGUGCUGAUGAUGAUAUGAUUGGAAUGAUACAUGAUACAUCACAUAAUCAAAUGUUCAAUUCACACGCAGCAUUGUUAUGGACUAUCAGUGACUUUCUAGCAUAUGCCAACUUGUUUGAGUGGAGUAUUAAAGGUAAAUAAGCAUUUCUUGUUUGCCAACAAAACACUAGAUCUAAUUGGUUGAUACAUAGUCGAAAAUUUUGUCACGUCGGUAAUGUCGAUUUUUACCGACGAAUCAUAGGUUUUGAAAAUAUAGUGCCUUUUGAUAAAAGUAGAGAGUGGGGACAAGCACCUUCUCGGAUGUCUGGAGCUGAAGUGAAAAAGCAGUUGAGUAAUAUACUUACUGAGUUUAAGAUUGAAGACUUGAAAAGAGGAGAAUGAGUAAAAUGAGAGAAAUGAUAAGAUUACUUGGAAGAAGAAAAGCAUAUUUUAUGAACUACCGUGUUGGGAGUCCAAUUUGAUUCAUCAUAAUCUUGAUCUCAUGGGCUGUUUUGAUUUUUGUUAUGAACUCUGAUCAAAAGUUUAAUUUGAUCAAAAUUUCUUAAAAAUAGUGAAAACGACUCCUCCUAAUAACAUGGACGAUGGCUAUAACAGAUAAAAGGAAAGGAUUAAAAAGAAAAGCUAUGCCUGUUAAAAAAAGAAAAAAAAUUGGUGGCGUCAAGUUUAUAACAAAAAUUAAAACGGUGCGUUUGAGAGUGUAUAAAAUACAUUUAGAAUGGGAGCUGUGUUGUUUUUUGAAGGUAGAAUGAUUGUGAGAUAUUUGUCGACGAAGCCGAAAUCAAAGAUGAAGCCCAUAGAGCUCAAAACUCCACCAGAGCAAACUCAAGACAAUUAUUGACAUAGUCAAUGAUUGUAUUUGACAUAGUCAAGGAACAGGGUCCUCUCACUGUUGUCGAAACAUGGGAACGCGUCAAGGUGUGUGCAUCUGAUUGAGUGUGUUUUACAUUCAAUGAUCACUGAUCAUAAUACUAGUAGUUGUUUUACAUUUUCAGCAAGCAGGAGCGAGUGGAUUGACGGGCAAAAGCCACAUGAAGAUUGAGUGUGUUGAGUAAGCAAAUCCUGUGCACAAGUUGGUUCACCAAACCCAACAACUUGAAGCAACCAAAAUCAGGGAAUGAUCCUUCUCCGUGAUGGAAGUAAAGCACCAGUGAUGGAAGCUCCUCAGCAUGUAAACUUUUCAACAGUAGCACAGCUCUUAUUCCAGAGGCUGCACAGAAGAGCGACCUGAAUCCUCUUCAAAACUUUCAAAUUUUUAUCAAGUAAAGCUUUCAAAAUUUCUCAGCAAAUAGAUUAUUCAAAUGAAAGAAACACAAGGGAGUGACCUGAAUCCUCUUCAAAUCAGGAAAUUUAUUGCAUAAAUUACAAGAAGCAGUACACACCAAUGGUAAAUUGAUAAAUCGUUUUUUAACUUAAUAUAGUCAAAUGAAAGAAACACAGCGGAGGGUUAAUAUAACACUUUCAAAGCUGCAUUAGUAAUACGUUAAAGUGAAUACCCUCAGCAUGUAAACUUAACUUCAAAGGACGGAGCACAAGUUUCACAGAAAAGUAGCUCUUAUUCCUGAUGCUGCAAACACAGAGGAGUGUCCUCAAUCUUCUUCAUAACUUGGGAAUUCUGCAAUUAUAGAGCACGACAUUGAGCAUGAACUAUAAAAAAUAUUUAUUUUCUACAAUUUUCAUAUAACCUGACUAACCAAGAUUAAUUUUGUGGUAAUGUAUUGGGUCAUUAAUUCAUAUGUUUUUACUGUCAUCACUUUAGAAAAAACUAAUUUCUCAAUGUGAAAUGGCCCAUAAAAAGUAUUCUCAUUUAAAAACUAAAUUUGACAAACCCCUCGAUUAAAGCAGGGGAGAGAAAAGAAAAAAAAAAGAUCUGAAGGCUUUCCACAUGAAAAUGUUGUCACUUUGGAUGAUAUUUUCAAGGGAUUUCAUUCUAAAAAUAAAAUACCUGGGACCUUAUUCUUCAAAUUGACAGCUAGCCCAGUACUAAACGCGUAUGAGAUCAGUACUGUACUGUGACAAGUAACGAGACGACCCCUCCAACAGCUGAAAAUAUAAUUCGGAUUCAUCAAUUUAAAUUAAAAUUCAUAUUAUGAAAUAAAAACUAAUGAUUAAUGAAUUUUCGAGGAAUUUAAUAAGAUUCUCAUAUAUAAACGUGAUAAAAAAUUCUCUCGUCAAUAACAAAUAUUCUAACAGUUACCCGUACCUUUUCUUGAUGUAAUUGUUGUAUGAUUGUGUUAAGGUCAUUAUUAGACCAACGCCGUUUGUCCUCACUCCUUCCGUACCAGACGUUUACUCUCGGAGGCGUGCUUAAUUCUCCUUUGGUGAAAAUCUUCAUCUUGGGACAACUAAUCACCCACAAAUCUUGCAAAGAUGGGAAUUUGAAGGCGUAAUUGCCAGAGGAGAAGCUUGUGAGGCUGUCUAAAUCAAACAGGGACAACGUACUCAAUUUGCUGAAAACAAUCUCUUCUUCUAUAUUUGCUGUUUCAUCUUCGUCACUUAUUACGACUUCUGUGAUUGCUCUGCAUCCAAAUACACCCAAUGAUACGAGUCGCUCUAGACUUUUUGCUGUGGAGGAUGUUAGUAAGUUCAUCAAUUUCUUGCAAGCAAAAGCUUGCAGGCGUGUGAGAUUCCGAAAAGAUACCGAUGAUGAUGGCAAUAGACUUAACAGAUUUUGACAGUGAAAUGCUCUUAGAGUUUGAAGAUGUUGAAAAAUGAAGUCCGGCUGCUUGGAAUCGUGUUUCCAUAGUUGCUGCAGACGAUUAAGUCUGGUCAGGUCUAACCUUUUUAUCAGUGCCAGCUUCCUCGCAUGUGUCUCCAAAUAUCCUUCAUUUGAAAAUACCACUUCGUAUGAACAAUCCGACAGGAAGAGAAGUUCCAGAUUGUGAAACUUCUCAAGUAAACCAAGUGGAAAGCAAGCUAAGUCAUCAUCCCGAACCCGUAGUCGUUGAAGACUGCCAAAGAGGUGUUGUGGGAAAUCGUCUUGCAAAAUCAUCGUGAUGUCUUUUCCACUUAAUGCCAGUCCCUCCAAGUUGGGUAAGAUCUGAUCAUCAUCAAGCACAAAUUAUUAUCUUAGCACAUUGAUCCCUAAUUCCAGACUGGCAAAAUUCAUUGUGUAAUCAAAGUUUCAAUGAUCUAACUAACAUAUAUAUAUAUAUAUAGGUAUUUAUUAAAAUUCAUUGUGUAAUGCCAAAUCUCGUCGACAUUAAUAGCAUUCAGCUCCAAAGCCUCCAAAUUUGGCAACACUGCCUAAAGAUAAUUUUCUCUUUAGAUCCAAUAUCCAUAUAAGAAGUGCUUAUUGAGAGCUUAAUUAGUGAGUGUAUGAGAUUUUUUUUUUCAUUUUCUUUUUCUAAAUGAUUUUUUUUUUUUUUUUUUUUUUUUUGCACAUAUAGCAUCAAAUGCAAGUGCAUGAUAGAAUAAAAAAAAUGCAAUAUCCAUAUGAAAAACACUUGUGUGGGCCAAUUUGGUAUUACAGUUGCUGAUUAAAUAAAUUGCUUCUGCUGUACGGAUGUAAUAAGUAAUUGAUUAAAAAAGCAGGUAGGUGUUUGGUGAAUUAUGUUGUUUCAGUUGAUAUGAGUUUGAAAAGCAGCGUACAUGCGUUUGGUAAAUUUUAUUUUAAACUUGUUAUUUUAUCAUAUAAUGACCAAAAUAGACAUAAGUUUAAAUUACCUUUUAUUUUUUUGAAGUAUGUUUAAUAAUGUUUAGAUGUGUCAUUUUCUUUUUAAAACACGUAAAUUAUAUUAAGUGAAAAAACUUAAUAAUUUCUUACAUAAAAUACGAUAAAAAUUUAUACUAGUAUAUAAUCCAAAUAAAAUAAAAAAGUAAUAUGUAUUACUUUCAAAUUAAACUUGUUGCAAUAAACACCAUGACUAUAGAAAAAAUAUAAAUAUAUUGAAUGUUAAAAGCUAUGGUUAUGAAAUUGAUUUUUAAAGUUAUGAUUAAUUUUCAUGUAUAGUUCAAAAAAAAUUUAUAUAAUUACAUGCAAGUCUUUUUAAAUUUUAUUAUAGAAAAUACAAGUAUAAAUUGUAUAAUAUAAAAAAAAAUAUGAACUUAUUAGAUCAAAACUUUGAUAUUAGAGAGAAUAUAUAGUAGUUGUGGUGGUAAUAUGAUAUCUGAUGACUUAUAUAUUAGAGUGUAUGGAAAUAUAUGACAUAAUUAUCUUUGUUAAAAUAUUAAUAAGGUUAUGAUAGGAACUUUAAAAAGAUAUGGUAGCUUAUUUAAUAAGCUGCUCAUGAAAAGCAAUCUCUAUCUGCUUUUAAAAGUUACUGUCAAAAUGGAGAAAAUUAUAAAAUAAGAGUUUUUAUAAAAUUUACCAAACACUAUUUUUGUCACAGAUUAUGAAAUAGACAGUUUAUUGAGUUUUAACCUCAAUCCCAAACGGGGUCACAAUGCCACAUGAGAAGCACUUAUUGAGAGCUUAAUUUGUGAUUGCAGUUUUUACAAAAUUUACCAAACACUAUUUUUGUCACAGAUUAUGAAAUAGACAGUUUAUUGAGUUUUAACCUCAAUCCCAAACGGGGUCACAAUAGCCACAUGAGAAGCACUUAUUGAGAGCUUAAUUUUGUGAUUGCAUGAGUUUUUUUUAUUUAUUUUCUUUUUCUAAAUGAUUUAAUUUUUUUGCACAUAUGGCAUCAAAUGCGAGUGCAUUAUAGAAUAAAGGAAAAAAAAAGAAAAAGAAUGCAUUAGCCUACGCACCUUCUCGUUAAAAAGCAGAGUUGAAGUAUCCGAACUGAUCUCGUUGGAACUAGCUGUCAAUACCUCUUGUGACUCUUGUCUGUUUGGUGAUGUGGAAGGAGUCUUCACUUCACGGCAAAACCUUGUAACCUUUGGAAGCUUUCCCUGAGUCAAAGAUCUUAAUUGAUCAAACUCUAUCUUUUCAUCAACAUCAACAUCAGCUUCUCCUCCAGUUGCAAAAAUUUCUUCCAUGCUGCUGCAAUUGAUAACUGCAAUCCUCUCAAGUCUUGGAAGGCAUUUUGUACUACGAGAGAGCCAGAAGAUAUUACUCAACUCAUCACAAUUUUCCACUUUUAUGGUUUUGAGUUCAUUGAAGGACUCUUUUUUGAGUCGAUCAAUACAUAUCCUCUCCAUAUUGGUCAAAUUGUGAAGAGUAAGGGACUCCAAAAGAGGAAAGGCGAUACAAGGUUCCAAUUCUAAAACAACAUUCCUGAUUCCUUGCAACUUAUCCAAACAUAAGUAUUCAACGUUAUUGAUGCCCUGCAACUUCUUGGAGCAAAUGGCCAUAGAAUCAAGCUUGAGCUUCAAUGUUCUUAAACUCUCAUGAUUACUGAUCAUAAAGUGCGGCCGACUUUGAAACCAGUCCUUCCCAAUAACAUUGGUAGAGUCAAAAGAUCCAUCUCCUAUUGAUAUAUCAAACCUUUCCAGCUUUUUGGUAAAAAAGCCAUCUGGUAAAAUGCUAUCAUUUUUAACAUCUAUUUUUAAGGCGGUCAGUCGCUGCAAAUGCAUCAAUUCAUCGAGGCUGGCAUUACUUCUUUCACUAUUGGCUUUUCUCACUUCCCAUUCAAUAGAGCAGUUACCCAUAUACAGUUCUUCCAAUCGAGUGAAGCUUGAUAAGAUAUUGGGCACAAUAAAUUUUAGUUGCAAGCAAUCUGUUAAAUCUAGCAUCCUUAACUUAGUCAGUUGACCUAGUUCGUCAGGCAACAGUACAAUAUCAGACUUUACAAAGCUAAGGAUUUCUAGAUUCUUCAACUUUCCAACUAUGGCUAUGUCUCCCAACAUGCUUUGAUCAAGACACGGUGUUUGAAGAUUUGCUAGAAGACCGAUUGAAGAUGGCAAUGAAAAUAAUCGCACUCUUGUCAAAUCUACGACUCGAAGCUUUUUCAUCCCUUUGAAAAAGUUGUCAGGAAUAUUGACCUCGGAAAAAGUGAUUUGGGGAUCAAUAUAUAAAAAUUCAAGUUGCAGACAUUCAAAUUCCUCAGAGACUUCAUGAAUGCUACUAUUUAAUAAAGAGAUUGCAGAGCAUUUUUUAAGUGCAUCCUCAUCAGGCCACUCCCACACAACCUCAUUUCUCACCAAGAAAACAUGUUGGUCUCGACAUGCAAUUGAUACGGCAACAUCGCAGACAACAUCAUGCAUGGAAAAUUGUUCACUGCUAUCACCCUCAAGCAAUAAACAAGAGUCUCUAAGUUCAUGGACCAAUGCAUAUAAUUUGUUUCGUGCAUCUACCAUCCUGUUGACUCCUUGAAAUAUGCCCAAACCCAUGGAGUAUUUAAACAAGUCUGUAAACCAAAAACUGUUACCUAUUAGACUACAGAGCAGAAAAAUUUUCUUGAGUUGCUCACCUUUUAAAUACUUGAAACUCAGUUCAAUACUUGAAUAAGUCUCUGCAGGCACACCUUCGAAGUUUACCACUGAAGGCGUUUGGAGUUCUCGCAAGGCAUUCUUCCACUCAUGCAGACUCUUGUUUCUCAGUGCCCUCGCUACUGUAGUCAAGGCAAUGGGCAAACCUCCACAUGCCUGGGCUACAUUAAUUGCUGUAGACUUGAACUUACAAUUUUCAACAUCAUCACUAUUCAUUAUCUUCAACAAUCUCCAAGCUUCUUCUUCAUCUAGAUUGCCAAUCAAGAAGUUAUCUUUGGAGCCCAUACUUAAUAGUACAUUAUUGUCUCUUGCUGUCAGCAGUAGUCUACAUCCUUUAUGAUCAUUUCCGAAGGGACUUCCAACCGUCUCCAAAUCAACAUGUUUCCAGAUAUUAUCUAGAAUCACAAGAAUCUUAUUCUCACUCUUCAAUCGUUCAUACAGCUUGCUAGCUCUUCUAUAUUCAGCUUCAUCGGACAACUUCUCUGCAAUUUCCCCUCGAAUCUUUUUUACCUCUGGAGUUUAUGAAACCUCUGAAAAAACCACCCGAUCAAACAGCUUCUUUUCCCUGGCUUGCCUAGCAAACUCCUUCACCAGUGUGGUCUUUCCAAUGCCGCCUAUGCCGUACACCCCAAUAAUGCUGACAUUCGCCUCCGUCAAUGCAUUUUUUAUAGACUGCAAAGUAGAAAGUCUUGAUUCGAAGGCCUCGUAACCAUUGCUAGACUUAAGCCAUAUCUCCUCCCGAAUGGUACGGUGGGAAACAGUAUCAAACUUCUUAACUUCUUCUCCAAGUCAAUAAUGGCCUUCACCUCCGUCUCUGCUUUCUUGCCAAGCUGAUAGCGGGUCUUCAAAUUAGGACACAAGCCCUUGAGACAGCGCUUAUUUGUUGACUCCUCAUCUUCAAUGAAUUUGGCUGCCGGUCAAUGAUGCCGUUCGCACUAACCUGCCACUUUUCAACGUUCUCUUCAAUCUCUUCCCCUUUUUCUUCCGCCUCUGAAACUCUGUGCUGAAUGCUCGUACGUUCAACCUUCAACUUCUCCAUUUCCGCCUUGAUAUUCUCAAAGUUGGCAUUGUAGUUCCGCUUUCGCAAAUGCACAAGUUGGCGUUCAGUUGGAGGAGCCAAGCAUUUUACAAGUUCCAAGACGAUAGUCACAAUGAUUUCCAGCAUCUCGAAUCCUGACAAAAACGUAGAAGCGAAGAAAGCCAAAGGAAAGUAAAAACAAAGAGACAGCGAUAGGACAGGCAGUUCGUGUUUUUCAGAUGAAAUGCAGGAAACAAGAAAACGGUUUCUAUCACGACGUAAAGAGCUAAAAGAGCUGAUGGGUGCAGAAUAAGAAAUGAGACUGAGUGAGCAAAGCUAAAUAAUAACAGAACAAGAACAAUGAUGAAUAGAAGAAACAGUAGCAAAGAGCCGUUUAGAUGAUUAGAAUGAAACUAAGCGACUGGAAAGAGCCGAUGGUAGACUAAAGAGAAAGUGAUUGAUUAUUUUAGGAGGCCAAUUAACGUAAUGACAGAUCCGGUUUCGAUGUUUGUAAUUUGAGUAUGAGGUAAAUCGAUUCUUUGUCGAGCCAGUCAAAUACAAAGGCAAAUUAGUAAAACACGAGCCAGCAACUUUUACUCACACAAAAGCCAAUAAUAUAUUGAGAUCACGCAACAUUGCAAUAAAGUUAUCAUCAAGUUGUAGCCUUCUUAUUCAAUCAAUUAUAGCAUUAUCUCUAGCUCUGUAUUUUUCAAAAAAAAAUUAUUCAAAAGAUGUCUGUCAUUAAUUUUUCAAUGAUUAAAAUUAUAAUUUUUGUUUAAUAUAUAAAACGUAAAAUUUUAAAAGAAUCAGACAUGCAUUAGGGUAAAAAUAAAAAAUAUGGAGGUAGCUUUUAACUAGGUAAUUGGCUCAACUAUGGAUCAGUGUGACAUUUUAGUAUUAAGCAAACGGAACUUUUUUUUAAUUAAAUUAAUCUCAAAGUGAUAGGCUUCUCAUGAAUCAUGUAAUGUUGUCGUUUUUAAAGACUUGACAUUUUGGGGUAAUCAUAAUUAACAAUGCACAUCACUUGUUUGUCACAAUGUCCAAAUAAAUAAUUUUAAAAAAAAAAGUUAUUUUCAUUCUUUCUUUUCAGGUAUCCUAAUUCCUUUUGCAGUUUGAUUCCUCUUUUCCUGAAUUUUGUUCCUUCCAUUAAACUAAUAAUUUAUUUAAGGAUAAUUAAGCAUCAGCCCUCAAUUGUUCAGUAUUUCACACAGUGCACCCACAUCUUUUGACCAUGUGCACCUCCCCCUAUUUCUAUUAAAAAAUCAACUAAUCUAACUAUUUAGGCUGUUAUAAAUUUAAAAGACUAUACUACCCCUAUUUUGAAAUGAAUUGGGUAUAUAAGUACUAAAAUACCCUCACAACUAAUAAAAUUUAAAUCAAAAAGUAAAAAUUUAUUAUAAUAUUUUUAAAAUUAUAUGGAAACAAUUUUUUUUUCCGGAUUACGAACCCAAGAUUAUAACCUAGUAAAUUACAAAAUCAGAGGCAAAGCAUGAUUCCAAUGUGAAAGAAAAAAAAUCAAACAUUCAUCAGUACAUUACAAAAUAAGUCCAAUAAUCCCACUAGAAUAAAUAAAACCCAAUAGAAAGAAACCCUAAACUAAUGAUACCAAAAUCCAUGAGAGCAAAUUUCAUUGUAAAAUUCUAUUACAAAAUAAAUUUAUAUUAAGAAAAUUCGAUAAAAAGAAACCCAAUAAUCAAAAAUCUUAAAACUAAAGAUAUCAAACCCAAAAUUAAAUUAUAGAGGCGGCGAAGGAAAAAGGGUUUUUUUUUUAAUUAUAUAUAUUAUUUUAAUCUUGUGUUAAUUACCAUUCUACCCUUCUUUCCGUUAACAUUAGAUUUGAAAGAAAUGAGGGUGGUGGACAUGGUCGGAAGAUUGGGGGGCACAAUGCAAAAUGUCGAAACAAUUGUGGCUAAUGCUAAAUUACACAUUAUUUAAAUUAAAUUAUCCUAAUUGUAUUUGACUGUGACUGUGACCGGAACCGCUACAAUCACUUAGUAUUUUUAUUAAUUAAUUGACAAUAAUUUCAUCAUUAGACGGUACUAUGAUAGUUUUGUCACUAUGUUUGUUACCAUCUCUCAAAAAAAAAAAAUUACUUUUACAUGACGAAUUGUGUAACAACGAUUUAAUGAAAAAUAAAAAAACAGCACGACAUCUCGUGGCUUAACAUGGUAAUCAUGAAUAUCCCUUAUUUUCAAAUAUAUAUAUAGACCUCUUUUUGUAUUUAAAAAUAGUUACAUAGAUCCUGAAUUUGUGUGUCCGUGGAUAAAUUUUCAUGAUCAUUUUUUAAAAUAAGGGAUUUUUGUGACUAUUUUGUCACGUCCGAGGAUGCCGCCGUUCUUGUCACCAAAAAUUAUUCUCAUAAGAGUAAUGAUUAAUUGGACGUCAGCAAUGAGGGCAUGUAAUGAAAAAAAUUUGUUUUGGAUGGGAUCCAAUAAUUUUAAUUACCAUGGUGGUGACAGACCCAGUUGCAAAAUCAACUGAUUUUACAAUUCUAUUGAAAAUUCUUUAAAUGAUCACUUAUCUAGUUCUACUAUAUCCUUAAGCAUAUUGAUUUUGUUACUUAUUUUCUAGUACUUAUAUUUAGGCAUUGAAAUUGGAUUGCAUAACUAAGACGAUUACUUGAGCUGAAAAUUUUUCAAGUAUGGUGGAGGGGAAAGUGAGAGAGUCGCGGCUGAAGAAGAAAUAUUAUGAGAACUGCUAAGGCUAUAAGGCUGAUAAGCUUAAAGAGUCGGAACGAGGCUUACCAAUUCGCAAGCUUUUAUAAUUUGGAUUGUUGUGCUUGCAACUGGUAAAUUUUUCAACUUCAACUCGAUAUAAUGAUUUUUGAGAGAACCAUUUGUUGAUGCUGAAAUCUGCUCGUCCUUUUCCCGACCAGAUCUUUACACCAACGUUUAUGUAGUCAAUAGUGAGGAUGUCAAUUUCUUCUUGCUUCAACGAUCGCUCUAGUCACUGAAGUUGGAAUUGUCCUUCCUUCUCCCACUGAGCCUGCGUUCACAAAAGUAGAUAAGAGACGCCGGUGGUUUUACCGGCGUAAACCCUCCGAUGCCUAAGUUAGCACAAGGUGUUUACGGGAAAACGGUGCAAUUUGGAUUCGAUAAGUUGCUUAUAAUUGGCUCACAGUUUGUAUUAAAAAUGGUCUGGUUGCAAUUUGGUAGAGUUUUCCCUUCUCUCAAUUUUUAUGUCCCUUUCUUCAUUGAUUUCUUCCUCUUUUAUAGCCGUUGUCCCACGUUUCCGUUCACCCUUCAUCCCCCCUUAUCUCGGGUAGUGGCAGCCCCUCAUGGGACUCCAACCGCCAUAUCGUGGGUAAACGUGGGACACUGUGUCUCCCUCGACGGUUCUGGGCAUAGCGCAACUGUCGUGCUUUCGUGAGAUCGUGUUCCCGCUCUUUGGAGAAUGGGUAUAUGCUCGGUAUAUGUCUCUGGUCGGCCCAUGUUUGUAGAGGGCUCAUUAUCAGUGUUCUGCUCGUAUCAUUUGGCUGAGGUGAUCCAUGCUGGGGUGGGGGUGAUGGCCUGUCUGUGCUGGUGCUCUUAUUUACUCAACACCAGUCCCCCAAUUUCUGAUCUUGCGAGUGAAACGAGUUGAGAGUAGAAAUUGAAGUCUGCUCGUAUCUUAUCGAUCCUGGGAACUACCCAUCUGGUUCUCAUGUUAUUGUGGUGGGUCUGAGGUUCCAUCUCUCGUUUAAGGAGAUAUCGACCUUAAUAUGGGCCUUGACGAAUGUAUCUAGUAUCUACUUGAGCUUACAUCUCGUCGAGCCUUUUAUAACGGUUAGUGACGUGGCGCUUCCCGACUCUUUGUAUUUGAAAUUCGAAACGACGGGCUAUCCAUCCUCGAUAUACGGUGAGUGAGCUGGCAUCCCUAUCACUCAAACGCUUCCAUUUCCCCCUUUUUGUUUCAAAUCCCUAAACUAAAGUCAUCCUCGUUUUGCUUAUUCGCUUCUCCACCGGAAGACAACUCCUUCGAACUUUAUUCACACUUUCCGCGUCUGGGAUCUCCAUUUGCUGGGUCUUUUCUCUGUUACAGCAACGCUUAUCAGUGCCAGUCCAUUCCAGGUAUAGCCUUUAACCUCUUCUCUGGUUGUUGUUGAUUGGGUUUUGUAUUGUGGGUUCUGUGUUUGUCCCUUUUUUGUAUCCAUACUCUUAGAUAUUUUGUGCUUUCCCUUCUUAAACUUCGGUAUGUCCAACCGAAAAGGAAAAAGAAUUAUAGUCGAGAGCGAUGAAGAAAUAGAGGAUUCAUAUCCUCAUUUGUUUGGACCCAAUGAUCUUCUUCACUCCUCUCGCAGUGUAGGUCCCUCCUAUCAUAGGGAUACCCCUGAAUACCCUCGUCCCUUGGCCACUUCACCCUCCCCUGAAUUAGAGCUUGUAGGAAAUAGAGGUGGACCUGCGUCGGGCUCUAGUGAAAAUCAUGGUUCUGGUGGGGUUGGGGUUCCUGAAGAAGUGGGUGAUGGUAAGGGGAGCAGUUCUGAACCAAGCAGACCCCCUCAGAAGAGAAACCUCGGCCAUAGGGUGGAGGCAGAUUCUUACCCUAUUGAUUACAUAGCUUGUGCCACCACCCCAACUGACCAGUUCAAACUUAGGAAUCUUUACAACAUUCCCGAGGAGGUUCUCCUUGUAAUUCCUGGGAAAGACGACGUUCCUAGUCGGCCUCCGAGGGGGUAUGUGACGAUGCACCUGGAGAGUUUCAAACUAGGAGCUCGGCUGCCCCUUCAGCGCUACUUUGCCAAGAUACUGGGUGGUAUGCACCUGGCCCCAUGUUAGCUACACCCAAAUGGGUGGAGGGUUCUCUCAGCUAUGUAUGUGCUAUGGGAGAGGUGCGGAUCAGAGGAACCUUUCCUUGUUGAAGUAAAGCAUCUGUACCAACUGCGGAGUAGCCCAAAGGAAGCGGGUUGUUACUACUUCAUGUCCAGCUCUGCAAAGAGGAAGCCGAUUACCGGGUUUCCUUCUUCAUGUAAAAAUUGGAAGAACAAAUUCUUCUUUACUAGAGGAAAUUGGUGUCUAGCAGCCCGGUCGCUUGGUGGUGAUAUUCACCUUCCAACGCGCUUUGUCACCCCAGGUCGUUUAUUUAUUGCCUAUUUUCUUUCUCCAAUCGUCACUUAUUGGGUUCUUUAACCUUGUUUGCUAUUUCAGAGUCGUGGAGUUUGAUCGAGGGGAUUGAAGAGAGACCUUUGCUCCAGGUAGAGACUGCUUUGGUGAACGCGUCUACCUGCCAAGAUCUUUUGUCGUCAACAAACCUGGUCGGGUGGCGCUCAGUGGACAUAGCUGUCGGAAUGGACAAUAAGAUCCUCAGUGCAAUGACCAGAAAGCGUGGUCGGGCUUCAAGUAGCCCCAGUAACCCUCCUCCCCCUUCGAAGAAAACCAAUGUUGGUCCAUCCAAGGCUUCUGCUCCUGCUCUGCUCCCUCCUCCACCUCGAAAGAAUGGAGGAGAGAAGGUGACUACCAAGAGUCCUGAGGUCAGUAUUCAUUCAGGAGAUCGAUCCUCUCCUCUUCCACCUCGGGAUCAAGGUGACUAUCUAACCCCAUAUCAGAUGGACUAUGGGAAGUCCGUGGGGCCUAAAAUGAUUAAGAACAUCGAGAGCAUUAAUCUUGGUGAAUUGGCUGGUUCUGUCCAGCAGGUCUCCUUCAAGCUGGUUACUUUGGUGUCUUGUUAUAAGAACAGGGCCAUACGUCAUGAGAGGAGGCUUCAGACUAAUAACCAGGACCUGAAGAAGAAAGUUGAGUUUGUCGACCGCUCGAAGGAGAAGCUGCUUGAUCUGCACAAGCAAAUCAUGGACCUGGAGGAGAAAAUGGCCAUGGCUGAGUCCACCUCCAUCAAACUUGAGAAUGAGUUAGGUGAUCUGAAGUCUGAUCUCCAGGCCACUCAGAGUGAGUGGGACACCUUGAAGACGGCUCUUGAGGGAGAAAUCAAAUCUCUGAGUGAGCAGUUGGCCGAGGCGAAAGGCAAAUCUGCUGAUGUGGAUGAUCGGCUGGAUGCAGAGUAUGACUCUGGGGUUGCUUUCUACUAUAAAUGCAUUAUGUCUGUGCUUAAGGAAGAGUAUCCAGAGCUUAAUAUGAGCAAGCUUGAAGCUGGAGUGCAGAGGUAUAUGGCCGAGGUCGAUCAGGGGGACAAGGAGCAGGGUGACCAAGACCAGGUGGAGGCUCCCUUAGGUGGGGUGCAGGAGGAGGAAGCAGGGGAUCGUGCUCCUGAAGUAGGUCAAGGGUCAGUGCUUCCUCCCCCCGAUGCUGCUGAUCCUCUUCCUCUUGAGAUUGCUGAUCUUUCAGUUGCUGAGGUUGCUGAACCUCCUAAUCUUUAGGCUUAUUUUUGUAUGAAUUUUCAUUUUGUUUGCAAACGCUCGGAUGUUUAUAAAUUUUUGGAUGCUUUCUAUCGGCCUUUCUAUCUGGUUUUUUGCUCAUGGAUUGUUUUUGCAAAUUAACUUGACAACUUAUUUGAUUUUGCCUGCUGGCUCUUUGGUGGACCGAGCAGGAAUAUGCGCUUACUUGCCUUAGUAGAAUUUCAUAAAACUGCCUGCUGGUCCUUUCGGCGACCGAGCAGGAAUAAGCACUUGCUUGCCUUAGUAGAACUUCACAAAAUUACCUGCUGGUCUUUUGUUGACCGAGCAGGAAUAGGCACUUGUUUGCCUUAGUAGAAUUUUGUAGAAUUGCUUGCUGGUCUUUCGUUGACCGAGCAGGAAUAGGCACUUGUUUGCCUUAGUAGAAUUUUAUAAGAUGCCUGCUGGUCUUUCGUUGACCGAGCAGGAAUAGGCACUUGUUUGCCUUAGUAGAAUUUUGUAAGAUUGCCUGCUGGUCUUUCGUUGACCGAGCAGGAAUAGGCACUUGUUUGCCUUAGUAGAAUUUUAUAGAAUUGUCUGCUGGUCUUUCGUUGACCGAGCAGGAAUAGGCACUUAUUUGCCUUAGUAGAAUUUUGUAAGAUUGUCUGCUGGUCUUUCGUUGACCGAGCAGGAAUAGGCACUUGUUUGCCUUAGUAUAAUUUAAUGGGCUUGCUAGCAGGGGGAUUUCAUGCUGAAUUCAUCUUUAUUAAAACUUGAAUACAUUACAAAAAUGCGAAAUAUAUGCGUGUGCAACAAGUCAUCAUGCAUUUAAUAGAAAUAAUUUAUCAAAAUAAAGACUUAGUAGAGCACUUUGCUUACUGGAAAUACUUCUUCAUGUGCUCGGCGUUCCACGACCUCUUCACGUCUCGUCCAUUUGAGUACGCUAGCUUGUAAGCUCCUGGUCCAGUCACUCGUAUCACCCUGUACGGGCCUUCCCAUUUCGGGCCAAGAGCUCCAUGGUUAGGAUCCCUAGUGUUUUGGUUCACCUUCCUAAGUACCCAAUCCCUUGCUCGGAACUGCCUCACGCGUACGUUCUUGUUGUAAUAACGCAUGACUCUUUGCUAACACUGGGCCACUUUCUGCGAGGCCCCUUCCCUUUUCUCCUCUAGCAGGUCCAGGCUCAAGCAGAUCUGCUCGUCGUUUUGCUCCUCAUUGAAGUAUUCUGUCCGAUGUGUCCCCACUCCAAUUUCUGCUGGGACUACCGCCUCAUGACCAAAAGUCAAAGCAAACAGAGUUUCCCCUGUGGCGGUUUUGUGAGUUGUCCGGUAAGCCCACAAUACUCCUGGUAGCUCGUCGACUCAAGCUCACUUCUUCUCUCCUAGUUUGAUUUUCAGGAGUUUCUUUAUUACUUUAUUGGCUGCUUCCACAUGUCCGUUUGCCUGGGGGUGUGCGGAGGUGCAGAACUUCAGGUCCACCCCCAAGUUUCGGCAGAAUUCUCUGAAGUUGUUGUUGUCAAAUUGCCUCCCAUUAUCUGUAAUGAUGGCAUAGGGGAUCCCAUAUCUGCAGAUGAUAUUCUUCCAAAUAAAAUCCGUUGUUUUUCUCUCCUUGAUUUGGCUGAGGACUCCCACUUCUACCCACUUGGUGAAGUAGUCUAUUGCCACAAUUGCAUGUGUUGCCGCUCCUCGGCCCUUAGGUAAUAGACCAAUCAGGUCAAUUCCCCAUUGGACAAAAGGCCAUGGGGAUGUCAUGGUGGUCAGCUUUUCUGGGGGUUGUGCAGGAACCUCUGAGAAGCUUUGGAAGAUUUUACAGUUCUUUGCCAUCCUCUUCGCAUCCUGGUGCAUGGUUGGCCAGAAGUAUCCUUGCCGGAGUGCCUUAAAGGCUAAAGUUCUCACUCCCGAGUGAUUGCCACAUAUUCCUUCAUGAAUCUCCCUCAGUACAUAAUCUGCUUCCUCGUCAUCCAAACACCUCAAAAGGGGUAAGGUGAAUCCUCGGCGGUAGAGCACCCCAUCGUGUAGCGUAUACCUUGCUGCUCGGCAUUUUAAUUUCCUUGCUUGCCUCUUGUCCUCUGGUAAAAUGCCAUCACAGAUGUAUAAGAGAAUCGGGUCCAUCUAGGAUUCCUCGGUGCUUAUUCUCAUUACCUCAACUUCCUCCCUUAUAAUUGGCGAGGUCCUCACCUCUAGUGGAACUGACUUAGAUAAUUUCGGAUCUGCAAUUGCAGCCAUUCUCGCUAACAUAUCUGCUCGGUAAUUCUCAUUCCGGGAUAUCUGCUUUACCUCUACCUCUUGGAAAAGCCCAACCAUCUGCUUUGCCUUCUUCAAAUAAAGCCCCAUCUUCUCUUCCCUUGCUUGGAACUGAUCACUGAGCUGAUUACAGACUAAUUGGGAAUCUGCUCGGAUUUCUACCUUUUCUGCUCUUAGUGCGUCCGCAAGUCCGAGCCCAGUGAUAAAGGCUUCAUAUUCAGCUUGGUUGUUCGUGAGCUGAAACUCGAACUUCACUGCAUAAGUUACUUCGGUCCCUUCUGGGCUUCGUAUUACAAUUCCUGCUCCGGACCCUUGUUCACUACAUGACCCAUCAACCUUUACUAGCCACACCCCAUCCGGUUUAUCCUGCUCUAUUGGUUGCUCCUCCCGAAUUUCUUCCCCCGGUUCAGCACGGUCAACCAUAAAAUCGGCCAGGGCUUGGGCUUUGAUUGCUCCUCGAGGCCUAUAGGAUAGGUCAAAUUCGCUCAGCUCCACGGACCAUUUUACUAACCGACCUUAUGCAUCUGGUUUUUGGAGCAUUUGCCGAAGAGGCUGGUCAGUCAUCACAACUAUUGGGUGGGCCUAAAAAUAUGGUCAGAGUUUGCGCGCUGCCGUUAUUAGAGCUAGUGCCCAUUUCUCCAUCGGCGGAUACCUGGUUUCUGCGUCUACUAGGGCCUUGCUUGUGUAGUAUAUGGGGUGUUGCUUUCCUUCUUCUUCUCUGACUAGCACCGAGCUGGUUGCCCAUUUUGAGAUUGCUAAGUACAAAAAUAGUUGGUCACCCUCUCUCGGAGUUGAUAGUAACGGGGCGCGAGCCAGGUAAUCCUUCAACUGUCCAAACGCCUCCUCACAUUCUAAUGUCUACUCCAUCUUUCUCCAUUUUUUUAUGGUUUGGAAGAAAGGGUGGCAUUUAUCUGUGGCCCGCGAGAUAAAUCGGUUCAUUGCUGCUAAUCGCCCUGUAAGACUUUGCACCUCUUUAACUGUUCGUGGGGACCUCAUUUCUGUCACCGCCCGUAUUUUUUCCGGGUUGGCCUCGAUCCCUCGGUGGCUCACCAGGAAUCCCAAGAAUUUGCCCGAACUAACCCCGAAUGCACAUUUGUCUGGGUUCAGCUUCAUUUCGUACUUCCUCAGCAAUUCAAAGGUCUCUUCCAAGUGCUUCACAUGAUCCCUUGGUUCUUUGGACUUUGUGAUCAUAUCAUCCACAUACACCUCCAUAGUGUGACCGAUCAAUGGUUUGAAGAUCUUGUUCACCAACCUUUGAUAGGUAGCUCCUCCAUUUUUUAGACCGAAAGGCAUUACCCUGUAACAAAACAAACCCAUAUUAGUUAUGAAGGUGGUGCUUUCCUCAUCCUACUCGUCCAUGAGUAUCUGGUUGUAUCCGGAAAAGGCAUCCAUGAAGCUGAGCAGACUGUGGCCUGCUGUUGAGUCCACCAAUUGAUCUAUUUUUGGUAGGGAAAAACUGUCCUUCGGGCAUGCCUUAUUGAGGUCCGUGAAAUCCACACACAUUCUCCAUUUCCCGUUGGCCUUCUUUACCAGUACUACAUUGGAAAUCCACUCUGGGUAUUUGGCCUCCCUUAUAAAUCCUGCUUUCAGGAGCUUUUCCACCUCGGCAUUUAUGGCCUCGUACCUUUCCUGGUUAAAGCACCUCCUUUUCUGCCUUACCGGCCUUGCUCCUUUCUUGAUCGCCAAUUUGUGGCAUGCUACCAUGUGAUCAAUUCCUGGCAUGUCCUCAUGAGACCAGGCAAAUGUGUCUGCAUGGGACUGUAAACACCUCACCAGCUCGCCCUUUAUUGUCUCACCCAAACUUGACCUGAUCCUAACCACUCUGUUCGGGUUACUCCUACUUACAAAGACCUCCUCCAGAUUCUCAACAGGUUCCUGGCGGCCCUUUUUAGAAUCCCCUCGGUUAUCUAGAGAGGUAACCUGUAGCGUCUCCUUAGCCGCUGUAGCAUAACAGCUCCUUGCCAUUCUCUGGUCACCUUUUACUACCCCAACAACUCCAUUUACUCUAUACUUCAAUGCCAGAUAAUACGUGGAUAUAACGCAUUGGCUUAUCCUCAUGAACGGUCUCCCCAGUAUCAUUUAGUAAGGGCUUCUUUCUUCUACCACGACAAAGUCCAGCAUCAUCGUUCUUUCAAACGGCUUUGACCUCAUAGUAAUCGGGAGUUCGAUGAUCCCCAUGGGAGUUAACCGUCCCCCUCCAAAUCCCUUCAAAGAUGUAUUCGUCCGUUCCAGUUUCAAGUCUGAAAUUCCCAUAUCAUCUAAGGCCGACUUAAACAAGAUGUCAACCGAGCUGCCCGUGUCCACCAGUAUUCGCCGUAAUUCUGUACCAACCACCCUUGCUUUAAUCACCAGUGCAUCCUCAUGAGGAUAUAAAAUACCUUCUUCGUCGUCAUCUGUCCACAUAAUGGGAACCUACCGCACUUUGCCCUCUUGGCUGCUGGCAAAUUGAAAAGCACCUCUUUGCUGGUCAUGGCGUAUCUCCCAUAGUUCCUCCUUGCUCUGUUCGAAUCCCCGGCCAAUGUUGGCCCUCCUACUAUCACACGGAUAGUCGGUUGUUCAUGUUCCAGGCCCCUCUCAACUCCUUCAUCCCGCGUGUACUGUGAUUCAAUGACGGGGGACACUCCAUCUACAUAUUCAUCCAAGUACCGAUUUCUCACCAGAUCCUCCACCUGAAUCUUUAGGUCACGACAUUGGCUGAUAGUGUGACCAUGAGUAUCGUGGAAUUUGCAGAACUUGCUCUUAUCACGUCGGUGAGCAGGUUUUGUUAUAUGGGCCGGAGGGUAUAGCAGGCCUCGUCCUUCGAUCCUCUCAUACAAUUCUUCCAUGGAGAUUUUUAAUGGGGUGUACUGUCCAUACGCCAAGCUCUGGUCAACAAGUUGGACUACUCGGCUAUCAUGGAUAUCGCCCCGGGCUGAUAUCGUAGGCAACUAAUCUGGUCGUCCAGCCCUGGAGUUAGUUGUGUGUAGUGCUCUGGGAGCAUUGUGAUAAGGGUGGGCAGCCAACUGCCUGAAUUCUCGUUGCCGCUCCAGGAACGAGGGGCGCGGUGGUUGAGCUCGGCUGUGUUGGAGCUGUUGUGGUCUCUGAGCUAUGGGAUAGGGGCGGGACCGAGCUGAUAUUCUGCCCAUUACUGAGGAUUCCCUAGCUCGCUUUCCCGAUCCGCUCCCGUUCGGGGCUCUCCGUUCCUUUCGUCUCAGCUCUUCCAGCUGUUCGCUUUUUAUCCUCGCCGAUUUCUCCUCUUCGAUUUCUAUAUCUCUCCUCGCCUGAUCAUACCCCGCCGAAUAAUUCUGCACCAUGGGACUUAUCAAGUUAUACCACAGUCGGCCUAUUCUCACCCCUUCUUUUAAUCCCCUCAGUGCCUGCAGGUGAUUAAAAGCUCCCAGAUCCAGCACGGCUCGGUGAUAUCGUUUUAUAAAAUCCCGAAGGGAUUCAUGUUCCUCCUCUUUCAUCCCCAUCAGCUCCAUCAUGUCGUCCUCUAGGGCCACUGCUCCUCGAAACUGCUCGGCCAACUCUUGGCACGUCUGCUCGUACCCUUUUAUACUUCCUCGGGGCAGCUUGCGGUACCAUUCUUGGGCUUGUCCCUCUAGUGUCAACGGGAAUACCCUGCACCUCUGAGUUGGUGUCAGCCCCUGCACACCCGUCAUGUCAUUGAAACGUUCAAUAUGCACCAGAGGGUCACUUCGCCCGGAGUAUUUGAGGUCGGGGAAGCGAAAAUCUCUUGGGAUUACAGUACCCAUGAUUUCGGUUGAUAACAGAGACUCUUCAUCUAGCAUUAUCCUCCAGCUCGGGGGCUUUCUCUUGCCCUGAAUCUCCUCUAUCACCUGCGCCAAUCUGCGCACCUCUCCCUCCAAUUCUACAGCACGGUUAGGAUCGCGCGCAGCUAUCUGAUCUCGUUCCUGCUCGGCAUUCUGCAACCUCUGUCUGAGCUCUCCUUCAUUAACACUGGCCCCUCGGUCAUCAAUUUCCAGUACCUGUCCGGGGCGAGGUUGGUCCCUCUCUUCACCCACGCGCUCUCCUGGAACCCGACCAGUACUUCUAUGGGGAUGCACCCUAUUAAGUUGGUCCACCGGCGGAGGGAUUUUCUCGACUCUACGCCUCCGAAGGCUGGGUUCUGCUCCAACUUCAUCUCUCCCCAUGGGGGUUUCACAAUCCCUUCUCCGUUCAUCCCUCAGCUCAUAUAAUAUGGCCGUGAGAGUCUCCAUUUGUUUCUCCAUCCGCUCCAGUCGAUCUUGCAUUGUCCUCUCUUGAGCUUCAUUCGCAAUCUCCCUGAGAGUGAUUGUCUCAACAGUUUCAUUGUCAUCCCUCAAAGCAUCAUUCCUUGACGCAUCCAUAUCCAACCGUUCGCUGCUUCUCCGGUAACUACUAAUUUGGUGGUAGCUUUUUAUUCAACUCCCUACAGACGGCGCCAAAAUGUUGAUGCUGAAAUAUGCUCGCCCUUUGCCCGACUAGAUCUUUACACCAACGUUUAUGUAGUCAAUAGUGAGGAUGUCAAUUUCUUCUUGCUUCAACGAUCGCUCUAGUCACUGAAGUUGGAAUUGUCCUUCCUUCUCCCACUGAGCCUGCGUUCACAAAAGUAGAUCAGAGACACCGGUGGUUUUACCGGCGUAAACCCUCCGAUGCCUAAGUUAGCACAAGGUGUUUACGGGAAAAUGGUGCAAUUUGGAUUCGAUAAGUUGCUUAUAAUUGGCUCACAGUUUGUAUUAAAAAUGGUAUGGUUUCAAUUUGGCAGAGUUUUCCCUUCUCUCAAUUUUUCUGUCCCUUUCUUCAUUGGUUUCUUCCUCUUUUAUAGCCGUUGUCCCACAUUUCCGUUCACCCUUCAUCCCCCCUUAUCUCGGGUAGUGGCAUCCCCUCAUGGGACUCCAACCGCUAUAUCGUGGGUAAACGUGGGACACUGUGUCUCCCUCAAUGGUUCUGGGCAUAGCGCAACUGUCGUGCUUUCAUGAGAUCGUGUUCCCGCUCUUUGGGGAAUGGGUAUCUGCUCGGUAUAUGUCUCUGGUCGGCCCAUGUUUGUAGAGGGCUCAUUAUCAGUGUUCUGCUUGUAUCAUUUGGCUGAGGUGAUCCAUGCCGGGGUGGGGGUGAUGGCCUGUCUGUGCUGGUGCUCUUAUUUACUCAACACCAUUUACAAUGAUUUUGGCCUAUUGUGCUCUUCUAGUUUUGUCCUUAAUUCUUUGGUGAUUUUUUUUUUUUUCAGUUCUGCCGGUCGCAUCUCUCUUUCCCUUCCUUUAUUUUAUGGUGAGUGGACUGUUGUUGCCUUCAGCAGAGUAGUUACUAGUGAGAAAAUUUAUAUUUUUCUAUCAUGCUUGCUGAUUUUCUUAGAAAUAUAAGAAAAGACAAGUUUUAUCUGUCAAACAAUUCAUUGCUUUUUCACAGCAGUAUGUUAUGAUUUCUUUUCAGAUUAGGGAUUUUCACAUUGCAAAAAGGGAGUAAGAUAUUGGAUUCUAUGCUGGUUACGUGGGUGAGUUAUUUUAUGUAUUUUUAUUGUGUUUAAUAAAUGACACAUGGUAUGGAGUCCUUUUUUGGUACAAAUGUGCAGACUCGCGCCUUUACAACUCUGUAAAAACAUUCUAUUGAGGGCUUUACAACACUGUAAAGGCACUGUACAAGGGUUUUACACUGCAGACUUGCGCCUUUAUACUGUAAAGGGCCAAGUCUAUGCUUUAAAAAGUACAGAUGUUCGCACCUCGAAAUAAUUAACAUAUAUGUAUGUAACAUUUCAAAUUCCUCAAGAAGCCAUCCUGACAAACCUCUUAAUACCUUGAUGAAAUUGAAGGGUCUUCAUACAUGCUUGGCAGAGCUUUAACAUCUGUUUUGUGGGGAAUGGUGGCUGACCGCUGCGGUCGAAAGCCUGUAAUAUAAUAGGAUGCAUCACAGUAUUAGUGACCUCCAUUUUCAAAUGAUUAAGCUUGAAAUUGAUGAUACUUUGGCAAUUUCUGGGUUUCUUAUUUGUCUUAAAAUGCUCACAGGGUUUUUUUUUAACACUCUCUUUGGGCUUAGUGUGAAUUUCUGGAUGGCCAUAGCUACAAGGUUUCUCCUUGGGCUUUGAAUGGUUUACUUGGACCAAUAAAGGCGUUGAUUGGGGGUAUUUGUUGAUAAUUCCAAUUUAGUUCCUGAAAAUAUUUGUGCUCAAACUUCUCUUACACCACGAGGCAUAUGCAUGUGAAAUAUUGGGCGAUCAGCACCAAACUUAUUACGAAACUAAAAAUGUUACUUGUUUUCUGUACUUGCUUUCGCAUGCAUCACCCCCACAAAACUGCUUGACGAUUGUCCUCAUUUUGAACUUACUAUAGGUUUCAUUCUCCUUGUUUUUCAACUUACUCUGUACCCUUACAUCGAGAGGAUUAUUGGGCCAAUAAUCAUAACACGAAUUGCAGGGGGUAAUAUUUUGAACACCUCAUGCGGCAUUUGGACCAUUUGAUUGUUUGUUUCAAACAUAUCUGUUUAUAAAAUACUUUUCUUCAUGGUUUUGGUCCCAUAACUUUCUAUGUAUGUACGGGUUUUAUCGAUACCGCUUUUGACAAGUUACACUUACAUAGCAAUGCUAUCUGGGUUCAGCCUUGCCUUUUUGAUAAACUGUGCUUCUGUGAUGAAGAAUGUUUUAUCUGUAAGUGGAUAUCCUAAUCAUUGAUCCAUAUACUAAGGUUAUAUUAUCCAUCAGCAAGUAUGUAUAAAAUUAUUGUCUUUUUUAUUAGAAUUGUUGUAAUUCUUUUUUACUUUUCCUGAAUUGUAGAAUCAGGUGUCUAUAAUAACUGGAUUGUUCCUUGUGCAAAACAGAGCAGUGGUAAAUAUAUUUUCUUUUGUUUGUUUAGUACAUUUCCAUGCUUUCAGCUUUUUCAAAUUUUGUAUGUGCCAAAGUUUAAAUUAAUUGGUUGGUUUAUGGUAUAAUAAGAGGUAUGAUAAAUUUACUAAUGAAAUUUCUCACUAGUUUGUGAAUUACUUGGUGCUAAUUAGCUUAGUUAGCUGCUUAAACUAAAGUGCAGGUAACCAGAUGAUUUUUUCAUUCUGAAUUCGGUGGAGGCACUUGGAGUAAUAUUGACAUUCAAACCAUUUCUAACUCAACGUGCCCCGUGAAAUAUUCAAAUAUAUAUCAAGCAAAUUAAAGCUUUCAAAAUCUUUCAACAGUUUGAUUGUUUGAUGUGGUUGCCACUUGCCAUAUUUUGUGUUACUUUUCUAAAGGCUUAAAUAUGAAAAUGGUUGUUGGUGCUCACGCCAAUUGAUUGCUGGUAACAUUAAUUGUGCAGUACUUGUCAGAACUACCACAAUUUAUCUUCACAAUGAUGCUAGCUAGAAAGAAAAUUUCAUGUUAAGUAAAAUAUUGAAGCCAUAAAGAGUCUUAUUCCAGAGCCUUAUUAAGUACUAAGUUUUCUGCCAUGCUUUCAAAGUUUACAAAUUCGAAGCUUGGGAUUCUGUAACAAUGGAGGAUAAAAAUUAUAUAAGAAUAUUAUUUUGUACAAUUUUCAUACAACCAGACAGAAGCGAGCAUAAUUUUUUUUAUCAUAACUCAGAUCAAAAGACCUUCAAUGAUGUAUAAAAUGAAAUGAAAACGAUAGUUACCUCGAACUUUCUUCUUCAAAUUUCGCAGCACUAUGUAAUAAAUUAAAAAGCCUAUGGCAUCAGAACAUAUCGUACUGCGUCGAGAGAGACGACGACUCCUCCAACAGCUGAAAAUAAAUUCUCUCAUUCGUUAAUUUAAAGUAAAAUUUGUAAAUUUAGGUACUUGCACAUAGAGAUUUGCAAGGGGAGCGAGAGAUUCAAUAGCAGCAAUUUAAUUUGACAGGACUUUCAUUGAAUAAUGAAAUUAAAAACUAACGAUUAUUGAAUUUUUUAUAUUCUCUUAACUCUUGUGGAAAUGUCAGCUCUAAAUAGGACAGCUUCAAGAAUCUUUAUCUGAAAGUGUAAUUGGCAGAGCAGAAACUUGUGACACUAUCUAAAUCACAAAGACUCAACGUCUUCAAUUUGCUGAAAACAAUCUCUCGUUUUGAAUUUACAUUUGGAGCUCCAUCUUCUUCUUCGUCACCUAUUACCAUAUCUGUCAUUGCCCUGCAUCCAGCCACCUUCACUGAUACGAGCCGCACUAGACUUUUAGCUGCAGUGGAUUUUACAAUUCUUUGCAAUGGAAAACCACCAGUUCUGUUAGAUUCCCACAAGAUAUAGAUGAUCAUGGCAAUAGACUUAAAAGAUUUUUACAUGCAGUAAUAUACUCUUAAGUGGUGUUUGGUUGGGAGGAGAGAAUAGAAGAAAGGAAAGUAAUUUAAAUUCUCUUUUUAUUUCCAUUAUUUGGUUUGACAAAAUAUAUAAGAAUUUAAUUUCCAUUAGAAUUUGAAUUCCACACCAAGUAGUGAAAAAUUUAAAUUCCUCUUAUGUUAAAAACUAAAAUUUCCAAAACUAUCCUUCAAAUUUUUAACUUGUUUAAUGUCAUUAAUAAUUAUUAUUUAUAAUUUUAUUUUAUUGAUUUAAUAUUAUAAAUAGACCUCCACCGGUAAGUCGCCGGACCACUGUCGGACUUCGCCGGACCACCGCUGAACUUUCGCCAGACCACUGCCUAACUUCCACCGGAAAGUCGCCGGACCUCCACCGGAAUAUAGUUUUUCAUAGCGAAGAGCUUUGCUUUGAUGGCUUAAGGAUUUGUUCUAGGCAUACUGCUGUGAUUAGAUUUCGUUUAUUUUUAACUUUUUUUAAUCUUUUAUCCGAUGAAUGAUUUUCAGCUGUUCUUAAUUAUUUGUUCAUAGGGAAGAGCAUUUUCUAAGUACUUCCUUGCCUUCUAAGUUUCCGAAGAAAGAUAGGUGUGAAGCAAAGCAAACCAAACCAAAUGAACAAACAGAGCACAAACUAAAAUAACAGAACAGCAAUGAUGACAAUAAAUAAUUGGCAAAAAAAGAAAAGAAAAAAGCAUGCACAUUUUCAAGGAAAUAUAAAAUAUGAAGCUUUUAAUGAAAUUUUAUCAUAAAAAGUAUGCAAGUAUUUAACAAGAUGUUUGGAACGAUAGAAAAUGAAAGAAAAUUGAUUAAGAAGAUUCUGGAACAAUCAUAAUUCUUAUUGAUGAAACUGAUCAAAAUCGUACAUUGUGAACGAGCUCAGCACUAUUUAUAGUUACACACAUGCUGAUUAGAAAGUGUAGAGCUCAAAACUGCAAUAUUAACAAACUAAUUAACCUUCCAAUCAUAUUAAGCCAGCUGGACAGUUAGUUACAACCAAUCAGUACAAAUAACAACCUAAUCCAGCUUGGCAACUUUGUUACACAUCAUCAGCCAGCUCAGCUUAGCAAACUUACACUCUUAACAGCAAGGAAUUAUAAAAUUUUAGAAAACAAGGGGAACCCUAAAAAAAAAACUCAAAUUAAACUAGGCUAAAAGACAUUCAAUGAUGCAAAAUCUGUCCAUAAAAUUCUGAACGAAUCAUUAAAAUAGCAUUCCAAAUUUAACAGUAAACCGAGUGACCCAUUCUAAAUAAUUCAGAUGAAAUUGUGAAACAAGCCAUGAGAUCAAAUAAAUGAAAUAAAAAUUCGCAACUCCAAGUCAUAAGAAGCCUAUGAAAUUAGUCGUAAUGCGUAGACAACGACGACGGCACCGUCAACAGCUGAAAAUAAGAUUCUUAUUCAUCAAUUUAAACUUUUACUUUAUAACAAACAUCUUAUCUAUAUUUUAUUUAAAAAAAGAAAAUUUUGUAAAAUUUUUCCAUGGGAGAUAGAGAGUAAUAUGUAUAUACGUACCUUCUCAGCAUGUAAUUGUUGUAUGGUUGUGUUCAGAUCAUUAUUAGCCCAGCGCCGUUGAUCCGCUGUCUCUCCAUAGCAGACGUUUACUCUUGGAGGCGUGAUUGAUUCUCCUGUAGUGAAAAUCUUCAUCUUGGGACAACCAAUCACCCACAAAUCUUGCAAAGAUGGGAAUUUGAAGGUGUAGUUGGCAGAGCUGAAACUUGUGAAGCUAUCUAAAUCAAACAGUUCCAACGUCUUCAAUUUGCUAAAAACAAUCUCUUCUUUUUCAACUCCAUCUUUGUCAUUUAUUACCACCUCUGUCAUUGCUCUGCAUCCACAUACUUGCACUUUGACGAGUUGCACUAGAGUUUUUGCUGUGGAGGAUGUUACCAAGUGUAUCAAUCCCUUGCAACCGAAAGCCACCAGAGCUGUUAGGUUCUGAAAAGAUACCGAUGAUGAUGGCAAUAGAAUUAACAGACUUUGACAAUGAUGUACUUUUAGAAUUUCAAGAUACUGAAAAAUGGGGCCAAGUUUGGAGUCUUGUUUGCACAGCUGCUUCAGAUGAUAGUGCCGGUUCAGCUGUAAUUUUUUUAUCAUUGCCAACUUCCCCACAUGUUUCUCUAAGCUUCCUUCCUCCGAAAAUACCUCUUCGUUGAAUGAAAAAAAACACAGUAUGAGCAUUUCCAGAUUGUGAAAUCUCUCCAGUACGUUCCAGACUGGAAAACAAGCUGAGUCAUCUCCAGCAAUCUCUAGUUGUUUAAGACUGCCAAAAAGGUGUUGUGGGAAAUCGGCCUGCAAAAUCAUCUUCACAUCUUUUCCACUUAGUGAUAGUUCCUUCAAGUUGGGUACGAUCUGAUCAUCAUCAAUCAUAAUAACUAAUGAGGUCAAUUGAUGAUCUACGGUCACACGCAGUGACUUUAUAGUAUUUGUUUUAUAUUAUAUUUUUAAAAAAAAUUGAACUAUUGAUAAAAUUUAUUUUAUAUGUUAAUUUUAGAGGUAAAAAAGAAAUUAGGGAAAAAAGGUUGAUUUAUACUGGCUCGAAAUUAUUUUAUUGCACAAUAAUAAAUUACUAAUUUAUUUUGUAAGUUCUUCUAUAUGGAAAGACUAAGGAUUCUUUUAUAAAUGCUAUACCUAAAACAGUUCAUAUAAUUAUUAAUCUACCACAUUGAUCCCUUAGUCUAGACUAGCAAAGAUUAUUGUAUAAUAAAAAUUUUUAAUUUAUUGAGCAUUAAUUUAUCGAUGCUUUGUCAUAUUUUUCAAAGUUAAAAAUAAGCUAUUGAUAAAAAAUCUAGAAAAUGACUUCAUACCUUUUCCAACGGCAAUAGGAGCUGUUGUGCAGGAAUACCAAGUUGAUCAUUCUCAUUAUUCUGCGAUAAAUCUCCAGCGAAUAUCUUUAAUUUGUCACAACGAUACACUAAAAGACUUUCUAGCGCGGGCCAUUCCAAAGUAUGCAUUCCAGUGUACAAACAUCUAAGUUUUGGUAGAUGUUGGAGUCUCAGAGUGGUGAGCUGUGGAAAGACAAAAUAAGGGCUCACUUGAUCUGCUCUGUUUUCAGAAAUGAUCUCCUGUAAAUCCUCACAGAAGCGUAUAUCUAGGUGUUGGAGCUGCUUAAGGCUUCCGAUCAUAGACGCUGAAAAUAGGUAUUUUAAUUUGUGACAAUGCCGCACAGUCAAUCGUGUUAAAUUUUGAAAGCGAGGAAACAUGACCGGAAGAUGAUUGUAGUGCCAAAUCUUGUCGACAUUAAUUUCAGAUAUCUCCAAAGCCUCCAAGUUAGGCAACGCAACCUAAAAAAAAGAAGAAUUUCUCGUUACAUCCAAUAUGCAUAUGAGAAGCACUUGUUGAAAUUUUCGUCUUCGAUUACAAAUUAAUGCAAGUCAAAACCAAUUUCUAACUGACAGAUAAGUAUGCAAUCUAAUUCAUAUUACUUGUUAAGAGCUCAAUUAGUGAGCACGUGAGAUUCUUUUUAUCCUUUUUUCCAUUUUCUUUCAAUUCUUUAAAUGAUUUAAUUAUUUUCCACGUAUGACAUCAAAACAGAACGCAUGACAGAAUAAAGUCUGUUAUAUAUAUAUAUAUAUAUAAAGAAAAUGUUAGCCUACGCACCUUCUCGUUGAAAAGCAGAGUUGAAGUAUCCAAAGUGAUUUCGCUGGAGCUAUACGGAGUCGUCGAUUCCUCUUGCGACGCUGGUCUGUUUGGUGAUGCUGAAGGAGUCUUUACUUCACGGCAAAAACUUGUAACCUCUGGAAGAUUCCCCAGACUCAAAGAUCUUAAUUGAGCAAACUCUAUCUUCUCAAUUGCAUUAUCAACUUCUUCCCCAAUUGCAAAAAUCUCUUUCAUCUUGCUGCAAUUAAUAACUGCAAUUCUCUCAAGUCUUGGAAGGCAUUUUGUUGUAGAGAGCCAAAAGAUAUUACUCAAUUUAUCACAAUUAUAUGCUUGUAUGAUUUUGAGUUCGUUGAAGGACUCUACUUUGAGCCGAUCAAUACAUAUCCUCUCCAUGUUGAUCAAAUUGUGAAGGCCAAGUGACUCCAAAAGAGGAAAGGCAUCACAAGCGACCAUCGCCCUUGAAUCGACGAUGCAAAAGAAGUCAGGAUUAUUUUGAACCCAGACAAGCUUCAAUUGUGAAAAGCCCUCCGUGUCCAAAUUGAAAAGAACGUUCUUGAUACCUCGCAGCUUGUCCAACAAUAAGUAUUCAACGUUAUUGACGCCCUGCAAUUUCAUGGAGCAAAUGUCCGUAAAAGCAAGCUUGAGCUUCAAUGCUCUUAAACUCUUGCGAUCACUGUCGAUCAAAAAGUGCUGCCAACUUUCAAACCAAUUUUGUCCAGCAAUCAUGGGAUGUGUGAAUAACCCAUUUCCAAUAUUUAUUUUGAACCUUUCGAGCUUUCUGGCCAAAAAGCCUUCUGGUAACAUACUCUCAUUUUUAACAUCAAUUUCUAGAGUGGUUAGCCGAGGUAAAUGCAUCAAUUCAUCAAGGCUAGCAUUACUUCUUUUGCUGUUGGCUCUUUCAACCUCCCAUUCAAUGGAGCAAUUACCCAUAUACAAUUCUUCUAAUCGGAUUAAGCUUGAUAUGACAUUUGGGGCAAUAACAUUCAGACGGAAACAGUCUGUUAAAUCUAACAGCCUUAGCUUAGUCAGUUGACCCAGUGCUUUAGGCAACUCUACAAUAUCAGACCGCACGAAGCUGAGGAUUUCUAGGUUUUCCAACUUUCCAAUAAUGGCUAUGUCUAUGCCUCUGAAAAUGCUUUGAUCAAGACAAAGUGUCUGAAGAUUUACUAGAAGACCAAUUGAAGAUGGCAAUGACAAUAACCGCAUUCUAGUCAAAUCCAAAACCCGAAGCUUUUUCGUCCUUUUGAAGAAGUUCUCAGGAAUAUUAGGCACAGCAAAAGAGUUCUUGGGAGACAUGAGUAGAAGUUCAAGUUGUAGAGAUUCGGACCCUUCAGGAAUGUCAUUAAUAAUACUAUCUUUUAAAGAAAUUGCAAGAUAUUUUUUUAAUUCAUCUGCAUUUGGCCAUUUCCAAUCAUCCUCAUUUCUCACCACAAAUCCAAUUUUGUCACGACAUGCAAUUGAAAUGGCAACAUCACGAACAACGUCGUGCAUAGAAAAGUAUUUACUGCCACCAUCCUCAAGCAACAAACAAGAGUCUCUUAGUUGAUGGACCCAUGCAUCUAAUUUGUUAUGUGCAUCUUCUAGCUUGUGGACACUUUUAAAUACACCCCAGCCCAUGCUAUAUUUGAACAAGUCCAUAAUUGGUGCUGGCGUAAUAAGACUACACAGUAAAAAAGUUUUCUUGAGUUGCUCACCUCUUAAGUACUUGUAACUCAGCUCAAUUGUUGAGUAUGCCUCUGCUGGUACUCCUUCGUCGAAGCUCGCCUCUGAAGGCGUUCGGAGUUCUUGCAAGGCAUUCUUCCACACAGGCAGCUCUUUUUUCCUCAGUGCCUUUGCUACUGUGGUUAGGGCAAUAGGCAAACCUCCGCAUGCCUUGGCUACACUUGUUGCUGUAGAUUUUAACUCACGAUUUUCAACAUAAUCACCAGCCAUUAUCUUGAACAAUCUCCAGGCUUCUUGUUCAUUUAAAAUGCCAAUCGAGAAGUUUUUUUCAGAUCCCAUCCUUAACAGCACAUCAAGAUCUCUUGUUGUGAAUAAUAAUUUACAUCCUCUGUGCUCAACUCCAAAAGGAACUCCAAUAGUCCCCAAAUCAAGAGGUUUCCAGAUGUUAUCCAGAAUCACAAGGAUCUUCUUCUCAUUCUUCAAUCUUUCAUAUAGUCUACUAGCUCUUCUAGACUCAGCUUCCUCGGACAACUGUAGGCCUAACGUUACCGCAAUUUCCUCUUGGAUCUUUUUUAUGUCUGGACUUUGGGUAACCUCCGAAAAAGCCACCAUAUCGUAAAGCUUGUCUUCAAUGGCUCGCCUUGCAAACUCCCGCACCAGUGUCGUCUUUCCAAUGCCGCCCAUGCCGUAGACGCCAAUGAUGCUGACAUCAACAUCGAUCAAUGCAUUUUGUAUGGCCUUCAAAGUAGAAAGUCUUGAUUCGAAGGCCUCGUAGCCUUUGUGAGACUUGAGCCAAAUCUCCUCCGGAAUGGUACGGUAGGAAAUUCUAUCAUCAAAUCUCCCAGCUUCUUCUCGGAGUUUAAAAAGGGCCUCCUUCUCUGUUUCUGCUUUAUUUCCAUGCUGAUAGCGAGUAAUCCAAUUAGGAAACAGCCCCAUGAGACAUCGUUCAUUUGCUUUCUCUUCGUCUUGAAUGAAUUUGGCUGCCUCCUCAAUGCUCUUGUUCGCAUUAACCAGCCAUUUCUCAACCUUCUCUUCAAUCUUUUCACUUUUUCUUUCAGCCUCAGAAACUCUGCGCUGAAUGCUUUCUCUUUCAUCCUUGAGCCCAUCGAGUUCUUCCUUGAGAUUCUCAAAGUUGGCAGCGGAGUUAUACCAAUAACUAAAUUCGCGUUGUGCGUGAGGAGACAAGCAGUUUACAAUGCUUUUCAAAAUGUCCAUUUUUUU